rnacentral:lncRNA from 1 species
GAAAUUCCAACACGGUAUAGCUACGCACGCUCGCAAAAAUCAUAUCGCCCCAACAGAUCAUCCGCAGUUACCAACCAAGCACAAACCGAUCUAUGCCAGAGCAGCCUAAACACCACCAAAGCUAUAAUUAUAGGGGUAGAUCACUGAUCCGGGCGACGAAUCGGGAGCGCGAGCAAAGGGAUAAGGAUGACAUCAUACCUCGUCGUAGUCCUUCUCGGCAACCUUGGCCUGCUUGAGCAGCUUGGCCUUCCCUCUUGCAAAACUACCCCCAAACCAGAAGAGAAUAUCAAGACGACCCCAGGGGACAAAAUCGGUCGGCAACAAAUGACGACGGGAUCGAUCUCGCGUUGAUCGGCGGGGAGCGCGCGGACAAAUCGUGGUGGAGAUGGCGGUGUUGAGCGUGAGGGUUUCGCCCCGAACUGCUGGUGGUUUGGAUCUGGGGGGGGCGAUGCAGAGCUACUGGAGAGGGCGGAGCGGAGGAGAGGAGGGGAUCCGGUGGUGGCCUAGUUGCGGAGGAGCCGAUCCAGUUGUGGCCUUGUCGAAGAGGAGAGGAUCCAUCGGAUCUAGCGAUCUGGCAACGAGGUCCACCAUGGGUGAGGGUUGCGGGUGCGAGAGAUGGAUCUAACGGGAGGGGAGGAGAGAGAGGCGCGAGGGUACCCCAAAGGUCUGCUGCGCACGGGCAAGAGCUGCGUCAACUCGUCGGAAUCGAGCAGCACAGGUGAAGGCGACAGAGGAGUCGUGGGAGGGGGACAAAGAGAGGGCUCGCAGGGGGAGAAGGGGGCUAGUGGUUUUCUUUAGAUUAGGUCAAACGAGAGACGUUGGAUGUGUAGGGUGUGGACGGCCUAGAUCGGCUACAAUGGGGUGAUCCGUGGGAGGGUGCUUUCUACCUCCUGAUUGGUUCAAAAUAUGCGUCAUUGAAAAUUGUUUUUAGUGCUAUAAACAAAAGAAAUUUUGUGAAGCAGCUACCAAAAUAAUUUAUAAAAUGACAACAUUAAAAUUUUCAAUAAAGUUAGACCAUCUAUGGAUGAUCACCAACGUUUAUGCACUUGUGAUAUUUCUAGCUAUUUUCAGUCAUUCAAAGGGUUUUCUAUCAAAUCACGUGGAACCGGGUCAAAUUUGAACUAUAGCUUCCUCAUAUUUUACUCAUUAUUAUUUCCAAAAAAUAUUUUCAUGUAUAUAGGUACCUAUUUCAUCAAACAUACAUCAACAGUUUUUCAAGGUUCCACCUUUAGCUACGAACGAUCGUGCCCACCGUUUUCACCGUGUUUCGAAAGCGGCAUAAAGAAUUAAAAAAGUACAAAAAUACAAAACCUUUGCAUUGUGUCAUUAUAUGUGACCAAGUUACGAGGAAAAUUAAUAAACUUGGAUUACGACAAUUAUUUUUGAAAAGUGUUCUCAGAAAUGAGCUAUCAUGUGUGAAGAUUCAUGGCUUUCAAGAGAAAUGAUCAAUCUUAUGGCCACAUUCAUGGCAUAAUUUGUUCAAAUGAUCUUAUAUUGAGUACAAGUGUGUGUAUUGGAAUGGCAAACAAUGUUGCCUAAGGAAGUUUUCAUUUUCUUUGGACAGAAAAUUCAUUUUCCAUUUUUUGAGUACCCAAAAUGAGGUUUUUUGUGAAGGACUACCAUAUAUUUGUUGCAAAAUUGGACCAAAUCAUUUUUAUAAAAUACUAGGACAUAUUUAAUGUACAAUUUACCAAAUUUUUGGGUGUUAAAACUUUUAUCCACCUCUCGUGAAAAAGACAAAUUUUCGUCGACUCAGUUGGAAGCGGGUCAAAUUUGAAGUGCGGCUGCAUUAUAAUUGCUCUUUAUUUUUCCAAAAAUCAUUUAUAGGUACAAUAGUAUCUAUUUUAUCACAGAAACACCAAAUUUUUUCCAGGAUUCAACCGCUAGCUAGGAACUUUCAUACCCACCUUUUUUGACCGCAUUUUGAAAUGGGCAUGCAAAAUUCAAAAAAAUCAAAAGAAUGGAAAACCUUCACAUUGUGUCAUUAUAUGUGACAAGGUUACCAGGUAAAAUAAUAAAUUUUUAGUACGGCAAUUACUUUUGAAAAGUGUUCUCAGAAAUGAGCUACCAUGUGUGAAGAUUCAUCGUUUUCAAGCCAAAUGAUCGAUCUUAUGGCCACAUUCAUGGCAUAGUUUGUUCAAAUGAUCUCAUAUUGUGCACAAGGGUGCGUAUUGGAAUGGCAAACAAUGUUGCCUAAGGAAGUUUUCAUUUUCUUUGAACGGGAAAUUGAUACCAUUUGGACAUGCCAAAGUGACACUUCCUCCACAAUGUGCCAAUGUGGACAAAAAAUGGUAACUAAAACUGGGCUCACAUAGAUGAUUGGAUUGAGCUGCAAUUUGGAGGAGGAUGAUAAUUUGGGCACAUUAAGUCACUGUAAAAAUUUCAUAAAAUUUGGAUAAAUAAAAAUUGUACUUCCUUCACAAUGCUCUCUACUGAAGAGAAUAUUGGGAAAAUAUUGAGGGAAACUAGCUAAAUUAAAUGAGCUAAAANNNNNNNNNNNNNNNNNNNNNNNNNNNNNNNNNNNNNNNNNNNNNNNNNNNNNNNNNNNNNNNNNNNNNNNNNNNNNNNNNNNNNNNNNNNNNNNNNNNNGGAGUCCGUCUGGUACCCGAACGGUCGACCGUAGCGGCACCUUCUUCGGUCUACCGUCGGAUGGUUGCCGGUGUUUUAAAAAUCGUUGCCGCGUCGCCCGUUUUUCCUCUCGUCUCCGGAUAACUACUCUACAUGGCCACUUACCCGUUCCCACGUGCGGAAUCGUUCGAAUCCGACCGCGCGGUUGAAACCGGGGCGGAAUUUCGCUAAACCUAGCCCCCCUUUGCCUAUAAACAGGACCUCCCAUGCCAUUUUUAGAUACCCGACCCGUGUGCCUCGAAAACCAUGCAGCCCCGAAACCCUAACCCAUUCUCUCUCUCCUCCCUCCCUCCUCUGCGCAGCCGCCGGCACNNNNNNNNNNNNNNNNNNNNNNNNNNNNNNNNNNNNNNNNNNNNNNNNNNNNNNNNNNNNNNNNNNNNNNNNNNNNNNNNNNNNNNNNNNNNNNNNNNNNNNNNNNNNNNNNNNNNNNNNNNNNNNNNNNNNNNNNNNNNNNNNNNNNNNNNNNNNNNNNNNNNNNNNNNNNNNNNNNNNNNNNNNNNNNNNNNNNNNNNNNNNNNNNNNNNNNNNNNNNNNNNNNNNNNNNNNNNNNNNNNNNNNNNNNNNNNNNNNNNNNNNNNNNNNNNNNNNNNNNNNNNNNNNNNNNNNNNNNNNNNNNNNNNNNAGGCCAGCAGCGCUCGCCAGCUCCCGUGGGCCUCGCUCGUGCCGAGCCGGCCCACCAGCUCCUCCUGCCCCGUGGCCAGCCUCCACCCCUCGGCCACUACAGCCUAUCUCCGAGCCGGCCCAAGUGGCCUUCCCCCGAGGUGAGGUAAUCCUCGCCCCCAGCGCGCCUUAGGUAUUUUGCGCCCCCUGUUGGCCGAUAGAUUAGCUAGAUUUCACGAUUAUAUAGAUAUUUUAGAUUGCCCGAAACUUUUUUCCGUAAGUCGGAUCGCGACAUGUAGUAUAUGGUUUUUGUGUAGUUUUGCGCGUAGAUUACGAUUUCACAACUUGCAUAAUAGUUUGACGUAGUUUAGCGUGCCAAAUACAUAGUUUUACGUGUUGUUCCAAUAGGAUUCGUUCCGUAGUUAUUUUUCGCGCGUGUCCGGGUUGCUCGAAUGCUGUAGCAGAAAUGUUCAUGUUUUAGGAACCCCUUUGCCAUGUAUUUUAGAGUAGUCAUUGGUAUUUUUGCAUGUAGGGUUUAGCCGCUAGUUUAUUUUCCAUGUUUAGGAUGUUAUCUCGCAUUUACGUGCGGCGAUAUUAUUGUUGUGCAACCCCACAUGUUUUAUAUGUUUUCGGGGUAGAAAAAUCCAUAGGAUUUAUUUGUGCAAUUAGUUUUAGCUUUUGAGCAAGUUAGUUCUCGCGAUAUUUUUUUUAUGUUGCCCUCUUGUCUCUUUCAUAGUAUUUAUUCCGUGCUUGAUAUGAGGUAGUUGUCAACUAGAGAUUUGCCCUUUGAUGUUUAGUCUAGCCCUGGUAUUUUUGGUUGCAAUAGAAAUCCAAGUUUAGGUGUGGUUUGCUUGUUCUUAGUUGCAAGAAAUAGUGCUGAUUUGGAGGUGCUGAAAUAUUUCUAAGUCUGAGAUCUGUUAUAUUUUGUUGUUGUCUUGUCUUGUUCUAUCUUGUGAUCUGUAGCUCUUUUGAGGUUGGUGCAAUGGAGUUAGUUGUAGACUUUGGGAUUCUCUAGCCUGUUGUGGAUUUUCAUGUCAUUUGGAGUCCUGUAGCUAUUGGUUUUGUUGCUGUCAAUAUGCCUUCAGAUCGAAAACUGCAUCUUCAUAAACUGCUAUUUUCACUAAGUCUGAAAUAGUGUGUGGGAUGCCAUUUUGUGACUUCUUUUCCUAGUGUUCCAUGCUUUCCAUGCUAGUUGUUGUUAGUUGUUUGUUGUAGUGCUUCUUGCCCUCUUUCGUGUCAUGCCUUGGUUGAGUAUAUUGGAAUUGUGUAGCUCGUAGUUGUGGGGUGUAGAUAAUGCUAUGUGGCUGAUUUUGGCUGAUUGUAGUGAUAUCUUGUUUAGCUCGUAGAUUUUGAACCGUUGCUCCGUUUUCAUCGUGUCCUAUAUGAAACUUUCUUAGAAUCUCGUGUAGUUUCAUAUUGUCUUGCUGGUUGUAUGUUUUGGAGUGCUCGUGAACGUCGUUGCACACAUAUUGCAUUCAUGUCAUCAGAUCUUGCGGUGUCCGUAUCCUUUGAACCGUAGCUCCGUUGGAGAUGAUCUCUAUGUGUAAACUGCUUGUCACGAUGCGUAGAAUCACGUGAACCUAUUUGUUUUUUUGUUUAACAACUAAUUAAACGUGUUAGUUCAGAUCUGGACAGAAUUGUAAAUUAACAUAUGAGGUCGUUUCGGAGGUGCUAUAUGUCAUUUCCGACCUCAUUUAAAAUGCCUAGAUAGGUAGUUUAAUUACGCUUCACCUCUUGCCAUGUUUAACCACAUUCAAUACUGCCGUGUAUCUAAUAGGGAUAGAACUAAAUAAUUAAACGUGGAGUUUCGUCAAUAUGCAACUCGUUGCAUAUUGAACUUCACUUAAUGUGUAAUGUUUGAUUGUGUGAUUUGACGUGCCAUGACUUGCAUGAAUUCAGCUGCUCAUGCAUCAUAUGUGUUGUGCCUCGUGUGGGGAAUAUCGUGUGUUGAUUCUUGUUUCCGGUUUCCUUCGUCUCGAUAGAGUUCAGCAAGCGUGUCGGAUUGUGAGGACCCGUUCGAGUACAUCGGUUCAUCUGCUUCACGGAGUCAUUCUUCUUCCAAGAGGGAUCUCACGCAAGAUGACCAUCUCCCUAGAUAGCAUUACUAUCAUUGCCAUGCUAGUUUUAUCGCUUCUAUCGAUUAUGUCUCGUUGCCUACCACAUGUUAAAUAUCAGCCUCUCAACAAUGCCAUGAAACCUUCAACCUGUUCAACCUAGUAAACCACUAUUUGGCUAUGUUAUCACUUUCUUAACCAUAUUGUUAGCGUUGCUAGUUGCAGGUGCAGUUGCUUCCAUGUGAUAACAUGGGUUCCUUGUUAUAUCACCCUAUUAAUUUCUGUUUAAUUUAAUGCACCUAUAUACUUGGUUAAAGGUGGAAGCCUCAACCUUUCUAGCCUGGUGUUUUGUUCCACCUUUGCCCCCUUAGUUUCGGCUACCGGUGUUAUGUUCCAUAAUUGAGCGCUCCUAACACGAUCGGGGUUGUUAUGGGGACCCCCUUGAUAAUUCGUUUUAGAUUAAAGCUGGUCUUGGAAGACCCAACAUUGGUACUACAUUUGCCCAACAUAAUAAUUCUGGUAAACUAAAAUCCAUAGGGAGUUAGCGCUACCCGAGGAGUAAUUCUACAUAAUACAGGGGGGCAGUGCUGAUGGUGCUGGUCCAAAACUAGAGCCGUUUGCGGGGCCAACCCAGGGCAACUUGGGAGAUUUCUAUCAGGCCACCAUACGCUGUGCUUAUCCGUCGUGUCCUGAGAACAAGAUACGCGGCUCCUAUUGGGAUCGUCGACACGUCGGGCGGCCUUGCUGGAUUAGUUUUACCUUUGACGAGAUAUCUUGUGCAUCGGGAUUCCACUAAUGCUUUGGGUAAUCUCAGAGUUGAGGUUUUCCACUAAGGAGUCCGACGAGAUCGCGAGCUUCGUGAUUGAGGAUUUCUAAGCGGCUUGUGGUAAUUUGUGAUGGACUAGUUGGAGCAUCCCUGCAGGGUUAAAUCUUUUGGAAAGUCGUGCCCGUGGUUAUGUGGCAAUGUGGAAACUUUCUUUAACACUGGUUCUAGAUAACUUGAAGUUAACUUAAUUAAAACAUGCCAACUGUGUGCGCAACCGUGACUGUCUCUUUCGUGAGUUCCUUCUCCGAUCGAGGGCACGGUGGGGUUAUGUCCGACGUAGGUAGGUGUUCAGGAUCAUUCAUCUGAUCAUCAGUAGUCACGUCCGCUAUGCGUAGAUCUUUCCCCUCUUACUCUUGUACUCGUAAUUUUAGCCACCAAAUAUAUGCUUAGCCGCUGCUGCAACCUCACCACUUAACCAUACCUCACCCAUUAAGCUUUGCUAGUCUUGAUACCUUUGGAAAUGAGAUUUCUGAGUCCCCUGUGGCUCACAGAUUACUACAACACCAGUUGCAGGUACAUGUAAAGGUUAUUUGACAUGAGCGCGUUGAUUGUUCAUUUGGAGUUGCUUCUUNNNNNNNNNNNNNNNNNNNNNNNNNNNNNNNNNNNNNNNNNNNNNNNNNNNNNNNNNNNNNNNNNNNNNNNNNNNNNNNNNNNNNNNNNNNNNNNNNNNNNNNNNNNNNNNNNNNNNNNNNNNNNNNNNNNNNNNNNNNNNNNNNNNNNNNNNNNNNNNNNNNNNNNNNNNNNNNNNNNNNNNNNNNNNNNNNNNNNNNNNNNNNNNNNNNNNNNNNNNNNNNNNNNNNNNNNNNNNNNNNNNNNNNNNNNNNNNNNNNNNNNNNNNNNNNNNNNNNNNNNNNNNNNNNNNNNNNNNNNNNNNNNNNNNNNNNNNNNNNNNNNNNNNNNNNNNNNNNNNNNNNNNNNNNNNNNNNNNNNNNNNNNNNNNNNNNNNNNNNNNNNNNNNNNNNNNNNNNNNNNNNNNNNNNNNNNNNNNNNNNNNNNNNNNNNNNNNNNNNNNNNNNNNNNNNNNNNNNNNNNNNNNNNNNNNNNNNNNNNNNNNNNNNNNNNNNNNNNNNNNNNNNNNNNNNNNNNNNNNNNNNNNNNNNNNNNNNNNNNNNNNNNNNNNNNNNNNNNNNNNNNNNNNNNNNNNNNNNNNNNNNNNNNNNNNNNNNNNNNNNNNNNNNNNNNNNNNNNNNNNNNNNNNNNNNNNNNNNNNNNNNNNNNNNNNNNNNNNNNNNNNNNNNNNNNNNNNNNNNNNNNNNNNNNNNNNNNNNNNNNNNNNNNNNNNNNNNNNNNNNNNNNNNNNNNNNNNNNNNNNNNNNNNNNNNNNNNNNNNNNNNNNNNNNNNNNNNNNNNNNNNNNNNNNNNNNNNNNNNNNNNNNNNNNNNNNNNNNNNNNNNNNNNNNNNNNNNNNNNNNNNNNNNNNNNNNNNNNNNNNNNNNNNNNNNNNNNNNNNNNNNNNNNNNNNNNNNNNNNNNNNNNNNNNNNNNNNNNNNNNNNNNNNNNNNNNNNNNNNNNNNNNNNNNNNNNNNNNNNNNNNNNNNNNNNNNNNNNNNNNNNNNNNNNNNNNNNNNNNNNNNNNNNNNNNNNNNNNNNNNNNNNNNNNNNNNNNNNNNNNNNNNNNNNNNNNNNNNNNNNNNNNNNNNNNNNNNNNNNNNNNNNNNNNNNNNNNNNNNNNNNNNNNNNNNNNNNNNNNNNNNNNNNNNNNNNNNNNNNNNNNNNNNNNNNNNNNNNNNNNNNNNNNNNNNNNNNNNNNNNNNNNNNNNNNNNNNNNNNNNNNNNNNNNNNNNNNNNNNNNNNNNNNNNNNNNNNNNNNNNNNNNNNNNNNNNNNNNNNNNNNNNNNNNNNNNNNNNNNNNNNNNNNNNNNNNNNNNNNNNNNNNNNNNNNNNNNNNNNNNNNNNNNNNNNNNNNNNNNNNNNNNNNNNNNNNNNNNNNNNNNNNNNNNNNNNNNNNNNNNNNNNNNNNNNNNNNNNNNNNNNNNNNNNNNNNNNNNNNNNNNNNNNNNNNNNNNNNNNNNNNNNNNNNNNNNNNNNNNNNNNNNNNNNNNNNNNNNNNNNNNNNNNNNNNNNNNNNNNNNNNNNNNNNNNNNNNNNNNNNNNNNNNNNNNNNNNNNNNNNNNNNNNNNNNNNNNNNNNNNNNNNNNNNNNNNNNNNNNNNNNNNNNNNNNNNNNNNNNNNNNNNNNNNNNNNNNNNNNNNNNNNNNNNNNNNNNNNNNNNNNNNNNNNNNNNNNNNNNNNNNNNNNNNNNNNNNNNNNNNNNNNNNNNNNNNNNNNNNNNNNNNNNNNNNNNNNNNNNNNNNNNNNNNNNNNNNNNNNNNNNNNNNNNNNNNNNNNNNNNNNNNNNNNNNNNNNNNNNNNNNNNNNNNNNNNNNNNNNNNNNNNNNNNNNNNNNNNNNNNNNNNNNNNNNNNNNNNNNNNNNNNNNNNNNNNNNNNNNNNNNNNNNNNNNNNNNNNNNNNNNNNNNNNNNNNNNNNNNNNNNNNNNNNNNNNNNNNNNNNNNNNNNNNNNNNNNNNNNNNNNNNNNNNNNNNNNNNNNNNNNNNNNNNNNNNNNNNNNNNNNNNNNNNNNNNNNNNNNNNNNNNNNNNNNNNNNNNNNNNNNNNNNNNNNNNNNNNNNNNNNNNNNNNNNNNNNNNNNNNNNNNNNNNNNNNNNNNNNNNNNNNNNNNNNNNNNNNNNNNNNNNNNNNNNNNNNNNNNNNNNNNNNNNNNNNNNNNNNNNNNNNNNNNNNNNNNNNNNNNNNNNNNNNNNNNNNNNNNNNNNNNNNNNNNNNNNNNNNNNNNNNNNNNNNNNNNNNNNNNNNNNNNNNNNNNNNNNNNNNNNNNNNNNNNNNNNNNNNNNNNNNNNNNNNNNNNNNNNNNNNNNNNNNNNNNNNNNNNNNNNNNNNNNNNNNNNNNNNNNNNNNNNNNNNNNNNNNNNNNNNNNNNNNNNNNNNNNNNNNNNNNNNNNNNNNNNNNNNNNNNNNNNNNNNNNNNNNNNNNNNNNNNNNNNNNNNNNNNNNNNNNNNNNNNNNNNNNNNNNNNNNNNNNNNNNNNNNNNNNNNNNNNNNNNNNNNNNNNNNNNNNNNNNNNNNNNNNNNNNNNNNNNNNNNNNNNNNNNNNNNNNNNNNNNNNNNNNNNNNNNNNNNNNNNNNNNNNNNNNNNNNNNNNNNNNNNNNNNNNNNNNNNNNNNNNNNNNNNNNNNNNNNNNNNNNNNNNNNNNNNNNNNNNNNNNNNNNNNNNNNNNNNNNNNNNNNNNNNNNNNNNNNNNNNNNNNNNNNNNNNNNNNNNNNNNNNNNNNNNNNNNNNNNNNNNNNNNNNNNNNNNNNNNNNNNNNNNNNNNNNNNUAUAUAUAUAUAUAUCUUAUUUUCAGUACAUAUACUUGUAACGAUAUCCAUUCUUGCGACACGACGAGAUGCGCUUCUAUCCCUGAUGAGGCCCUCGUGCCAAAUUGAGGAUAGGGUCGCAUCUUGGGCGUGAUAAGUUGGUACCAGAGCAGUACCAACCUAGGAGCCCCCUUGAUUGAUCGAACUUGGCCGAGUCGAGUCUAGUGAAAAAUUGAUUUGAAUCAAGUUAUGUAGGGGAGUGUAGGAUUCUUUUUUCUCCUCUUCUAUGCUCUGGUGAGGAAUCUUGACGUAAUAAUUUAUUCUACUCCUCUUCUCACUCAAAAAAAAUUUAGGAUCACGCGGAUAUUUUUGGAAUCUAUAUGAUGCCGAUGUGACGAAGUUCUGUAUUCGUGCCUCCUGUCUGACUUGAUUUCUUCCGAGGAGUUGAGCUCCAGGGGAUUCUCAAACACAUCGUUAUCAUUCAGAUUUGUUAGUAUCUCAGAACGAAGAAUGUUCGUAAUUGCCUCAAUACUAGUAGUGGCGAGGUAACCCCGAUGUCCCUAGUACUCGUGCAGAUUGUUCGGGAGUACCGUCAUACUUUGUAUCGUUGUGAUCACGAGGGUCUGUGGUAGAUGAAGGUCCGAGAUUCUGGUUAUGUGUUGACGGAUGUGAUACAUUGGACGGGUUAGUAUAGGAGUUGAGUGAUAUAUUACUCCUUUGUAUCCGUGUACCAGAUUGCAUGACCAGAAAUUUCGGGAAUUCUUAGGUGGGAAUUCAAGUAGUUACUUAUAGGACAAUCUUCCAACAAAUGCAUGAUGUUAGGUUGGGGUUCGACAUCUAGUGGAUUCGUUUGUUGACGGUCGUCUUACAUCGGUUCUUGUUGUGUCUUAAAGCGUCAUUGUAGCUUGCUAUGACUCGGGGACGCUUCGUAUGUCGGGUGCACUACCUUGCACUUGAUGGCUACUGUAAGGUUCGAGCCCGUGCGAUCUUGUGCUCGAAAAUAUCGAACGGAAAUCUUUCUCAUGAGUUUGUUCUGGCUUGUUUCAUAAGCCUCACCCUUGUUUUGUUGGAAUAUGGUAAUUCGAGUUGCUUCGAUGUCAAGUGGUGAUUUCAGAUCUUUUCUAAGUAGUGUUCUCAUAUUCAUAUGAGAGUGCUAAUCCUUUUGCUUAAUCAAUUGUCUUAUCAAUUCUUGUCAACCGGAGUCAUCGUGUUAAUUCUUUUCCAACCGGUGUGCUUCUCUUCAAGUGAACUCAAUCCUCUCCAAUUUUGCAAGAUCAUUCCCUCAUUUUAUUCCGGAGUUCAUCUCAUCUGUCUCAAGUUGUCUUUGUUUUCCCCGUCCUCCCACCCUUUUCUUCAGUGAUUCAAUUUUCAUCCAAGAGUUUUCUUUUCAUUGUUGCUUCUGCUAUCUCUUCUUCCUUUUGUAGGCGGUGAUUCUUGUGAAGAUUCUCAGGAGCUUCGUGUUUAUCUUUAUUCAAUCGUGUUAUCUUUUCCGGUGAAUUCAAUUCAGCUAUCCGUGUUCAUCAUAUCCUUUUCCUCCUUGUAAUUCUUUCCUAUGUUGGAAAUUCUUAUCAGCCUAUCUUGUUUGUUCAUUCCUCUCUUUUCUAUCCGGAGUGUUGAAGUCAUCCCAGGACUUUCUUGUUUUCAGAUCUUCCAUUAUUUCGAGGGCGCAACCUCAUCUAGUUUUUCAUUUGUGUCGGUGCAAUAUCUUUCUUUCUUAGAAAUAUUUGGUUUCUUUUCAGUGGGCCCAUAACCCACAAGUUUUUCCCAGGAUCUUAUUUGUCUCUUCUAAUCUUUCCGGAGUCUCUAAUUCUUUCCAACUAUGAUGUAAGUAUGAAUUUCAUCAGUCAUAUCCCUUCUCCAAGGCCUAUUCGAAUUAAUUCUCAUAUUUGGCUCAACCUUUCAUUCUUCAUUAUUCUGGAGUGUCUUAGUUAUUCUUGGUGUUGUUUGUCGUUAUCAUUCUCAGCUUGCGAUUCGAAGGAGUGUUCCUCAUAAUCUUGGUCCAUUCUCUUGGAGACUCAUCAUUUCAGCUUUGUGUUAUCCUCUUAGUUGUUGUCAAUCAUGAGUAAUACCUUCGUCCUAUCCGGUGUUUCUCUGAGUUGUUUUCAUUCUCGAUCCUCCGAAGGCCAUCAUUUGAGAAGACUUCUUCCUUCUCAGCUUUCAACUUUCAUUCUCUAAUUCUUCUCAAUAUUUGUAUCUUCGUUCGUCUCUCAGUUAUUCCGGCGCCUUGUUCAAGUUUUCUCUCAGGUGGCUCAUGAUCUCUUCAUUCUCAUGUAUCUCCAUUAAUUCUUGGUUUUCCCAUUCAGUUGUGAAUUCUUACCGGUGCUUCCUUCAAUUAUGCUUCAAGUGGUGCUUACCUAUCUCUCUCUUCAAGUUUCAUUUCAAGAAGAUUAAGUGGUAUGCUAAAUCCAUUGCUUGUCAUCAAAUAAACUUGAUGAAGGAUAAGCAUAACAUAAUUCUUACUUUUGGUCAUAGUGAUCUGAAUUCUUCUUCCGGACUCGCUCAUCAUAUCAAUUCUUAUUCCAUGUACUUAUCUUUCUUCCGAAGUUCCAAGUUCUUUUAAGUACCUCUUUGUGAGGCUUUAUCUAAAUCUUGGCAAGGUCAUAAUCUUAUUCUUUUCUACCUUCAUAUCUUUGCAUCAUUCAUUUGUAUACGGAGGUCCUUCAUGGUGGUUCAUCAAGGUUUCAACCCAUUCUCGAGUUCUUCAAGAUUCUUGUGAUAGUAGUUGUCAUUCUCUUAUUCUUUCUUUCUUCACAAUGAGUUAGUUCAUACUCUCUUGUUUCGGAGGCAUUGUGAUAUUGCUCUUUUGGGUCAAUCUUAUUGUUCUAUCAAGAUCAUGGUGUUCCCUUGUUCUAUUUUAGUUGUUUGUUGUGAAUAUUGUCUAUUUCUCCCGUCUUAUCUAAUUUUUUGUCCCAUUUUCCUACCGAAGUGCUGCCGAAAUUUUCCCUGAAUUCUUGCUUGUUUCUCAUAUCAGUCCUCAUCGCUUUGCAACCUUCAAGGAUCGUUAGUUUCACUCGUUUGUCAAAGAAGUGACUAAGUUUUACCUCGUGCUUCCUCUUCCUCUUCCCCCUUUCAUUCUUGGAUCUCGGGGCGAGAUCCUCUUGUAGUGUAGGAGAGUUGUGACAACCCGAUGCCGACGUUCCAGAAGAUUCCCCUUCUAUUCCGUUUUCAUCGUGUGUCUAUUUUCUUUUGUCGCAUCAUAAUCGCAUAAUGCGCAUCAUCAGCAUUGCAUUGAGACUCCGUUGCCGCCAGUUUCCAAAACUUGCAUCCGUUGUUAGUUGCCGGUUCUCGUCGUUGUCCGUUCUAAGCUCGACCACACAUGCACGCGCCCGCGGCAUCGUUCGAAUCUUGUUUUAAAAAGUGUGCGUAAAACUUUAUCUGAUAUGGUUGAGAUUUGACGUGCGGUCUUACUUUAAUAUAGCUAGGCCGCCUGUCGAAUUUCGUCGCGAUCGGAGUCCGUCUGGUACCCGAAUGGUCGACCGUAGCGGCACCGUCUUCAGUCUAUCGUCGGAUGGUUGCCGGUGUUUCAAAAUCGUUGUCGCGUCACUCGUUUUCCCUCUCGUCUCCGGAUAACAACUCUACACGACCACUUACCCGUUCUCGCAUGCGGAAUCGUUCGAAUCCGACCGUGCGGUUGAAACCGGGGCGGAAUUUCGCUAAACCUAGCCCCCCUUUGCCUAUAAAUAGGACCUCCCAUGCCAUUUUUAGACACCCUACCAUUCUGCCUCGAAAAUCGUGGAGCCCCGAAACCCUAACCCACUCUCUCUCUCCUCCCUCCCUCCUCUGCGCAGAUGCCGGACCGCCCAGCCCGGAUCGGGCCCUCUUGGGCCCAUCUGGCCGGCCGCCGCCGUCUGCCCGAGCAGCACAGCCCCGANNNNNNNNNNNNNNNNNNNNNNNNNNNNNNNNNNNNNNNNNNNNNNNNNNNNNNNNNNNNNNNNNNNNNNNNNNNNNNNNNNNNNNNNNNNNNNNNNNNNNNNNNNNNNNNNNNNNNNNNNNNNNNNNNNNNNNNNNNNNNNNNNNNNNNNNNNNNNNNNNNNNNNNNNNNNNNNNNNNNNNNNNNNNNNNNNNNNNNNNNNNNNNNNNNNNNNNNNNNNNNNNNNNNNNNNNNNNNNNNNNNNNNNNNNNNNNNNNNNNNNNNNNNNNNNNNNNNNNNNNNNNNNNNNNNNNNNNNNNNNNNNNNNNNNNNNNNNNNNNNNNNNNNNNNNNNNNNNNNNNNNNNNNNNNNNNNNNNNNNNNNNNNNNNNNNNNNNNNNNNNNNNNNNNNNNNNNNNNNNNNNNNNNNNNNNNNNNNNNNNNNNNNNNNNNNNNNNNNNNNNNNNNNNNNNNNNNNNNNNNNNNNNNNNNNNNNNNNNNNNNNNNNNNNNNNNNNNNNNNNNNNNNNNNNNNNNNNNNNNNNNNNNNNNNNNNNNNNNNNNNNNNNNNNNNNNNNNNNNNNNNNNNNNNNNNNNNNNNNNNNNNNNNNNNNNNNNNNNNNNNNNNNNNNNNNNNNNNNNNNNNNNNNNNNNNNNNNNNNNNNNNNNNNNNNNNNNNNNNNNNNNNNNNNNNNNNNNNNNNNNNNNNNNNNNNNNNNNNNNNNNNNNNNNNNNNNNNNNNNNNNNNNNNNNNNNNNNNNNNNNNNNNNNNNNNNNNNNNNNNNNNNNNNNNNNNNNNNNNNNNNNNNNNNNNNNNNNNNNNNNNNNNNNNNNNNNNNNNNNNNNNNNNNNNNNNNNNNNNNNNNNNNNNNNNNNNNNNNNNNNNNNNNNNNNNNNNNNNNNNNNNNNNNNNNNNNNNNNNNNNNNNNNNNNNNNNNNNNNNNNNNNNNNNNNNNNNNNNNNNNNNNNNNNNNNNNNNNNNNNNNNNNNNNNNNNNNNNNNNNNNNNNNNNNNNNNNNNNNNNNNNNNNNNNNNNNNNNNNNNNNNNNNNNNNNNNNNNNNNNNNNNNNNNNNNNNNNNNNNNNNNNNNNNNNNNNNNNNNNNNNNNNNNNNNNNNNNNNNNNNNNNNNNNNNNNNNNNNNNNNNNNNNNNNNNNNNNNNNNNNNNNNNNNNNNNNNNNNNNNNNNNNNNNNNNNNNNNNNNNNNNNNNNNNNNNNNNNNNNNNNNNNNNNNNNNNNNNNNNNNNNNNNNNNNNNNNNNNNNNNNNNNNNNNNNNNNNNNNNNNNNNNNNNNNNNNNNNNNNNNNNNNNNNNNNNNNNNNNNNNNNNNNNNNNNNNNNNNNNNNNNNNNNNNNNNNNNNNNNNNNNNNNNNNNNNNNNNNNNNNNNNNNNNNGCCCUGGUGGCUGGACCUAUCCCCGCCGCCGGUUCCUCACCGGAGCCUCGUCUCCCUCCGCAUCUUCCCUGCCUCCGACUGCAGCCGCCACCGGCAUCAGCUCCCGGUUGGGAGAAGCACGACGAGGAGCCCCACGUCCAGGCCAGCAGCGCUCGCCAGCUCCCGUGGGCCUUGCUCGUGCCGUGCCGGCCCACCAGCUCCUCCUGCCCCAUGGCCUGCCUCUUCCCCUCGGCCGCUACAACCCAUCUCCAAGCCGGACCAAGUGGCCUUCCCCCGAGGUGAGCUAAUACUCGCCCCAGCGCGCCUUAGGUAUUUUGCGCCCCCUGUUGGCCCGAUAGAUUAGUUAGAUUUCAGGAUUAUAUAGAUAUUUUAGAUUGCCCAUAACUUUUUUUCCGUAAGUCGGGUCGCGACGUGUAGUCUAUGGUUUUUGUGUAGUUUUGCGUGUAGAUUACGAUUUCACAACUUGCAUAAUUGUUUGACGUAGUUUAGCAUGCCAAAUACAUAGUUUUACGUGUUCUUCCAAUAGGAUUCGUUCCGUAGUUAUUUUUCGCGCGUGUCCGGGUUGCUCGAAUGCUGUAGUAGAAAGGUUCAUGUUUUAGGAACCCCUUUGCCAUGUAUUUUAGAGUAGUCGUUGGUAUUUUUGCAUGUAGGGUUUAGCCGCUAGUUUAUUUUCCGUGUUUAGGAUGUUAUCUCGCAUUUACGUGCGGCGAUAUUAUUGUGGUGCAACCCCACAUGUUUUAUAUGUUUUUGGGGUAGAAAAAUCCAUAGGAUUUAUCUGUGCAAUUAGUUUUAGCUUUUGAGCAAGUUAGUUCUCGUGAUAUUUUUGUAUGUUGCUCUCUUGUCUCUUUCGUAUGAUUUAUUCCGUGCUUGAUAUGAGGUAGUUGUCAACUAGAUAUUUGCCCUUUGAUGUUUAGUCUAGACCCUGGUAUUUUUGGUUGCAAUAGAAAUCCAUGUUUAGGUGUGGUUUGCUUGUUCUCAGUUGCUAGAAAUAGUGCUGAUUUGGAGGUGCUGAAAUAUUUCUAAGUCUGAGAUCAGUUAUAUUUUGUUGCUGUCUUGUCUUGCUUGUAUCUUAUGAUCUGUAGCACUUUUGAGGUUGGUGCAAUGGAGUUAGUUGUAGACUUUGGGAUUCUCUAGCAUGUUGUGAAUUUUCAUGCCAUUUGGAGUCCCAUAGCUAUUGGUUUUGCUUCUCAAUAUGCCUUCAGAUCGAAAACUGCAGCUUCAUAAACUGCUAUUUUCACUAAGUCUGAAAUAGUGUGUGGGAUGCCAUUUUGUGACUUCUUUUCCUAGUGUUCCAUGCUUUCCAUGCUAGUUGUUUUUUGUUGUUUCUUGUAGUGCUUCUUUCCCUAUUUCAUGUCAUGCCUUGGUUGAGUUUAUUGGAAUUGUGCAGCUCGUAGUUGUGGGGUGUAGAAAAUGCUAUGUGGCUGAUUUUGGCUGAUUGUAGUGGUAUCUUGUUUAGCUCGUAGAUUUUGAACCGUUGGUCCGUUUUCAUCGUGUCCUAUAUGAAACUUGCUUAGAAUCUUGUGUAGUUUCAUAUUGUCUUGCUGGUUGUAUGUUUUGGAGUGCUCGUGAAUGUCAUUGCACACAUAUUGCAUUCAUGCCAUCAUAUCUUGCGGUGUCCGUUAUCUUUUGAACCGUAGCUCCGUUGGAGAUGAUCUCUAUGUGUAAACUGCUUGUCAUGACACGUAGAAUCACGUGAACCUAUUUGUUUUGCUUUUUAACAACUAAUUAAACGUGUUAGUUCAGAUAUGGAAAGAAUUGUAAACUAACAUAUGAGGUCGUUUCGGAGGUGCUAUAUGUCAUUUGCGACCUCAUUUAAAAUGCCUAGAUAGGUAGUUUAAUUACGCUUCACCUCUUGCCAUGUUUAACCACGUUUAAUAUAACCAUGUAUCUAAUCGGGAUAGAACUAAAUAAUUAAAUGUGGAGUUUCGUCAAUAUGCAACUCGUUGCAUAUUGAACUUCACUUAAUGUGUAGUGUUUGAUUGUGUGAUUUGACAUGCCGUGACUUGCAUGAAUUCAGCUGCUCAUGCAUCAUAUGUGUUGUGCCUCAUGUGGUGAAUAUCGUGUGUUGAUUCUUGUUUCCGGUUUCCUUCGUCUCAAUAGAGUUCCGCAAGCGUGUCGGUUGUGAGGACCCGUUCGACUACAUCGGUUCGUCUGCUUCACGGAGUCAUUCUUCUUCCAAGCGGGAUCUCAGGCAAGAUGACCAUUUCCCCAGAUACCAUUACUAUCAUUGCCAUGCUAGUUUUAUCGCUUCUAUCGAUUAUGUCUCGUGGCCUACGACAUGUUAAAUAUCAGCCUUUCAACAAUGCCAUGAAACCUUCAACCUGUUCAACCUAGCAAACCACUGUUUGGCUAUGUUACCGCUUGCUUGACCAUGUUGUAGCAUUGCUAGUUGUACGUGCAGUUGCUUCCAUGUGAUAACAUGGGUUACUUGUUAUAUCACCCUAUUAAUUGCUAUUUAGUUUAAUGGACCUAUAUACUUGGUUAAAGGUGGAAGGCUCGGCCUCUCUAGCCUGAUGUUUUGUUCCACCUUUGCCCCCUUAGUUUCGGCUACCGGUGUUAUGUUCCCUAAUUGAGUGCUCCUAACAUGAUCGGGGUUGUUAUGGGGACCCCCUUGAUAAUUCGUUUUAGAUUAAAGCUGGUCUGGCAAGGCCCAACAUUGGUACUACAUUUUCCCAACAUAAUAAUUCUGUUAAACUAAAAUGCAUAGGGAGUUAGCGCUACCCGAGGCGUAAUUCUACAUAAUACAAGGGGGCGGUGUUGAUGGUGUUGGUCCAAAACUAGAGCCGUUUGCGGGGCCAACCGAGGGCAACUUGGGAGAUUUCUAUCAGGCCACCGUACGCUGUGCUUAUCCGUCGUGUCCUGAGAACGAGAUACACGGCUCCUAUCAGGAUCGUCGACACGCCGGGCGGCCUAGCUGGAUUAGUUUUACCUUUCAUGAUAUAUCUUCUGCAUCGGGAUUCCGGUGAUGCUUUGGGUAAUCUCAGAGUUGAGGUUUUCCACUAAGGAGUCCGACGAAAUCGUGAGCUUCGUGAUCGAGGAUUUCUAUGCGGCUUGCGGUAAUUUGCGAUGGACUAGUUGGAGCACCCCUGCAGGGUUAAAUCUUUUGGAAAGCCGUGCCCGCGGUUAUGUGGCAACGUGGAAACUUUCUUUAACACUGGUUCUAGAUAACUUGAAAUUAACCUAUUUAAACAUGCCAACUGUGUGCUUAACCGUGACUGUCUCUUUCGUGAGUUCCUUCUCCAAUCGAGGACACGGUGGGGUUAUGUCUAAGGUAGGUAGGUGUUCAGGAUCAUUCAUCUGAUCAUCAGUAGUCACAUCCGCUAUGCAUAGAUCUUCCCCCUCUUACUCUUGUACUCGUAAGUUUAGCCACCAAAUAUAUGCUUAGCCGCUGCUACAACCUCACCACUUAACCAUACCUCACCCAUUAAGCUUUGCUAGUCUUGAUACCUUUGGAAAUGAGAUUGAUGUGUCCCCUGUGGCUCACAGAUUAUUACAACACCAGUUGCAGGUACAUGUAAAUGUUAUUUGACGCGAGCGCGUUGAUUGUCCAUUUGGGGGUGGUUUUUCUUCUUCUUCAUUGAUCUAGGAUGGGUUCCAGGACGGCAGCCUGGGAUAGCAAGGAUGGACGUCAUUCUUCUUUUCUCAUUUGUUUUCAUCCGUAGUCGGACCCUGCUCUUAUUCAUGAUGAUUAUGUAUUGUACUGUUGUGACUCUGAUGUAGCUUGUGGCGAGUGUAAGCCAAUUCUACAUAUAUAUCUCUUCUUUUUAGUACAUGUACUUGUAACGAUAUCCAUUCUUGCGACACGACGAGAUGCGCUUCUAUCCCUGACGAGGCCCUCGUGCCAAAUUGAGGAUAGGGUUUCUUCUUGGGCGUGACACCGCGGCAAGGCUGCCGUGCAUGUGGUUGACCCCCCUCCGGACCCUGCUGAUCCGCUUCACACCACCCUUGUUGGGCUGACCAAGCCCAUCGCCAUGACGGCGAACACAGCAGAGGCCAGGCCGAGCUGGAGGAAGCUUGCAAGAAACUCCUGGUGGAGGGCACCGCUCUUGCCACCUCCAAGCAUCGGUUGGAGGCACGCAGCACGAGUAUAACUCCGCUUACGGUCUCACUCCUGCCGCUGAUGGUUCUAGCCGGCGUGGAGAGGUCCGCGGACGUGGCCGGGUCGUCGCCAAAAUCUUAGGCGGCAAGCUGCCCCUACGACACUCCCGCAACCAACAUACGGGCAGCCCAGACGGCUCUAGCGGAAAUAGGUGGUCUGGAGGGCGAGGUGCAUGCUCGCUAAGAAAAACGCGUCAAGGAUCUCCUUGUCGCUGCCAACGAGCACCAGACUCGCCUUGACCCUAAUCAUGUGUUCUCGAUGUCUCCGGCGCUCGAUCCCGAGGCUCACCAUGACCCCAGCGGCCGUCGGCAAGCUCAACAUUCCUCAGCUCCUCGCUCCUCUGGCCGGAGGGCUGAGGGAAGCGAAGACCGGCGUUCUCAGCGCCGGAGCGAGCCACGAGCAGUUUCUAGCCAGCACCGCAAGGCGGUCGGUGACCAAGGAGAUUCGGUCCACGAAGUUCCCCGCCAAGGCGUCGGGAAAGGUCCAACAGGCUUGUGCCCCCGAUCCGUCCCGAGCUGGCGGCUCGGAUCGGCCCACGCGUCCCUCACAGCGAGAACGAUGCUCGUCUCCACAACGACCUUCUGGCGCAGUCGGCCCUCCUGGAGGAGGAAGGUCCCAUUGGUCCGGCGUGCUUCAGCCCCUGGAUCCGAGGGGAGCCAUUCCCUACUGGCUUCACCCUUCCAUGCGACAUGGCAAAGUACAACGGCACUGCCAAGCCUGAAGACUGGCUGAUCGACUACACUACAGCGGUCGGCAUCACCCGGGGCAACAAGGGAGUAGUCGUCCGCUACGUGCCACUCAUGUUGACCGGCUAGGCUAGGACAUGGCUCAAUAGCGUACCAGCCGGGAGCAUCAACUCUUGGGUUGACUAAGGAGCCAUUCGUCCACAACUUCACCCGCACUUACAAGUGCUCUGGCCGGCCUCGCGAGCAAGCCAUGUGCGUUCAGAAGCUGGACGAGCCCCUUCACGAUUACGUCAUGCGCUGGACAGAGCUGCGCAACUCAUGCGAAGGAGUGCAUGAGGUACAAGCAAUCCAUUACUUCAUUGACGGUUGCCGAGACGGCACCCUGCUUAAGCACAAGCUCAUGUGCUCUAAGCCAACCUCUUUGGCGGUUCUCAUGGCCAAGGCGGACAAAUGCGCCACUGUUGAUUCCGCCAUGAGGAUCAAGAUCUGCACAACAGACAAGACCGCCCAACAGCCGGCUAUGUCUAAGCCGGCUGGCGACAACCGAGGCGGCCUGAACAACAAGCCCAAGGCGGAUCAACUUGAUUUGCGGUCUGGAAACAAGUAGAUGACCAACGUAGAGGAUGAGCAGUCGGUUGCUCAAGUCGGCGCUCAGCGACAGCGGACCGGCAAAAACACCAAGCAGCCUAAGCUCACCUUCGAGCAGAUGCUCGACGCGCCUUGCAAGAUGUAUACCGGGGAGAAGCCGGCCACCCAUACACUCUGGCAUUGCAGCUUCGCACAGCGUUUGUCCCGGGGUGAGGGUCCGCUGGCUCCCCCAGGGGCGGCCCUCGAGGUCCGGCUCCCGGGCCGGGUCCGGCUCCAGCUCAGCCGCCUCCCAAUGAUGAUCGUCUCCAUGAUUGGUUCCCCGAGAAGGACGGGGCCUACAUAGUCUUCACCAGUGAAGGCAACGACAAGCAUAGCCAGCGUCAACACUGGCACGAGGUGAAUGCCAUGGUCUCCUCGGUUCCCCAAUAAAUGCAUUGGUCUGAAAAGCCAAUUACAUGGAGCGGGGCUAACCAUCCUGCUGUGAUGCCAAACCCCGACAUAUACGCGCUCAUCCUCGACCCCCACCCUUGCAUCCAAGAGACUCACCUGCCGGUUCUCACGGGUGUUGGUUGAUGGCGGCAGCAGCAUCAACAUCCUCUACCGAGACACUCUGCUCAAUAUCUUAUAACACCAACAACUCAAGAAUUUAAGCUACAAUCAGAGCAAAAGAUAAUUUUUCUGGCAGACUAUUCUUUGAAAUAUUCAGUAUUGCUGCCUGGAAUAUCUGGAAAGAGAGGAAUAACUAUAUCUUCAAUCAGAUCAACCCUACUCAUAACUCCUAGAUUGAAAGGACUAAGGCUGAUCUUAAUUGGCUCAAGUAUAGAGUACCUACUGAUCUCAGUGAUUAUAUCACUUCCAUUGUGAACAAUCUUUAGACUAGCUUUAUCUUGCUCUUUCUCUUUCUUUGAGGAAAUUUCUCCUCUUCAUGUAAAUAUUACUUAUUAUAAUAUAGCAUAGUAGGAGCCUCUCCUACUAUUUUCCAGUCAAAAAAAGAAGGACCUGCAGGCGACCAUGACUGUCUUCCACGACAUCGUGUCGGGACAGUCCUGGUCGCCAAUCGGCAAAAUCCAGCUGGACAUCCUUUUCGGCGAGAAGGCGCAUUUCCGCCACGAGCCGGUCUAAUUCGAGGUGGUGGACCUCAACAACCCCUACCACACGCUGUUGGGAAGGCCGGCUUUGGCAAAAUUCAUGGCUAUCCCCAUUACGCCUACCUAAAGAUGAAGAUGUCGGGUCCCAAGGGCAUCAUCAUUGUUGCUGGUGACUACAAGAAGUCGCUCGAGUGCCCGUGCGACAGCAGCCGGCUGGCCGAGGGACUGGUGAUUGCCGAGGAGAAGAGGCAGCUUGACCGGCUCGUGGCUCAGGCUACCUAGCAGCCGGCAAUGCCCACUCCUCCAUCCCAAUCGGCCAGCGAGGGAUCGUUUGAACCGUCCAAGGAGACGAAGCAAGUGUCGCUCGACCCGGCCAACCCUAAGCAGUGCGUCACCAUUUGUGCCAACCUAAGCCCCAAAUAGGAAGGCGAGCUCAUCAACUUCCUCUAUGAGAAUCAAGAUAUCUUUGCAUGGUCCCCAAAGGACAUGCUGGGAGUCCCGAGGAAGUAUGCCAAGCACAAGCUUCAUGUGUGGCCGGAUGCAAAGCCGGUCAAACAACCUUUGCGCCGCUUCACCAAGGGGAAGCGACGCACAAUUGGAGAAGAGAUUGCCCGGCUUCUCGCAGCUGGCUACAUCCUGGAAGUUUUCCACCCGAACUGGCUGGCCAAUCCAGUCCUCGUGCUGAAGAAGAACAAGACAUGGCACAUAUGUAUCGAUUACACAAGCCUAAAUAAGGCAUGCCCGAAAGACCCCUUUUCCCUGCCACGGAUAGAUCAAGUGAUCGACUCCACGGCCGGCUGCGAAUUGUUGUCCUUUCUAGAGCUUGUUACGGCUACCACCAGACCAAGCUAGACUCGGCCGGUCCGCUCAAGACCUCCUUCAUCACACCUUUUGGAGCCUACUGCUACACGACAAUGACGUUCGGCCUGAAGAACGCCGGCGUGACCUUUUAGCGUUGCAUGAAACAAUGUCUCCUGUUGCAAAUUGGCAGGAACAUUCACGUCUACACCGACGACAUCAUCGUCAAGACCAAGUAGCACUUCAGUUUGCUUGACGAUCUGCGGGAUACCUUCGCCAACCUGCGCGAGUACAAGAUCCGGCUCAAUCCGGAGAAGUGCGUCUUUGGAGUUUCAGCCGACGAGCUCUUGGGUUUCUUCGUGUCGGCUCGCGGCAUCGAAGCUAACCCCGAGAAGAUCAGAACCAUCAAGCGCAUGGCCAAGCCGGCUCAACUCCUCCACGUCUAGAAGUUUGCCGGCUGCCUGGCAUCCCUCAACCGGUUUGUCAGCCGGCUGGGCGAAAAGGCGCUUCCGCUCUAUCAGCUGAUGCAGAAGACAACCAAAUUUAAGUGGAAUGAUCAAGCGAACGAGGCUUUCCGCAACCUCAAGCGCGUGAUCUCCAGCAUGCCAAUCUUGGCCGCGCCGGCAGAGAGGGAGCCCAUCCUCUUAUACAUCACAGCAACCACACGCAUGGUCAGUGUGGUCUUGGUUGUGGAGCGCAAGGAGGAGGGAAAGUUGCUGCUGAUUCAGCGCCCUGUCUAUUAUCUGAGCGAGGUCUUGUGUGCCUUCAAGCAAAACCACCCCCACUAUCAGAAGAUGUGCUAUGGCGUGUACUUUGCCGCAAAGAAGCUGAAGCAAUACUUCCAGGAGCACGCCAUCACGGUAGUGAGCACGGCUCCACUUUCAGAAAUCAUGGGCAACUGUGAUGCCACGGGCUGGAUCGCCAAGUGGUCCAUCACUAUGGCCGACCACGACAUCCGAUACGAGCCGCGCACCGCCAUCAAGUCAGGUGGUGGUUGACUUCCUCGUCGAUUGGGCCGAGACCCAGUUCUUGCCGGAUUGGCGGAUGCACUUCGAUGGAUCGAAGAUGCAAACUGGCCUCGGAGCCGACAUUGUCUUGACGUCUCCGAAAGGAGACCAACUCAAGUAUGCUCUCCAUAUACACUUCGCCGCCUCCAACAACGUCGCCGAGUAUGAAGCGCUUGCUCACGGCCACCGACUCGCUAGAGAAAUUGGCAUCCGGAGGAUUCUUUGCUUUGGUGACUUGGAUCUUGUGGUGCAGCAAGUCUUUGGCGAGUGGGAUGCUAGGGACGCCACCAUGGCCAGCUAUCGCUUCCUCAUCCAGCAGCUCAGUGGCCCUUUCGAGGGCUGCGAGUUCCAUCAUGUCCCCCAAGUGGACUACGAGGCGGCUGAUACAUUGGUGAAAAUUGGAUCCACAAGCCAAGCAAUCCCGGUCGGCGUCUCCCUCGAGCAGCUGCACGAGCCCUCCAUCAAGUCGUCUCUAGAGUCGGCAUCAAUCUUCGUGUCGGUGGAGCCAUCCGUCCCAAUGACUCUGGGUUCGGAGAAACCGCCAGAAACGUCAUCUCCGCCGGCUCUGCUCGCUUCGACGGCACUACAAGGAAUAUGUUAAUACACGAUGCUAUAUUUUCGUCGCUACAUCGUCACGGUUUUUAGUUUACGACGAUCUCACGACGAAAAACCAAGCAUCGAAAACGGAGCGUCAGAAAUGAACAACACUGACGUUUUGAUCGAAAUCGUCGUAACUUCUACGACGAUUCCUGGAUCGUCGUAACCUUUACGACGAUCCUAAAUCAUCGUUGACAAUAUAACCCAGUCCUACGUGGCAGUCCUACGUGGCAAAGUUACGACGAAAUCAAAACAUCAUAGUUGAAAUCAGCCCAACCCAUUUCAAUUGAUCACAUGGGCUGGUUUUUAUUUUUUUGGGCUUUUUCUUAUUGGACUUCUUUUGGGCCUUAGCCUAUUUACAGACACUUUAGUAUGGUUUUCUUGAAUUUUUUUUAUCAUUAUAAUUUGGGCCCUGGCCUUUUAGUGCCCAAAUACAUUUGGUCCAAUUUCAGUUUUGGCCUUUUUUCAUUUUUGAAUUCAGCAACUUUUUGUUUCAGAACUUGGUUUCAUUUCUAUUUGUUGGGCCUUAUCAACCCAAUUAUUUGUCCAAUAUUCAACCCAACACUAUUUUAUAUUCAAAUCAAGAAAACUCUAAGUCAAAUUAAAAUCAUCCAUCAUAUAACAUCACAUAGUACAUCUCCCAGGUUUACAUAACACAAUAACUCAUCUCAUGAAUACAUUUCUUUACACAGGAAUAUAGCAAGAACAGACAGAAUUGCACAAUAGAACAAUGGAACAUCUGCUAGCAAUGGAGUUCAUUCCACUCUCCUAUGAGACAUAGGUUCAGAAAUUUUUAUGUUGUGUUGAUUUGAAUGUCCCAAGUAGGCAUCAUCGAAUCUUCUCACCACUUUCCUAGCAACAGAAAAAGAGACAAAAGAAAAAACAUUAUGAAGUUGAAAGAGAUAGGCAGAUUCAUUAUCCCAACCAAAUUCUAGAAAUGAGUGUAAGCAUGUGAAUACAAAGGGGGCAAUAAGCACCUUUUGUCUCCUGGACAAUAUUAUGAAGUUUGAUUACUGAGUGUGCCCUCCUAGGUUGAUUACUGUGUGCCCAUAGUGUAAGUUUGAAAAUGACAAGAAACUAGCUUGAUACGCAAACAGACCAAUUUAGGCUGAUUACUGAGUGUGCCCUCCUAGGUUGUGGAAAAAGGAUAGCCAUAAACACGCUUGCCAGCAGGCAAGCAAAGAAAUGUUUUAACAAGAUUCCAAGAAAUGCAAUUUAACACCGUUCACUUCAAAACAAAUAUUGCCAGAUUUAUGAGAAUCAGGAAAAAGAUGUAACAAAUCAAAGAUUUAAGAAUUAUUAAGCAAAUAUGGUAUGCACGGUAGUUCAUUCCCUACCGCAGGUUCCUAACUAGUUCAAAGAUGUGACCAGAAGAUAAGUACCUCCUAUGGGAUUAAUAGUGCCUAUAUGUUGAACAUCUGCAUUUGGCAACGACGGACUACCUGCAGAACGUUCUGGAGGCAUGGCACCAAAGGACUGGGGACGAAAAUGACAUGAGCUAGUAUUACAAAUGAGCAGAAUAACAGAAAUGCAUUAUAAAAUGAAAAUGCGUAGUUAAAUGACAUGAGCUAGUAUGACAAAUGAGCAGAAUAACAUAAAUGCAUUAAAAAUAAAAUUAAAAUGCACGUGAACUUGUCCUUUUAAAUAUAGGGUUAGUUGUCCUUUUAAAUAUAGGGCUGGGACAAAAAAUUCCAUGAUAAUCAGGCUGCAGGCUCAAGUGCAAGACAAAAUUGACCCUACCUAUUCUAAUUGAUUUUCAUAGCUCACAUAGUUUGUGGACCAAGCACUAGUGGACUUUCUGCAUGGUCAUGCUGUGGGUACCUUGCCAACACAUGUUGGGCUGCCAAAUGGAGAUAUCCUGGUGUGUUUACCUGAAGUACACCCUCUAUAAACAAAUAUAACACCUUUAAGAUCACUAAACUGGUGAUCUGAAAGGUCUAAGGGACCAAACAACACACACGACGCACACACCCAAGGCAAGAUACAAAGAUGCCGGGCACCGACACAUCAUCCACCGACAACGAUGUAUAACGAUGUAUGGUUCAAUGAUAUUCUAAUUCUUGACACAUGGUGUCUGAAUGAGACGUGAGCUAUGACCAUUGCAUAUGUAGUAUUAUAUAUAUUAUAUUACAUUCUAUUAUUAGCCUUGCUUCAGCUUCAGGAAACUCUUUCUUCUCACAACGGAAACUAACUGUCAGGGCAACACAGCUCGGAAUAUGUUUCUCGUUCUAAAUUUCCUGUAGCUAAGUAUUGCUAUUAGGGAUAUGAUUCAAUUAUUUAUGAAUAUCAACUUAUAUAUACAUAUGCGCCUUGAUUAAAAAAGGGACUGAAGACUAACAAAGUAUGUGAAGGCAGCCAAUUUGAGGUCAUAUAUAUGUCCUGCUGCACUUGUGCUGCGAUGAACUCCCUUACUCUGUCACUCACAUGUAAUCUUUUUCAUGCACUCUCCUUCAACACAAUGUAUACUCUACUCAUAGCUAAUUGCAGUUUUAUCUGACUCACGCUUUUCUCUUAUCCUUGUUUACAUCAUGUGGUAAAUAAAUAUUCACAAAUCUGCAAAAGUGUCCGGCGUUUCAAGAAAAUCCAGUGUUAAAAAAUUGUUAAUUCUUUAAUUACAGAAAAACAAAGUUGCAUACGAUCCACGGGGAGCUCUCGUCAUAUGCCUGUCCUAUCAUGACAUUCUAUUUUUUCAAUAAAUUUCAAGACAUUCUAUUUCUGCUGGUAAGAUGCCAAGAGACUGGAACAGUUUAUCUUCCUGUCCUAGUUGCACGCAUGCAUCUGGUUCAGUUAAUAUGCAAUUAUUGUAUGUUCUUGCGGCAGGCUAAAUUGUAUAAAAAAAUUCCACAUCAUCUAUGUGCCCAAAUUCUCUACUAGGACCGACUGACACUGCAGGAUCCAUCGUCCAAUCGGUUCAAAGUGAUCCGAUGCUCCACAAAUCAUGCAGAGAUCAAUCAAUUAAAGAAGCAAUGCCCUAUAAGUAGAGGAUAUUUUUCCAAGAAAGAGGAUACGUGGGGAACAAGAGCAGCAGGCCAAGAAUUAUUAAAGAAGAAUAGGGUAUGUACCUCUGCAAGAUUCUUGCCGGUGACCAUGCCGAUGCAAGUGCACAGAUACUGGUUGAGGACGGCGGAGAAGUUGAAGAAGCGCACCAGCAGCACGAGGUCGUACCCGAAGCGAGCCCACUUGCCGAGAUCGAUGUACCCCACCGAGAUGAGCAGCGCCGUCCCGAGGGUACGGGACACAUGGUGCCGGCCAUCUCCGCCAGCGAGGGACUCGACGCCCUGCUCAGCCUCCAUCGAUCGCGGCAGCUAGCUAGCUAGCUGCACCUGCAUGGCUCGGAGCAACCAUUCCCGGACCGGAGAUACCAGCAGAGCCAGUCGACCAAGUUCACCGGAGACACCUCAGUAUUCACUCUCCAGUCUUCACCGGGGAGGAGCUUCCUCAAGCAGCAGGUGGGAGGAGGCGUACGUGGUCUGCUUCUGCUGAUGCGAAGGCGAAUCGAAUGGGCGGCCAUGGACGAAAGGCCCUGACCAGGACGCCCCUCCCGCAAACUCGGAUCUACAAGGAGAACAAGCGGCCGAUAGAUCGACGCACGCAUCAGGACAGAUCGGAGAGGGAGGGGGAUACCUCUGAUCCCCCCAGAGCCGCGGCCGCCUGCUCCGGCUCGGCCGCCAUGGCGAUCUGGGCUGCUGCUGCUGCGAGGAAGAGGAGGGCGAGCAGAGGGUUACGGAGGUGAUGGCGCGGGGUUUGGGUGCUCUUCAUCGCCGGUCUGCGCGGUGAGCAGGUGGUGGUGCACGGGCGCGGGUGGCGAGAUCGGCUUGCGGUAGGUGGCGGCGGCGAGGUCUGGAACUCUUUUUCUGAAUCGGGGGAGGGGGAGAGGGGACCGACGGGAGGAGUGGAGUUAGGUUUUGGGCUGCGGAUGGGUCGAUGGAUUGAUGGAUGGAUGGUUGGAUAUGUGCCAUGUCAUCAAUCCAUGGCACAAACAUCUCCACCAAUGAAAAUUAAGCUUACGUAAAUGCUGGAACGACGACAACGCGUACACCACCGCCUUCAUUCGUCGUUGCGGAGGCAGCCGCGGAUCCUAGCGAGGAAGGAGGUUGCUUCGAACCUAACGAGCGGGGGGAGAAGGAGGACGGGGAGGCAGGUCGUUCAAGUGGUGGGGAGGGGAGAGGCUGGGAGCGACGCCCACCAUGAUCGAUGACAACACGACGAGGUAUGAGGGAGCGACGCGGGGCGGUGGGUGGCGGCGCCGAUGUGGUGGAAGGGAUUCGAUCGGGGAGCUAGCGAGGAAGGAGCUCGGGAGGAAGGGAGGAAGAAGAAGAGAGGAAGAAGGGAGGCGGGGGUGGAUGAGAAAUGCGAGGAGGACAAAACUAGGGUUUCAUCUAUAGAGUAGAGGGCUGCAGUUGUAUCCGGGAUCAUCCAAUGGUCCUUAAUGCAUGAUCCGCGUGACAUCCUCAUGGGCCAAUCAGAACGUAGUAAAACACUAUGAAUACGCUAUGACCAUCUAAAUUGGUUGUAAUUAACUCAAAAUAAGUUCUUUUUCAGAAAAAAAAUUUCUAUUUUCGAGUGACAAAUAUGGUUUUGUGUGAAGGACCUUGUUCACAUCUGAUUUUGUCUUGGAAGAAACACAUUAUUAAGAUCUAUUCAAAUGAAUUUUUCAUUUUCUUUGGACAAAAAAUUCAUUUUCCAUCUUUCGAGUGCUCAAAAUGAGUUUUCCGGUUCAUGACAGGAUCCAUGGAGUGGUACACGAUCCGAGAUUUGAGACGCGGAGGGGAGGGGAGGAGGAGGGCGCGGUCCGUACCUAGAGGGCGGUGGAGUCGUGGGCGAGCUUAUAGUCCUUGUAGCUGCCACGUCAUCGAUCCAUGCCACAACCAAUUCCACCAAUUAGAAUAAAGCAUAUGUAGUUGUAUUUUUCUUAUUGUUUUGCUUCUACUUUUUCACAUGAUAACAUCUAAAUAUGAUCUUUUGGAGUAGACAAGCUUGCAUCUUGCAAUUAUAAACAAUGUUGCUAAAGGGACUUUUCAUUUUCUUUGCACAAAAAAUCCAUUUUUCAUUUUUCAAGUGGCCAAAGUGAGUUUUUUUUGUGAAGGACCUACCAAAUAUUUGUUGCAAAAUUGGAUCAAAUCAUUUUUCUAAAAUUUUAAGUCUUAUUAAAUGUACAAUUUAACAAAUGGUUUGGUGCCAAAAGCUUUUGAUCCACCUAGACCAUUUUUUUGAUUCACUUGGAAGCAGGUCAAAUUUGAACUACAACUCUUUGAUAGAAUGCUCUUUAAUUUUCCCAAAAAUCAUUUCUAGGUACAUAAUUAUCUAUUUAAUCAUAGAAACACCAAAAUAUUUGCAAGAAUCAAGCCCUAGCUACGAACGGUCAUACCCACCGUUUGAACCGCAUUUUGAAACACACAUGAAAAAUUCUACAAAAAAUUGAAAAACGUUCGCAUUGUGUCAUUAUAUGUGACCAACUUACCAGGAAAAAUAAUAAAGUUGUAAUAUGGCAAUUAUUUUAAAAAAGUGUUCUCAUGAAUGGGCUAUCGUGUGUGAAGAUUCAUGGCUUUCAAGCCAAAUGAUCAAUCUUAUGGCCACAUUCAUGGCAUAGUUUGUUCAAAUGAUCUAAUAUUAUGCACAAGGGUGUGUAUUGGAAUGGCAAACAAUGUUCCUUAAGGAAGUUUUCAUGUUCCUUGUAUGAAAAAAUCAUUUUCCAUUUUUCAAGUGCCCAAAAUGAGUUUUUUUGUGAAGGACCUACCGUAUAUUUGUAGCAAAAUUAGACCAAAUCAUUUUUCUAACAUACUAGGACAUACUUAAUGUACAAUUGAUCAAAUGGUUGGGUGUUAAACACUUUUAUCGACCUCUCGUGAAAAAGACAAAUUUUCGUUGAAUCAGCUGAAAGCGGGUCAAAUUUGAACUGCAGCUACAUUAUAGUUUGAUGUUUAUUUUUUCUAAAAAUCAUUCCUAGGUACACAAGUAUCUAUUUAAUCAUAGAAACACCAAAAUAUUUCCAAGAUUCAAUCAUUAGGUAGGAACGGUCAUACCCGCUGUUUUGACCGCGUUUUUAAAUGGCCAUGAAAAAUUUGAAACAAAUUCAAAAAAAUGGAAAACCAUUGCAUUGUGUCAUUAUAUGUGACAAAGUUACCAGUAAAAAUAAUAAACUAGUAAUACGACAAUUAUUUUAAAUAAGUGUUCUUAGAAAUGGGCUAUCAUAUGUGAAGAUUAAUGGCUUUCAAGCCAAAUGAUCAAUCUUAUGGUCACAUUAAUGACAUAUUUUUUUGAAAUGAUAUAACAUUAUGCACAAGGGUGCAUAUUGGAAUGGCAAACAAUGUUGAUUAAGGAAGUUUUAAUUUUCCUUCUAUGAAAAAUUCAUUUUUCAUUUUUCAAAUGACCAAAAUGAGUUUUUUUAUGAAGGACGUACCAUAUAUUUGUUUCAAAAUUGGACCAAAUCAUUUGUAUAAAAUACUACUCCAUAUUUAAUGUACAAUUGACAAAAUGGUUGGAUGUUAAAAACUUUUAUCCACCUCUCGUGAAAAAGACAAAUUUAUGUCGAUUCAGCUGGAAGUGGGUUAAAUUUGAUCUGCAACUGCAUUAUAGUUUGCUCUUUAUUUUUCCCAAAAAUCAUUUGUAGGUAUAUAAGUAUCUAUUUAAUCAGAAAUACAUGGUGUGGUGCCUUGACGUUGAGGUUUGGAUGGUGGUCGAGGGCCCAACUCCAGAGCGCAUGAACUUGCAUGCCAGCCGCAUGGUCACCGCCUGACCGUUGCGUUGCCACGCGUUCUAGGUGGAAUAUGCAUGUCUAGUGGGUUGGACAAUCCCUCGGUAGGUUUUAGCAAGAAGAAUACAAUAGAAGAAUCUCACGAGGAGAUUGAACUAAGCUCAAACAUGAAUUAGCACCCAAGUGUUUGAUUAGCGGUGCGGGUAAUUCACAUAGACAAUGGGCCUAAAUUUUGGCUGAGGAUGAUCAUCUACUAAGGACACUCUAUUGGCAAAUUUUUAGCUCAAAUGGAUGAACCUAGGUGGCACUUGCUUUGCAAAGUAACACACUGUGCAGAAAUAUGAAUGUUGAAGUUGGGAUCAAAUUAAUGAAUGGAUUGAGCUGAAAUUUGGUGUAUGAUGUUAAUUUGGGCAUAUGAAGGCACUGUAUAAAAAUUAUACCAUUUGGACAUGCCAAAGUGACACUUCCUUCACAAUGUGCCAAUCUGGACAGAAAAUGGUAAUUAAAACUGGGCUCACAUAGAUGAUUGGAUUGAGAUGAAAUUUGGAGGAGGACGAUAAUUUGGGCACAUUAAGGUACUAUAAAAAUUUCAUAANUUAAAUGUGCUAAAAUUUGGUGGAGUAAGGUUAUAUGGUCAAUGUCAUCCCGUGGUAAAUUUUCAUCAACUAUAAAGCAAUAUAAAAUGUAGUUGCUUCACAAAAUGAUAAUAUUACCAGAAACAAAGAUUGGAUCAUGAGCUCACAUGGAUUGUGAGAUGUGGCUACAAUUUUAUGGAGAGCUAUGUUUUGGGCACAUUGAUGAUGUGGAAAAAAUUCAACUCAUCAGGAUAUUCCUAUCUAGUACUUCCUUCACAAAGCUAUUAGCUGAACACAAACUUUGGAUAUUUGCUGAGAAAGAUUUACUAGGAAAAUCGUUACAAAAGUUUUCAUGAGGCAAUGAUUUGGAUAGGAAAGAGUGCCCAAAAAAUAUGAGGGUAAUCAAAGAAAUAGAAAUAGCACUUCCUUCACGAAUUGCUAUUCUGAACAAAUAGGAAAAUGAAUAUUGCUGAAUUAUUUUUGAACUAUGGAAGGAAGGGUUUUCACAUAUAUGAGAAAUAUAUGAUCCAAAGUAUUUAUGAGAAUUUUUCGAGAAUUUUUGGAAUGAUAGAAUAGUAGGUUGCUUCACAAACUAGGAUGAGGUGGGAUAUAAUGGACCCACGAGUGACAUGUCAACAUAGUUAGAACAUGUUACGACAUUUUUAAAUCGUCGUAAAAGUUAUGACGAUCUCAUCUUAUGCGGUUACGACGUUUUUGACUCACAUCGUCGUAAUUUAUAUGUAGAUUUGAUCCCCUCAAAUGGUUUACGACGAUCUCGGAUGAAAUCGUCAUAGAUUUAUGACGAAUUCAUCAACGACAUUUUAAAAAACAUCACAUAUGAGCAUAUUUCUUGUAGUGCGGCUCCGACAUUCUUGCCGGCUCCAGCUGCUUUAACGGCUCCAGCAACUCUGCCAGCUACACCAAACCUCGAACCCAGUCGGUUAAACACCCAGUGGGUGGCCGUCAUGGAGGUUGACGGCAUGCCAGCUACCACGAUGGCACCAGAGAUAGAAGGUAUCGAACCUGGGAUCUCAAUGACAAACUUGGGGGCUUCAGAUGCUCCUGAGCUUCAAGCCGAGCCGGAGUCGGCUCUUGUGUCGGCUCCCUCAUGGGCACAACCCAUCCUGGCUUUCCUUCUUCGCGGCGAUCUUCCUCAAUACGAGGCGGAGGCAAGGCAGAUUCAACAACGAUCUCCCGCAUACGCCAUCAUCAACCGCGAGUUGGUUCAACGUAGCGUAACCGGCGUGUUUCAACGUUGCGUCGAGUCAGAAAAACGGCAAGAAAUCCUCAAGGAUAUACAUCAGGGUGAGUGCGGGCAUCAUGCCGCCUCUAGAACCCUGGUGGCCAAGGCGUUCCGCCAUGGAUUUUAUUGGCCUACGGCCCUCGAGGAGGCCACAACUUUGGUCGACAAGUGUGAAGGCUGAAAGCGCUUCAGCACGAAGAGCCACUUGCCGGCCUCAGCCCUCAAGACCAUCCCCCUGUCAUGGCCGUUUGCCUUCUGGGGGCUGGAUAUGGUGGGACCAUUCAACACCGCUCGAGGCGGCAUGACGAAUCUCCUGGUAGCCGUCGACAAAUUCACCAAGUGAAUUGAGGUCAGGCCAAUCCAAAAUCUUGACGGUCCCACAGCCGUCAAGUUCAUCAAGGACAUCUACAUCCGCUACGGCAUCCCCCAUAGCAUCAUCACCGACAACGGCACCAACUUUGCCAAGGGUGGAAUGGCGCUCUUUUGUGCCAAAGAGGGCAUCCGGCUCGAUCUGGCGUUGGUGGCGCUCCCGAAGUGAAAAGGCCAGGCGGAAAGGGCAACCGGCCUAAUCCUGGGCGGCAUCAAGCCCAAACUCGUGGCGCCGUUCAUUAGGUCAGCCGGCUGCUAGAUUGAAGAGAUGUCGGUUGUGUUUUGGAGUCUUCGCACCACGCCGAACCGAUCAAUCGCCUUCACACCAUUCUUCCUUGCAUACGGGUCUGAGGCAAUCAUCCCUGCGGAUGUCGAGUUUGACUCGCCUCGAGUCACCAUAUACACGGAGGCUGAUGCAAAAGAGGCAAGAGAAGAUGACAUCAAUCUACUUGAGGAGGCAUGGGAGCAGGCCCUAGCUGGACGGCUACAUACCAACAGAAGCUGAGGCACUACCACAGCAAGAAGAUCAGUCCUCUCUCCUUUCGUGAGGGGGACCUGGUCCUCAGAAGAAUCCAGCGAACAACCGGCCAGCACAAGCUCUCUUCCCCAUGGGAGGGACCCUUCAUCAUCAUUAAGGCCUUGCACAACAAUGCAUACUAUCUGAUAGAUGCCCAAAAGCCGCAGAAGUGCAACAGAGAUGACUCCGGUGAAGAAAGAGAGCGUCCAUGGAACGCGGCAUUGCUUCGCCCGUUCUACCGCUAGAAUCAAGAGAGAAAAACGUGUACGUAUGUAUCCUUUACCCUUUUCGGGAUUUCAAUGAAUGCAAUGGGUGCUCCAAGUCAAUACUUGGGCCAUACCUUUUUCAAGUUCAUAAAGAGAAUUGUCAAUACAAGAGUAGGCUCUCCGGUCCGACUCCUCGGGCUCGGGGGCUCACUAGCCGGCCCGAGCUUCUUCCUUGGUUGUAGUCGAAUAUAUAAGGCACGGCGAAACGAAACCCUUACUACCCCGCACAAGCUACACACUAGCUCCCGGCUGUCCAGCUAACGGGAUAGUGGGAAGGAAGGCCGGCUGCAUGCAGAAUUCAACUACGAAGAGGUCGCCGGCUCAGGUUAGUUUGAUCACUUCUGAUCUUAAUUUUUAGCCGGCCUACGCCGACUCGCUCCAAGUCUAAGUAUCCUUUAGGCUUCCAAAAAUCCGAGGCCGAUGCCUUCGAAGGCAGAAACUUCGUCCCAGUCACAGACCGGCUCCCAGCUGUCGGUCUGGCGGGGUGGAUGCUGGAGGGGGCAAGUUAUUGGAUAGAUGGAGGCCAAAGUGAAACAGAAGACAGAAAAGCAAGCCGGCAAGCACACAUGCACAAUGCAAAAUAGAUAAACAUAUGUUACAUUCAAAAGCAUUUAAAGGCCCACAACCUGAGUUCAUUACAUAAACACCCCCGGUGGAUGGAACUAUUGGACUAAUAAUAGAAGUGCAGAAAAAUGAAAAAAGCUUCAGUUGGUGGCGGCUCCACCCGUGGCUCCGGCGGCACCAGUGGCACUUGAGGAGGAGGCGUCGACAUUGCCAGCUCCACCUGAGGUAGAGGCGUCGUCGUCCGCCCGAGCGCCUUCGGCACCGUCCCUUGCGACGGAGUCCGCGACCUCAAAUGCCGUCUCAACAGAGCUUCCAUCGGCAUCGUGGAGAUGCAGCUGGAACGGAUCCUCCGGGAUCACGAUGCCGUCAGCUCGCGUUCUAGGCUGAACUCAUUCCAGGCCGCAAAGGAUGCGAUGUCGCUGGCCCACACCUGCAAAUCGAGUUUGACGGCUGCCAGCUCCGCCUCUGUGCUGGCGCGUUCCGCUCUGAGCCGGCCCAAGUAUAGGUUUUUAUACCAUGACUUGGCCAGGUGGAGCGCCAUGUAUGCUCCAGCGCGUGCGGCCCAUGCCCGCUAGGCGUCCAGACGAGAGCUUCCGGCUUCAAGCCAGCGGGACAGCCAGCUCAUUGAUGUCGGCUCCACCGCAUCAGGCCAAAGGGCCUUCACCAUCGCCAGCCCGACAUCCUGGAGCCGGUUCAGAGAGUGCGCCAGCUCGCGCAAACGGGCCUUGGCGCUGGUGGAUAUGUCCUCCACGGUCCAGCCAGCGGUGGCGUCCACCUCACUGCCGGCAGCACGACAUUCGUCGCAACUGGCCUCCGCGGCUGUUUCCACCGCCUCCCGCUUCCCUAGGAAGAGUUCUGCGGAGCAGGAAUAGGGGCGCGGCGUGAUCAGAAAGAGAAAAGAAAAACCAAUGACGUUGAAAAAGAAGAUAAGGCAAAGAAGUUUUACGAUUGAGGUGAAUAUCAACCUCGCCCGCUUCCUCUAGAGCCUCGCGGUCUCGAACUAUGCGCUCUUGACCAACUCGGCAUGCACCUCCUUUAGGGUGGCAUCCUUCUGCUCCUUCUCCUCAAGGUGCAGCUUCUCCAAGCACUCCAGGUUGGCAGCAUGGGAGGCCUCCUUCUGCUUCAGGGCGUCGGCAUGGGCGGCGCGCAGCGGCUCUAGCUCUGUAUGAUGGGCCGCCUCGCGGUCCUUCUUCUCCGUCUGGAGAAGAUCCACCUCCUGGCGAAGUCGGUCGUCUUCACCUCGCAAGGCAGUGCUCUCCGAGAUGGAUUUAUCCAGCCGGCUCUGAAGGUCGCUGGUCCGGCCCUCGGCCUCUUGGAUCCGGGCCAGCAGCGUGUUGUGAGCCUGCGCUUGGCUGUUGUAAAGAUCCUAUGGCGAAAACAAGCAAAGAAAAUCAAGAGUAAUACUCGNUCAGGGCGUCGGCAUGGGCGGCGCGCAGCGGCUCUAGCUCUGUAUGAUGGGCCGCCUCGCGGUCCUUCUUCUCCGUCUGGAGAAGAUCCACCUCCUGGCGAAGUCGGUCGUCUUCACCUCGCAAGGCAGUGCUCUCCGAGAUGGAUUUAUCCAGCCGGCUCUGAAGGUCGCUGGUCCGGCCCUCGGCCUCUUGGAUCCGGGCCAGCAGCGUGUUGUGAGCCUGCGCUUGGCUGUUGUAAAGAUCCUAUGGCGAAAACAAGCAAAGAAAAUCAAGAGUAAUACUCGGCCCGGCUAACUCUCAGUCGGCCUGACUCUCGGGGGUACACCUAGUGGGUGCGCUAGCGUGCCCCCACUGAAAGAGAAAGAAGAAAAUCAAGCUGCCGCAAGUAAGACUUGGCCCGACUAACUGUCAACCGGCCUGACUAUCGGGGGCUACACGUAGUGGGUGCGCUAGCGCACCCCCACUGAAAGAGAAAGAAGCAAAAUAUCAACCGAAAGGUGCGGGAAUUGAAUACUUACCGCAGUCCACUCCUCGAGGCGGUUCAGGUCUUCCUUGGCCACCAGAGCCGCGUGCGCCACCUUGUCGCAGCUGCGGGAGAACGCGGCCACCAAUGCAGGGACCCCACUUAGCAUGGCUCCAGGAGGCAAGGUCGCGCGUCUGGCCUUGGCCGCGUUCCAGGACUCUAGGGGCUGGCUCCUGGAGAAGGAGCCGGCUCCGGAGGCGAACGGGCCACUGCCGGAUACGACUAUGGUGCCGUCUCCUGGCGGCGCGCUUUUGGUCGGCUCCUUCGAUGCAUCGAUCCGGUGAGGCGCCUGCGGACCCUCAAUCCACACGGUCUUGUCCUUCACCAACAGAACCGUCUCUGUGUCGGGUGGUGGGAUCUUUGCUCCCAGUGCAUCCAUUGUCACCUCCGGUGCGGUGUCCGCUCCAGCAUUGGGCGUGUCAGGCACCGCAUCGAGAUCUACCUGCGUGGAUGCAGGCUCUGGCCCGGUGAUCUUGGCGGUCUCGUCUGCGCCCGCGCCGGCCCGAACCGGUUCGCUGGUCGGGGCCUCCACACUCACCAGCGAGGCAGGAUCAUGCUUCGACUUGGACCGUCUCUCCUUGGUGGCCAGCUUCUCGGGAGGGCCGGCUGCGCGCUUGCUGGGUUGGCUCUGGCUCGCAGCCACCUUCCAGGUCGCAUCCUGCCAGGGGCGUUUCUCUAGCUCGAUCAGCGCCUUCUUGGCGGCGUCAUCCUCGACCCAAGCGGCCCGCUCUGCUGUGGUGUCGUCAUCUUCCUCCGUCGUUUGGGCCUCCCUGCUAGCCAUAAACUGGUAAGGAAGGCUUCCUGCCCAAGAAUCAAGAAAGGGGGAGGAAAGGAGGAGUGCAAUUACUUACCCUGCAACGACGGGAACCGGCCGUCUGCCAACAGUGACCCUCUGCUUCUUCGAGCCACCCCCGUAACCUCCAGCCGAAGGUCGUGUAGUAGUUCGUUUGGGGGCCAGCUUGGUGGUAGCAAUUUGCUUGCCCUUCCAUCAUGCUCCUUUGCCCUGCACGGCCGGCUCGCGGGCUGCUCGAGGUUGCCGCGUCAGGGGAGGGCUGGAGACCUCCUAUAGCUCUUCUAGGUCUUCCACGUCGGCUGCAUCGCGUAAGGGAGACGACACCUCGUCAUUAUCCGUCCAGUCAAGCAACACAGAUGCUAGAAAAUCACCGAUCGGCUCGGUGCCCUCCAACUCCGCCACCCCUUCCACAUCUUCGGAUGCGGAAGAUUGAAGCUCCACCUCGUCCUCAUCCUCGAUUUCGAUGGGGUUCGACACCUCCACGUCGGCAGCCGGCUUCCAUUAGACUUGCUGGCGCUCGAAUAGUUGAGGGUGUAGCCGGCGUCUGGCGUCAGAUGCCGGAUAGAAAUCAAAGAAAAACAAGAAACAUAAUCAAUGAAGGAACAUACCGUCGGAGCUGGAUGGCUUCAUUCGUAAGGGGCCAUGCCCCACUGCCACUCACCAGCUUCAUCCAUGAAGGCAGAGGAGAUCAAGUUCACCUGAUGGGCCACCUUGCCGGCUCGGAAGUUCUUCGUCGAGAGCCGGCAUGGAUCAUGUCGGCCACUUAUAUGUCUCAAACGUAUCUAUAAUUUUUGAUGGUUUCACGCUGUUAUCUUGACUUCUUUGGUUGUUUUGUGUAUCUUUUUAUAUCUUUUUGGGACUAACUUAUUAAUUCAGUGCCAAGCCCUAGUUCCUGUUUUUUCUGUGUUUUUGACUCUUAUCAGAUCUGAUUUUGGAACGGAGUCCAAACAAAAGAAAAACCCCAAAAUGAUUUUUACCCGAACGGAGGAAGAUGAGGGGGCCAUUGGGCCAAGCCAGGUGGGCUCCAGGGAUCCCACAAGCCCCCACUCUGCCACCAGGGGGAGGCGGCGGGGUCAGGGCUUGUGGCCUCCCUGGCCACCCCCUGACCUAGAUCCUUGGCCUAUAUAUUGUUGGGGAACGUCGCAAGGGAAACAAAAAUUUUCCUACGCGCAUGAAGACCUAUCAUGGUGAUGUCCAUCUACGAGAGGGGAUGAGUGAUCUACGUACCCUCGUAGACCGUACAGCAGAAGCAUUAGAGAACGCGGUUGAUGUAGUGGAACAUCCUCACGUCCCUCGAUCCGCCCCGCGAACAAUCCCGCGAUCAGUCCCACGAUCUAGUACCGAACGGACGGCACCUCCGCGUUCAGCACAUGUACAGCUCGACGAUGAUCUCGGCCUUCUUUAUCCAGCAAGAGAGACAGAGAGGUAGAAGAGUUCUCCGGCAGCGUGACGGCGCUCCGGAGGUUGGUGAUGACCUUGUCUCAACAGGGCUCCGCCCGAGCUCCGCAGAAACGCGAUCUAGAGGAAAAACCGUGGAGGUAUGUGGUCGGGCAGCCGUGGGAAAAGUCGUCUCAAAUCUGCCCUAAAACCUCCGUAUAUAUAGGUGGGAGGGAGGGGGGCCUUGCCUUGGGGUCCAAGGACCCUCAAGGGGUCGGCCGAGCCAAGGGGGAGGACUCUCCCCCCCCAAACCGAGUUGGACUAGGUUUGGUGGGAAGGAGUCCCCCUCCCUUCCCACCUCCUCCCUUUUUUUUUNNNNNNNNNNNNNNNNNNNNNNNNNNNNNNNNNNNNNNNNNNNNNNNNNNNNNNNNNNNNNNNNNNNNNNNNNNNNNNNNNNNNNNNNNNNNNNNNNNNNAUGGAGGGUUCUUCGUAGACAUCAACGACGACGAGUAGCUGGUGUCCCAGCUACGAUCUGGCCCUACGUUAGAUCUGUAGUAUAGUCAGGCCAUGUGCCUUCUAGUUGCCCUGUCUGUACUCAGACAGUUUAAAGUCUUCCGCUGGCUUGUAACUGAAUGACUGCUAUUAUGGGUCGUGAGACCCUUAAUGUGUAAUAUUAUGUCUGUGGCUCUUCCGAGCCUCUUAAAUAAAGGUUGUAUGUUUAUGGUUAUGUUGUGAUGCCAUCGAUGUAUCUAUACAUAUCGGUAUGCCACGCGUACGUGUGUCGUACUUGAUAUGUAUGGGGUUCGAUUACCUUGUCGUGAGCUUUAGUAUCAUUCCUUACAAGGAAAUGCCCCUUUGUGAUCCAACGAGCCUUGGUAGUUCGCUACUGCUCCGGACACAUUGGUUGACCGGCAUGUGUCCUUCUUAGCUGCUGUGUCUGUCCUCUUUGGGGAAAUGUCACGCGAUGUAAUGGAGUCCUUGUAGCUUGCUACGACUCGUCUACACUCGCUGGUGACCGACACGUGCUUUGUUGGGUCAUGUAUGCNNNNNNNNNNNNNNNNNNNNNNNNNNNNNNNNNNNNNNNNNNNNNNNNNNNNNNNNNNNNNNNNNNNNNNNNNNNNNNNNNNNNNNNNNNNNNNNNNNNNUACUGACUUAUUUUUAUUAUUUCUAAUCUUGCCAGAGGCUGACCCCACCAGUCAGUGGCUCAGGCCAGCCUAGGUCCACUGGCGGCGAGGUCGUCCUCGCUGGCGGGGAGCCUCCGGCGAGCACCAGAACGUCGGGAGGGCUCAGAAUGGCGCACAGAGGGCCAAACGCACGGCUGAGACCAUGGGAGGAACGACCACUCGAUGGCGCGCACGAUGGAACAAGCCCCAGGGGCUGGGGUGGUCGGGAUCAACGCCGACGACGAGCUUGGCGGCGACCAAGUUCGGCCAUCGUCGAAGCCAUCGGAUAACGGGUCAAAACGCUCGGGGCUGGGCACCUAAAGCAUCUACACGACGUCCUGAGGCUGUUGGUAGCCUCAGACGGACCAGCACUUCACCGAAGGGCUGCCGGCGACGAGCUGCAGCGGCGGUCCUCGUCAGGCUCCGAUGAAACUAGGGCUAGAGGAGGGGAUCGACGGGGAGAUCUUAGGGGAAAAGACCGCAUGCUCACUGGGAGUGCAGUGGUGGUGCUAGUCUGCUCGGGGACGGCCUGGAGAGGGAGAACGUCGGCGGCGAUCUUCGGUGACCCGAGGAAGAAGAAGACGGUUGCGCGUUGACUCACUGCAUCUGGGCGUCGGGCUCGUGGCUAGGAAGCUUCAGGGGGUUGCGGCGGAGCUAACGCGCGGCUCAGAAGGAAGGGAGGUCGGCUAGAACGACGACGAGCUCGAGCUCUGCUCGGGCUCCAAUGGCGGCAGAACGGGGAGGAGAGACCCGAGAGGAGAGGGAGAACUGGUGCUGGGAAUGGAUAGGGGUGGCCUCGGGGAGCUUAUCCCCGGCCUUGCCAGCGCGAGGAGGCGUCCAGGCAGGCGCACAGGUGCAUGGCCGUGCCGGAGAACGCGGCAGCCACCUCCUGCUGCACACUGGCGGGGAGGAAGACGGCAGGGGCUUAGAUGGGCCGGGCCAGGUGAGCGACAGGUUACCUCUUUUCNNNNNNNNNNNNNNNNNNNNNNNNNNNNNNNNNNNNNNNNNNNNNNNNNNNNNNNNNNNNNNNNNNNNNNNNNNNNNNNNNNNNNNNNNNNNNNNNNNNNUUUUUUUUUCUUUUUCUCUUUGAUUUUCUUCCUAUGGCGCAUAGGGCCUUCUUGGGCUGUCCCACCAGCCCACUAAGGGCUGGUGCGCUACCCCCAAGGCCUAUGGGCUUCCCCGGGGUGGGUUUCCCCCCCGGUGAACACCCGGAACCCAUUCGUCAUUCCCGGUACAUUCCCGGUAACUCCGAAAACCUUCCGGUAAUCAAAUGAGGUCAUCCUAUAUAUCAAUCUUCGUUUCUGGACCAUUUCGGAAACCGUCGUGACGUCCGUGGUCUCAUCCGGGACUCCGAACAACAUUCGGUAACCAACCAUAUAACUCANNNNNNNNNNCUGAGGUCAUCCUAUAUAUCAACCUUCGUUUCCGGACCAUUCCGGAAACCCUCGUGACGUCCGUGAUCUCAUCCGGGACUCCGAACAACAUUCGGUAACCAACCAUAUAACUCAAAUACGCAUAAAACAACGUCGAACCUUAAGAGUGCAGACCCUGCGGGUUCGAGAACUAUGUAGACAUGACCCGAGAGACUCCUCGGUCAAUAUCCAACAGCGGGACCUGGAUGCCCAUAUUGGAUCCUACAUAUUCUACAAAGAUGUUAUCGUUUGAACCUCAGUGCCAAGGAUUCAUAUAAUCCCGUAUGUCAUUCCNNNNNNNNNNNNNNNNNNNNNNNNNNNNNNNNNNNNNNNNNNNNNNNNNNNNNNNNNNNNNNNNNNNNNNNNNNNNNNNNNNNNNNNNNNNNNNNNNNNNUGAGUUUCUUCUGAUCUCUCUUAUGCAUGAUUUCAUAUCCUUGUAAUUCUCUUCGAGUUGUGGGUUUUGUGUGGCCAACUAGAUCUAUGAUUCUUGCAAUGGGAGAAGUGCUUUAUUUUGGGUUCAUACCGUGCGGUGACCUCACCCAGUGAUAGAAGGGGUAGCGAGGCACACAUCGUGUUGUUGCCAUCAAGGGUAAAAAGAUGGGGUUUUCAUCAUUGGUUUGAGAUUAUCCCUCUACAUCAUGUCAUCNAUAGUAGUAGAUGCAGAAAGUAUCGGUCUACUUGUCUCGGACGUGAUGCCUAUAUGUAUGAUCAUUGCCUUAGAUAUCGUCAUGACUUUGCGCGGUUCUAUCAAUUGCUCGACAAUAAUUUGUUCACCCACCGUGAUAUUUGCUAUUUUGAGAGAAGCCUCUAGUGAACACUAUGGCCCGGGGGUCUACUCCACACCAUAUUUUCAGCCUUACACUUUUUACUUCGUUGCACUUUCCGCCUUCAGAUCUCACUUUGCAAACAAUCUUGAAGGGAUUGACAACCCCUUUGAAGCGUUGGGUGCAAGCUUGUUUGUGUUUGCGCAGGUACUCUGGACUUGACGAGACCUUCCUUCUAGAUCAAUACCUUGGUUCUCAAAACUGAGGGAAAUACUUACUGCUCCUGUGCUGCAUCACCCUUUCCUCUUCAAGGGAAAAACCGACGCAAACAAGAGAAGUAGCAAGAAGAAUUCCUGGCGUUGCUUGGGAAGGACUUUUGUUGCCGUAGCAGAAGAAUUUCUCGCGCCGUUGCCGGGGAGGAAGAUCAAGUCAAGAACUCAUCCAAGUAGGUGUCGCAAACCCAUCUCUUGCAUUUACUUUGUUUGCCAGUUGCCUCUCGUUUUCCUCUCCCCCACUUCACCAAUUUCCCUUUUUUGUUUGCCUUUUUCGUUCGCCCUUUUUUCUCGCUUGCUCUUUGUUUGCUUGUGUGCCCGCUUGCUUGCUUGCCGAAGUCACCAUGAAUGAAAACACCAAACUUUCUGACUUCUCGAAUACUAAUAAUAAUGAUUUUAUUAGUACUCCGAUAGCUCCCGCCACUAGUGCGGAGUCAUACGAAAUCAAUGCCGCUUUGCCGAAUCUUGUUAUGAAAGAGCAAUUUUCUGGCCUUCCUAGUGAAGAUGUUGCAUCCCAUCUCAAUACCUUCAUUGAGCUUGGCGAUAUGCAAAAGAAGAAAGAUGUGGAUAAUGACGUGAUUAAAUUGAAGCUUUUUCCUUUCUCGUUGCGAGAUCGUGCAAAAACUUGGUUUUCUUCUUUGCCCAAAAAUAGUAUCGAUUCUUGGGAUAAGUGCAAAGAUGCUUAUAUAUCCAAGUAUUUUCCGCCGGCUAAGAUCAUCUCUCUCCGGAAUGAUAUCAUGAAUUUCAAGCAACUUGAUCAUGAACAUGUUGCACAAGCUUGGGAGAGAAUGAAAUUAAUGAUUAGAAAUUGUCCCGCUCAUGGCUUGAGCCUUUGGAUGAUUAUUCAAAUCUUUUACGCUGGCUUGAAUUUCGCUUCUAGAAAUAUCUUGGACUCCGCCUCAGGUGGAACGUUCAUGGAAAUCACGUUAAGAGAAGACACAAAGCUCUUAGACAACAUCAUGAUGAACUACUCUCAGUGGCACACUGAAAGGUCACCUACUAGUAAGAAGGUACACGCUAUAGAGGAAAUUAACUCGUUGAGUGCUAAGAUGGACGAGUUAAUGAAUUUGGUUGCUAGUAGAAGUGCUCCUUUGGAUCCUAAUGAUAUGCUUUGUCUUCUUUGAUUGAGAGUAGCAACGCUAGCUUGGACGUUAAUUUUCUUGGUAGGAAUAACUUUGGCAACAACAAUGCUUUUAGAGGAAACUAUGUUCCUAGGCCUUUUCCUGGUAACUCCUCUAAUAACUUUGGCAACUCCUACAACAAUACCCAUGGAAAUUACAAUAGAUUACCCUCUCUGAUCUAGAGAGUAAUAUCAAAGAGUUCAUCAACUCUCAAAAGAUUUUCAAUGCGUCCAUAGAGGAAAAGCUACUCAAAAUUCAAGACUUGGCUAAGAGCGUUGAUACAAUGUCUAGUGAUGUUGAUGCUUUGAAAGUUAGAUGUGCUCCUCCCAAAAUCAACAUGGAUGAAACUUUGAAAGCUAUGCGUGUUUCCAUGAUUGAGAGCCAAGAAAGAACCGCCAAAACUCGUGCUAGACAUGAAUGGCUUAAAAAGGCGUGUUCUCGUGAUGAGAAUCACGAACAUCUUAAAGUGCUUGGUGUGACUCCCAUUGAAUCUUUGUUUCUUGUGUCAAACCUAAUGAUUAUAGGGCUGGAUAUGAAUCCACUUUGUUUGAAAAGUGCCCCAAGGAUUCAGAGUCCAUCUAUCUUGAUGCUAAAAGCAUUGAAAGUGGAGUAGAAGAUGUUAAAAAUUUGAGUAGUAAUGAAAUUACUACUGUGGAUUUCAAGGAAUUCAAUUAUGAUAGUUGCUCCUUGAUUGAAUGCAUUUCUUUGAUGCAAUCCAUGUUAAACUCUCCACGCGCUUAUAGCCAAAACAAGGCCUUUACCGAUCAUAUCGUCGAAGCUAUGAUAAAAUCUCUUGAAGAGAAACUUGAAUUGGAAGUCUCUAUCCCUAGAAAUAUUCAUGAUGAGUGGGAACCUACCAUCAAAAUCAAAAUCAAAAACUAUGAGUUCAAUGCUUUGUGUGAUUUGGGUGCUAGUGUUUCUGCGAUUCCAAAGUCUUUAUGUGAUGUUCUAGGUUUUAAUGAGAUUGAAGAGUGUUCUCUUAAUUUGCAUCUUGCUGAUUCUACUGUCAAGAAACCCAUGGGAAGGAUCAAUGAUGUUCUUAUUGUUGCAAAUAGGAACUAUGUACGUGUGGAUUUAAUUGUGCUUGACAUUGAUUGCAAUCCUACUUGCCCUAUUAUUCUUGGUAGACCUUUCCUAAGGACUAUCAGUGCUAUCAUCGAUAUGAAGGAAGGGAAUAUUAGAUUUCAAUUUCCUUUAAGGAAGGGCAUGGACCACUUUCCUAGAAAGAAAAUAAGAUUGCCUUAUGAAUCCAUGAUGAGGGCCACUUAUGGUUUGAGCACCAAAGACGACGAUACGUGAUUCUAUCGCUUUUAUGCCUAGCUAAGGGCAUUAAACAAUAGCGCUUGUUGGGAGGCGACCCAAUGAAUUUAUCUUUUUUCUUUCUGUUUUGUUGCGUACACACCAUCACAAUUCUGUUGUGAUUGUGUUUUUUGUGUUUCUUUUUGUGUUUGAGCCAAGCAAAACCUUUGUGACUAGUCUUGGUGACGGUUGUUUGAUCCUGCUGGAAAAAGAUAAAAACUUUUCGCUCACGAGAUGAUUUUUCAUUUUUAUUCAGAAAGAGAUUUUGAGUUGAUUCUUCUUUCUGCUGGUUCAUAUGCUUUUUCCCAGGCCGUCGUAAUUUUUCAGAUUUUUCGAGGUAGCAGAAGUAUACGAAGUAUACAGAUUGCUACAGACUGGUCUAUUUUUGACAGAUUCUGUUUUGUUGAGUUGGUUGUUUGUUUUGAUGAAACUAUGGUUAGUAUCGGGGGGUACUAGCCAUGGAAAAGUGUGAAUACAGUAGCCCAACACCAAUAUAGAUGGAAUUCAAGUUUGCUACAGUACCAAAAGAAGUGGUAGUUUGUUUUCUUGUACUAAUGUUAUCACGAGUUUCUGUUUAAGUUUUGUGUUGUGAAGUUUUCAAGUUUUGGGUGAUGUUCUCAUGGACGAUGAGAUAAGGAGUGGAAAAAUCUCAAGCUUGGGGAUGCCCAAGGCAUCCCAAGCCAAAUUCAAGGACACCAAAAAGCCUAAGCUUGUGGAUGCCCCGGGAAGGCAUCCCCUCUUUCGUCUUCAAUCCAUCGGUAACAUUACUUGGAGCUAUAUUUUUAUUCACCACAUGAUAUGUGUUUUGCUUGGAGCGUCUUGUAUCGUAGGAGUCUUUUCUUUUUGUUGUGUCACAAUCAUCCUUGCUGCACACCUUUUUGAGAGAGAGAUACAUGCACUCAUCGUGAUUUUGCUAGAAUGCUCAUAGUGCUUCACUUAUAUCUUUUGAGCUAGAUACUUUUGCUUUAGUGCUUCACUUAUAUCCUUUAGAGCUCGGCGGUGCGUGAUUUGGUAGUUGGCUUAUGCUAUGAAAGUAGUCCCAAAUGUGAUAGGUACCCAAAGAGGAUGCAAAAACCUCGAUCUUCAUGUGCAUUGAGUAGAAAGAGAAGUUUCGAUUCCUCUCAAUUAGUUUUGAGACGUGGAUUCGGUAAUAUUGAGAGCUAUGUUAGUAGGGUGUUGUGAAUCUAGAGAUACUUGUGUUGAAGUUAGUGAUUCCCAUAGCAUGCACGUAUGGUGAACCGCUAUGUUAGGAAGUCGGAGCAUAAUUGAUCUAUUGAUUGUCAUCCUUUGUGUUGAGGUCGGGAUCGAGCGAUGGUUAACACCUACCAACCCUUCCCCUAGGAGUAUGCAUUUAGCACUUUGUUUCGAUUACUAAUAAAAACUUUCGCAACAAGUAUGUGAGUUCUUCAUGACUAAUGCGAGUCCAUGGUAUAGAUGCACUUCCACCUUCCACCAUUGCUAGCCUCUUUAGUGCUGCGCAAUUCUCGCCGGUACACAAACCCACCAUAUGCCUUCCUCAAAACAGCCACCAUACCUACCUACUAUGGCAUUUUCAUAGCCAUUCCGAGAUAUAUUGCCAUGCAACUCCCACCGUUCCGUCUCAUGACUUGUGUCGUCACUCUCAUAUUGCCAUUGCAUGAUCGUAAAAUAGCUAGCGAGAUGUUUUCAAUGUCAUACGCAUGCUAGAUCGUUGCACAUCCCGGUAUACUGUCGGAGGCAUUUCCUUUAGAGUCAUCAUCAUUUUGAGCUGUGAGUAAAUAAAAGUGUGAUGAUCAUCAUUAUUAGAGCAUUGUCCCAUGUGAGGAAAAAAAAGAGGCCAAAGANGCAUUGUCCCAUGUGAGAAAAAAAAGAGGCCUAAGAGCCCAAAUGAAAAAAAAGAGAAAAGAGAGAAAAAGAGAGAAGGGACAAUGCUACUAUCUUUUUUCCACACUUGUGCUACAUAAUAGCACCAUGUUGUUCACGAUUGAGAGCUUCUUGCUUCGUCACCACCAUAUGCUAGUGGGAAUCUUCAUUAUAUAACUUGGCUUGUAUAUUCCAAUGAUGGGCUUCCUCAAAAUUGCCCUAGGUCUUCGUGAGCAAGCAAGUUGGAUGCACACCCACUAGUUUUCCUUUUGAGCUUUCACAUACUUAUAGCUCUAGUGCAUCUCUUGUAUGGCAAUCCCUACUCAUUCACAUUGGUAUCUAUUAAUGGGCAUAUCCAUAGCCCUUUGAUAUGCCGAGUCAAUGUGACCGUCUCCUCCUUUUUGUCUCACAACCACCACCACACUCUAUUCCACUUAUAGUGCUAUAUCCAUGGCUCACGCUCAUGUAUUGCGUGAUAGUUAUAAAAAGUUUGAGAAAGUAAGAGUGCGAAAAUAAUUACUUGGCAAAUACCGGGGUUGUGCAUGAUUUACAUUAGUUGUGUGAGGAUGAUGGAGCAUAGCCAAACUAUAUGAUUUUGUAGGGAUAACUUUCCUUGGCCUUGUUAUUUUGAAAGUUCAUGAUUACCUUGCUAGUUUGCUUGAAGUAUUAUUGUUUUCAUGUUAAUAGGAAACUAUUGUUUUGAAUCUUACGAAUCUAAACAUUCAUGUCACGUGAAAGAAGUUGCAAAGGACAACUAUGCUAGGUAGCAUUCCACAUCAAAAAUUCAUUCUUUAUCACUUCCCUACUCGAGGACGAGCAGGAGUAAAGCUUGGGGAUGCUUGAUACGUCUCCAACGUAUCUAUAAUUUUUUAUGGUUUCAUGAUAUUAUCUUGUCAAAAUUUGGAUGUUUUGCAUGCCUUUUAUAUAUUUUUUGGGACAAACUUAUUGACUCAGUGUUAAGUGCCAGUUCCUGUUUUUUCCAUGUUUUUGACCCCUUCCACACAAGAUUUUGAAACAGAGUCCAAACGGAAAAAAAUCCCCGAAAAGAUUUUUUCCAUAACGGAAGAAGAUCGGGAAGCUUGGGAGCCAAGGCAGGGGAGCCUCAAAGGCCCCACAAGCCCCCACCCCGCGGCCAGGGGGGGUAGGUCGCGGCCCACGGGCUUGUGGGCCCCUUGGGCGCCCUCUGCCCUAGGGGUUGCGCCUAUAUAUUCCCUAAAAAUCCCAAAAAAAUCAGGAGAUCGUCGAAAUCACUUUUCCGCCGCUGCAAGCUUCUGUCUCCGCAAGAUCCCAUCUAGGGCAUGUUCUGGUGCCCUGCCGGAGGGGGGAUUCGGACACGGAGGGCUUCUUCAUCAACACCAUGACCUCUCCGAUGAUGCGUGAGUAGUUCACCAUAGACCUACGGGUCCAUAGCUAGUAACUAGAUGGCUUCUUCUCUCUCUUGGAUCUUCAAUACAAAGUUCUCCAUGAUCUUCAUGGUGAUCUAUACGAUGUAAUCUUAUUUUGCGGUGUGUUUGUCGAGAUCCGAUGAAUUGUGGAUUUAUGAUCAGAUUAUCUAUGAAUCUUAUUUGAGUUUCUUCUGAUCUCUCUUAUGCAUGAUGUCAUAUCCUUGUAAUUCUCUUCAAGUUGUGGGUUUUGUCUGGCCAACUAGAUCUAUGAUUCUUGCAAUGGGAGAAGUGCUUGGUUUUGGGUUCAUACCGUGCGGUGACCUCACCCAGUGAUAGAAGGGGUAGCGAGGCACGCAUCGUGUUGUUGCCAUCAAGGGUAAAAAGAUGGGGUUUUCAUCAUUGGUUUGAGAUUAUCCCUCUACAUCAUGUCAUCUUUCUUAAGGUGUUACUCUGUUCGUCGUGAACUCAAUACACUAGAUGCAUGCUGGAUAGCGGUCGAUGUGUGGAGUAAUAGUAGUAGAUGGAGAAAGUAUCGGUCUACUUGUCUCGGACGUGAUGCUAAUAAGUAUGAUCAUUGCCUUAGAUAUCGUCAUAACUUUAUGCGGUUCUAUCAAUUGCUCGACAGUAAUUUGUUCACCCAGCGUGAUAUUUGCUAUUUUGAGAGAAGCCUCUAGUGAACACUAUGGCCCCCGGGUCUACUCCACACCAUAUUUUCAGCCUUACACUUUUUACUUCGUUGCACUUUCCACCUUCAGAUCUCACUUUGCAGACAAUCUUGAAGGGAUUGACAACCCUUUGAAGUGUUGGGUGCAAGCUUGUUUGUGUUUGCACAGGUACUCUGGACUUGACGAGACCCUCCUUCUGGAUCGAUACCUUGAUUCUCAAAACUGAGGGAAAUACUUACUGCUCCUGUGCUGCAUCACCCUUUCCUCUUCAAGGGAAAAACCGACACAAACAAGAGAAGUAGCAAGAAGAAUUCCUGACAUUGCUUGGGAAGGAAUUUUGUUGCCGUAGCAAUAGCCAGAUGCAUUUUUUNGAUAUAUUCAAGAAGUUCAUUAAGCUUGUCUUUGACUCUCUGAUACUCCUAGUUGAUUGCUAGUCAUUGCCAAGUGCUACUCUGCUAGCUCAUUCCUUCUAAGACCUACCCACUAGCUUUUUCUGAAAUCUCAAUUUGUUCCUACAAUGACUAUUAUCUGCAUGUAAUGUCUAAAGUAAAGUUCUACUCAUUUUCUAUCCUACAAUUUUGGCGAAUAAAGUACUAAUCUGUAAAAAUCAGCUCUACAAGAGUGACAAAAUAAAAGUGCAUACAAACCAGCUCUACAUGAUACAACUAAUAGUAGUGCUAACACUAAUUAAGGCAUGACUUAGUGACUUUCGUAAACCAAUGGGAUAGAAAUGACACUUGUUUAUUUAUUUAGCAUGGUCUCUCUCACUGCUUCUCCUAGAUACCAACCAUGUUGUAUAAUGCGCUAUCGAGUGAGUAUGUAUAUCUAUUUAACGAACAGUCCCUUUAGUUUCUUCCCUUCUACUGUAGUUGUGCAUGGAUUAUACCAGUUUUUUCAUGCUAUCUGCUUUGUUGGGUGCUCAUGCUAUGUCCUCUUCAUUUAAUCUGGUAACAUAUAGUGACGGUGCACCUUUAUUGUUAUCUUCUUACUCGAUAUCUUGAUAGUUAGGACCUGUCCGAAGACCCUCCAGCUCCUGACUCCGCUCCGAGAGCAGCCGGAGCGAUAGUGCAAACUUAUGGAACGGGGAAACAGAGACUGUGUGGAUCUUUGGAUCUGGCGGAGCUCGAGGUUUCUCGAAUAACUCUUGAAUCUUUCAUGUGAUCUUCUUGCACCUUUGUGUAAGCUAUAUGGCUAGGCAUAUUGAGUAAUGCUACCUAGGAAUGUAUGACAAUCAUGUGUGUAUUAGAAAUGUACGAGUCACUACAGUCACCAUUAUUGUUUACAAGAUACAGUUUCCAUUAAUAUCAUUGCCUUCAUGAACUGUUUACAUGAUGUACACUAUGAGAGCAUUUUUCGAUCAUAUUUUGGAGGAAAACAGAGAACCCGCUUGCUAGAGGCAAUAGGUCAUCAAUAUUGGGCAGAGUAUAGCAAUGAAGGAAAGAAAAAUACUCAAGCAAAUCAAGCAAUGAAAAUCUUCCUCCGUGGUGCUAGUAAUGCAAAUAUUCAGUUUUUAUGUAACCUUGGCUAAAUUUUUAUCAUUUGAUGUUGCUGUGAACCUUGGUUGUAUUGCAAAGAUUGAACUUUUUACAAAGUCUCAUGUUGAAGUUCUCCUUUUGCUUUAUUUUCUACUCGCUCCCUUUAGAAAUAACAGACGCAAGGAGUCAUUUCCGAACGGAGGGAGUAUGUACUGGAAGUUAUAGUUUAAACUUUAAAGCAAAACAUUGUUGUAUGUGUGAACAGUACAGGAUCAAUGUUACUAAAACUGUUUGGAGACACCCUCCCGACCCCGACCCUUCCUCCUGCUCCCCUCCCCUUCCCUCCCGCGCCCGCNNNNNNNNNNNNNNNNNNNNNNNNNNNNNNNNNNNNNNNNNNNNNNNNNNNNNNNNNNNNNNNNNNNNNNNNNNNNNNNNNNNNNNNNNNNNNNNNNNNNNNNNNNNNNNNNNNNNNNNNNNNNNNNNNNNNNNNNNNNNNNNNNNNNNNNNNNNNNNNNNNNNNNNNNNNNNNNNNNNNNNNNNNNNNNNNNNNNNNNNNNNNNNNNNNNNNNNNNNNNNNNNNNNNNNNNNNNNNNNNNNNNNNNNNNNNNNNUGGGCGGCAGUGGCAGUGCUCGAGCCCUACAGGCCCAGAUCUGGGCCCCUCGGGCCCGAUCUGGGUCAGGUCAGGCCUGCCUCGUUGCCUCCGGUUGGUCUGCGGCACGACUCGCAACGGGGAUGACAGCGUUGACGUCGCACUGUUGCAGCGUGACGAUGGGAGCUUCUCGAGCUUGUCCAUGUCCGGCUGAGCUUUUGGGCUGCAUGAUGGUAGCGGCGGUGGCGGCCUGCGUGCAGCAGCACGAUGGCGGGGACUUUACGAGCCCCUGGACUUGGUCAGCACUCGGUCGGGCCUAUCUGGCCUGGUAUGUCCUGGCUGUUGUGUUUGGUAGGCACCCCCCGAUGGCGGUGGAGGACGUCCUCCGGGUGGCUGCGCUGUUGUAGCCCUCCGGUUCCAAUGGUUCGGCGUGCACUCUCGUCGUGUCCGGACGGUGAUAGCCUUGGACGGUGGAGGUGGUCCCCUCCUACGUGGUUGUCCUCCUGUCGGGUCUUGUCUUCGGGUGGUUCGCCUCAGACUGACCGGCCUUGCUACGUUGGCCAUGGUGAGACGACGAUGGUGAUUGCAAGACCGUGGUGGCGUUUGUUGGUGGUUGGCAUGCUUGGUGGAGCGUCUCUGAUUGUCCGGGAGGUGGUGGUUUGGUGGUCGGGAGAAAUCCUUGUCUUUUGACACCAAUACGGUGAUGCUUGAGAGUGUCACCCUUCCUUCCUAAAGGGUGUCGGGUGUUCCUCCUCCCCACGCCCCGGAGCGUACCGGGGGAAACCCUAGGACCUGUUCGGAGAGCAGUGUCGUCGUCGUCAUUAUCCUUCUUGGAGGUGAUGUUUGGUACGCGAUGGAUCAAGGUGCUUGGAUAGUGGUGGGAAUAUUUCAGAGGAGACGCAGCGAUUGCGGUCAUUAUUGUUUUCGUUAAGCCGUAGGUGUUGGCAUUGUUUUCUCUUUCUUUUCUUUUGAACGUGGAUGUGUUGUUUGCCCCAUCAGUGGUUUCAUGUUGUAUCAUGUGGUUGCUAUAUAUAUAUAUAACGGGGCGAAAGCCUAUUUUGAGAUCAAUGUUAUAUUGUUCCUCAUUUUGGUGUUUGCACGGAUUUCACCUCCAAAUCAUAGUGCCAGCCAAACAUGAAAUUUGGCUGUGGAAUCUGGAUUCAGCCAAAUGAUACCCUUAUCAGAAUUUCAUUUCAUUUCUAACAAAUGAAAUAAAUCAAGGGACGCAAACAAGCUGCAAUUGUUCUGCUGGGCUCAGAAUAUGCGUGGAUGUAUUGGGACCACCUGUCUCAUUGAACAUUGAUUCUUGAACGGCACCAGUCACACUGAACUUUGUAAUCACUGAUGGAAUUCUAACAGCAAUCAGUUCAUGGCAGCGCUCCAUUCUGCGGAGUAGUAUGGCUCAAUUACUAUAUAUCAUUUUCUUCAGAAAGCCAACCAACAGGGGCUCGUCACAGUUCACGAAUUUAAGAAUGUUUCAGUCAUAAGUGCACAAUGUUGUUACUGACAUGUCACGUGUUAGGUUAACUCCUCUCUCCCAGUCUAAAGAUCAGUGCCUAUCAAGGAUGAGCACAUCGACAAACGACAAGCUACAUGGAGGAAUCAAUCCAUAGCAGAUAUCCUCCUCUACAAAGGGGCAGAAGCUAAACACAAGACAAAAUUUCAUUGAAAUAAGCUGGUGAAACUUAAAAUGGCAAGGUCCAACAGAAAGUAAAAAGAUCAGAGUUAUGUUGGAAUUUCAACAAGCCCAGUCCAUAUGUUAUGGAAUUCACACAAGUUUGGAUGAUGAAAUUCCAGAGGGACAAAGAAGUAUUAUUGAAUGCUCUGGUAAAGGAACUUGGACUUCCAUCGUUAUCUAGUAUCCCCAGUAAUCGUUACGCAUCUCAUCAUCAAACUUCUUCUUGAGUUCAGGGUGCUUCGCAAAGUACUCGUCUGCUGUCAUUGUGCUGAUCUUUUUCUGCAUGUGUAAACAAAGAUGUUAGGAUGAAUGUAAAACCAACUGGCACCAAAUUUGUCAAAGAUCCACCUCACCUUCAUCUCCUUCAUUUCAGCAAUCUCCUUCUCUAUCCUCUCUGAUUCCUUCAGAGAUGUCUUCUCUGCCUCCUUCAAUUCGACUAACUAUGAAUUUUCAAAAGAAAGUUCAUAAGUAUCUGAAUGGAAGAGCCAUCAAUGGCAGGCAUCUAUGCGAAAAACAGGAAAGUGAAGCAUAUUUACAACAGUGAACCCUCACCAGAGCAUCAAACUUUGGCUUAUACUGAGGAGUGACAGUGUCAACAUACUUCGGGAUCUCAAUGCCUGCAUUAGUUCCAUUGAUUGGUGUAUCAGUGAGAGGUUAAACAGAUUGAAUGAGCAUAGACUCACAACUUCACAAGACUAACAGCUGUACUGGAAGGCAGCAGAAACCAGAUGCUAAAUUAUUUGGUGUGCAUUAGCCAAAAUCCAUAGCAGGGUUGAAAUUCCUAACACUAUGAUACAACAUAUUGCUAGGGGCGCCUGCUUAAGAAGGGAAACGAAACCUAAAACAUGAUGUAUUAGAAUGCAUACAUGAAGUUAUAUCACAACUAGAAUAUUGUAAAGGGAGCAUCUUAAACUAUAAGCACGUUACAGGUGGUAUCCUAAUUCUUAAUCUUCGGAAGACACAUCAUCCACAAGUUUAGAAUCCAGUAUUAAAUCAAAACCAUCUUGUUUACAAAUUUAUAGCACAGUGGUUUCCUGGAAAUGCAAAUAGAUGGAGAAUACGAAAUACACAUACUAUCAUAAGCCUCCUUGUACAUAUCCACAACUUUUGAUCCGAUUCCUUUUCUGUAGUAUUCCCAGUCAAUUGGCUGUGGUUCCUGCAGUAGCAAUACAUAUAGAUCUCUCAGAUCAGUCGAUAUGCCAGAAAUGGCCAUGCAUGCUUCAUAGGUAGCCAUAAGACUAGCAUACACAAGUUAAAUUCAAAGCUAACAACAAAUAGGGUUAAAGUUUACAAGCAUAUAACAUAUGCCAAAGAAGGCUACUUAGUCCAUCCUACAUGCCUGUAUUGAGACAGAACCACACCUUUUCCAGUCAGUAAUGUUGGGGUGUGCAGUGACUUGUGAAUACGUUGUUCUACACGGAGUAAAAUGUAAAAUGUACUGCCAAAGAUAAAGAGGAACAAUAGGGAGAGACACAGGAUAUACGACGCAUCCAGAAAUUUCCCCAAAUGUUCUUGCUCAUGUCUCAACCUCCUCUCAAAUCCUGCAUCAGAUCCCUAAAUCGUUCACUAGUUUGACAACUAAACCAACUGGGCAGGUAAAUCCUAAAAGCGAAUCGAUAUUUGAUUGCCCCCUAUUCAUGGAUCUGCGAAUCCCAGGCGCAACCGCGUUGACUAGCGAAAGUUAACGAUUCCCCUGAUCUGAUCUGACCGAGGACCAAACCCUAGCUACAUUGGCCAGAUCGAUUAGCCGAGCGCGAGACAGGGACUGGACCCCGGCGAUUGGAAUAAUACCUGGGAGAACUUGGUCUGGAGCUGGUGGUUGACGUCCUCGAAGGUGCGGCGGAGGUUGGCGAACUCCUUCCGGGCCUCCUCGGAGACGAGCAUCUUCGCCAUGCCGUCCCAGUCGAUCGCCUUCCCGGCCUUGGCCGCAACGUCCGCCACCUUCUUCACCCCGCUCAUCUUCGGCUCUGGAUCUGCUAACCUUGCUAGACCUGUGUCUGUGUAAAUCUUGAUUGUUUCAGGAGUUGAGAUCGGUCCAGAGUUAUAUGUCCCUGUUAUCUCCUCCCAAGUCCCAAGUUUAUGCGGCGCUAGAAUGACGAGCGCUUUCCCCGCUCCAGGCAAUUUCAGCCGCUAGAUCUUCACUCUAAACGAUCUCAGCCAUUUGGUGCUGUGGAGCAGGCUUUCCGUUACCCUAAAGUUGCAUUUCUCCGGUGACUGUUAAUGCGGCCUGCUUGGUCUUGGCCCGUGACACAGGACUCUUCAUCAUUUCGAGUGAAGUGUUAAACUUGUAUAUAUAAAAAAUAUUCCGGAUGUAUACAAAAAUGUAUAGUGUGUAUAAAAAAAAGUAGACACCCAAAAAUACAUAUUUUUUUUAAAAGGUUAAUACCCCCCCCCCAAAUUUUAAACAAAUGUAUCAGAUGUAUAAGAAAAAUGUAUAAUGCGUAUGAAGAAAAGUAGACAUAAAAAUGUACUAUAUUAAAGUAGGCAUAAAAAAUAUACAAUAUGGAUCGACUAUUCGUCAUCUUGGAUGAGGAAUAAAAAUUCCUCACCUCACCUCUUCAUGCAUCACAUAGUCACCAUAAGAACCCAAAUGCAUGUAAGGUAAUAUUACGGUGUGUAGUUAAGGGCUUUUAAAAUUGACCGUGAGGGCUCUUAAAAUUGACCGUGAGAAACUAAUGUAUCAUGCAUGUCAGAUAAGAUUACGACAUACAUGUGUGAGGUGAGGUCAGAUUAUAACAUCACGGGUGAGAAUUUAAUGCAUGUGAGGUAAGAUUCCAACACGACGAUGAGGUAAGAUUACGACAUGUGUGAGGUAAAAUUACCACAUCCAAAAGAACCAUGUCUUUUGUUAGUUUUUAUUAGGAUAAAGAAUUACUUAUUCUUCAUCCUGGAUGACAAUAGACUUUUAUAUAUUUACGAUAAAUAGACUUAUAUGUGUAUGUGUGUGUUGAAAUAUUUUAAAUGUAUAUUAGAAAUAUACAAUGUGUGUGAAAACAAUAGACAUCAAAAAAAUUAUUCUAAAAAUAUAUUAAUCAUGUACUUAGAAAAUGUUAAACGUGCAUUACAACGUUCUUGACGUAUACGAAAAAUGUAUAAUGUGUAGCAAAAAUAUAGACAUGUGUUGACGAAAAAACAAAGAAAGAAACUAAAAAAAACUAAAUAGAAAAAGAAAACCGGAAAACGGUGAAAAAAAGAAAGCCCAAGGAAGAAACAAAAGAUAAUCGAGAAGAAAGAGAAAUAAACCAGAGAAAAACCAGCAGAAAAAAGAAACAACAAAAGAACAAAGAAAAUUGGGCCACGCCACUAAAAAAUGGAGAAGAAACCCAUAGAGAAAAAACUAGACCAAAAACUAUGAAAAAUGGGGGAGAAGGACUAACGAUGCUGCAGUAUUAGGCCCUAUCGCACCUUGCGUGACGCGAUGGGAGCAUGCAUAUCGUUGUAAGCGAGAUAUAACUCAUGUGGGUGUUAAAACCUUCUCCCCCAUCUCCAACGAGUCUAUCUCCAAUGUAACAACAAAAGAUAUGGGCAAACCCGCAGCGGUGCCAUCGCGGUCUACAUAUCCCAACCUCUAGCUGAUUUCCUUCAAAUAUGUGCAUGGGGGCAGCAGUGCUUGCGUCUGGUGCAAUCGAGCUAGAGGUGGGGACCAAGGAGUCGGAGAAGUGUAGCCGAAGAUGGAGCCCGCAGAUAGGGUGGGGUGCUGAGGUCCGACGAUAGGAGAUGAGGUGCGAAGUGGCUGCAGACGGAUCAAGGUAACGCGAUGUCAACAUUGCACGACUCUAACCGAAUUGGAGUGUCAGGGUGUGGCGUGCAACUAUCGGCAACACGGUUGCAUCCCUAUUUUGGUUACGCGCUUUUGUGAGCAUUGUGAUCACGGGAAGCAACCUUUUUGCAUGAUGGGCGGUUGUGCACACACGGCCAUUGCAUGUUGGCUCAACCAUCCCCUAUAUAUGGUGGGUGUGUGGGAAGGAAGCCACACCCCUUCCCACGGGGUUGCCCCCUCCUCGUCUCUCUCAUUUCCUCGUCCCGGUUUCACUUAUUAAAGCGUUGCUAGUGGUGCACCACCACCCCCCCCCCCCCCCCCCCGUGCUGGUCGUGAUCCGAUCACCUUCUCCCCUUCACUUGCUGGAUCAAGGAGGAGGAGAUUUCAUCGAGUUGCACGCGUACAUAACUCGUAGGUGCCAUCCAUUUGGUGCUAGAUCGAUUUGGAUCAUGAUUGGAUCCGGAAAGUACGACUACAUCAGUCGGGUUAUAUAUGAUUCUGCUAUUUGAUCUACAAGGGUACAUCGACACACUCUCCCUCUCGUUGUUAUGCAUUUCCUAGAUUAGGUCUUGGGUUUUUGUAAAAAAAAGUUGUUUUCCAUGCAACGUUCCCAACAACUCGGUCCCUUCCCAUGCCUCACGGUCCACGACAUUAGUGCUCCCGGACCGGUUGGUCAACGGGGUCAGCAAACGACAAUCAUCGCAAGAGGACUAAUGUGGAGAGGCUGACAGCUGGGACCCACAUCCCAAACGUAUCUACUUUUCCAAACAAUUUUACUCUUGUUUUGGACUCUAAUUUGCAUGAUUUGAAUGAAACUAACCUGGACUGACGUUGUUUUCAACAGAACUACCAUGAUGUUACUUUUGUGCAUAAAUAGAGGUUCUCGGAUUAAGCUGACAAUUUACGAAGAAUAUUUGUAGAAUAUAUAAAAAAUAUAGGCAAAGAGAACUAUCGGAGGGGGGCCACCACAAGCGACGAGCUCACGUGGCGCGCCCACCCCCCUAGGGCGCGCCAUGCAGGCGCGUGGGUCCCACGGGCCUCUGUUUUCCCUAACUCGACUCGAUAAGUACCGUCUCACGGAGAAAAUAAUCAGAGAUAAACUUUCAUCAUGUUUUACGAGAUAGAGCCGCCCCUAGCUCCUAUUCUCAUUGACAGGGUUGAUCUGGAGUCCGUUUGGAGACCCGGAGAGGGGGAUUCGCCGUCGUUGUCGUCAUCAACCCUUCUCCAUCAAUAGUUCCAUGAGGCUCACCAUUGAGAGUGAGUAGUUCCUUUGUAGGCUUGCUGGACAGUGAUGGAGUUGGAUGAGGUUUGUCAUGUAAUUGAGUCAAUUUGUUAGGCCUUGAUCCCAAUUAUCCAUUAUGUUUUGAGAUUGAUGUUGCUAUGACUUUGCUAUGCUUAAUGCUUGUCACUAGGGGCCAAGCGCCAUGAUUUCAGAUCUAAAACUAUUAUGUUUCAAUGAAUAUGAGAGUGUUCUAGAUCCUAUCUUGCAAGUUAUAUGCUCCUAUUAUGUAUUAUGAUCAGUAGACCCUAGAGUGGCGAUAGUUGGGAUCCUCUACGAUGAUGACCGUAGUAUGAGGAGUUCAUGUAUUCAUUAUGUGUUAAUGCUUUGUCUCGACACUCUAUUAAAAGGAGGCCUUGAUAUCUCUUAGUUACCCUUUGGACCCCGCUGCCACGGGGGGUAGGACAAAAAUGACAUGCAAGUUCUUAUUAUAAGCAUGCAUGACUACAUACAGAAUUCAUGCGUACAUUACAUUGAUGAAUUCAAGUUAUUGUGUAUCUGUUAGAGCAUAUUUCUACAUGUGUGGUUUUGAUAAUUGAUGAAAAUCCCUAUGGACUAAUUAUUGCUUUGAAUUUUACUUCAAGGAUUUUUCAAUAGGCAUUUCUUGAUGUUCAUUUGUUGGUUUCAAGGAGUUUAUGUGAUAACCAAGGUGGUAUUCAAGGAUUUAUCCAAAGAUUGGUCAUUUAAGAUUUGAACUUAUUGCAAGCAUGUCUUGAAGAAGAAGAUUGUGCAUUGUGUGUCGUGGUUACCUUCAAUACAUCAUCUUUAUGAAGAGAGAAGAUAAGAUACAAGGUUGAUCAAGCCUAAGGCAAAGAGUGAUUCAAGUUGAUCAACACAUAAAGCAUGGAAGGUGUACCAAGCGGGAUCAAGUGAUCUCAUGGUAUGGUAAGUAUUGUCCAUUACGCUUUGUAUACUUGUUGGGGAACGUUGCAUGGGAAACAAAAAAAAUCCUAUGCACGCCCAAGAUCUAUCUAUGGAGAUGUAUAGUUACGUGAGGGUGAGUGCAUCUACGUACCCUUGUAGAUUGCUAAACAGAAGCGUUAAGAGACGUGGUUUAUGUAGUCAAGCGUCUUCGUGAUCCAAUCACGAUUCGUCCCAAUCUAGCACCGAACGGACGGCACCUCCGUGUUCAGCACACGUACAACUCGAUGACGUCUCUGCUACCUCUAUCCAUCGAGCGUGGGUGUAGUAGUACCUGAGUUCUCCAGCCCCGGUGAUGGUGGUGGUGGUGCGAUCUCGGCAGGGUUUCGCCAAGGGCAGUCGCGACGCGAUGGAGGAGAAGAACUACUAGAGAGAGGGAGGGAGGGCAACGCCAAGAACUUGUAUGUUGGAUGCCUCCCUCUCCUCUCAUAUAUAUAGGAGGAGGUUGGAGAUGUGGCCGCCAUAGGGUUUCCCUUAGUGUUAGGGGUGGCGACCAAGGGGCUCCCUUGGCCCCCAAGGAGAGGGGGUGGCGGCUACCCUUGGGUCAGGCCAUGCCCUUGGCCUCAUGGACCUUUGGUAGGAGGGGCGGCCAGCCCACCAGGGGCUAGUGCACCACCUCUAUCAUCCCAUGGGGCCAUUCGGGGCAGGUGGACCCUCCCGGUGGACCCCCGAACAAUUCCGGUAACUCCAUCACAAAACUGUUAAGUCCCAGAACUUUUCGGGAACUUGAAUACCAACUUCCCAUAUAUCAAUAUUUACUUGCGUACCAUUCCAAAGCUCCUCCUUAUGUCUGGGAUCUCAGUCGGGACUCCGAACAACAUUCGGUUACCAACAAAUGCAACUCAACAAUACUAUCUCAUCAUCGAACGUUAAGCAUGUGGAUCCUGCAGGUUGGAGAACUAUGCCGACAUGACCGAGACACCUCUAUGGUCAAUAACCAAUAGUGGGACCUAGAUGCCCAUACUGGUUCCUACAUAUUCAGUGAAUAUCUUUAUUGGUCGAACCAUGAUGCCAAGGAUUCAAUCAAUCUCGUAUGCAGUUCAGUUUGUCCAACGAUAUGUUACUUGCCCAAGAUUCGAUCGUCGGUAUCUCCAUACCUACUUCAAUCUUGUUAAUGGGAAGUCUCUUUACUCGUUCCGUAAUACAAGAUCCCGUGACUAACUCCUUAGGCACAUUGCUUGCAAGCUUCUUGUGAUACUGUAUUAUUGAGUGGGCCCAGAGUUACCUAUUUGUCAUACAGAGUGACAAAUCCCAGCCUCAAUCCAUGCCAACUCAACAGAUAACCUCAGAGAUACCAAUAGAGCAUUUUUGUAAUCACCCAGUUAUGUUGUGAAGUUUGAUACACACAAGGAAUUCAUCUGGUGUCAGGGAGUUGCAUGAUAUCAUGGUCUUAGGAACACAUACUUGCCAUGCAUAAAUCAACAACAAUAUACUUAAUGAUAUGAUCACAUGCUAUGCUUACGGUUGGGUCUUGUCAAUCAUAUCAUUCUGCUAAUGAUGUGAUCUCGCUAUCAAAUGACAAAUCAUGUCUAUGGCUAGGAAACCUUAACCAUAUUUGAUCAACGAGCUACUCUAGUAGAGGCUUACUAGGGGCGUGGUGUUGUCUAUGUAUCCACACAUGCAUCUGAGUUUCCAAUCAAUACAAUUAUAGCGUGGAUAAUAAACUAAUAUCAUGAACAAGGAAAUAUGUUAAUAACCACUUUAUUAUUGCAUCUAGGGCAUAUUUCCAAUAGUCUCUCACUUGCACUAGAGUCAAUAUUCUAGUAUUACAAGGUAAUGAAUCUAACACCCAUAGAGUUCUGGUGUUGAUCAUGUUUUGCUCGUGCGAGAGGUUUACUCAAUGGGUGUGCACCAUUCAGAUAGGUAUGUGAUACAUCUCCAACGUAUCUAUAAUUUUUGAUUGUUCCAUGCUAUUAUACUAUCAACUUGGGAUGUCUUAUAUGCAUUUAUAUGCCAUUUUAUAUCAUUUUUGGGACUAACUUAUUAACUCAGUGCCCACUGCCAGUUUCUGUUUUUCUGUGUUUUUGACCUUUUUUAGAAAAGAAUAUUAAACGGAGUCCAAACGGAAUAAAACCUGCGGGGUGAUUUUUUUUUCCAUAACAGAAGAUACGCAGGGGACUUGAGAACCAAGGCAGGAGGUCUCGGGGGAGGUCACGAGCCCCCUAGGCAUGCCCUAGGAGGGGGCCACGCCCAGCGGGCUCGCCCCCCCCCCCCCCCCGUGGCUCCUCUGCCCUACCUCUUUUGCCUAUAAAUUCUCUAAAAUCCUAAAACCAAAGAAGAGAGCCACCAAAAUACUUUUCCGCCGCCGCAAGCUUCUGUCUCCGCGAGAUCCCAUCUGGGGACCGUUCUGGUGCCCUGCUGGAGGGGGAUUCGUACAUGGAGGGCUUCUUCAGCAACACCAUUGCCUCUCCGAUGAUGCGUGAGUAGUUCACCACAGACCUUCGGGUCCAUAGCUAGUAGCUAGAUGGCUUCUUCUCUCUCUUGGAUCUUCAAUACAAAGUUCUCCAUGAUCUUCAUGGAGAUCUAUCUGAUGUAACUUUCUUUUGCGGUGUGUUUGUCGAGAUCCGAUGAAUUGUGGAUUUAUGAUCAGAUUAUCUAUGAAUAUUAUUUGAGUCUCCUCUGAUUUCUUAUAUGCAUGAUUUCGUAUCCUUGUAAUUCUCUUCGAGUUAUGGGUUUCGUUUGGCCAACUUGAUCUGUAAUUCUUGCAAUGGGAGAAGUGCUUGGUUUUGGGUUCAUACCGUGCGGUGUCCUCACCUAGUGACGGAAGGGGUAGCGAGGCACGCGUCGUGUUGCUGCCAUCAAGGGUAAAAAGAUGGGGUUUAUAUCAUAUUGCAUGAAUUUAUCCCUCUACAUCAUGUCAUCUUGCUUAAGGCGUUACUCUGUUUGUUAUGAACUUGAUACACUAGAUGCAUGCUGGAUAGCGGUCGAUGUGUGGAGUAAUAGUAGUAGAUGCAGAAAGUAUCGGUCUACUUGUCUCUGACGUGAUGCCUAUAUGUAUGAUCAUUGCCUUAGAUAUCGUCAUGACUUUGCACGAUUCUAUCAAUUGCUCGACAGUAAUUCGUUCACCCACCGUAAUAGUUGCUAUCAUGAGAGAAGCCUCUAGUGAACACUAUGACUCCCGAGUCUAUUUUACACAUUAUAUAUUCAGAUCUACAUACAAAAAUACCAAAAAUACCUUACUGCACUUUUAUUUUUACCUUUCAUCACUAUCAGAUCUCACCUUGCAAGUAAUCGUGAAGGGAUUGACAACCCCUUUAUCGCAUUGGGUGCAAGUUUAUUUGUUUUUGCGCAGGUUCAUUGGUGCCUCAUCUUGAUACUCCUACUGGAUUGAUACCUUAGUUCUCAAACUGAGGGAAAUACUUAUCUCUAAUUUGCUGUAUCACCCUUUCCUCUUCAAGGAAAAAACCAACGCAAGCUCAAUAAGUAGCAAGAAGAAUUUCUGGCACCGUUGCCGGGGAAUAUUCAAGUGAAGCAUAUCUACCAAGUACCUAUCGCAAACUCAUCUCUUGCAUUUACAUUAUUUGCCUUUUGCCUCUCGUUUUCCUCUCCCCCACUUCUAAAACGAUUUUUCGAAAAUACCAAAAAGAUUUUCCUUUUUAUUCGCUCUUCUUCUGUUCACCUUUUUGUUGGUAUGUUUGCUUGUGUUGCCAUGUGCCUUCUAUUUGCUUGCAUCUUCGCUUGCUAAAAUUCUAUUGAUAUGGAUCCUCAUCCACUUGCUAAUCUUUUCAAAAGACCAAAUUAUGAUGAACAAUUUGUAGUGAGUUGAGUGCUCUUGACUAUCUCUAUGGAGUUUUGUUUGAAAAUCAUGAAUCUGAAAAUUUUGAUGAAGUGUUGAAAGAAGAAAAUUAUAAAGUGGUUCAUGAUAUCUGCUUGAAUGGAAAACAUGAUUGCCAUGUUGUUAGUAUGAAUUUUCUGAAUAUCUAUGAUGCUAAUGAUAUGCAAAACCACAAGCUUGGGGAUGCUAUGCUUGAUGAAGAUGAUAUUUUUUGUUUCCCAAGUUUUGGUGAUGACCCUUAUGCUAUAAUUGAUCAUGAAAAGAAUGCUUUGUGUGAUAGUUAUAUUGUAAGAUUCCUUCAUGAUGUUACUGAAAAUUACUAUGAGAGAGGAACAUAUGCUUUUACAUAUUGCAAUAAUAUCAAGCUUCCUCUCUAUGUGUUCAAUGUUUUGAAGUUAUGCUUGUUUUGCCUUCCUAUGCUAGUUAAUUCUUGUUUCCAUAAAUUGUUUGCUCACAAAAUCCCUAUGCAUAGGAAGUGGGUUAGACUUAAACGUGUUUUUUGCCAUUCAUGAUGCUCUUUUGCAUAUCUCAACUACUACUUUUUAUGUGAGCAUGAUUGAAAUCUUUAAGCCUAACUAGGGGCGUUAAACGAUAGCGUUUGUUGGGAGGCAACCCAAUGAAUAAAUUUAUUUUUGCUUUUUACAUUCUGUUUUGUUGAGUCCACACCAUCAUAAUCCUGUUAUGAUUGUGUUUUUUAUGUUUUAAUUAGUGUUUGUGCCAAGUAGAACCUUUAUGAUUAGUUUUGGUGUUAGCUGUUUAAUCAUGCUGCAAAAACAUAGAAACUUUAUGCUCACAAAAUUAUUUUUAAUUCCUAUCCAGAAAGAGAUUUUGAGUUUAUUCCUUUUUAUGCUGAUUUAUAUGCAAAUUUCCCUAAUUUUCAUAAUUUUUCAGAAAUUUUGGGAUAGCAGAGUUAUACGAAAUAUACAUAUUGCUACAGACUAUUCUGUUUUUGACAGAUUCUGUUUUUGUUGUGUUGAUUACUUAUUUUGAUGAAACUAUGGUUAGUAUCGGAGGGUACGAGCCAUGGAGAAGUAAGAAUACAGUAAUAGAACAUCAAUCUAAAUGGAAAUCAAGUUUGCGACACUACCUAAAAAGUUGGUGGUUUGUUUUCUUAUGCUAAUGACAUCACGAGUUUCUGUUUUAGUUUUGUCUUGUGAAGUUUUCAAGUUUUGGGUGAUUUUCUUAUGGACAAUGGAAUAAAGAGUGGAAAUAGCCUAAGCUUGGGGAUUCCCAAGUCAUCCCAAGCCAAAUUCAAGGACACCAAAAAGCCUAAGCUUGGGGAUGCCCCGGGAAGGCAUCCCCUCUUUCGUCUUCAAUCCAUCGGUAACGUUACUUGGAGCUAUAUUUUUAUUUACCACAUGAUAUGUGUUUUCUUGAAGCGUCGUGUAUUAUAGGAUUCUUUGCUUUUUGUUUUAUCACAAUCAUCUUUGCUGCACACCUUUUUGAGAGGGACAUGGACUCAUCGUGAAUUUGUUAGAAUACUCAAUGAGCUUCACUUAUAUCUUUUGAGCUAGGCAAUUCAGCUCCCAUGAGCUUCACUUAUAUCUUUUGAGCUAGAUAAUUUUGCUCUAGUGCUUCACAUAAAUCUUUUUAGAGCACGGGGGUGUCAUAUUUUGUAGAAAUUAAAACUCUCGAUCUUCACUUAUAUCAUUUUGAGAGUGCUCUCUCUAAGUAACUUGGUAAUUAGCGUGUGCUAUGAAAUUAGUCCUAAAUAUGAUAGGCAUCCGAAGAGGAUAUAAUAAAAACUUUCAUAUUCAAGUGCAUUGAUUAGUAAGAGAAGUUUAAUUCCUCACAAUUAGUUUUGACAUAUGGAUAUGGUAAUAUUAGAGUUAUGUUAGUAGGUGUUGUGAAUCUAGAAAUACUUGUGUUGAGGUUAGUGAUUCCCGUAGCAUGCACGUAUGGUGAACCGCUAUGUUAGGAAGUCAGAGCAUAAUUGAUUUAUUGAUUGUCAUCCUUUGUGUGGCGGUCGGGAUCAUGCGAUGGUUAACACCUACCAACCCUUCCCCUAGGAGUAUGCGCUUAGCACUUUGUUUUGAUUACUAAUAAAACUUUCGCAAUAAGUAUAUGAGUUCUUGAUGACUAAUGUGAGUCCAUGGUAUAGAUGCACUCUCACCUUCCACCAUUGCUAGCCUCUCUAGUGCCGCACAACUUUCGCCGGUGCACAAACCCACCAUAUACCUUCCUCAAAACAGCCACCAUACCUACCUAUUAUGGCAUUUUCAUAGCCAUUCCGAGAUAUAUUGCCAUGCAACUUCCACCGUUCUGUCUCAUGACAUGUGCCGUCAUUUUCAUUUUUCCAUUGCAUGAUCAUAAGAUAGCUAGCGAGAUGUUUCAACGUCAUACGCUAAGCUAGAUCAUCGCAUAUCCCGGUACACUGUCGGAGGCAUUUCAUAUAUAGUCAUUAUUGUUCUAAGUAUUGAGUUGUAAGUAAAUAAAAGUGUGAUGAUCAUCAUUAUUAGAGCAUUGUCCCAUGUGAGAAAAAAAAGAGGCCAAAGAUGCCCACCAAAAAAAAUGAAAUGAAAAAAAAGAGGCCAAAGAGCCCAAACAAAAAAAAUGAUGAGAGAAAAAUAGAGAAGGGACAAUGCUACUAUCUUUUUCCACACUUGUGCUUCAAAAUAGCACCAUGUUCUUCAUGAUAGAGAGUCUCUUGUUUUGUCACUUUCAUAUACUAGUGGGAAUUUUCAUUAUAUAACUUGGCUUGUAUAUUCCAAUGAUGGGCUUCCUCAAAAUUGCCCUAGGUCUUCGUGAGCAAGCAAGUUGGGUGCACACCCACUAGUUUUCUUUUUGGGCUUUCAUACACUUAUAGCUCUAGUGCAUCCGUUGCAUGGCAAUCCCUACUCAUUCACAUUGAUAUCUAUUGAUGGGCAUCUCCAUAGCCCAUUGAUACGCCGAGUCGAUGUGACCAUCUCCUCCUUUUUGCCUCACAACCUCCACCACACUCUAUUCCACCUAUAGUGAUAUAUCCAUGGCUCACGCUCAUGUAUUGCGUGAGAGUUGAAAAAGUUUGAGAAAGUAAGAGUGCGAAAACAAUUACUUGGCCAAUACCGGGGUUGUGCAUGAUUUAAAUUUUUUGUGUGGGGAUGAUGGAGCAUAGCCAGACUAUAUGAUUUUGUAGGGAUAACUUUCUUUGGCCUUGUUAUUCCAAAAGUUCAUGAUUACUUUGCUAGUAUGCUUGAAGUAUUAUUGUUUUCAUGUCAAUAUUAAACUAUUGUUUUGAAUCUUACGGACCUAAACGUUCAUGCCACAAGAAAGAAGUUACAAAGAACAAAUAUGUUAGGUAGCAUUCCACAUCAAAAAUUUGGUCUUUAUCACUUCCCUACUCGAGAACAAGCAGGAGUUAAGCUUGGGGAUGCUUGAUACGUCUCCAACAUAUCUAUAAUUUUUGAUUGUUCCAUGCUAUUAUACUAUCAACUUGGGAUGUCUUAUAUGCAUUUAUAUGCCAUUUUAUAUGAUUUUUGGGACUAACUUAUUAACUCAGUGCCCAGUGUCAGUUUCUGUUUUUUCCGUGUUUUUGACCUUUUUCAGAAAAGAAUAUUAAACGGAGUCCAAACGGAAUAAAACAUGCGGGAUGAUUUUUUCCAUAAGAGAAGAUACGCACGGGACUUGAGAACCAAGGUAGGAGGUCUCGGGUGAGGUCACGAGCCAACUAGGCGCGCCCUAGGAGGGGGACGCGCCUAGCAGGCUCGUGGGCCUCCCGUGGCUCCUCUGCCCUACCUCUUUCGCCUAUAAAUUCUCUAAAAUCCCGAAACCAAAGAAGAGAGCCACCAAAAUACUUAUCCGCCGCCGCAAGCUUCUGUCUCCGCGAGAUCCCAUCUGGGGACCGUUCUGGUGCCGUGCCGGAGGGCGAUGCAGACACGGAGGGCUUUUUCAUCAACACCAUUGCCUCUCCGAUGAUGCAUGAGUAGUUCACCACAGACCUUUGGGUCCAUAGCUAGUAGCUAGAUGGCUUCUUCUCUCUCUUGGAUCUUCAAUACAAAGUUCUCCAUGAUCUUCAUGGAUAUCUAUCCGAUGUAACUUUCUUUUGUGGUGUGUUUGUCGAAAUCCGAUGAAUUGUGGAUUUAUGAUCAGAUUAUCUAUGAAUAUUAUUUGAAUCUCCUCUGAUUUAUUAUAUGCAUGGUUUUGUAUCCUUGUAAUUCUCUUCGAGUUAUGGGUUUCGUUUGGCGAACUUGAUCUGUAAUUCUUGCAACGGGAGAAGUGCUUGGUUUUGGGUUCAUACCGUGCGGUGUCCUCACCUAGUGACAGAAGGGGUAGCGAGGCACGCAUCAUGUUGUUGCCAUCAAGGGUAAAAAGAUGGGGUUUAUAUCAUAUUGCAUGAAUUUAUCCCUCUACAUCAUGUCAUCUUGCUUAAGGCGUUAAUCUGUUUGUCAUGAACUUAAUACACUAGAUGCAUGCUCGAUAGUGGUCGAUGUGUGGAGUAAUAGUAGUAGAUGCCAAAAGUAUCGGUCUACUUGUCUUGGACGUGAUGCCUAUAUGUAUGAUCAUUGCCUUAGAUAUCGUCAUGACUUUGUGUGAUUCUAUCAAUUGCUCAAUAGUAAUUCGUUCACCCACCGUAAUACUUGCUAUCAUGAGAGAAGCCUCUAGUGAACACUAUGAUCCCCGGGUCUAUUUUACACAUUAUAUGUUCAGAUCUACAUAAAAAAAUACCAAAAAUACCUUGCUGCACUUUUAUUUUUACCUCUCUUCACUAUCAGAUCUCACCAUGCAAGUAAUCGUGAAGGGAUUGACAACCCCUUUAUCGCGUUGGGUGCAAGUUUGUUUGUUUUUGCGGAGGUUCAUUGGUGCCUCAUCUUGAUACUCCUACUGGAUUGAUACCUUGGUUCUCAAACUGAGGGAAAUACUUAUCUCUACUUUGCUGCAUCACCCUUUACUCUUCAAGGGAAAAACCAACGCAAGCUCAAGAAGUUGCUGUAUGUACUUUGCAAAUGUUUAUGUCCUCCUCCUUGAUAUAAUCGUAGAUGGAAUUGAAGCGCUGCUUUAUGUAUCUGGUCAUUUUGUGAAACCUGGGUUCCUUGGCCACAACAAUGGCAUCGGUGUUGUCACAAAAGAGGGUCACUGGAUUUAGUGCACUGGGCAGAACUACAAGAUCCGUCAUGAACUGCUUCAUCGAUACACCUUCCUUUGCUGCUUCCGAAGGAGUUAUGUAUUGUGCUUCACAUGUAGAAUCUGCUACCACGCUUUGCUUGGAACUGCACUAGGUUACCGCUCCAUCAUUCAGAAUAAACACUUAUCUGGUCUGAGACUUAGAGUCAUCCGGACCUCUGUCAAAGCUAACAUCAAUGUAACCCUUUAGGACGAGCCCUUGAUCACCUCCAUAAACGAGAAACAUUUACUUAGUCCUCUUCAGGUACUUAAGGAUAUUCUUGACCGAUGUCCAAUGUUCCACUCUUGCAUCUCUUUGAAACCUUCCAGCCAUACUUAUGGCAAGGCUGAUAUCUGGUAUUGUGCACAACAUUGCAUAUAUGAUAGAGCCUAUCGCCGAGGGGGGUGACACUCAUCUUCUCACUAUCCUCUAUAGUUGCUCGGCAUUGAGUCUUACUCAACUUUAGACCUUGCAGGAUAGGCAAGAACCCCUUCUUGGACUGAUCCAUUUUGAACUUCUUCAAAACCUUAUCAAGGUAUGUGCUUUUUGAAAGUCCUAUUAAGCGUUUAGAUAUAUCUCUAUAGAUCUUGAUGCCUAAUAUGUAAGCAACUUCUUUGAGGUCUUUCAUUGAAACACUCUUGUUCAAAUAUAUCUUCAUGCUUUCCAAAAGGUUUAUAUUGUUUCCAAUCAGCAAUAUGUCAUCCACAUAUAAUAUUAGAAAUAAUAUAGAGCUCCCACUCACUUUAUUGUAAAUACGAGCUUCUCCAUAAACUUUUAUAAACCCGAAAGCUUUGGUCACCUCAUCAAAGCGAAGAUUCCAACUCCGAUAUGCUUGCACUAGUCCAUAAAUGGAUCGCUCGAGCUUGCAUAGUUUGUCAACAUUUUCAGGAUCGACAAAACCUUCCAGUUGUAUCAUAUACAACUCUUCCUUAAGGAAACCAUUAAGGAAUGUUGUUUUGACAUCCAUAUGCCAGAUUUCAUAAUAAAAAAUGCAGCUAUUGCUAACAUGAUUCUGAUGGACUUAAGCAUCGCUACGGAUGAGAAAGUCUCAUCGUAGUCAACUCCUUGAACUUGUGAAAACCCAUUUGCAACAAGUCGAGAUUUAUAGAUGGUGACAUUACCGUUUGCGUCCGUCUUCCUCUUAAAGGUCCAUUUGUUCUGGAUAGCCUUACGUCCAUCAGGUAAUAGUUCCAAAGUCCAUGCUUUGUUUUAAUACAUGGAUCCUAUCUCGGAUUUCAUGGCCUCUAGACAUUUUUUGGAAUCUGGGCCCACCAUCACUUCUCCAUAUCUUGUAGGUUCAUUGCUGUCCAACAACAUGACCUCCAAGACAGGAUUACUGUACCACUCAGGAGCAGUAUGUGUCCUUAUAGACCUACAAGGUUUGGUAGUAACUUCAUGUGAAGAUUCAUGAUCAUCAUCACUAGCUCCCUCUUCAAUCGGCGUAGGCGUCACACAAACACCUUCCUAUGCAGUGCUACUCUCCUUUUGAAGUGACGGUUCAUUAACCUCAUCAAGUUCUACCUUCCUCCCACUCAAUUAUUUUGAGAGAAACUCUUUCUCCAGAAAGGAUCCAUUCUUGCAACAAAGACUUUGCCUUCGGAUCUGAGAUAGAAGGUAUACCCUACUAUUUCCUUCGCGUACCCUAUGAAUACGCACUUCUUCGCUUUGGGUUUGAGCUUGUGAGGCUAAAGCCUUUUGACAUAAGGGUCACCACCCCCAAACUUUAAGAAACGACAACUUAGGUUUCUUGCCGAACCAUAAUUCAUACGGUGUCAUUGAAAGCACAUAUGCUCCCUUGGUGGUUUUGAUAAUUCAUGACAAUAUACAUUGUCUCUUGGACUAACACUUCUACCUAGUAUAUUUCAGGAUUAGUCCAUAGAGAGCAAUCACUAAAGGCUUGUGAGGAGAAGCUCCUUGAUGAAGGAAAGGGAAUAAGAUUUGCUCAAGCUUCAAGCUAGAAGACUCUUCAUUUUAUAUUUGUGAGGGAUCACUUUUGAGUGCAUAGGAAAGCUAAUACUAUUAAAAGGGGAUGAGGUAUUAAGAUGAAUUGGUUGCUCAAGUGCUCAAAGAUAGCCAUAAAAAAUGCUCAGCCAUUCUCCCACAUAACAUUUCUGUCCAAAGCCAACUAUCCAAAAUCGAUGCCACCAAGUUUUUAGAUUCGGCCUUACCGAUUUCCAACCCAUACAGAACCCUAGACAAACCUACCAUUUUGGUACAACCAAUUCUGCAUCGGUGUCACAACCCUAGAAUAUUGCUUGUAAAUAGUUGCACUGGCAUCCAUGACAUCAUGUUAAUUGUCCUUGAAUUUGAAAUGGGGAUGAUCAAACCCUAGCAUCAAUUUAGUUCAAUUAGGUUCAACCUUAUAUAAUUUUCAAUUAAUAUAAAAUGGCUUUAAAAAUGUCUAUUAUUUUUGGAAAAUGUUGGGAACAUCAACCAAAGGCGAUGCACAUUUUUCUUAGUCACGUGGGUUUUUGAAUUAACACAUAUUAUAUUUGAUUUGGGACCUUUAAAAUGCUAUAAAUAAUUUGAUGGCUCCAAUAAUUUUGAAACUUGCUGAGGGCCAUUGGAAUAAUCCUUUUAGUGCCCAUGAAAAGUUCCAGAAUUUUUUAUAAAUGAUUUGGUUAGUAAACAAAUUUUAAAACAAUUGCAGAAAAAUUGAAAAUACAAACAAAUAGAAAGAGAGACCCCCCCCCCCCCCCACGUGCAGUCCAGCCACAAGUUGGGCCAACCCACCAUGGCGUCGUGGUCAUCUUCAACCUAUGCCUACUGGUACACGUGAAGUCACGCACGCGCGCGUGCUCGGGCCGCCACGCCUUGCUUUGCGCUGGAGACGCCUCUCUCCCUUAUCCCCACGAUGCUGGACCGCCUCGACCCCCUCUAUUCAUUCCCCCUAUCUCUGCUCUUCCCCCUCGCCGCUAUCGAGCUCUUCUUAUCCGCCACAGCCGCCGGAAGCCUUUGUCGAUCCGCCACCGAGAGCCUCCUCCGAGCCAGUUGAGACCGCCCCGACCCCGCCGUGAGCCUCUGAUCCGUUUUCCCUAUCCUCCUCGCUGUGCUCACCCCCUAGAUGCCAUAUCCGCUAUGGCCGAGAUCCAGCCACCGUGUUGUUCAUGGCCGCCACCUACUCCGACCACCUCCGUUGCUGCCGCUAGCUCUAAUGGAUGCGUGCGAGAGCCAGCUCCCCGUAGCCGCAAACCGCAGUCGAAAUGGAGCUCUAUUGGCAAAUCCCGAGCAACGCCGGCAAGUCAUCGUCGUGGUUUUGGGUCACCGCGGCUAAAUGUCGGUGGUGAUGAUGUGGUAUUUUAGUUUAGGGCUAAUGACGUAUUUAGUAAACCACUAUCUAAUUAGCACACUAACCAGUCACUGACAACAGAACCUAGAGCCUGCUAAUUAUUCUCUUAGUUUGAACCAGACUAGAUUAAAUAACUGUUUCACUGGCUGAUGGGCCCCACAGGUCAGCUUUAACCAGGCCACGUCAGGGUUGACUGGCCCCACCAGUCAGCCUCUCGAGAUGCCCUUGUGUCAUUGACAUGUGGGUCCAGCCAGUCAGCUUUGACCUGGACCGUCUGACAUCAAGCUGACCUCAUGCUGAUGCAUUUAAUAAUUCCUGGAAUUAAAAUAAUUUAGGAAAUUCCACCCAUGAUUAAAACUUCUAAAAAUCAUAGAAAAUAAAUUAUAUAUGAAAAAUUAUCAGAAAAAUCCAAAGAAUUUGUUUAUGGCAUUUUCAUGCAUGUUAGGACAACUUUUGUCCUCUGUUUUGGACAGAUCAAAUAAAUGCCAUUUAAAUAACCACAUAUGAAGUUUGAAUUUGAACCUUUGGUUCAAACCAACUUCAUUUAAUGUUGUUGCUAGUUUCAUUAGCUCAACCAACAUCAUAUUGCCAUGUCAUGAUCAUGCAUCAUAAUGUUGCAUUUCCGUGAAUUAAAUGUUGUUCCUUUCCUGUUGCCGGUGUUUGUUCACCCUCGGUAGAUGAUGGUUCCGCUGUUGUGAUUGUUGACACCAAUGAAGACUCAUUGUUAUCUUCAGAACUGUCAAGCAAGAAAACAUCCUUGAGUAUUCCUAUACAAUCCCACUCUCUCGUUCGUGCUCUCUUUUACUGCAUUAGGACAACAACGCUUCAAGUGCUACAUGUUUUGGUAGUUGAACCCAUUCCUCUACAUAGCCUGUUUUUGCCACAAUAAAUAGUUGGAACCACUUAGCAUGAGUAUCAACUGCUUGAGCCUUGUUGUGCUUACUCAUACAUGCUUGCUUACUGUGUCUACUAUGCUUGGAGUGUGACGGGUCUGAUCCAUCUGGGAGAUGAAUUGGAAUGGUUGUAAUCAUGUCCUACUGUGUGAAAGCUAAGUGUGUGAAUGUGAUUUGGUAAAGGUAGUGAUGAGAGGCCAUGUAGGAGUACAUGGUGGGUUGUCUCAUUGAAACUGCUCUUAGGACAUGAGAUCUUGUGUUUCUGUUCCAAGACAAGAUACUACCGCACAUUGGGUUCCAGUAACUCGACCCCUCUCGGCCUAUUAACUUCCAUGUUCUCAGUCCAGGAGUCGCAGUAGUUUGAAAUGUUGAUAGGUGUGGCACGUCCCGCGAAGUGGAUGAAUGACCCAGUCGAGACCGGCUUGGGGUCGUGCUCACAACGUUUGAGGCCAUAUUAGAAACCUCGACCGGACUUCCAUUAUGGGUUCCGACUCAGAUAGGCAACUGCCUUGGAUGUGAGUCAUUGUAAGUUAACGUCCGUGGCGGACUCCCCCGCUGUGCUUUCGCUUGAAGGUUGCCGAGGUGCAUGAUGUGCACAUGGCGAUAAGUGGCGGGAGCAUGUGUGAAGAAGUAUACCCCUGCAGGGUGAAUGAUCUGUCCGAAUAGCCGCAUCCUCGGAUAUGGACUACUUGGACACUUAUAUGGUUCAUAGACAACCUAAACGGAUACUCUAGAAUACGCAAGAUAAGUGUGAGUGCUAUGGAUGGCCUUCUCGUAGGGAGACGGGAGAGGAUCCAUAGUGGUGUAUUGAUUUGGUGAAUAUGUGGACUCUUGUGCGCUAUCCCACCUGAAAGAAAGAAUUCAUGGUCGUAGUAUAGGUUAGCCAAGAGUCAAAGAUGGCUUGCUACAAUAAACUCCACAAUCCCCUAUGUCAAAAAUGAUGCAUAUGUAGAUAUUUCUGAUGUAAGACUUGUUGAGUACCUUUCAACUCACGGUUGCUUAAUUUAUGUUUUGCGGAUUAGGCAUUAGUCUCACUAUUGGUCUACGCGAUGUGUUCGACGUUAACCGGAAUAGCUUGGGAAUCCCACACAGAGGUCUAACUCCUAUGGUAGGGCCGUUGUAUCUUUUCAGGCUCUUUGAGCCACUUUUAAUAGAUGUCUAUACCCAGACAUGUAACUUCCGCUUGAUGUUUGUAUGCUCUGAAUGAUGGAUCAUGUGACACCCCUGUUGUAUCAUUGUACCAUGUUGGCUCUUCGAAGCCUAUUAAAUAAAUGGUGUGGCGUAGAGUUAUGUUGUGAUGCCAUGUUGUAUCUACACAUAUCAUGCAUAUUGUGUGUGUGUGUUUGAAAUGCAUUGAUAUGUGUGGGAUUCGACACCUAAUUGUGUGCCUCUAAUAGUACUCCUUACGGGGAAAUGCCUCUUUGUGCUUCCACCGAGCCUUGGUAGCUUGCUACUGCUUCGGACACAUUGAUUGACCGGCAUGUAUCCUUGUUUGCUGUUGUGUCCGUCCCCUAGGGGAAAUGUCACACAGUGUAACAGAGCCCCUGUAGCUUGCUACGACUCGCCUACACACACUGUUGACCGACACCCGCUUUGAUGGGUUAUGUGUGCAUGUCCCUGUAUGGAUGUGCCACUUGGGUUUAUAACAAGUCAUGUCGACCCAGGUUCUCUAACCUAUGAUUGUCGGCGAUAUAGUCAUAUACAUGAGCCAAAAGGCGCAAACGGUCCCGACCAAGGUAAGGUGGCAACUGUGGUGAUUACUGUGCGUGAGGCCACAAAGUGAUAUGAUGUGUUACAAGCUGCAACUAUAUGGCUUAGGAUCGGGGUCCCGACAGCCGGUGCUACCGAGUUCAGGUGACCAACCUUCUGUUGCUUCGGGACACAAAAUCGGAAUUUCCGAGUUUGAGUAUCGGUGUCACGAGUUGGGUCCUCUGACGGUUAGCCACCUUUUUGGUUCUAUCGAUUUGUUUAUAUCGGUCUCACCGAGAUUCCAAAGUUGCUGCCUUUUAUGCAAGUCAAUACCACCGAGUUUAUGACUUCCGUGUCACCGAGUUGGUCACUUUAGGUGUAACGGUUGGAUUUUGGGUGCUGCCUAUAUAUACUCCUCCACCAACCUCUCAUUCUAAGAGGAAGCACUCAGAACACACACUUCAUAGCCAAAUCCAUUUUUUUGAGAGAGAGCCACCUACUCAUGUGUUGAGAUCAAGAUAUUCAAUCCAUUCAUUUGAAACUUGAUCUCUAGCCUCCCCAAGUUGCUUUCCACCAAAUCAAUCUCUCGUACCCAUGCCUAUUCUGUGAGAGAGUGAUUGAGUGUUGAGGAGACUAUCUUUAGAAGCACAAGAGCAAGGAGUUCAUCAUUCUACCACAUCUAUUACCUUUUGGAGGGUGGUGCCUCCUAGAUUGGUUAGGUGUCGCUUGGGAGACUCCUACUUCGUGUUGUGGUGUUGAACCAAGAUGUUUGUAAGGGCAAGGAGAUCGCCUACUUCGUGAAGAUUUACUGUGAGUGAGGGUAGUCCUUCAUGGACGGAAACCAUGGUGGAAUAGACAAGGCCACUUCUUCAUGGACCCCUUGUGGGUAAAUCCCUCCGUGGACUCUCGCAGCCGUUACCCUUCGUGGGUUGAAGUCUCCACUAACAUGGACGCACGAUAGGGACACCUAUCGGAACCAUGCCAAACGAAGUCGAACGUACAUACGACGAUCUUCAUGCAUGAAUCGCCCUAUCAACCUCUUUGCGUUUGAUCUCCUAAACUCUACUCCUUACUACAUGUGCAAAGUCUUUUACUUUUUGUAGCCAUAUAUGUUGACUAACAUGUGUAGGCUGCACUAGACUUGUUAGAAUCGCUAGAAUCUGCCAACCAUUAAUUUGGGAAAAUGCUAGGAUUUUAAUCUUGUCAAGUAGUCUAUUCACCCACCUCUAGACACCUCUUCUAUCAAUCCCUCAAUUGGUAUCAGAGCGAGGUCUCCAAAACCUUGGUUUAAUCACCAUUGGAAGAAGAUGAAUGUGACUAGUUCAAGAAUUUUUAGUUGUAGAGUGUCCAUUCUCAAUGGUGAGUAUUAUACACAAGGGAAAGAUGAAAUGCUUGAUAUAUUUGAUGAAUUCCAUUUGCACAAGAUGUUGAAUAUCCCUAUGCGCCUCCCAUUGAUCCCGUACAUCCUUCUCAUGAUGAUGAAAUUGAUAUGAUUGGUAAUCUUAACAAUGUUAAUGUAAUCAUUAGAGGACUACCAAGAAAUGUGCUUAAUCAAAUGCAGAACUUUGAGUGUGCUCAUACUUUGUGGAAAGACUUAGAGGAAAGGUAUCCAAAUUAUUCCUUGAAAAAUAUUGAUAUCAUUAUCCAAAAAUGCAUUGCCUUUCACAAAAUGAAGCAAAUUUGAGCUUCGUGAGCUCACGCGUGCUAAAGGAGAUGUCAUUUCUGUUAACAAUAUCAUUGUUGAAGCCAUUCACAUGCAUAAAUAUGAAUAUUGUCAUAGUCAAAUUUCUGAUGAAAUUCUUGUUUCUUAUGAUGAGGGAACUUCAUCCGAUGAUGACUAUGUGGAGCAUGGCUACUACGAUGAAGAUGAGGAGUUUCACAUUGAGUAUGAGAAGACCAUGAGGAACCUUAGUCUUAUGGCGAACCUUAGAGACUACGUGGCUGGAGGAAAGGAGUGGAUACUUGACAGUGGAUGCACCGAUCACAUGAACGGAGAUAAGGACAUGUUCCAUGAGCUCACACCAAACCGUGGACCUCAAAGGUAUGUGACCUUUGGAGAUAACUCCAAGGGUAAGGUACUUGGUCUUGGUAAGGUGGACGUAUCUCAUGAUAGUUCCAUUCAAAAUGUCAUGCUUGUUGAAUCCCUUAGCUACAAUCUUCUUUUCGUAUCUAGACUAGAAGACUUUGGUUUUGAUGUGCUAUUUACGAAAGUUGACUGCCGAGUGUUCCGUAGCGGUGAUCUAUACAUUGUCGAUUUCAUUAAAAAAUCCAAACCUCGUACAUGUCUUAUUGCAAAAUUUUCUAAGGGUUGGCUGUGGCAUAGAAGGUUAGGACAUGUUGGUAUGCGUAAUCUUGACAAACUUAUAAAAGGUGAUCAUAUUCUUGGUGUUAAAGAUGUUAUCUUCGACAAAGAUAGACUUUGUAGUGCUUGUCAAGCAGGAAAGCAAGUUGGUGGAAGUCAUCCCGUGAAGAACAUCAUGACUACAAGAAGACCACUCAAGCUGCUUCACAUGGAUAUCUUUGGGCCCAAUGCUUACAAGAGCCUCGGUGGAAAUUCUUAUGGUUUAGUUAUUGUUGAUGAUUUUUCUAGAUUUACGUGGGUAUUCUUUCUUGAUGAUAAGUCGCAGGUACAAUGGAUCUUCAAGAACUUCGCUCGAAAAGCUCAAAAUGAGUUUGAGGUGAAGAUCAAAAAGGUUCGGAGCGACAACGGAACGGAGUUCAAGAACACUAAUGUGGAUACUUUUCUUGACGAAGAAGGUAUCUCACAUGAGUUCUCAGCGACGUACACACCUCAAGAAAAUGGAGUUGUUGAGAGGAAGAAUAGGACUCUCGUAGAGAUGGCCUAAAUGAUGCUUGACGAAUACAAGACGUCAAUACACUUUCGGGCAGAAGCCGUGGAAAUAGCUUGCCAUGCCAUAGAGCGACUUUACCUACACAAGCUUCUUGGUAAAAACGGCAUACGAGCUACUCACCGGUAACAAACCCCAAGUUGGAUACUUUCAAGUAUUCGACUCUAAGUGCUGCAUUCUUGAUAAGCAUCAUUGCUCUAAAUUUGCUCCUAAAUCUUAUGAAGCCUUGGCAUAUCUUCCUCCAAGAGAGUUAAUGGGACUUGGUCUCGAUGUCAACUAAAGAAUUGACUGAGUCAGGUAUUCCCUUAUGAAGGGCUAAUGCAGUCGAUUUCUUCACAUCUUCGGUCAAUUGGACUUUUUUCUAGUCUCGCCUUACUAAAAGGUAUUCCCAUAUCGGGUGAAUGACCAGAUCGAGAUAAGUUGGCCUUCUCUGAAUCUUUCUGAAUCCUUAAUCUAUCAAUAGAAGGACGACGAUACUCGAAGACUUUCCACUUUCAGCCCUAAGAGGAAACAACUCUCAAACGUGAUAAAAGCCCUAUUUUCGGCACCUUCACGCUCCUUGAAAAAUAGGGUACAACCCUAUAAUCUAAGCUCGGACUCAGUCAAGAUCCGAACAACGACGGAGCACUCAACUACAUGUUUAAUAACUAGUUGUCUUUUUCUCUUUGGAUUUUAGCGAACAGGCGUUUACAUGAGAUUAGUUGAGUAGGCUUGCCUUAUCUGCUAUAACAUAGCUAGUUGUGGGGAGUUGGCGCCUACAUAACAUGUAGCUUGUUUACCAAGCCGACUUUGAAAUAUUAUGCGGAUUGGGUAUCCAACCAAUUAAUCCUCCAAACCAACUAAAUCGGGGAAGCUGAAGCAGAAAUGCAAUUCUCGGGUGAGGGAAGGGGGAAGCUUCUGGAAGGCUUCGCUCGCUCGCUCAGAAAGCUCUAAUGCUCGUUUACAAGUGGUGUGCAUAAGCCCUUAUUGAAGUAGGGUGAGAUCUUACUACACGAGUUCGUAAGUCAAGCACCCACCUGUCAUUUGGUGGGAGUUGUGGGGCCCAUAUGUCAUUGGAACAGUGAGACACACCUACACUACACGCACACACAAUCUGUACACAUGUUUAUAUUCAUUCAUACAUACAUAUACACAUGCAUACAUAUAUUUGCACAUACACACAUCUGCACAUAUACAUACAUAUUUAUAUACACAUGCAUACAUACAUAUAUACCCCUUUUUCUACAUCCACACACAUGGGGGGGGGUAUCCCAAUACAGUAAUCACAGGGGGGUUUAACCCCCCUGGUUACAGGAUGGCGCAGGGCCGGCCGAGGCAAGGCCANNNNNNNNNNNNNNNNNNNNNNNNNNNNNNNNNNNNNNNNNNNNNNNNNNNNNNNNNNNNNNNNNNNNNNNNNNNNNNNNNNNNNNNNNNNNNNNNNNNNNNNNNNNNNNNNNNNNNNNNNNNNNNNNNNNNNNNNNNNNNNNNNNNNNNNNNNNNNNNNNNNNNNNNNNNNNNNNNNNNNNNNNNNNNNNNNNNNNNNNNNNNNNNNNNNNNNNNNNNNNNNNNNNNNNNNNNNNNNNNNNNNNNNNNNNNNNNNNNNNNNNNNNNNNNNNNNNNNNNNNNNNNNNNNNNNNNNNNNNNNNNNNNNNNNNNNNNNNNNNNNNNNNNNNNNNNNNNNNNNNNNNNNNNNNNNNNNNNNNNNNNNNNNNNNNNNNNNNNNAGAAUCUUACGAUCCAAACUAGCCCCUCUCAUUCUACAAUUUUGGUCAUAAAAUCGAAGUUUCUACAAUCCUGAUAGUUAUGAUUCUACAAUUCACGAUCCUAGCAACGGAGCUCCGAUCCGAUUCAGAAUCGUGAUUCUGACAACUUUGGCGCUCGGUCCCUCGCGUGGUCAUGGCGCUGGUGGGUGAGGGAGUGGGGCGCUCGGGGUGUGGGUUAGGUUUAGGUGGGGGUUAAAUACCCCAGGGGUGGCGUGGGCUUGUGGCUAGUUAGGUUGGCUGGGGGCCGACCCAAUGGUUUUUUUAUUUAUUUCUUUUCAAUUUAUGCUUUAGUUUCUUUUUAAACUUUGAUUUAUAAAAUANUGUCUCGGCCACAAAAAGUUUUAACCCCAACUAAAACUAGUCUAGUAUUUCAUAAAAUAUAAAAGGCACUUAUUUAUUUGUUUUUCUGUUGUUUUAAAUAUUAUAGUGCAUUCAAACAGUUUAUAAAAAUGUGGUUUUUUCACCAAAAUUAAUCAUGAUUUAUUUGCUACAACGUGAACAUUUUAGUUUUGACAUUUGAAAACUUUUAUUGUUUGACUUUAUUUUAAAUUUGAAUUGGAAUCGGUUUUGAACUAACGCGAGAUUAACAACAGUAAUCAUGGUGACGUGGCAUCAUUAGCAUAGGAUUACUAUAGCCUAAUUACAGAGAUCACUGUAGAAAAAACUGAGGAUGUCACAAAGCUACGGCAACAAAAGUCCUUCCCAAGCAACGCCAGGAAUUCUUCUUGCUACUUCUCUUGUUUGCGUCCGUUUUUCCCUUGAAGAGGAAAGGGUGAUGCAGCACACGAGCAGUAAGUAUUUCCCUCAGUUUGAGAACCAAGGCAUCGAUCCAGAAGGAGGGUAUCGUCAAGUCCAGAGUACCUGCCCAAACACAAACGAGCUUGCACCCAACGCUUCAAAGGGGUUAUCAAUGCCUCCAAGAUUGUUUGCAAAGUGAGAUCUGAAGGCGGAAAGUGCAACGAAGUAAAAAGUGUAAGGCUGAAAAUAUGGUGUGGAGUAGACCCGGGGGCCAUAGUGUUCACUAGAGGAUUCUCUCAAAAUUGCAAAUAUCACGGUGGGUGAACAAAUUACUGUCGAGCAAUUGAUAGAACCGCGCAAAGUCAUGACGAUAUCUAUGGCAAUGAUCAUACAUAUAGGCAUCACGUCCGAGACAAGUAGACCGAUACUUUCUGCAUCUACUACUAUUACUCCACACAUCGACCGCUAUCCAGCAUGCAUCUAGUGUAUUGAGUUCAUGAUGAACAGAGUAAUGCCUUAGGCAAGAUGACAUGAUGUAGAGGGAUACUCUCAAACCAAUGAUGAAAACCCCAUCUUUUUACCCUUGAUGGCAACAAAAUGAUGCGUGCCUCGCUACCCCUUCUGUCACUAGGUGAGGUCACCGCACGGUAUGAACCCAAAACCAAGCACUUCUCCCAUUGCAAGAAUCAUAGAUCUAGUUGGUCAAACAAAACCCACAACUCGAAGAGAAUUACAAGGAUAUGAAAUCAUGCAUAAGAGAGAUCAGAAGAAACUCAAAUAAGAUUCAUAGAUAAUCUCAUCAUAAAUCCACAAUUCAUCGGAUCUCCAUAAACACACCACAAAAGAAGAUUACAUCGGAUAGAUCUCCAUGAAGAUCAUGGAGAACUUUGUAUUGAAGAUCCAAGAGUGAGAAGAAGCCAUCUAGUUACUAGCUAUGGACCCGUAGGUCUAUGGUGAACUACUCACGCAUCAUCGGAGAGGCCAUGGUGUUGAUGAAGAAGCCCUCCAUAUCCGAAUCCCCCCUCCGGCAGGGCACCAGAACGUGCCCGAGAUGGGAUCUUGCAGAGACAGAAGCUUGCGGCGGCGGAAAAGUACUUUCGAUGAUCUCCUGAUUUUUUGUGGAAUUUUUGGGGAUAUAUAGGCGCAAAACCUAGGGCAAAGGGCGCCCACGGGGCCCACAAGCUGUGGGCCGCGGCCUCCCCCCUGGCCGGAGGGUUAGGGCUUGUGGGGCCCCUGGGGCUCCCCUGACUUGGCUCUCAAGUCUCCUGAUCUUCUUCUGUUACGGAAAAUUCUUUUCAGGGAUUUUAUUCCGUUUGGACUCUGUUUCAAAAUCUCCUCUGAAAGGGGUCAAAAACAGGAACUGGCACCUGGCACAGUACCAAAAAAUAUAUAAAAGGCAUGCAAAACAUCCAAAGUUUGACAAGAUAAUAGCAUGAAACCAUCAAAAAUUAUAGAUACGUUGGAGACGUAUCAAGCACCCCCAAGCUUAACUCCUGCUCGUCCUUGAGUAGGGAAGUGAUAAAGAAUGAAUUUUUGAUGUGGAAUGCUACCUAGCAUAGUUGUCCUUUGCAACUUCUAUCACAUGACAUGAAUGUUUAGAUCCGUAAGAUUCAAAACAAUAGUUUGCUAUUGACAUGAAAACAAUAAUACUUCAAGCAAACUAGCAAGGUAAUCAUGAACUUUCAAAAUAACAAGGCCAAGGAAAGUUAUCCCUACAAAAUCAUAUAGUCUGGCUAUGCUCCAUCAUCCUCACACAACUAAUGUAAAUCAUGCACAACCCGGUAUUGGCCAAGUAAUUGUUUUCGCACUCUUACUUUCUCAAACUUUUUAUAACUAUACAUGAACGUGAGCCAUGGAUAUAGCACUAUAGGUGGAAUAGAGUGUGGUGGUGGUUGUGAUACAAAAAGGAGGAGAUGGUCACAUUGACUCGGUGUAUCAAAGGGCUAUGGAGAUGCUCAUUGAUAGAUAUCAACGUGAAUGAGUAGGGAUUGCCAUACAAGAGAUGCACUAGAGCUAUCAGUAUGUGAAAGCUCAAAAGGAGAACUAGUGGGUGUGCAUCCAACUUGCUUGCUCACGAAGACCUAGGGAAAUUUGAGGAAGCCCAUCAUUGGAAUAUACAAGCCAAGUUUUAUAAUGAAGGUUCCCACUAGCAUAUGGUGGUGACAAAGCAAGAAGCUCUCAAUCAUGAAGAACAUGGUGCUUAUUAUGAAGCACAAGUGUGGAAAAAGAUAGUAGCAUUGUCUCUUCUCUUUUUUUUCAUUUGGGUUCUUAGACCUCUUUUUUCUCUAAUUUUUUUAUUUUUGGGCUAUUUGGCCUAUUUUUUUCCUCACAUGGGACAAUGCUCUAAUAAUGAUGGUCAUCACACUUUCAUUUACUCACAGCUCAAAGCUCAAAAUGAUAAUGACUCUAUAGGAAAUGCCUCCGGCAGUGUACCGGGAUGUGCAACAAUCUAGCAUGGCGUAUGACGUUGAAAACAUCUCGCUAGCUAUCUUACGAUCAUGCAAUGGCAAUAUAAGAGUGACGACACAAGUCAUGAGACAGAACGGUGGGAGUUGCAUGGCAAUAUAUCUCGGAAUGGCUAUGAAAAUGCCAUAGUAGGUAGGUAUGGUGGCUGUUUUGAGGAAGGCAUAUGGUGGGUUUGUGCACCGGCGAGAAUUGCGCGGCACUAAAGAGGCUAGCAAUGGUGGAAGGUGAAAGUGCUGUUGGGAAACGUCGCAUGGGAAACAAAAGUUUUCCUACACGCACGAAGACCUAUCAUGGUGAUGUCCAUCUACGAGAGGGGAUAUUCGAUCUACGUACCCUUGUAGAUCGCACAACACAAGCGUUAAGAAAAUGCGGUUGAUGUAGUGGAAUGUCCUCACGUCCCUCGAUCCGCCCCGCGAACCGUCCCGCGAUCCGUCCCACGAUCUAGUGCCGAACGGACGGCACCUCCGCGUUCAGCACACGUACAGCUCGACGAUGAUCUCGGCCUUCUUGAUCCAGCAAGAGAGACGGAGAGGUAGAUGAGUUCUCCGGAAGCGUGAUGGCACUCCGGAGGUUGGUGGUGAUCUAAUCUCAGCAGGGCUCCGCCCGAGCUCCGCAGAAACGCGAUCUAGAGGUAAAACCGUGGAGAUAUGUGGUCGGGCUGGCGUGGCAAAGUUGUCGCAAAUCAGCCCUAAAACCUCCGUAUAUAUAGGUGGGAGAGGGGGGGCCUUGCUUUGGGGCUCAAGGAGCCCCAAGGGGGUCGGCCGAGCCAAGGGGGGGGAGUCCUCCCCUUCCAAACCGAAUCCAACUAGGUUUGGAAGGAGGAGUCCUUCCCCUUUUUCCCACCUCCUCUUUUUUUUCUCUUUGAUUUUCUUCCUAUGGCGCAUAGGGCCUUCUUGGGCUGUCCCACCAGCCCACUAAGGGCUGGUGCGCUACCCCCAAGGCCUAUGGGCUUCCCCGGGGUGGGUUGCCCCCCCGGUGAACACCCGGAACCCAUUCGUCAUUCCCGAUAUAUUCCCGGUAACUCCGAAAACCUUCCGGUAAUCAAAUGAGGUCAUCCUAUAUAUCAAUCUUCGUUUCUGGACCAUUCCGGAAACCCUCGUGACGUCCGUGAUCUCAUCCGGGGCUCCGAACAACAUUCGGUAACCAACCAUAUAACUCAAAUACGCAUAAAACAACGUCGAACCUUAAGUGUGCAGACCCUGCGGGUUCGAGAACUAUGCAGACAUGACCCGAGUGACUCCUCGGUCAAUAUCCAAUAGCGGGACCUGGAUGCCCAUAUUGGAUCCCACAUAUUCUACGAAGAUCUUAUCGUUUGAACCUCAGUGCCAAGGAUUCAUAUAAUCCCGUAUGUCAUUCCCUUUGUCCUUCGGUAUGUUACUUGCCCGAGAUUCGAUCGUCAGUAUCCGCAUACCUAUUUCAAUCUCGUUUACCGGCAAGUCUCUUUACUCGUUCCGUAAUACAAGAUCCCGCAACUUACACUAAGUUACAUUGCUUGCAAGGCUUGUGUGUGAUGUUGUAUUACCGAGUGGGCCCCGAGAUACCUCUCCGUCACACGGAGUGACAAAUCCCAGUCUCGAUCCAUACUAACUCAACGAACACCUUCGGAGAUACCAAUAGAGCAUCUUUAUAGUCACCUAGUUAAGUUGCGACGUUUGAUACACACAAAGCAUUCCUCCGGUGUCAGUGAGUUAUAUGAUCUCAUGGUCAUUGGAACAAAUACUUGACACGCAGAAAACAGUAGCAACAAAAUGACACGAUCAACAUGCUACGUCUAUUAGUUUGGGUCUAGUCCAUCACGUGAUUCUCCUAAUGACGUGAUCCAGUUAUCAAGCAACAACACCUUGUUCAUAAUCAGAAGACACUGACUAUCUUUGAUCAACUGGCUAGCCAACUAGAGGCUUGCUAGGGACAGUGUUUUGUCUAUGUAUCCACACAUGUAUAUAAGUCUUCAUUCAAUACAAUUAUAGCAUGGAUAAUAAACGAUUAUCUUGAUACAGGAAUUAUAAUAAUAACUAUAUUUAUUAUUGCCUCUAGGGCAUAAUUCCAACAGUCUCCCACUUGCACUAGAGUCAAUAAUCUAGCCCUCACAUCAUCAUGCGAAUUACAUUGUAAUAAAUCUAACACCCAUACAGUUCUGGUGUUGAUCAUGCUUUGCUCGUGGAAGAGGUUUAGUCAGUGGGUCUGCUACAUUCAGAUCCGUGUGCACUUUGCAUAUAUUUACGUCCUCCCCUUCGACGUAGUCGCGGAUGAGGUUGAAGCGUCGUUUGAUGUGUCUGGUCUUCUUGUGAAACCGUGGUUCCUUUGCUAAGGCAAUGGCACCCGUGUUGUCACAGAACAAGGUUAUUGGAUUCAGUGCGCUUGGCACCACUCCAAGAUCCGUCAUGAACUGCUUCAUCCAGACACCUUCCUUAGCCGCCUCCGAGGCAGCCAUGUACUCCGCUUCACAUGUAGAAUCUGCUACGACGCAUUGCUUGGAACUGCACCAGCUUACCGCACCCCCAUUAAGAAUAAAUACGUAUCCCGUCUGUGACUUAGAGUCGUCCGGAUCUGUGUCAAAGCUUGCAUCGAUGUAACCCUUUACGGCGAGCUCUUCGUCACCUCCAUACACGAGAAUCAUCUCCUUAGUCCUUUUCAGGUACGUCAGGAUAUUCUUGACCGCCGUCCAGUGAUCCACUCCUGGAUUACUCUAGAACCUGCCUGCCAUACUUAUGGCCAGGCUAACGUCCGGUCUAGUGCACAGCAUUGCAUACAUGAUAGAUCCUAUGGCUGAAGCAUAGGGGACUGUGCUCAUGUGCUCUCUAUCCUCAUCAGUUGCUGGGCACUGAGUCUUACUCAAUCUCGUACCUUGUAAAACUGGCAAGAACCCUUUCUUGGACUGUUCCAUUUUGAACCUCUUCAAAACUUUAUCAAGGUAUGUGCUUUGUGAAAGUCCUAUCAGGCGUUUUGAUCUAUCCCUGUAGAUCUUAAUGCCUAGAAUGUAAGCAGCUUCUCCUAGGUCCUUCAUAGAGAAACUUUUAUUCAAGUAAUUCUUUAUGCUCUCCAAAAACUCUACGUUGUUUCCAAUCAGCAAUAUUUCAUCCACAUAUAAUAUUAGAAACGCCACAGAGCUCCCACUCACUUUCUUGUAAAUACAAGAUUCUCCAACCACUUGUAUAAACCCAAAUGCUUUGAUCACCUCAUCAAAGCGUUUGUUCCAACUCCGAGAUGCUUGCACCAAUCCAUAAAUGGAUCGCUGGAGCUUGCACACCUUGUUAGCAUUCUUAGGAUCGACAAAACCUUUGGGUUGCAUGAUAUACAACUCUUCCUUAAGGAAACCGUUAAGGAACGCCGUUUUGACAUCCAUCUGCCAGAUUUCAUAAUCGAAAAAUGCAGCUAUUGCUAAGAUGAUUCUGACGGACUUAAGCAUCGCUACGGGUGAGAAUGUCUCAUCGUAGUCAACUCCUUGAACUUGUGAAAAACCCUUUGCCACAAGUCGAGCUUUAUAAACGGUCACAUUGCCGUCAGCGUCCGUCUUCUUCUUAAAGAUCCAUUUGUUCUGAAUAGCCUUGCGGCCCUCAGGUAGUACUUCCAAAGUCCACACUUUGUUCUCAUGCAUGGAUCCUAUCUCGGACUUCAUGGACUCUAGCCAUUUGUUGGAAUCUGGGCCCACCAUUGCUUCUUCAUAAUUUGCAGGUUCACUGUUGUCUAACAACAUGAUUGACAAAACGGGAUUACCGUACCACUCUGGAGCAGCACGUGGUCUCGUCGACCUGCGUGGUUCGACAGGAACUUGAACCGGAGUUUCAUGAUCAUCAUCAUUAACUUCCUCCUCAACCGGCGUCGCAACAACAAAGGUUUCCCCUUGCCCCGCGCCACCAUCUAGAGGGAUGAGUGGUUCGACAACCUCAUCAAGUUCUAUCUUCCUCCCACUGAAUUCUCUCGAGAGAAACUCCUUCUCGAGAAAAGGUCCGUUUUUAGCAACAAACACUUUUCCCUCGGAUUUGAGAUAGAAGGUGUACCCAACUGUCUCUUUUGGGUAACCUAUGAAGAUGCACUUUUCCGCUUUGGUUUCCAGCUUUUCAGGCUGAAGCUUUUUGACAUAAGCAUCACAUCCCCAAACUUUAAGAAACGACAACUUUGGCCUUUUGCCAUACCACAGUUCGUAUGGUGUCGUCUCAACGGAUUUUGAUGGUGCCCUAUUUAAAGUGAAUGCAGCUGUGUCUAAUGCAUAACCCCAAAACGAUAACGGCAAAUCGGUAAGAGACAUCGUAGAUCACACCAUCUCUAAUAAAGUACGAUUACGACGUUCGGACACACCAUUACGCUGUGGUGUUCUAGGCGAUGUCAACUGUGAAACAAUUCCACAUUGUCUUAAGUGGGCACCAAACUCGACACUCAGAUAUUCACCCCCACGAUCAGACCGUAGGAACUUGAUCUUCUUGUUACGAUGAUUUUCAACUUCACUCUGAAAUUGCUUGAACUUUUCAAAUGUUUCAGACUUGUGCUUCAUUAAGUAGACAUAACCAUAUCUACUCAAAUCGUCAGUGAAGGUGAGAAAAUAACGAUAUCCGCCGCGUGCCUCUAUGCUCAUCGGACCGCACACAUCGGUAUGUAUGACUUCCAACAAGUCACUGGCACGCUCCAAUGUUCCGGAGAACGAAGUUUUAGUCAUCUUGCCCAUGAGGCAUGGUUCGCACGUGUCAAGUGAAUCAAAGUCAAGUGACUCCAAAAGUCCAUCAGCAUGGAGUUUCUUCAUGCGUUUUACACCAAUAUGACCUAAGCGUCAGUGCCACAAAAAUAUGGCGCUAUCAUUGUUAACACUAACUCUUUUUGUCUCAAUGUUAUGUAUAUGUGUAUCACUAUCAAGAUUCAAUAUGAACAAUCCUCUCACAUUGGGUGCAUGACCAUAAAAUAUGUUACUCAUAGAAAUAGAACAACCAUUAUUCUCUGACUUAAAAGAGUAACCGUCUCGCAAUAAACAAGAUCCAGAUAUAAUGUUCAUGCUCAACGCAGGAACUAAAUAACAAUUAUUCAAGUUCAUAACUAAUCCUGAUGGUAACUGAAGUGAAACUGUGCCGACGGCGAUUGCAUCAACCUCGGAACCAUUUCCUACGCGCAUCGUCACUUCAUCUUUCGUCAGCCUUCGUCUAUUCCGCAGUUCCUGUUUCGAGUUGCAAAUGUGAGCAACAGAACCGGUAUCGAAUACCCAGGCACUACUACGAGAGCCAGUUAAGUACACAUCAAUAACAUGUAUAUCAAAUAUACCUGAUUUUUCUUUGGUCGCCUUCUUAUCAGCCAGAUACUUGGGGCAGUUGCGCUUCCAGUGACCCAUACCCUUGCAAUAGUAGCACUCUGUUUCAGGCUUAGGUCCAGCAUUGGGUUUCUUCGUCGGAUUGGCAACAGGCUUGCCGCUCUUCUUUGAAUUACCCUUCUUGCCUUUGCCGUUUCUCUUGAAACUAGUGGUCUUAUUCACCAUCUACACUUGAUGCUCUUUACGGAGUUCAGACUCUGCGACUUUCAGCAUCGCAAACAACUCGCCGGGUGACUUGUUCAUCCCUUGCAUGUUGUAGUUCAACACAAAGCCCUUAUAGCUUGGCGGCAGUGAUUGAAGGAUUCUGUCAGUGAUAGCCUCUUGCGGGAGUUCAAUCCCCAGCUCAGCUAGACGGUUUGAGUACCCAAACAUUUUGAGCACAUGUUCACUGACACACAAAUUCUCCUCCAUCUUGCAAGCAUAGAAUUUAUCGGAGGUCUCAUACCUCUCAAUCCGGGUGUUCUUCUGAAAUAUAAACUUCAACUCCUGGAACAUCUCAUAUGCUCCAUGACACUCAAAGCGACGUUGAAGUCCCGGUUCUAAGCCAUACAAGACUGCACAUUGAACUACUGUGUAGUCCUCCUUACGUGUUAACCAAGCGUUCUUAACAUCCUGGUCAGCCGUAGCGGGUGGUUCAUCUCCUAGCGCAGCAUUAAGGACAUAAUCCUUCUUCCCAGCUUGUAAGAUUAGCUUAAGAUUACGAGCCCAGUCUACAAAGUUGCUUCCAUCAUCUUUCAGCUUAGCUUUCUCUAGGAACGUAUUAAAAUUCAGGGUGACUGUCGCGUGAGCCAUGAUCUACAACACAAAUAUAUUCAAAGUGGACUUAGACUAUGUUCAAGAUAAUUAGAGUUUAACUUAAUCAAUUUACUUGCUAAACUCCCACUCAAAAAGUACAUCUCUCUAGUCAUUUGAGUGGUUCAUGACCCACUUACACUAGCUCAAGUCCGAUCAUCACAUGAGUUGAGUAUAGUUUCAGUGGUAAGCAUCCCUAUGCUAAUCAUAUCAUCUAUAUGAUUCAUGAUCGACCUUUCGGUCUCAUGUGUUCCGAGGCCAUGUUUGCACAUGCUAGGCUCGUCAAGCUUAACCCGAGUGUUCCGCGUGUGCAAUUGUUUUGCACCCGUUGUAUGUGAACGUUGAGUCUAUCACACCCGAUCAUCACGUGGUGUCUCGAAACGACGAACUGUAGCAAUGGUGCACAGUCGGGGAGAACAAAAUUUCGUCUUGAAAUUUUAGUGAGAGAUCACCUCAUAAUGCUACCGUCGUUCUAAGCAAAAUAAGGUGCAUAAAAGGAUUAACAUCACAUGCAAUUCAUAAGUGACAUGAUAUGGCCAUCAUCACGUGCUCCUUGAUCUCCAUCACCAAAGCACCGACACGAUCUUCUUGUCAUCGGCGCCACAACGUGUCGCCAUCGGGGUUGUCGUGCUACUCAUGCUAUUACUACUAAAGCUACAUCCUAGCAAAAUAGUAAACACAUCUGCAAGCACAAACGUUAGUUUAAAGACAACCCUAUGGCCCCUGCCGGUUGCCGUACCAUCCACGUGCAAGUCGAUAUUAUCUAUUACAACAUGAUCAUCUCAUACAUCCAAUAUAUCACAUCACAUCGUUGGCAAUAUCACAUCAGAAGCAUGCCCUGCAAAAACAAGUUAGACGUCCUCUAAUUUUGUUGUUGCAUGUUUUACGUGGUGACCAUGGGUAUCUAGUAGGAUCGCAUCUUACUUACGCAAACACCACAACGGAGAUAUAUGAAUUGCUAUUUAACCUUAUACAAGGACCUCCUCGGUCAAAUCCGAUUCACCUAAAGUUGGAGAAACUGACACUUGCCAGUCAUCUUUGAGCAACGGGGUUACGCCAGUGAAGGUGAGAAAAUAACGAUAUCCGCCGCGUGCCUCUACGCUCAUCGGUCCAAGACGCUUCAAUCCAACAAUACCGCGGAAUCAAGAAAAUACUACGGAGGGCAGAAAAAUGCACAUCACCGCCCACAAAAACUUUUGUGUUCUACUCGAGAAGACAUCUACGCAUGAACCUAGCUCAUGAUGCCACUGUUGGGAAACGUCGCAUGGGAAACAAAAAUUUUCCUACGCGCACGAAGACCUAUCAUGGUGAUGUCCAUCUACGAGAGGAGAUAUUCGAUUACGUACCCUUGUAGAUCGCACAAUAGAAGCAUUAAGAAAACGCGGUUGAUGUAGUGGAACGUCCUCACGUCCCUCGAUCCGCCCCGCGAACCGUCCCGCGAUCCGUCCCACGGUCUAGUGCCGAACGGACGGCACCUCCGCGUUCAGCACACGUACAGCUCGACGAUGAUCUCGGCCUUCUUGAUCCAGGAAGAGAGACGGAGAGGUAGUUGAGUUCUCUGGCAGAGUGACGGUGCUCCGGAGGUUGGUGGUGAUCUAAUCUCAGCAGGGCUCCGCCCGAGCUCCGCAGAAACGCGAUCUAGAGGUAAAACCGUGGAGAUAUGUGGUCGGGCUGGCGUGGCAAAGUUGUCGCAAAUCAGCCCUAAAACCUCCGUAUAUAUAGGUGGGAGAGGGGGGGGCCUUGCCUUGGCGCUCAAGGAGCCCCAAGGGGGUCGGCCGAGCCAAGGGGGGGAGUCCUCCCCUUCCAAACCGAAUCCAACUAGGUUUGGAAGGAGGAGUCCUUCCCCUUUUUCCCACCUCCUUUUUUUUUUCUCUUUGAUUUUCUUCCUAUGGCGCAUAGGGCCUUCUUGGGCUGUCCCACCAGCCCACUAAGGGCUGGUGCGCUACCCCCAAGGCCUAUGGGCUUCCCCGGGGUGGGUUGCCCCCCCGGUGAACACCCGGAACCCAUUCGUCAUUCCCGAUAUAUUCCCGGUAACUCCGAAAACCUUCCGGUAAUCAAAUGAGGUCAUCCUAUAUAUCAAUCUUCGUUUCUGGACCAUUCCGGAAACCCUCGUGACGUCCGUGAUCUCAUCCGGGACUCCGAACAACAUUCGGUAACCAACCAUAUAACUCAAAUACGCAUAAAACAACGUCGAACCUUAAGUGUGCAGACCCUGCGGGUUCGAGAACUAUGUAGACAUGACCCGAGAGACUCCUCGGUCAAUAUCCAACAGCGGGACCUGGAUGCCCAUAUUGGAUCCUACAUAUUCUACAAAGAUGUUAUCGUUUGAACCUCAGUGCCAAGGAUUCAUAUAAUCCCGUAUGUCAUUCCCUUUGUCCUUCGGUAUGUUACUUGCCCGAGAUUCGAUCGUCAGUAUCCGCAUACCUAUUUCAAUCUCGUUUACCGGCAAGUCUCUUUACUCGUUCCGUAAUACAAGAUCCCGCAACUUACACUAAGUUACAUUGCUUGCAAGGCUUGUGUGUGAUGUUGUAUUACCGAGUGGGCCCCGAGAUACCUCUCCGUCACACGGAGUGACAAAUCCCAGUCUCGAUCCAUACUAACUCAACGAACACCUUCGGAGAUACCAAUAGAGCAUCUUUAUAGUCACCCAGUUACGUUGCGACGUUUGAUACACACAAAGCAUUCCUACGGUGUCAGUGAGUUAUAUGAUCUCAUGGUCAUAGUUACAAAUACUUGACACGCAGAAAACAGUAGCAACAAAAUGACACGAUCAACAUGCUACGUCUAUUAGUUUGGGUCUAGUCCAUCACGUGAUUCUCCUAAUGACGUGAUCCAGUUAUCAAGCAACAACACCUUGUUCAUAAUCAGAAGACACUGACUAUCUUUGAUCAACUGGCUAGCCAACUAGAGGCUUGCUAGGGACAGUGUUUUGUCUAUGUAUCCACACAUGUAUAUAAGUCUUCAUUCAAUACAAUUAUAGCAUGGAUAAUAAACGAUUAUCUUGAUACAGGAAUUAUAAUAAUAACUAUAUUUGUUAUUGCCUCUAGGGCAUAAUUCAAACAAGUGCAUCUAUACCAUGGACUCACAUUAGUCAUGAAGAACUCACAUACUUGUUGCGAAAGUUUUUAUUAGUAAUCGAAACAAAGUGCUAAACACAUACUCCUAGGGGAAGGGUUGGUAGGUGUUAACCAUCGCGCGAUCCCGACCUCAACACAAAGGAUGACAAUCAAUAGAUCAAUUAUGCUCCGACUUCCUAACAUAGCAGUUCACCAUACGUGCAUGCUACGGGAAUCACUAACUUCAACACAAGCAUUUCUAGAUUCACAACACCCUACUAACAUAGCUCUUAAUAUUACCGAAUCCACGUCUCAAAACUAAUUGAGAGGAAUCAAUACUUCUCUUUCUACUCAAUGCACAUGAAGAUGGAGGUUUUUGCAUCCUCUUUGGGUGCCUAUCACCUUUGGGACUACUUUCAUAGCAUAAGCCAACUACCAAGUCACGCACCGCUGUGCUCUAAAAGAUAUAAGUGAAGCACAUAGAGCAAAAGUAUCUAGCUCAAAAGAUAUAAGUGAAGCACUAUGAGCAUUCUAGCAAAAUCACGAUGAGUGCAUGUAUCUCUCUCUCUCAAAAAGGUGUGAAGCAAGGAUGAUUGUGACACAACAAAAAGAAAAGACUCCUACGAUACAAGAUGCUCCAAGCAAAACACAUAUCAUGUGGUGAAUAAAAAUAUAGCUCCAAGUAAUGUUACCGAUGGAUUGAAGACGAAAGAGGGGAUGCCUUCCCGGGCAGCCCCAAGCUUAGGCUUUUUGGUGUCCUUGAAUAUGGCUUGGGGUGCCUUGGGAAUCUCCAAGAUUGAGCUCUUUCCACUCCUUAUCUCUUUGCCAUGGGAACAUCACCCAAAACUUGAAAACUUCUUAACACAAAACUUAAACAGAAACUCGUGAUAACAUUAGCACAAGAAAACAAACUACCACUUCUUUUGGUACUGUAGAAAACUUGAAUUCCAUCUAUAUUGGUGUUGGGCUACUGUAUUCUCACUUUUCCAUGGCUAGUACCCCCCGAUACUAACCAUAGUUUCAUCAAAACAAGCAACCAACUCAACAAAAAACAGAAUCUGUCAAAAACAGCCCAGUGUGUAGCAAUCUGUAUACUUUGUAUACUUAUGGUACCUCCAAAAAUCUGAAAAAUUAUGAAUGACUAGGCAAAAGGCAUAUCAACCAGCAGAAAAAAGAAUCAACUAAAAAGAUCUUUCUGAAUAAAAAUGAAAAAUCAUCUCGUGAGUGAAAAGUUUUUGUCUUUUUCCAGCAGGAUCAAACAACCAUUACCAAGACUAGUCAUCAAGGUUUUGCUUGGCUCAAACACAAAAAGAAACACAAAAACCACAACCAGAACAGAAUUAUGAUGGUGUGGAUGCAACAAAACAGAAAUAAAAAGAUAAAUUCAUUGGGUUGCCUUCCAUCAAGCGCUAUUGUUUAACGCCCUUAGCUAGGCAUAAAAGCGAUAGAAUCACGUAUCGUCGUCUUUGGUGCUCAAACCAUAAGUGGCCCUCAUCAUGGAUUCAUAAGGCAAUCUUAUUUUAUUUCUAGGAAAGUGUUCCAUGCCCUUCCUUAAAGGAAAUUGAAAUCUAAUAUUCCCUUCCUUCAUAUCGAUGAUAACACCGAUAGUCCUUAGGAAAGGUCUACCAAAAAUAAUAGGGCAUGCAGGAUUGCAGUCUAUGUCAAGCACAAUGAAAUCCACGGGUACAUAGUUCCUAUUUGCAAUAAUAAGAACAUCAUUGAUCCUUCCCAUGGGUUUCUUGACGGUAGAAUCCGUAAGAUGCAAAUUAAGAGAACACUCUUCAACCUCAUUAAAACCCAGAACAUCACAUAAAGACUUUGGAAUCGCAGAAACAUUAGCACCCAAAUCACACAAAGCAUUGCAUUCAUAGUUUUUGAUUUUGAUUUUGAUGGUAGGUUCCCACUCAUCAUGAAGUUUUCUAGGGAUAGAGACUUCCAAUUCAAGUUUCUCUUCAAGAGAUUUUAUCAUAGCUUCGAUGAUAUGAUCGGUAAAGGCCUUGUUUUGGCUAUAAGCGUGUGGAGAGUUUAACAUGGAUUACAUCAAAGAAAUGCAUUCAAUCCAGGAGCAACUAUCAUAAUUGAAUUCCUUGAAAUCCACGGUAGUAAUUUCAUUACUACUCAAAGUUUUAACAUCUUCUGCUCCACUUUCAAUGCUUUUAGCAUCAACAUAGAUGGACUCCGAAUCAUUGGGCACUUUUCAACCAAAGUGGAUUCAUAUCCAGCCCCAUAAUCAUUAGGUUUGACACAAGAAAACAAAGAUUCAAUGGGAGUCACACCAAGCACUUUAGGAUCUUCAUGAUUCUCAUCACGAGAACACGCCUUUUUAAGCCAUUCAUGUCUAGCACGAAUUUGGGCGGUUCUUUCUUGGCUCUCAAUCGUGGAAACACGCAUAGCUUUCAAAGUUUCAUCCAUGUUGAUUUUGGGAGGAGCACAUCUAACUUUCAAAGCAUCAACAUCACUAGACAUUCUAUCAACGCUCUUAGCCAACUCAUUAAUUUUGAGUAGCUUUUCCUCUAUGGACGCAUUGAAAAUCUUUUGAGAGUUGAUGAACUCUUUGAUAUUACUCUCUAGAUCAGAGGGUAAUCUAUUGUAAUUUCCAUGAGUAUUGUUGUAGGAUUUGCCAAAUUAUUAGAGGAGUUACUAGCAAAAGGCCUAGGAACAUAGUUUCCUCUAAAAGCAUUGUUGUUGCCAAAGUUAUUCCUACCAACAAAAUUAACGUCCAAGCUAAUGUUGCUACUCUCAAUCAAAGAAGACAAGGGCAUAUCAUUAGGAUCCAAAGGAGCACUUCUACUAGCAACCAAAUUCAUUAACUCAUCCAUCUUAGCACUCAACGAGUUAGUUUCUUCUAUAGCGUGUACCUUCUUACUAGUAGGUGACCGUUCAGUAUGCCACUGAGAGUAGUUCAUCAUGAUGUUGUCUAAGAGCUUUGUGGCUUCUCCUAACGUGAUUUCCAUGAACGUUCCACCUAAGGCGGAGUCCAAGAUAUUUCUAGAAGCAAAAUUCAAGCCAGCGUAAAAGAUUUGAAUAAUCAUCCAAAGACUCAAGCCAUGAGCGGGACAAUUUCUAAUCAUUAAUUUCAUUCUCUCCCAAGAUUGUGCAACAUGUUCAUGAUCAAGUUGCUUGAAACUCAUGAUAUCAUUAUGGAGAGAGAUAAUCUUAGCCGGCGGAAAAUACUUGGAUAUAUAGGCAUCUUUGCACUUAUCCCAAGAAUCGAUACUAUUUUUUGGCAAAGAAGAAAACCUAGUUUUUGCGCGAUCUCGCAAUGAGAAAGGAAAAAGCUUCAAUUUAAUCACGUCAUUAUCCACAUCUUUCUUCUUUUGCAUGUCGCAAAGUUCAAUGAAGGUAUUGAGAUGGGAUGCGGCAUCUUCACUAGGAAGGCCGGAGAAUUGCUCUUUCAUAACAAGAUUCAGCAAAGCGGCAUUGAUUUUGUAUGACUCCGCACUAGUGGAGGGAGCAAUCGGAGUACUAAUGAAAUCAUUAUUAUUAGUAUUCGAGAAGUCACAAAGUUUGGUGUUUUCAUUCAUGGUGACUUCGGCAAGCAAGCAAGCACACAAGGGAACAAAGAUCAAGUGAGAAAAAGGCGAACGAAAAGGCAGACGGAAAAAGGCAAACGAAAAAGGCAAAUUGGUGCAGUGGGGGAGAGGAAAACGAGAGGCAACUGGCAAACAAAGUAAAUCCCAGAGAUGAGUUUGCAACACUUACUUGGAUGAGUUCUUGACUUGAUCUUCUGCUACGGCAACGGCGCCAGAAAUUCUUCUUGCUACUUCUCUUGUUUGCUACGGCAACAAAAUUCCUUCCCAAGCAACGCCAGCAAUUCUUCUUGCUACUUCUCUUGUUUGUGUCGUUUUUUCCCUUGAAGAGGAAAGGGUGAUGCAGCACAGGAGCACUAAGUAUUUCCUCAGUUUGAGAAUCAAGGUAUCGAUCCACAAGGAGGGUCUCUUCAAGUCCAGAGUACCUGCACAAACACAAACGAGCUUGCACCCAACGCUUCAAUGGGUUGUCAAUGCCUCCAAGAUUGUUUGCAAAGUGAGAUGUGAAGGCGAAAAGUGCAACGAAGUAAAAAGUGUAAGACUGAAAAAUAUGGUGUGGAGUAGACCCGGGGGCCAUAGUGUUCACCAGAGGCUUCUCUCAAAAUAGCAAAUAUCACGGUGGGUGAACAAAUUAUUGUCGAGCAAUUGAUAGAACCGCGCAAAGUCAUGACGAUAUCUAAGGCAAUGAUCAUACAUAUAGGCAUCACGUCCGAGACAAGUAGACCGAUACUUUCUGCAUCUACUACUAUUACUCCACACAUCGACCGCUAUCCAUCAUGCAUGUAGUGUAUUGAGUUCAUGACGAACAGAGUAACGCCUUAAGCAAGAUGACAUGAUGUAGAGGGAUAAUCUCAAACCAAUGAUGAAAACCCCAUCUUUUUACCCUUGAUGGCAACAACACGAUGCAUGCCUCACUACCCCUUCUGUCACUGGGUGAGGUCACCGCAUGGUAUGAACCCAAAACCAAGCACUUCUCCCAUUGCAAGAAUCAUAGAUCUAGUUGGCCAAACAAAACCCACAACUCGAAGAGAAUUACAAGGAUAUGAAAUCAUGCAUAAUAGAGAUCAGAAGAAACUCAAAUAAGAUUCAUAGAUAAUUUGAUCAUAAAUCCACAAUUCAUCGGAUCUCGACAAACACACCGCAAAAGAAGAUUACAUCGGAUAGAUCUCCAUGAAGAUCAUGGAGAACUUUGUAUUGAAGAUCCAAGAGAGAGAAGAAGCCAUCUAGUUACUAGCUAUGGACCCGUAGGUCUAUGGUGAAGUACUCGCACAUCAUCGGAGAGGUCAUGGUGUUGAUGAAGAAGCCCUCCGUAUUCGAAUCCCCCCUCCGGCAGGGCACCAGAACGGUCCCCAGAUGGGAUCUUGCGGAGACAGAAGCUUGCGGCGGUGGAAAAGUACUUUCGAUGAUCUCCUGAUUUUUUGUGGAAUUUUUGGGGAUACAUAGGCGCAAAACCUAGGGCAAAGGGCGUCCAGGGGCCCCAUAAGCCUGUGGGCCGCGGCCUCCCCCCUGGUCGCGGGGUGAGGUCUUGUGGGGCCCGUGGGGCUCCCCUGCCUUGGCUCUGAAGUCUCCUGAUCUUCUUCCGUUACGGAAAAAUUCUUUUCGGGGAUUUUAUUCCGUUUGGACUCCGUUUCAAAAUCUCCUCCGAAAGGGGUCAAAAAGAUGGAAAAAACAGGAACUGACACUUGGCACUGAGUUAAUAAGUUAGUCCCAAAAAAUAUAUAAAAGGCAUGCAAAACAUCCAAAGUUUGACAAGAUAAUAGCAUGAAACCAUCAAAAAUUAUAGAUACGUUGGAGACGUAUCACACAACUCUCCACCACUAAAAGAAAUUCUCGUCGUGAGAAUUCAGAGGUAGGGGUAAGGGGAAAACGUUUGGUUACGAAAUUCUAACGAGCCUUCUCGGUUUUGUUUGUUCUCCCCGAAGAAAUUCAUCCUUUUCGUUGAGGUCCUCAAUUCUCUGAGUUAGGUCAUCCUGAUGAAUUCAUCAUCAUUCCUUCAGGAUGUUCAUCAUCCUACGAAUGCGAUAACAGGGAAAACCAUGGAAGAACGUAGCUACACAAAGUUGGGCAUUUGACGGCGAACUCACAAAAGAGGGCAAGAAUUAUUCUUCAAGUUGUAACUCUCUAAAUUCAUUGGGAAUACAACAUCAUGGUACACAGGUUUCAAACGAUUAGACAAUCGUUUGAUGCCUAAACACUUAUGAAAAAGGGGGGUUAGAGCAACGAAAUAAAUAUUGCUGAUCAUACAGGAAUAGAUCGUCACAUUGAAGGUGGCUUGGGAAUUUCAUACGAAGCCAAGUGUAAAGGAUACUUUGGAGCCAAAGAUGUACAGGGGAGCCAGGUUUCGAUCCUAUGGAACUUUGGGUUAUGGGUCCAUCAUGCGGGCCAAGAGUAGGCAGAGCGGUGACAUCUUAUACGGUCUUGGUAGCAAGAUAUGUCAGAGGAUAUCCUCCCAGUUAUGUGGGCCACAACGUCGGUACCAAGGGCGGGGGACGAAUAGAACCAUUUUCCUGCUCGUUGAAACGAGGCGGACCAAUAGGCAAAGUUCUCAUCCACCGGCGGCUACCGGAAUGUUAUCCACAAUAGUAACAGGGUCUUACUGACAGAGUUGCAUACCGAGGUUUUUACCUAAGAAGGGGAUUACCACUUCUCAGAUAGGUUAUGCCACAAGAAAGGUCAAACAGACCAAUGGAAAGGAAAAUGUGUUCACACACACAAGUAUUUAGAGUAUACCAUUCCCGAGGGAAAAUAGGGUAUGGUAUACAAGAUAGGUCAUCAAGUACAUAACCAUUUUGAUAAAAGGGCAAGGAGAAUCAUGAUGCUUACCCAUACCAUACGAUUUGGAUAAUUGAUCCAUAACAAUUUAGCAUUGUGCUUCCAAUGUUCCUGUUGAAAUUUGAAGUACCACAUCCGUGCUCCGAGGUAGCAUUGACAUGGUCAUGAGAUAAAUGUCGGACUUUGGGUACACAAGGGAUACGUGAGGAACAACUUAUAAUACAAGUCCUACAAUUUCCUCAGGGGAGAAUGGCUAACCUUACCAAGGAAGAUAAUAUACAAAUAGGUCCUUCAGCCAGGUGUGCUGGACAAGACAGUACCGUACCGGUUUGCAUAAAGACCAAAGUUAUGAUUUAUUGGGAAAAGUUCCAACCAUCAUAUCUGCCCGAGAUUCAGAUCUGAUUGGUGUCACGACACCUCAGGCUCCAGAUACCUAAGAAGAAAAUAUGAUGAUGCAAUAUUCUCGAGACAUGAACUACAAAUGCAAGUCUUGGAUCAUGAGUUGGAUUGUAAGACACAUGAACACAAUGUCAAAACAUUCGUGCCCACGUGGAAUUCUUACAACACAAUGCAACCGGGUUCUGAUUUGAGAACAAUCAUCGAGGAUAUCGAGGUCCUUGUGUAAGCCUCGAUUAGCUCUUAUGAAGGAACUUCUUUUCCUUGAUCAAAUCAGUCAGUGGCUUGGGGUGCUAAGAGAAGUUAUAUGAAGUGAAGAUAGCAAAUCUUCAAAACAUAUAACGCUUCGCACAUGCAUGAAUCAUUUGGGAUUACCCGAGAGGAAGCGAAACAAGACUUUCUCAUAUUCAUGGCAGCAAGAAUGCAUGUGAACCUUGGGAAACACCUCUUCUAUCAAACAUUUUCUUCACAAGCUAGGCACGAGGAUAAUGCUUUCAAAAGUUUCAUUACGAAACAUGGAGAAGUUGAGGGUGUGGCCGAAGGGCUCAGUAACAAUCCCUCAAGAUUUUGAUAGGGAUGAAUUUCCAAAUUUAUAAGAUCAAGGAGAUAACAUUUGUGAGAUCAAAUGAUAUAAUGACGUAUGCUUGAGGAAACAUCAACAAUUAAACAUUGAUUGGAGGGUGCACUCGGAAAUACAGAAUGAGUAGCACGACCAAUGCUAGAAUGGUGAGUCAACAACCAACAUACCAAGAAUGAAACAAUCAAUUGUUAACCUCAAGGCAAUAGGGUUGCCACAAGUAUUGGAUCACACAUCAGAGUUCACUUGUCGGUAUUUCCGUUAGAAACAACACGUGACCAAUAAAUGAAUGGUGACGGCGAGAAGUAUCACCAUAUCAAGAAUUCUUAAGAGGUGCAAUGAUGCUCACCACAUUCUUGACAUAAAAGAUGGUCAUACUCCAAGGUAGAAGGUCACAUAAGCCAAUUAGCAAGGAACUUAAGGGACACCACAAAACAUGAACAAGUUUGUGUUGGAGGGAAGGCAAUAAGGUUGACGACGAUUUCAUAAAUCAUCGAGGGGCAAGGAUGGUAUUUCUCAUCAUGCAUUUGAUUUAUACCCUCGAAGAGCUCAGAAUGCUGAUGAUGAUCAUGAUACAAUUGUCGAGAAGUUUCAUGAAGAUUUAAUUGUUCAGCGACGACAUGAAGCAAAGGAAUGGUGAAGCUAAAGGUUGUUGGAAAUACAAAUAAGAUUGUUAGCUCGGAAUCGGAAUUGCCUUUCAAGACAACCAACACGAUGUUGAAAUCUCGAUGUAAGCUGGACGCACAAUUGGAAAUGUGUUACAGGGAUGAAAGACACAGAUAGUAUGGUCAAGCUCUAGCAUGACGAUGAUGAUGUAGCCUAAUAGCUUGGAAAGACAUGAUCGAGUACAACUCAUAAGCAAAGAAGAUUAUUAAGAGUUGUGAAAUCGCAAAGCAUACGCGAUUCAGUCAUCGGUGUCAUUGAGUGUUCAACAACUCAAAACACGAGAAACUGGAAUCAACAAAAUAUCGUAGUUGAUGAGGAGCUCACAAGAAGUUAGGUAGCUCCGUGAUAUUCUCGGGAUACGAGGGAUAAUACUCGAAGAUAGACCAACAUUAAGGCUUGGACCGAUGUGUUUAUAUGAAGAAGACAAGCACUUUAACUUGUCUACGUAUGGAAUUCAAGGAGGAUCAAUAAUGGUCGGAACCACGGUUGCAAAGGAUAAGAUAACAAAUACCAGAUUAAAACAUAGAAUGAAUGAUUAUUGAUAAAAGAAGUUUCUAUGAUAGGAUCAACAUCGUUUCCAUGGGCAUGAACAUAAAGUUCAAGGUCGACUCCCACUUCAUCAUUGCAUCAGCUGCCAUUUACUCCUCGCCUUUGAUGAGGUUGUAGCUUGGAAAGAUUAUCUGGCCAAACACCAGAAGAGUAAGACUCGUGAAAACUCUUCGGAUCAUAUUGUUUUAGCAAGGCAUAGGUUCAACCCAUCGGGGCAUCUUAGGAACAUAUACCACAAACUUCAAGAGUAAUUAACACAUGCUUGAAGAGCAUGGCUGACAAGGGCACAUGAUACAACUUAUCAGAAGGAGAAGACACAAUUUACCAAUGGCAUUAUGUAUGAGGGGAACAAUAUCACAAGAAUUUUGAAUGCAAAUGAUGCCAUCGGAUAAUAACCCAACAAUGGGUCUGGCGGUUCAGAAAGGACCUGAUGUGAGUAUCGUUACUUGAUCAGAGGAAGAUAGAAUGCAAGGCAUCAUAUUAUAGAACAUCUGAAAAAAUACCGAUACUUAAUUACCAUAGGAAUUAUGAUUACCAGGUUGGUGUAUCAGAUUCAGAUGCUCCGAUUAAGUACAAGUAAACUGAAUGGACUUAGACGAACAAUCAAUCAAGGUUGAUUUGCCGAGAACCACCUCCUGUCUGAAAGGACGUCUGAGUUGGAAAGAUAAUUUAUGAGAAUUAGCUCAUGAUUGUGUGCAUUCACACAAAGGUUGAAUAAAUAAGAUCAAAGGAAAAUCACAAAGGAUUGAAAUGAUGGUUACUAGACAUAUGGAAUUAACCAUAAUGCAAGCAGGUGAGAAGGUCAAGCGCAAUAGGCUACUGAGAAUUUCGGAAGAUCAAAUAGCAAUUCGAGGAACUUAUGAAACCCAUGACAACUGAGGAUGAACGAAUCCCUAGUGAGAUAAUUCGAUGCACCUUAUAAUAACAAGAGCAAUCGGGAGAGUAAGUAUGAACGACCUUUGUAUGCAGUCAUCCAUAGGGAUUGAGAGAAGAAGGGAAUCACAAAAGGCGACGAGCACAAGUUCUCGGGAUAACAUCGGAGAGUAUCUUCGGAGUCUUCUGACGAAUCAAGCCAUUCUCUAGAACGUGGGGCUCUCCGGGAGAAAUUAGUUUCGAGAACCUAGAGUUAGUGUUAGUAAAAUCUUUAACCCGAAAGAUAAGAGAGAUCAGAAAUGAGAGUAUAGAAGAGGAGUAAAAUAUACUAAUACCACUCGAUUGAGAUGUGGGCCCGUAAGCCACAACAUCAAAGUUAGUACGCUUUUCAAGUACUAGACUCAACUUCGGCCAAGGAGUUGGGAAGGGGGCUACCUACAGGCAGUCGGCUCUGAUUCCAACUUGUCACACCCUCGUUUUGAUCGUACGCUAAUCAUACACGCAAAUGCGUACGACCAAGCUGAAGGACUCAUGGGAAGAUAUCACAACACAACUCUAGACACAAAUAAAACAUACAAGCUUCAUAUUACAAGCCAGGGGCCUCGAGGGCUAGAAUACAGAAGCUCGAUAAACACACGAGUCAGCGGAAGCAACAAAUAUCUGAGUACAGACAUGAAACAUGACAAUGCCUUAGAGAAGGCUAGCACAAAAGAAACAAUGAUCGAACGAGGCGAGGCCUCCUGCCUGGGAACCUCCUAAACUACUCCUAGUCUCCGGCGGCCUCCACGUAGCAGCAGAUUCCGUUGGGGUAGUAGUCGUCAUCGGCGGGAUAUGCCAUCUCCUGGGCUCCAUCAUCCGGUCGCAGCAACGGAUCAAGGGGAGCAGGGGGAGCAAAGCAACGGUGAGUACUCAUCCAAAGUAAUCGCAAGACUGACAUCAAAACUAUGCUAAGUAUGCAUCAAUAUCAAAGGAAGGGGUUAUAUGUGGACUGACUGCAGUAAUGCGAGAAAGGGAGUGAAGGCCUAGUCCUAUCGAAGACUAGCAUCUUCAGGGGGUCUUGCAGCAAUAGACGAGAGUAGAAUAGGUAACACAAUUAAUAGUCAUAUUGUUGCAACAAUAUUAAUUAAAGUCACGCCCACAGAUUCUUCCUCGACUCCCUGCGAGGAAGCAAUCCCGGAGCAACAUUCCAGUUAAGUAAUAGUUGUAGUUGUAUAAGAUCGGGGCACAACUCCAAGUCGUCCUAUAACCGUGGACACAACUAUCCGAAUAGUUAAUUUUCAUCCCUGCACGGGUGCACCAAGUUUCCCGUCACACUCGAUAAACUCUGGCCGGACACACUUUCCUAGGUCAUGCCCGGCCUCGGAACAUCGACACGUCACAGCCCUACCUAGACUCAACAGAGAGUCCAGCCCGCCGGUCUUAAUCCUAAGCGCAGGGGUCAUGGGCCUGUCACCCAUCGUGCUCCUGCACGUUGUGUGGGCGUCCGAGGUCAGUCCUGGCACCUCUUAUACAAGAACAGUGAUAAUCCAGACCACUCGGGUGCGCGCCGCUCCAUUGCUGACGUCUGAAGAGGUUCAACUCAUACCACGGCAUCGAGUACCCAUAACUUCUCCCAUGUAGCCGGUUAGUGCGAAAAGGUCUCCGACCAACCUAGAUCAAAUACCCAAAUCCAUUAACAUUUUAAUUAACUCAUCGACACAUCCACGCGGGAAUGCACCCGCCUAACAUUUAAUCAUCAAUGUUCCCAGUAACAUGGUCAAGUAACUGUGUGGUUGUAACAUAAGGGGGAUCCGAGGUAUCACCCUCGUUGGAUUCUGAACGAUGUAACCGUCAAGGUGGACUUAGAGGAAUCACCCUCGAGGGUCUCACACUUGAGGGGUUGCAUGAUAGAGUCAUCGUCGGGAGUGGUGAAGGAGGAAUCACCCUCGAUAACCAUGACCGACUAGCUGCACUACAGGGAUAUCAUCAUGAGUACUUCGCGAGGUGUCACCCUCGAUACCCGAUAGUAGCUCUGCAGCGUCGUACAACUAAGGGGGUGUAAGUGCGGUGUCGGGUCUUGGCUCGUCGAUCAGGGAUUGAGACUUGAUGAUAAAGUGGGGGCAACUAGACUAAGGGUCGGAGGGGAUGACUGAGCAACCCAUACUAAACAGUUUUAAGGUGUAGUAGAAUAAUGUAGUAGUUUAUCAAAAUUAGCUAUGCAUCAAAUAUAGGAUCUAAUCUAACUACAACAGUAGCAAAAUUCUAAUGCAAACACGAGGGAGAAAGAAUAGGUGAUAUAGGAAUGAUCAAGAGGGUUUGCUUGCCUUGUUGCUCUGCAGCAAAGGGCUGGUCAUCAUGAGGGUAGUCAUACCCGGCAGCACCGUCAGUCUCGGGGUCUACCGGUAAGAAGGAGGGGGGGGGAGAAACAAUAAAUAUAAACACAAAUAAUAUCACUAAGCAUGACAUGGCAAUAUGCAGGUCUAGGCAUGAGCUAACACAGUAUCAUCCGUCAUAGACAGAUUGGGAAAAUAUCGGAUGAUAUUUCUCGGGUCUCUCAUUACUACCGGACAUGCGAAACAGAUGGAAAAGUUCCAUGUUCGCUAUGCUAGGGACGCAUGACAGACGAACGGAUAGCGUAUCCGGGUUCGUCUCGUUUUGCACAUGAACUUUCAUGUUCAAAAUAUUUUCAUGUGACUUACAGUUUAUUUUAUAUUAUUUUUUAAAGUUUUAAUAUUUAUUAGGAAUUAAAGAAAUUUAAACAAUUUAGAUAAUUAAAUAUGACAUCAUUGUGAUGUCAGCAUAACAUCGGUAGUCAACAGGGUUUUGAGUGGUCAAAUAUGACCCGUGGGUCCCAUGUGUCAUAGGCACAUUUAUUUUUAGGGCUUAAUAAAUAUUUAAUCUAGUUAAUUAGUUGGGUGGGACCCAACUGUCAUACACUACUUCACGAUAUUUUAUUUAUCUUAAUUAACAGAUUUAGCUAACAGUAACUUACCUAAUCUUAAUCAUUAUAAUUAACUAAAAUACUUAUUUAUCUAUUAUUAUUAUUAUAUUAAAUCCUAAUUAUCCAAAACAAGAAUUACUAUUUAACUAAAUAAUUAAUUGAAUUAAUUGAUUUUAUUAAUAUUAAACAUUUAUAACAAUUUUUUUUUAUUUUUGCAUGUUUUUAUGAGGGACCCCACCUGUCAUUUGGUGGGAGUUGUGGGGCCCAUAUGUCAUUGGAACAACGAGACACACCUACACGACACGCACACACAAUCUGUACACACGUUUGUAUUCAUUCAUACAUACAUAUACACAUGCAUACAUAUAUUUGCACAUACACACAUCUGCACAUAUACAUACAUAUUCAUAUACACAUGCAUACNNNNNNNNNNNNNNNNNNNNNNNNNNNNNNNNNNNNNNNNNNNNNNNNNNNNNNNNNNNNNNNNNNNNNNNNNNNNNNNNNNNNNNNNNNNNNNNNNNNNNNNNNNNNNNNNNNNNNNNNNNNNNNNNNNNNNNNNNNNNNNNNNNNNNNNNNNNNNNNNNNNNNNNNNNNNNNNNNNNNNNNNNNNNNNNNNNNNNNNNNNNNNNNNNNNNNNNNNNNNNNNNNNNNNNNNNNNNNNNNNNNNNNNNNNNNNNNNNNNNGGGGGACGAGGGCAAGCGAGGGAGAGGGCGCUCGGUCCCUCGCAUGGUGGCGACGCUAGUGGGUGAGGGAGUGGGGCGCUCGGGGUGUGGGUUAGGUUUAGGUGGGGGUUAAAUACCCCAGGGGUGGCGUGGGCUUGUGGCUAGUUAGGUUGGCUGGGGGCCGACCCAAUGGUUUUUUUAUUUAUUUCUUUUCAAUUUAUGCUUUAGUUUCUUUUUAAACUUUGAUUUAUAAAAUAUGUAACUAGUCCCUAAUUUAGUUUUAGUAAUUAUGUCUCUGCCACAAAAAGGUUUAACCCCAACUAAGAAUAGUCUAGUAUUUCACAAAAUAUAAAAGGCACUUAUUUAAUCAUUUUGCUGUUGUUUUAAAAUAUUAUAGUGCAUUUAAACACUUCAUAAAAAUGUGGUUUGUUCACCAAUAUUAAUCAUGAUUUAUUUGCUACAACGUGAACAUUUUAGUUUUGAUAUUUGAAAACUUCUAUUGUUUGACUUUAUUUUAAAUUUGAAUUGGAAUCGGUUUUGAACUAACGCGAGAUUAACAACAGUAAUCACGGUGGCGUGGCAUCAUUAGCAUAGGAUUAUUGUAGCCUAGUUACAGAGAUCACUGUAGCAAAAACUGAGGAUGUCACAAUUAUAGUGAUAAUGGACAUGUGAAGAUGUGCCGAAGAGAGGCCUGCCCAUAGUGGAUUAUAGGGGAUCAAUCUACUAGUCUUCAUCAAGCCGGUGCAGUCAAGAAAGGUGGUCCAUCUUGAGGAGGACAAGAUCAUCAUCAUCUAGCUCGAGUGGACUAUGGACAAGGUAAAGGUUUGACCUUGAUAGGUUUUCUAUUUUUCCGGUCUCAUGGUGGUAGCUGGAAGACCGGGUUAUAGGAUCGAUUGUCUGACUAUCAAGGGGCUCUCAAGUAAGUAGCUUGGUCAUAUUGUUCGUAGAGAGCUCAACGAAUUGCAUUCUUGGCAUCAUCAUAUUUUUGGGUUCUUGUUUGGCUUUUAUCUGUGUCGGUCUUAGAGGUUAUGGUCAUAUUCAUGGCAAGCUCGAGUUCAUCGAAAACGGAGUUCACAUACAUCUUCUAUGAUGUUUUUUAUGUUGGAGUUUUUGCUGGUUCUUCAUUCAUAGAAGUUUCACAUCUCUAUAUCAUUGGCAUUUUUUGCUGUUUGGAUAGUACUUGUCAUAUCCUAUCCAACAACCUUGAGUUCGCUCAAUUUAGAGCCUGCAUGUAGAAGUUAUGGUGGUUCAGGCUUUAUUGUACCCAUCUAUUUUGCUUGGGCUUCUUUAUUGCACUCCCGCGAUAGUACCGCUCUGGGAAGCGAUAGUACCCCUUAUAAGUGGUACUUCUACUGACCACUACCGCGGCUACUACAGUGCUUUUGGGGACUCGACUUUUGGUGUCGGGUUUGCACGGUAGUGGGAUGGUAGUACGAGCAUUAGUACCGCUUACAAGCGGUAGUACCACUCGCCCACUUUCACUUAUCAAGUUGCUUGUGUAUCUUUCGCGCUCUCAGUAAUGGUAGGGCAAAAGCGAGUGCACAAUACUACAACUUAUAAGCGGCAGUACCGCUCACACUCGGCGGUGGUACCACUGUUGCAUUAGUGCAUCACUCCACUAAUCUGCCCUAUCUCCAUAGGCGCUUGAGAUGCAACCCCACUGGUAGUACUGCUAGGGCGAGCAGUAGUACUGCUCCAGCAACACUGCCACCUUGUGUGUCCUCGCCAUUUGAUGACCCACAAGUGCAGUGGUCUGUCGUAGCCUUUUCGAUAAGUAAGAGUGUCAAACCCAACAAGGAGCAGAAGGUACUGACAAGCGAUCUUGAGUAAGGAAUAACUGCAAGUACUGAAAGGUAACAUUUAUGGGUUUUCUGGUAUAAGUAGCAAGAAAAUAACAGCAGGGAAAGUAAAAGGUGCCGAGGUGCAGCAAGUGUCCCAAUAAUUUUGAACACAAAGGAUAAGUCGAGGGACUAAACUUAUAAAGACUAAUGCGUUCCUGAGGACAUACGGGAGAGAUAGUCAAGGGAUUUCACCAUAUUCCGUCUAGUACUAUGUUUUGUAUUGAUAAGUGUUAUGUGGGUUGAUCUUAACUAGUGCUCCGUCUAGGAAAAUACAAGUACACUCUUAUGAUUAAACUCCUUGCAAGCAUCCGCAAAUGCAAGAGAUAAAUUAAGGCAAAGCCUAACCAUAGAAAUAAGCUUUAGGAUCCAACACUCCCUCGUGCAAAAGCAUGCGAACUGGGGUUCAGGUUUCUGUCACUCCGGCAACCCACCAUAAGCAUUCUUUAUACAAGAUGCAUUCUCCUAGGCCCUUAAAAAGGUGAAGUGUUAUGUAGUCGACGUUCACAUAACACCACUAGAAGAAUAACACCAUAACUUAAAUAUCAAUGAACACAUAUUACUUCAACAUCAUAUGACUAUUAUGAACUAGACUUCUCCCAUGUCCUCAAGAACUAAAGUAACUACUCACGAGACAUAAAAGAGAUCAUGAUCAGAGGUGAUGAAAAUAUGACGAACAAUCUGGUCAUAACAAUAACUCUCCAACAAUACUCAAUAGCAUUCACCACAAAAGAGUAAUCAACAACGGUAGAGUAAGGGGGAUGAAUAGUGCAAGGUACAACUCCGAUUGCAAUGGUAAAGUGAGAUGGGGUGAAGAUGGAGAUGUGCUGGUGAUGAUGAUCUCGAUGAUGCCCGUGACGAUGGUGAAGACGAUGAGGACGAUCUCCCCUUCCGGGAGGAGUUCUUCCCGGCGGAAUUUGCCCGACGGAAAUGUCUUUUCUUCUAUGUAGGUUUCCGCCCCGGAGCGGCGGCAGAACUCCGGAAAAAAUUCUGUCCCCGUAACUUUUAGGUCACGAGGGUCAUAUAGGCGAAAGGAGAGCACCGGAGGCGGGACCCACCACCCAGGCGGCCUCUAGAGCGACCUAGGUGUGACCCGCGCCACCAGGUCGCCUGGGUGCCUGGUGGCCCCCCUCCGGCCCUUCUUCGGCCUGUCUUCGUGAUCUAUUCGGAAACUCCUUCCCCGUAAAUUUCAGCUCAAUUGGAGAUGUUCUGAUUUGGCAACUCUCCAUGCUAUUUUCUCCGCUGAAUCCCGUGUGUGCUGUUUCGGCACCGGAAAGUUGUAAACUGUGUAAAAUAAGCCAAAACACUAUAAGAACAACAUCAUAAUGUGAAAUAUAUCAAUGAAUAGAGACAAAUUAUGAUACAAAAUAGUGAUGCAUUUUGGAAGUAUCAACUCUCCUAAUCUUAGAUCUCACUUGUCCCCAAGCAAAUACUGAGCUCGGUAAACCUGUCCACAAGUUUAGAGAGUGAAGUGUCGAUAAAUAAGAAUACAGACAAGAAGCAUCAUAAUUUCUCUACUAAACUCAACCAUCCUCAACACCAAUCUCAACUCAUAAGGCGCAUAUGAAAGAGUAAUAUCAAUUAAAAUCAAAAGUAGGACUAAGGAAACUCAUCAAACCAUGGCAAAAAUGUCCUUGGUCAAAGAACAACUAAUAACUUUUAACUUUUGCUCUUCCUCUUAUAUUUUGAUGAGAUCAACUGAAGCUUUUUGAAAGAACAAGUUAUUAGUCAAGAAGUGAAAAUGCUAACACAAAGGAAGAUGUUUGCUUUAGCUAGGCUUAACAAACAACUUACUCAUAUUAAUGAUAAUGUCAACAAAGUUGUGAUAUGGCAAUUCUCAAUGAAACAAUAUAAAUGCAUGCAUCUUUGUCAACAUAAGGUGUCUGCUCUUUUAUAGGAUAGAAAUAAGUAGGUUAUUGACUCAACAUAAAAAUAAAGGAUUAGCCCUUCACAAAGGGAAGUAGGGAAAACUGAUGUGCUAGAGCUUCUAGAGAUUUUGAAAUCAACAAGAUUGUAAAACAAGCUUUUGAGAGGUGCAUAAUUCGUCAACGAAUCCUAGCAGAUAGCCCAAUACUUCUCAUGCUGGACAAGUUUUGAGGAACGACUCCCAAAGCAGGGACGAUCACAUCCCCUUAGUCUCCUUUUUUUAUCACUACCAAAGUUUUCUGAUUUCUCAUAAACAAAGCGUGAAGGAGGUUUUGUUUGUUGUUAUUAUAUUUUACGAGCUGGGCGCACUCAUGCCAGUCCCUCCUUGUAUUAGGGGUUCGCAUAUUAGACAUGCAAACCCAGGAUAAAGCUUUUCCAGUACGAGAAGAUCAUGAAUUAUCUACUACUUCCUCAUGAGCUAAACUAGAGGCACAAAAGAGGGAGUAAUAUUUGAAGGUUUAAAGAUAGCACAUGAGUAAUAUGCUUUAGGAGUGAUGAUGAAAUACCACAUAUAGGGAAGGUAUGGUGGACUCUUGGGAAGGUUGAGGUUUCAAUGUAUGGAUGCACAAGCAGUAUUCCCACUUAGUACAAGGGUUGGCUAGCAAAGGCUUUUGAGAGCAGACAAAUGAUGUUGACUUGGAUGCAGAACAAUAUAAAGUUUAACAUAAAGAAUUGGCAUGAAACAUCAAGUUGUCUUCCUUGUCAGCAUAACACUUCAAGCAUAAGAACAUAAAGGUUUUGGCUAUGUCGCUACUAGAAAAAUCAUGCUUGUUGUUAUGACCAAUGCUAUGUUUGCCAAGAUUAAAUAAAGUUUUCAAUGCCAUACAUGAUAUGUAAGAUCAAUACUCCCAUAAGAAUCAACGUAUAAGGUCGAUUGCAUGAAGAGAAUACCAGGUGCAGCAAAGAAACCAAUAGACUUCUCAUUAAUAUUCCAUCAUAGACAACUGCACACUCACGGAUAUAAGACUCUCCACAAAGGAGUGAUAGACCUCAAUGCAAACACCUCUUUCAUAAGAUAACUUCCCUAGACAUGAUACGCCACUAAACUUGACCAUAAAGGAUAAAGGAUAAAGAUAAAGAUACCGGGCACUCCCCCAAGCUUGGAACAAGCUAAGGGAAUGCCAUUACCCAUGAAGAUUUCACUCUCCAUCCUUGUUCUUGUUCCUCAGGUAAUCCUUAGUGAAAAGCUUCCAUGGAAAAGGUCCUCCCUCCACACAGGAUUCUUCAGUCCCCAGGAUCCUGCUUUCGGCAGAUAAGCCCAUGCGCAAAACUUUAGUUCAUACUCACAGUUCUGGUUUUGAAGGUCAUAGAUGUACCCUUGAAGCUCGGACACUUUGGUUUCCAGUGCGGAUAUGAUUGAUCGCACUCCCUUUAUCUCCUUCUCAUGUUGCUUCUUCAGCUCGACGAUGAUAUCGAAAUUGGCCUCGACACCACGCUCGAUCAUCAACUUGUACUUGAAGACUUCUUGCUCCACUUCUUCCAUCAUAGCCUCGGUGCCCCCCUCCUUGACAAGCCCCUCCAAAUCUUCUUUGUGGAGGACAUCAUCCUCCACCCAGAGUUUUUGAGGGUGUCUCUUUACGUCUGCGAGGUAAUGGUUGAUGACGUUGAUGAAGAACUUGUCCUUGGGGGAGUUUGGGGAAGCCAUGGCACCUAGGUUUGCUGAAAGUUCUCCUGGCACAAAUAGAUCGAAAAGAAAACACACAGAAUUGCAAGAUACAAUACCGGGACGAUCCGGAAAAAUAUAUGGCAAAAAUUUCUGCAUCAAAAGGAAGGUAACAAGCGAAAGUGGGGUCGGAGACGGACUCCGGGUGAUCCACGCAGCCUCCUGGUGCGGCCAGGAGGUAGCCUGUGCCACCAGGUCGCCUGGAGCCCCUAGAGCUCCUCUCUGGCUCCAAUUUGGCUCUGAAUUUUCCUAAUUUUGCAAAAACACAUAAUACAAAACUUUUAUUGAUGUUCGCCAAGUUUCCUUACCAUAUUUCAGUUGGGGAACGUUGCAUGGGAAACAAAAAAUUUCCUACGCACACGAAGACCUAUCAUGGUGAUGUUCAUCUACGAGAGGGAGAUCGGAUCCACAUACCCUUGUAGAUUGCUAAGCAGGAACCGUUAAGAAACGCGGUUGAUGUAGUGGUACAACUUCGUGAUUCAAAUUACCGUCGUCCCAUGAUCCGUCCCACGAUCCGUCCCGAUCUAGAACUGAACGGAUGACACCUCCAUGUUCAGCACACGUAUAGCUCGAUGACGAUCUCCGCCUUCUUGAUCCAGCAAGAGAGACGAGGAAGUAGAUGAGUUCUCCGGCAGCGUGACGGCGCGUCGGUGAUGGUGAUGAUCUAUUCUAGCAGGGCUCCGCCCGAGCUCCGCAGAAAUCCGAUCUAGAGGUAGAACUACGAGGUAUAGGUUUGAGUUGCACGUGGCAAAGUUGUAUCUCAAAACCCUAAAACCACCAGUCUAUAUAGGAGGAGGGGAGGGGCUAGCCUUGGGGCUCAAGAGAGCCCCAAGGGCGCCGGCCGAAGGAGGAGAUGGACUCCCACUCCAAUUCGGUUUGGAGGAGGAGGAGUCCACUCCUUCCUUCCCACCUCCCUCUUUUUUUUCUUUUUGGUUUUACCUCUUGUGGUGGCAUAGUCCACUUGGGCUGGCCUCACCAGCCCACUAAGGGCUGGUGCGCCACUCUAGGACUAUUGGGCUCACUCCCGGGUGGGUGGGCCCCUCGCGGUGAAUACUCAGAACCCAUUCAUCACUCCCGGUACACUGCCCGUAAUGCACGAAAUCUUUCCGGUGACCAAAUGAAACCAUCCUAUAUAUCAAUCUUCAUUUCCAGACUAUUCCGGAAACCCUCGUGACGUCCGUGAUCUCAUCCGAGACUCCGAACAACCUUCGGUCACCAACACCUAUAACUCAACUAUACUAAAACGUCAUUGAACAUUAAGUGUGCAGACCCUGCGGGUUCGAGAACUAUGCAGACAUGACCCGAGACACUCCCCGGUCAAUAUCCAAUAGGGGGACCUGGAUGUCCAUAUUGGAUCCUACAUAUUCAACGAAGAUCUUAUCGAUUGAAUCUCCGUGCCAAGGAUUCAUAUAAUCCCGUAUAACAUUCCCUUUGUCCUUCGGUAUGUUACUUGCCCGAGAUUUGAUCAUUGGUAUCUCUAUACCUAUUUCAAUCUUGUUACCGGCAAGUCUCUUUAUCGUUCCGUAAUACAAGAUCUCGUGACUUACACUUGAGUCACAUUGCUUGCAAGGCUUGUAUGUGAUGUUUUAUUACCGAGUGGGCCCUGAGAUACCUCUCCGUCACACGGAGUGACAAAUCCCAUUCUUGAUCCAUGCUAACUCAACAGACACCUUCGAAGAUACACGUAGAUCACCUUUAUAGUCACCCAGUAACGUUGUGACAUUUGAUACACACAAGGUAUUCCUCCGGUGUCAGUGAGUUACAUGAUCUCAUGGUCAUAGGAGUGAAUACUUGACACGCAGAAAACAAUAGCAAUAAAAUGACACGAUCACAUGCUACGUUCAUAGUUUGUGUCUUGUCCAUCACAUCAUUCUCCUAAUGAUGUGAUCUAGUUAUCAAGUGACUACACUUGCAUAUGAUCAGAAAACCUUAACCAUCCUUGAUCAACUGGCUAGUCAACUAGAGGCUUACUAGGGACAUUGUUUUGUCUAUAUAUCCACACAUGUAUCUAUGCUUUCAUUUAAUACAAUUAGAGCAUGGAUAAUAAACAAUUAUCUUGAAACAGGAAAUAUAAUAAUAACUAUUUUAUCAUUGCCUCUAGGGCAUAUUUCCAACAGUCUCCCACUUGCACUAGAGUCAAUAAUCUAGUCUCACAUCGCUAUGCGAUUUACAUUGGAAUGAAUCUAACACCCAUACAGUUCUGGUGUUGAUCAUGCUUCGCUCGUGGAAGAGGUUUAGUCAGCGGAUCUGCUACAUUCUGAUCCGUGUGCACUUUGCAAAUAUUUACGCCCACUCCUUCGACGUAGUCGCGGAUGAGGUUGAAGCGUCGCUUGAUGUGUCUAGUCUUCUUGUGAAACCUUGGUUCCUUUGCUAAAGCAAUGGCACCAGUGUUGUCACAGAACAGAGUUAUUGGAUUCAGUGCGCUCGGCAGCACUCCAAGAUCCAUCAUGAACUGCUUCAUCCAGACACCCUCCUUAGCUGCCUCCGAGGCAGCCAUGUAAUCCGCUUCACAUGUAGAAUCAGCUAUGAUGCUUUGCUUGGAACUACACCAUAUUAUCGCACCCCCAUUAGGAAUAAAUACGUAUCCGGUUUGAGACUUAGAGUCAUCCGGAUCAGCGGCAAAGCUUGCAUCCACGUAACCCUUUGCGAUGAGCUCUUCGUCACCUCCAUAAACGAGAAACAUUUCCUUAGUCCUUUUCAGGUACUUCAGAAUAUUCUUGACCGCCGUCCAGUGAUUCUCUCUUGGAUUACUUUGAAACCUGCCUGCCAUACUUAUGGCCAGGCUGAUGUCCGGUCUAGUGCACAACAUUGCAUACAUGAUAGACCCUAUGGCUGAAGCAUAUGGGACGAUACUCAUCUUUUCUCUUCUUCCACAGUAACUGGACACUGAGUCUUACUCAACUUUAUACCUUGUAAUACUGGCAAGAACCCCUUCUUGGACUGCUCCGUUUUGAACUUCUUCAAAACUUUAUCAAGGUAUGUGCUUUGUAAAAGUCCUAUUAGGCGUCUCGAUCUAUCCCUAUAGAUCUUAAUGCCUAAUAUGUAAGCAUCUUCUCCUAGGUCCUUCAUUGAAAAACAUUUGUUCAAGUAAUAUUUUACACUCCCUAAAAACUCCACAUUGUUUCCAAUCAGCAAUAUGUCAUCCACAUAUAAUAUUAGAAACGCUACAGAGCUCCCACUCACUUUCAUGUAAAUACAAGAUUCUCCAACAACUUGCAUAAACCCAAAUGCUUUGAUCACCUCAACAAAGCGCUUAUUCCAACUCCGAGAUGCUUGCACCAGUCCAUAAAUGGAUCGCUGGAGCUUGCACACUUUGUUAUCAUUCUUCGGAUCGACAAAAACUUCGGGUUGCAUCAUAUACAACUCUUCCUUAAGAAAACCGUUAAGGAACCCUGUUUUGACAUCAAUCUGCCAGAUUUCAUAAUCAAAAAAUGCAUCUAUUGCUAACAUGAUUCGGACGGACUUAAGCAUCGCUACCGGUGAGAACGUAUCAUCGUAGUCAACUCCUUGAACUUGUAAAAAACCCUUUGCCACAAGUUGAGCUUUUAAAACGGUCACAUUACCGUCCGCGUCCGUCUUCUUCUUAAAGAUCCAUUUGUUCUGAAUAGCCUUGCGACCUUCAGGUAAUACUUUCGAAGUCCACACUUUGUUUUCAUACAUAGAUCCUAUCUCGGACUUCAUGGCCUCGAGCCAUUUGUUGGAAUCCAGGCCCACCAUUGCUUCUUCAUAAUUCAUAGGUUCAUUGUUGUCUAACAACAUGAUAGAUAAGACAGGAGUACCGUACUACUCAGGAGCAGUACGUGAUCUUGUCGACCUGCGAGGUCCGAUAGUAACUUGAUCCGAAGCUUCAUGAUCAUCAUCAUUAGCUUCCUCCUCAACCGGCGUCGCCUCGACAGAGGUUUCCCCCUUCCGUGCGCCACCAUCUAGAGGGAGUAGAGGUUCUACAACCUCAUCAAGUUCUAUCUUCCUCCCACUCAAUUCUUUCGAGAGAAAUUCCUUCUCAUGAAAAGCUCCGUUCUUAGCAAUAAACACUGUGCCCUCGGAUCUGAGAUAGAAGGUGUACCCAACUAUCUCCUUUGGGUAACCUAUGAAGACGCACUUUUCCGCUUUGGAUUCCAGCUUUUCAGGCUGAAGCUUUUUGACAUAAGCAUCGCAUCCCCAAACUUUAAGAAAGGACAACUUUGGCCUCUUGCCAUACCAUAGCUCAUAUGGUGUCGUCUCAACGGAUUUUGACGGUGCCCUAUUUAAAGUGAAUGCAGCUGUCUCUAAUGCAUAACCCCAAAACGAUAAUGACAAAUCGGUAAGAGACAUCAUAAAUCGCACCAUAUCUAACAAAGUACAAUUACGGCAUUCGGACACACCAUUACGCUGUGGUGCUCUAGGCGGUGUUAACUGAGAAAUGAUUCCACAUUGUAUUAAGUGAGCACCAAACUCGAAAGUCAGAUAUUCAGCCCCUCGAUCAGAACGUAGGAACUUGAUCUUCUUGUUACGAUGAUUUUCAACUUCACUCUAAAAUUGCUUGAACUUCUCAAACGUUUCAAACUCGUGCUUCAUCAAGUAGAUAUAUCCAUACCUACUCAAAUCAUCAGUGAAGGUGAGAAAAUAACGAUAUCCUCCGCGCGCCUCCACACUCAUUGGACCGCAUACAUCAGUAUGUAUGAUCUCCAACAAGUCACUUGCACGCUCCAUUGUUCCAGAGAACGGAGUCUUAGUCAUCUUGCCCAUGAGGCAUGGUUCGCAUGUGUCAAGAGAUUCAAAAUCAAGUGACUCCAAAAGCCCAUCGGUAUGGAGUUUCUUCAUGCGCUUUACACCAAUAUGACCUAAGCGGCAGUGCCACAAAAACGUGGCGCUAUCAUUGUGAACUCUACAUCUUUUGGUCACAAUGUUAUGUAUAUGUGUGUCAUCACAAUCAAGAUUCAAUAUGAACAAACCUCUCACGUUGGAUGCAUGUCCAUAAAAGAUAUUACUCAUAAAAAUAGAACAACCAUUAUUAUCUGACUUAAAUGAGUAACCGUCUCGCAAUAAACAAGAUCCAGAUACAAUGUUCAUGCUUAACGCAUGCACUAAAUAAAAAUUAUUUAAGUUCAUAACUAAUCCCGAUGGUAAAUGAAGUGAGACUGUGUCGACGGCGAUUGCAUCAACCUUGGAACCAUUUCCCACGCGCAUCGUCACUUCAUCCUUCGCCAGCCUCGUUUAUUCCGCAGUUCCUGCUUCGAGUUGCAAAUAUGAGCAACAGAACCAGUAUCAAAUACCUAGGCACUACUACGAGAGUUGGUUAAGUACACAUCAAUAACAUGUAUAUCACAUAUACUUGCUUUUUCUUUGGCCGCCUUCUUAUCAGCCAAAUAUUUGGGGUAGUUGCGCUUCCAGUGACCCAUGCCCUUGCAAUAAUAGCACUGUGUUUCCGGCUUAGGUCCAGCAUUGGGUUUCUUCGUUGGAUUGGCAACAGUUUUGCUGCUCUUCUUGGAGUUACCCUUCUUGCCUUUGCUGUUUCUCUUGAAACCAGUGGUCUUAUUGACCAUCAACUCUUGAUGCUCUUUCCGGAGUUCUGACUCUGUGACUUUCAGCAUCGCGAAUAACUCGCCGGGUGACUUGUUCAUCACUUGCAUGUUAUAGUUCAACACAAAGCUCUUAUAGCUAGGUGGCAAUGAUUGAAGAAUUCUGUGAGUGAUAGCCUCUUGCGGGAGUUCAAUCCCCAGCUCAGCUAGACGGUUUGAGUACCCAGACAUUUUGAGCACAUGUUCACUGACAAACGAAUUCUCCUCCAUCUUCCAAGCAUAUAAUUUAUCGGAGGUAUCAUACCUCUCGAUCCGGGCGUUCUUAUGAAAGAUAAACUUCAACUCCUGGAACAUCUCAUAUGCUCCAUGACGCUCAAAGCGCCGUUGAAGUCCCGGUUCUAAGCCAUACAAGACUGCACAUUGAACUAUUGAGUAGUCCUCCUUAUGCGAUUGCCAAGCAUUCAAAACAUCUUGGUCAGACGUAGCGGGUGGUUCAUCUCCUAGCGCAGCAUCAAGGACAUAAUUCUUUUUCCCAGCUUGUAGGAUGAGCCUAAGAUUACGUGCCCAGACUACAAAGUUGCUUUCAUCAUCUUUCAACAUAGCUUUCUCUAGGAACGUAUUGAAAUUCAGGGUUGCUACUGCGUGAGCCAUUGAUCUACAACAUAAAAUAUUGCAAAGUGGACUUAGACUAUGUUCAAGACAAUUAGAGUUUAACUAAUCAAAUUACUAAUAAAUUCCUACUCAAAUAGACAUCCCUCUAGUUACUUGAGUGUGACAUGAUCCAAAUUCACUAACUCAAGUCCGAUCAUCACAUGAGUUGAGUAUAGUUUCAGUGGUAAACAUCUCUAUGCUAAUCAUAUCAACUAUACGAUUCAUGCUCGACCUUUCGGUCUCUUGUGUUCCUAGGCCAUGUCUGCACAUGCUAGGCUCGUCAAGUUUAACCCGAGUGUUUCGCGUGUGCAACUGUUUUGCACCAGUUGUAUGUGAAUGUUGAGUCUAUCGCACACGAUCAUCACGUGGUGUCUCUAAACGACGAACUGUCGCAACGGUGCACAGUCGGGGAGAACACAAUUUUAUCUUGAAAUUUUAGUGAGGGAUCACCUUAUAAUGCUACCGUCGUUCUAAGAAAGAUAAGGUGCAUAAAAGGAUUAACAUCACAUGCAAUUCAUAAGUGACAUGAUAUGGCCGUGAUCUUGUGCUUCUUAAUCUCCACCACCAAAGCACCGGCAUGAUCUCCUUGUCACUGGCGCCACACCAUGAUCUCCAUCAUCAUGAUCUCCAUCAUCGUGCCGCCAUCGAGGUUGUCGUGCUAUCUAUGCUAUUACUACUAAAGGUACAACCUAGCAAUAUAGUAAAUGCAUCUGCAAACACAAACGUUAGUUUAAAGACAACCCUAUGGCUCAUGCCGGUUGCCGUAGCAUCGACGUGCAAGUCGAUAUUAACUAUUACAACAUGAUCAUCUCAUACAUCCAAUAUAUCACAUCAUGUCUUUGGCUAUAUCACAUCACAAGCAUACCUUGCAAAAACAAGUUAGACGUCCUCUAAUUUGUUGUUGCAUGUUUUACGUGGCUGCUAUGGGUAUCUAGUAUGAUCGCAUCUUACUUACGUAAAAACCACAAUGGAGAUGUGCAAAUUGCUAUUUAACCUCUCUCCAAGGACCGCCUCGGUCAAAUCCAAUUCAACUAAAGUUGAAGAAUCCGACACCCGCCAGUCAUAUUUAUGCAACGACUUGCAUGUUGGUCGAUGAAACCAGUCUCUCGUAAGCGUGCGAGUAAUGUCGGUCUGGGCCGCUUCAAUCCAACAAUACCGCCGAAUCGAGAAAAGACUAAGGAGGGCAGCAAAUCGAACAUCAACUCCCACAAAAACUUUUGUGUUCUACACGAGAUUACAUCUACGCAUGAACCUAGAUCAUGAUGCCACAGUUGGGGAACAUUGCAUGGGUAACAAAAAAUUUCCUACGCACACGAAUACCUAUCAUGGUGAUGUUCAUCUACGGGAGGGAGAUCGGAUCCACAUACCCUUGUAGAUUGCUAAGCGGGAAGCAUUAAGAGACGCGGUUGAUGUAGUGGUACAGCUUCGUGAUUCAAAUCACCGUCGUCCCACGAUCCGUCUCGAUCUAGCACCGAACGAACAACACCUCCGCGUUCAGCACACGUACAGAUCGAUGACGAUCUCUGCUUUCUUGAUCCAGAAGAGAGACAGGGAAGUAGAUGAGUUCUCCGGCAGCUUGACGGCGCACCGGUGAUGGUGAUCUAUUCCAGCAGGGAUCCGCCUGAGCUCCGCAGAAAUCCGAUCUAGAGGUAGAACUACGAGGUAUAGGUUUGAGUUGCACGUGGCAAAGUUGUGUCUCAAAAACCCUAAAACCACCAGUAUAUAUAGGAGGAGGGGAGGGGCUAGCCUUGGGGUUCAAGAGAGCCCCAAGGGCGCCGACCGAAGGAGGAGAUGGACUCCGACUCCAAGUCGGUUUGGAGGAGGAGGAGUCCACUCCUUCCUUCCGACCUCCCUCUUUUUUUUUCUUUUUGGUUUUUCCUCUUGUGGCGCCAUAGUCCACUUGGCCUGGCCUCACCAGCCCACUAAGGGAUGGUGCGCCACCCUAGGACUAUUGGGCUCACUCCCGGGUGGGUGGGCCCCUUGCUACGACAACAGACAACAGUGCAAGAGAUUGACACGUUGAUGGAGACUGGGCUUGCGUUGGUUUUUCCCUUGAAGAGGAAAGGAUGGUGCAGCACAUGAGAAGUAAGUAUUUCCCUCAGUUUGAGAAAGAAGGUAUAAAUUCAGUAGGAGAAUCUCGUCAAGUCUAGAGUACGUGCGCAAGCACAAAAGAGCUUGCAGCCAACACUAUAAAGGGGUUGUCAAUCCCUUCAAGAUUGAUUGCAAAGUGAGAUCUGAACGCGGAAAGUGCAACGAAGUAAAAGUGUAAGGCUGAAAUAUAGUGUGGAGUAGACUCGGGUGCCAUAGUGUUCACUAGAGGCUUCUCCUAAAAUAGCAAAUAUUACGAUGGGUGAACAAAUUACUGUCGAGCAAUUGAUAGAACCGCACAAAGUCAUGAUGAUAUCUAAGGCAAUGAUCAUACAUAUAGGCAUCACGUCCGAGACAAGUAGACCAAUUCUUUCUGCAUCUACUACUAUUACUCCACACAUCGACCGCUAUCCAGCAUGCAUCUAAUGUAUUGAGUUCAUGACGAACAGAGUAAUGCCUUAAGCAAGAUGACAUGAUGUAGAGGGAUAAUCUCAAACCAAUGAUGAAAGCCCCAUCUUUUUACCGUUGUUGGCAACAACACGAUGCGUGCCUCGCUACCCCUUCUGUCACUGGGUGAGGUCACCGCACGGUAUGAACCCAAAACCAAGCACUUCUCCCAUUGCAAAAAUCAUAGAUCAAGCUGGCCAAACAAAACCCACAACUCGAAGAGAAUUACAAGGAUAUGAAAUCAUGCAUAAGAGAGAUCAGAAGAAACUCAAAUAAGAUUCAUAGAUAAUCUGAUCAAAAAUCCACAAUUCAUCGGAUCUCGACAAACACACCGCAAAAGAAGAUUACAUCGGAUAGAUCUCCAUGAAGAUCAUGGAGAACUUUGUAUUGAAGAUCCAAGAGAGAGAAGAAGCCAUCUAGCUACUAGCUAUGGACCCGUAGGUCUAUGGUGAACUACUCACGCAUCAUCGGAGAGGUCAUGGUGUUGAUGAAGAAGCCCUCCGUGUCCGAAUCCCCCCUCCGGCAGGGCACCAGAACGUGCCCCAGAUGGCAUCUUGCGGAGACAGAAGCUUGCGGCGGCGGAAAAGUACUUUCGAUGAUCUCCUGAUUUUUUCUAGAAUUUUAGGGAAUAUAUAGGCGAAAGACCUAGGGCAGGGGAGCCACGGGGAGCUCACAAGCCUGCUAGGCCCAACCCCCCUAGGCCGGGCCUGGUGGGCUUGUGACCUCCUCCAAGGUCCCCUGCCUUGGUUCUCAAGUCUCCUCGUGUCUUCUGUUAUGGAAAAAAAUCAUUCCGCAGGUUUAUUCCGUUUGGACUCCAUUUAAAAUCCUCCUCUGAAAAGGGUCAAAAACACGAAAAAAACAGGAACUGGCACUUGGCACUGAGUUAAUAAGUUAGUCCCCAAAAAGAUAUAAAAGGCAUACAAAGCAUCCAAAGUUUGACAAGAUAAUAGCAUGAAACCAUAAAAAAUUAUAGAUACGUUGGAGAUGUAUCACCCCUCCCAGUGAAUACCCAACACCCAUUCGUCACUCCCGGUACACUGCCGGUAAUGACCGAAUUCUUUCCGGUGACCAAAUGAAACCAUCCUAUAUAUCAAUGUUCGUUUCUGGACCAUUUCGGAAACCCUCGUGACGUCCGUGAUCUCAUCCGGGACUCCGAACAACCUUCGGUCACCAACAACUAUAACUCAACUGUACUAAAACGUCAUCGAACCUUAAGUGUGCAGACCCUCCGGGUUCGAGAACUAUGCAGACAUGACCCGAGACACUCCCCGGUCAAUGUUCAAUAGAGGGACCUGGAUGUCCAUAUUGGAUCCGACAUAUUCUAUGAAUAUCUUAUGGGUUGAUUCUCUGUGCCAAGGAUUCAUAUAAUCCCGUAUAACAUUCCCUUUGUCCUUCGGUAUGUUACUUGCCCGAGAUUUGAUCGUUGGUAUCUCCAUACCUAUUUCAACCUCGUUACCGGAAGUCUCUUUACUCAUUCCGUAAUACAAGAUCCCGUGACUUACACUUGAGUCACAUUGCUUGCAAGGCUUGUAUGUGAUGUUGUAUUACCUAGUGGGCCCCGAGAUACCUCUCCGUCACACGGAGUGACAAAUCCCAGUCUUGAUCCAUGCUAACUCAACGGACACCUUCGGAGAUACAUGUAGAGCACCUUUAUAGUCACCCAGUAACGUUUUGACGUUUGAUACACACAAGGUAUUCCUCGGGUGUCAGUGAGUUACAUGAUCUCAUGGUCAUAGGAGUGAAUACUUGACAUGCAGAAAACAAUAGCAAUAAAAUGACACAGUCACAUGCUACAUUUGUAGUUUGGGUCUUGUCCAUCACAUCAUUCUCCUAAUGAUGUAAUCCAGUUAUCAAGUGACAACACUUGCAUAUGAUCAGAAAACCUUAACCAUCCUUGAUCAACUGGCUAGUCAACUAGAGGCUUACUAGGGACAUUAUUUUGUCUAUAUAUCCACACAUAUAUCUAUGCUUUCAUUCAAUACAAUUAUAGCAUGUAUAAUAAACGAUUAUCUUGAAACAGUAAAUAUAAUAAUAACUAUUUUAUCAUUGCCUCUAGGGCAUAUUUCCAACAAUUUCAUACCUAUUCUUAUUCUGCUUCUGCUCGUGUCUGACACGGUACUGCAAUAUGUUCUUCAUGAGUAGCUACGUGUAUCACAUCCACCUCUACAUUGAUGGGAUCUCCAGCCAUGUAAUGCUUGAGUCUUUGCCUCUUCACAACAUGUGGUUUGUUGCCUUCAAAAUUGUUAAUCUUGAUUGCACCAGAGCGGUAGAAUUCUUCGACAUGGUACGGUCCUUCCCACUUGGAAAGUAAUUUACCUGGAGAAAACCUGAAACGAGAUCUAUACAACAAAACUUUAUCACCAACAUUAAAUUCAAGUUUCAAAAUUCUCUUGUCAUGCGACUUCUUUAAAUUUUCUUUGAACAUUUUUGCACUCUCGUAAGCUUCACUUCUCCACUCAUCUAGAGAAGUCAAGUUCAUGAGUGGCUUUUCACCAGCAAGCUUUGGGCCAGCAUUAAGCUCUCUAACAACCUAGAAAUAUUUGUGCUCUAACUCUAAAGGUAAAUGGCAUUCCUUGCCAUAGACCAUCUUAUACGGAGACAUUCCCAUGGGAUUUUUGUAAGGAGUUCUAUACGCCCACAAGGCAUCCCCUAACUUUUUGGACCAGUCCUUUCUAGAACUGUUCACUGUCUUUUGCAAGAUCAACUUGAUCUCUCUAUUUGUGAGCUCAACUUGCCCACUUGUUUGAGGGUGGUAAGGUGAAGCAAUUCUAUGAUUAACAUCAUAUUUGGCUAGAGCUUUUCUAAAAGCAGCAUGUGUAAAAUGUGAUCCUCCAUCGGUCAUGAGGUACCUAGGUACACCAAACCUAGGGAAGAUUACACCCUUGAGCAUUUUCAAAGAUGUGUUGUGAUCAACACUUUCAGUGGGGAUUGCCUCAACCCACUUGGUCACAUAAUCAACAACCACUAAGAUGUGAGUGUACUUGUGUGAAGGAGGAAAAGGACCCAUAAAAUCGAAACCCCAGCAAUCAAAAGGCUCAAUGACUAGAGAAUAAUUCAUAGGCAUCUAAUUUCUCCUACUGAUAUUACCAACUCUUUGACACUUAUCACAAGAUAAAACAUAAUUUCUAGCGUCUUUAAAGAGAGUAGGCCAAUAAAAACCUGACUGGAGAACCUUAUGUGCGGUUCUCUCACCGGCAUGAUGUCCUCCAUAAGGAUUGUUAUGACAUUAUGUCAAGAUAUCCUUCUGCUCAUGCUUCGGUAUGCAUCUCCUCAUGAUCCCAUCCACACCUUCUCUAAAAAGAUGUGGGUCAUCCCAAAAGUAAUACCUCAAGUUGGGGAAGAAUUUCUUCCUUUGCUGGAAUGUUAAACCUGGAAGCAAAAACUUUGCAACAAUAAAGUUAGCAUAAUUUGCAUACCAUGGAUCGGAAUUAGAUUGUACCUUCAAAAAAGCUAACUGUUCAUCAGGAAAACUAUCGUUGACCGGAAUAGGAUCAUGUGGUAUGUCCUCCAUCCUGGAAAGGUUGUCUGCUACAGGGUUGUCUGCUCCCUUCCUAUCAACAAUCUGCAAAUCAAAUUCUUGAAGAGGAAGGACCCAUCUGAUAAGCCUUGGUUUGGCAUCCUUCUUUUCCAUAAGAUACUUAAUAGAAGCAUGAUCAGUAUGAAUGAUGACUUUUGAAUCAAUGAUGCAAGGCCUAAAGUUAUCAAAAGCAAACACUAACGCCAAAAACUCUAUCUUAGUAGUAGCAUAAUUCUUUUGAGCACUGUCAAGGGUUUUACUAGCAUAAUGUAUAACAUUCAAUUUCUUAUCAACACUUUGUCCUACCACCGCUCCAACAACAAAAUCACUAGCAUCACACAUGAUUUCAAAAGGCAAAUUCCAAUCAGGUGGUUGGACUAUAGGGGCGGUUAUCAAGGCUUACUUAAGAAUUUCGAAGGCUUCCUUACAAUCUUCAUCAAACACAAAAGGAAUAUCCUUUUGGAGAAUAUUAGUGAGGGGUUUUGAAGUCUUAUAAAAGUUUUUAAUAAAUAUUCUAUAGAAACCGGCAUGAUCGAGGAAACUACGAAUACCUCUGAUGUCCUUUGGAUAAGGCAUCCUAUCGAUUGCUUCGACCUUUGACCUGUCCACCUCGAUUCCCUUUCAGAAAUCUUAUGGCCAAGAACAAUUCCCUCAUUGGCCAUGAAGUGACACUUAUCCCAGUUGAGUACCAAGUUCAUUUCCUCACAUCUCUACAAAACUUUAUUAGGGUUGUGGAGACAAUGGUCACAAGAGGUUCCAUAGACGGAGAAAUCGUCCAUGAAGACCUCCACAAUUUCCUCACAAAAACCAUGAAAGAUAGCAUACAUACACCUUUGAAAAGUAUCAGGAGCAUUGCAUAAACCAAAAUACAUACAUCUAUAAGCAUAAGUACCAAAGGGACAAGUAAAAGUGGUCUUCUCUUGAUCGGCAGUAUUAACAUGAAUUUGAGAGAAGGUAGAAUACCCAUCAAGAUAGCAAAAUUGAGUGUUUUUGGAUAACCUUUCAAGCAUUUGGUCGAUGAACGGCAACGGGUAGUGGUCCUUCCUGGUUGCUUUUUUCAUAUUCCUCUAAUCAAUACAAAUUCUAUAUCCAAUAAUAAUUCUUUGAGGUAUUAGUUGAUUCUUAUCAUUAGGAACCACAGUCGUACCUCCUUUCUUGGGAACACAAUGUACCAGACUUACCCACUUACUAUCAGCUAUAGGAUAGAUAAUACAUGCGGCUAGAAGCUUGAGGAUUUUGGUCCUCACAACAUCCUUCGUCGUCGGGUUCAACCGUCGUUGAUGAUCAACAACCGGUUUAGCAUCAGGCUCAAGAUUGAUAGUAUGCUGACAAAUAGAUGGACUAAUCCCCUUAAGAUCAUCAAGGGUAUAGCCAAUAGCACCUCGGUGUUUACGAAGGACUUCCAAUAAUUGCUCUUCUUCAUAUCCUGAAAGGUUAGCAUUGAUAAUAAGAGGAUAUACUUUCUUUUCAUCUAAAUAAGCAUACUUGAGCGUAUUGGGAAGAGGUUUAAGAUCAAACACCGGAUCUUCUUUUGGUUUCGAUAAAAUUCCCAAAGGCUCAACCGGAAGGUUGUGCUUCAGGAUAGCAGGUUGUCUCAAGAAUAUGUCGUCUAGCUCAUUCCUUUCCUGCAUAUGCAUAUCAUUCUCGUGGUCCUCCAUAAAUUGCUGCAAAGGAUCGUUAGGAGGAAUAGAAAUAGAAGCAUUCUCUUGAAUAAUUUUAUCAUUACUAGACAAAUCAGUAUCACGAGUUUUCUUCGAGAAUUUAGGAAAGUUAAAUUCAUAUGGCUCACCAUUAAAUUCAACAUAUACUUUUCCUUUCCUGUAAUCUAUAAUAGCUCCAUAAGUUUUGAGAAAGGCCUACCAAAGAUAAUAGGGCAAAAACUAUCUUGCAGUGAACCAAGUACUAGAAAGUCGGUAGGAUAUUUUACCUUUCCACAUAGGACUUCAACAUCUUGCACAACUCCAAUAGGAGAGAUAGUUUCUUUGUUUGCAAGAUGAAUAGUAACAUCAACGUCUUCAAUUUCACAUGGUAUGAUCUCAUUCAUGAUCUCUUGAUAAAGUGAAAAAGGAAUAGCACUAGCACUGGAUCCCAAAUCACAUAGCCCGUAAUAAUUAUGAUCCCCUAUUUUAACAGAUGCAACUGGAGUACCUGAAAUUGGGCCUUUAUUCUUGGCUGUAACAAGGUUGGUAUAAACAACACAAAAAUUUAUAUUGGAAUCCUCAAUAUUACUAGUAACAAGAUCCUUGACUAAUGCAACUUGAGGAUGGACCUUAAUCAAGUCCUCAUGCUCAUCAGUCGUUCUUUCACUUUUAUUCAGUAUGCCCGUGACAAAAGAAUGCUCCCUCAUCCUUGUGGGAAAAGGGGGCUUUUCAUAUAAAACUGCAGGCAAGAUAGGGUCAACAACAUUGAUACCAACAGGUAAUUCCUUAAAAGGUUUAUGGUAUUGAUCCCCCCUUUUCUUAGAAGAAUCAAUAUGAGCGGCAAAGUCUUUGCAAAAAUCAAUUAGAAGCCGGGAAUCAAGACCAAUCUUAGCACAAAAGGUAUUGAAGUAAUCAAAUUUCACAUAGCUCUCAAUGUAAUCAUGCUCAUAAUUUAUAACGGGUUCAAUACCUUUAUCAAUCUCCCAAUCUUCAGUAUUCUUCUGGAUCCUUUCAAUAAGAUCCCACCUAGCUUCAGUGCUUUUGUUGAAGAAUGCCCCACUAGAGGAGGCAUCAAGCAUCUCUUUAUCUUGACGAGAAAGCCUUGCAUAAAAAUUUGUAAGAAUAAUUUCCUUGGGGAGCUCAUGAUUGAGACAUUUGAGCAUUAGUGACUUAAAUCUCCCCAAGCUUGAGCGAUGCUUUCUCCGUCACGAUAUCAAAAGUUAUAAAUAUAAUUCUUGUUUCGAUGUAUUUCAUGAAGAGGAUAAAACUUUGCAUAAAAGAGAGGCAUAAGAUGUUACCGAUUUACCAAAUGAGAGUUAUCAAGAAGCCUAUACCAAUCCAAAGCAUUAUCUUUUAAUGAUAGAGAGAAUAGCUUUCUCAUAACAAAAUCCAUCGAUAUACCUGCAAGCUUAAAUAAGGAGCAUAGUUGUGAAAGAUAUAGCAAGUGUUCGCGUGGAUGUCUAUCUCCUGCAUAUCGAUUAGCUAAGACACAAUCAAUAAUACCAGUUGGUAUUUUAAAGGGCACAAUUUUAGUAGGUGGGGGAGGCUUCUCCACCACAAUAGCGUUGGGGAGGUUUCCCACAAGCAACAAACCAAGAGAAGAGUUGUCCAUAGGGACAAAAAACGAAAACUACAAAAUAAAAACAACACGUACAUCGUAAAGAUUUCCUUACCAAUUUCACUUACCAAUAGCGCUUCACUCCCCGGCAACGGUGCCAGAAAAUGGUGUUGAUGACCCACAAGUAUAGGGUAUCUAUCGUAGCCUUUUCUAUAAGUAAGAGUGUCGAACCCAACGAGGAGCAGAAGGUACUGACAAGCGAUCUUGAGAAGGGACUAACUGCAAGUACUGAAAGGUAAUUUUUUAUGGGUUUUCUGGUAUAAGCAACAAGAAAAUAACUGCAGGGAAAGUAAAUGGUGCUGAGGUGCAAAAAGUGGCCCAAUCCUUUUGAACACAAAGGAUAAGCUAAGGGACUAAACUUAUAAAGACUAAUGCGUUCCUGAGGACAUACGGGAGAGAUAGUCAAGUGAUUUCGCCAUAUUCUGUCUAGUACUAUGUUUUGUAUUGAUAAGUGUUAUGUGGGUGGAUCUUAACUAGUGCACCGUAUAGGACAAGACAAGUACACUCUUAUGAUUGAAAUCCUUGCAAGCAUCCGCAAAUGCAAGAGAUAAAUUAAGGCAAAGCCUAACCAUAGUAAUAAGCUUUAGGAUCCAACACUCCCUCGUGCAAAAGCAUGCGAAUUGGGGUUCAUGUUUCUGUCACUCCCGCAACCCACCAUAAGCAUUAUUUAUACACGAUGUAUUCUCCUAGGCCCUUAAAAAGGUGAAGUGUUAUGUAGUCGACGUUCACAUAACACCACUAGAAGAAUAACACCAUAACUUAAAUAUCAAUGAACACAUAUUACUUCAACAUCAUAUGACUAUUAUGAACUAGACUUCUCCCAUGUCCUCAAGAACUAAAGUAACUACUCACGAGACAUAAAAGAGAUCAUGAUCAGAGGUGAUGAAAAUAUGAUGAACAAUCUGGUCAUAACAGUAAUUCUCCAACAAUACUCAAUAGCAUUCACCACAAAAGAGUAAUCAACACCGAUAGAGUAAGGGGGAUGAAUAGUGCAAGGUACAACUCCGAUUGCAAUGGUAAAGUGAGAUGUGGUGAAGAUGGAGAUGGUGCUGGUGAUGAUGAUCUCGAUGAUGCCCGUGACGAUGGUGAUGACGAUGAGGAUGGUCUCCCCUUCCGGGAGGAGUUCUCCCCGGCGGAAUCUGCCCGUCGAAAAGGUCUUUUCUUCUGUGUAGGUUUCCGCCUCGGAGCGACGGCGGAACUCCGGAAAAACUUCUGUCCCCGUAACUUUUAGAUCACAAGGGUCAUAUAGGCGAAAGGAGAGCACCGGAGGCGGGACCACCACCUAGGCGGCCUUUGGGUGCGGCCUUGGGGUGACCCGCACCACCAGGUCGCAUGGGUGCCUGGUGGCCCCCCUUUGGCCCUUCUUCGGUUUGUCUUUGUGAUCUGUUCGAAAACUCCUUCCCCGUAAAUUUCAGCUCAAUUGGAGAUGUUCUAAUUCGACAACUCUCCAUGCUAUUUUCUCCGUUGAAUCCUGCGUCUGCUGUUUUGGCACAGGAAAGUUGUAAACUGUGUAAAAUAAGCCAAAACACUAUAAGAACAACAUCAUAAUGUGAAACAUAUCAAUGGAUAGAGACAAAUUAUAAUACAAAAUUGUUGGGUAACGUAGCAUAAAUUCAAAAAAUUUCCUACGCAUAUUCAGAUCUUCCUAUGGAGAGACGAGCAACGAGAGAGGGCUGAGUGCAUCUUCAUACCUUUGAAGAUCUCUAAGCGGAAGUGUUGCUAGAACGCGGUUGAUGGAGUCGUACUCGCGGCGAUUCAAAUCGCGGUGUGAUUCCAAUCUAGUGCCGAACCACGGCACCUCCGCGUUCAACACACGUGCAGCCCGAUGACGUCUCCCGCACCUUGAUCCAGCAAGGAGGAGGGAGAGGUUGGGGAAGCUCUCCGGUAGCACGACGACGUGGUGUCGAUGGAGAGACGAGGUUUCCCGGAAGGGCUUCGCCAAGCACCGUGGGAGGAGGAGCAAGGAGGGGAGCAGGGCUGCGCCGAGGGGAGAAGAAACCGUGUGCAAAACAGCCCCAAACCCCUGCCUAUAUAUAGGAGGAGGGGAGGGGAGUGCCACCCCUAGGGUUUCCCCCCUAGGUGGUGCAGCAGCCCCCUGUAGAUGGGAGGUGCGGCGGCUAGGGCAAGGGGAGGGGUGGCGCACCCCUUAGGUGGGCCUUAGGCCUACCAGCGCUAGGGUUUGCCCCCCUUCUCUCCCUCCUGUGCCUUGGGCCUCUUGUGGGAGGCGCACCAGCCCAAUUUGGGCUGGUUGCCCUCCCCCUUUUGGCCCAUGCUACCUCUUGGGCCUGGUGGCCCCUCCCGGUGGACCCCCGGGACCAUUUCCGGUGGUCUCGGUACGCUACCGGUGACGCCCGAAACAUUUCUGAUGUCCAAAACCAUCCAUCCUAUAUAUCAAUCUUUACCUCCGGACCAUUCCGGAGCUCCUUGUGACGUCCGGGAUCUCAUCCGGGACUCGGAACAACUUUCGGUAACCUCGUAUAACAUUUCCCUAUAACCCUAGCAUCAUCAAACCUUAAGUGUGUAGACCCUACGGGUUCGGGAAGCAUGCAGACAUGACCGAGAUGCUCUCCGGCCAAUAACCAUCAGCGGGAUCUGGAUACCCAUGGUGGAUCCCACACGUUCCAUGAUGAUCUCGUCGCAUGAACCACGAUGUCAAGGAUUCAAUCAAUCCCGUAUACAAUUCCCUUUGUUUGUAGGUAUAGAACUUGCCCGAGAUUCGAUCGUCGGUAUACCUAUACCUUGUUCAAUCUCAUUACUGGUAAGUCUCUUUACUCGUUCUGUAGCACGUCAUCGUGUGACUAACUCCUUAGUCACAUUGAGCUCAUGAUGAUGUUCUACCGAGUGGGCCCAGAGAUACCUCUCCGUCACACGGAGUGACAAAUCCCGAUCUCGAUUCGUACCAACCCAACAGACACUUUCAGAGGUACCCGUAGUGCACCUUUAUAGUCACCCAGUUACGUUGUGAUGUUUGAUACACCCAAAGUACUCCUACGGUAUCCGGGAGUUGCACAAUCUCACAGUCGAAGGAAAAGACACUUGACAUUAGAAAAACUUUAGCAUACGAACAAUACGAUCUAGUGCUAUGCUUAGGAUUGGGUCUUGUCCAUCACAUCAUUCUCCCAACGAUGUGAUCCCGUUAUCAAUGAAAUCUAAUGUCCAUGAUCAGGAAACCAUGAUCAUCUAUUGAUCAACGAGCUAGCCAACUAGAGGCUUGCUAGGGACACAUUGUGAUCUAUUUAUUCACACAUGUAUUACUGUUUCCUGUUAAUACAAUUAUAGCAUGAACAAUAGACGAUUAUCAUGAACAAGGAAAUAUGAUAAUAACCAUUUUAUUAUUGCCUCUAGGGCAUAUUUCCAACAAAAAUAGUGAUGCAUUUUGGACGUAUCACCAUUGCACUGCUUUUGUGGGUACUACCGUUCGAGCGUGGUACCGCUUACGUGGAGGUUGUGAGCAUAACGAUUGUAUUUGGGAGGGCCUAUUUAAGGGGGUCUUCUUACCCAAUGGUUAUUAUCCUUUGAACUCGUGUCCCCCCCCAUUGUUGACCUUCUUCGAUCUUGCUAUCUCUCAAUCCCUCCAAUGAUUCUUGCUAGUUCUUGAGGGAAAAGUAAGAGGAGAUAUAGAUCUACGUUUCCGCUAAUCAUUUUAUCCUGAAUGUGAGGGGAACCCCUUGGAUCUAGAUCUUGGAGUUCUUUGUGAGCUCCUUGUUAUUCCUCUCAUAUUCCUCACUAGCUUUUGUUGUGGUUGUGGUGGUAUUUCGUAGUGAGAGACUUGACCACUUCCAGUGUUCUUGACAUUACAUUAGUUGCAUGGGUUUGAGUUCUUCAUGGUGAUACAUGGAAGUUAAGUUUGAGAAGCUUAUAACUUUUGGUUGUUUCGGCAACCUAGAGCUUCUGACUCUUGUGUGCGUUGGUGCCCUAGAUGAUUGGUGGUGCCUUGGAGCUCAAUCAUUAUGGUGUAAAGCUUCGGUCAAGCGUCGGAGUCUCCAAUUAGGUUGUGGUGAUUGCACCGAGCAAUUUGUGCAGGUUCCGGUGACCUCCCCAAGGGUUAGCAAAGUGUACGGGUUGAGUAACUGCCCCAAGGGUUGGCAUGUGUACGGUGUUGGUGACCGCCCUCAAGGGUCCCUUUGUAAAACCACGACAUCUUGCAUUGUGCAAGGGCGUCAGAAGAUUAUGGUGCCCGAGUGGCUUCUUGGGGAUCAUUGUGCCUCCACACUGCUCCAAAUGGAGAUUAGCAUCCGCAAGGGUGUGAACUUUUGGAUACAUCAUCAUAUGUGCAUGCCUCAGUUAUCUCUUACCCGAGCCCUUUACUUAUGCACUUUACUUUGUGAUAUUCAUAUUUUUUCUUGUUAUAUAUCUUGCUAUCACUUAGUUGUUUAUAUUGUUUAGCAUAAGUUGUUGGUGCACAUAGGUGAGCCUAGUGGUUUUAGGUUUUGUGCAUGACAAAUUAAACGCUAGUUUUAUUCCAUAUUUUUCAAGCCUAAAUUGUAAUAAACUAAAAAACUACAAAGCUAAGAUCGUACCCUCUAAGACGAGGGGAGGUAAGGAACUACCAUCUAGCUCCGCAUUUGAUUCACCUUCUGCUUUGAGUAAACUUGUGACACCUCCACCUACUACUCAAUCUGAUAUGUAGCAAGUAUUAUACACUUCUCCUACUAAGGAGGAUGUUCAUGAUGAUGCUACUACUAUGCUAGAUGGAACUGAUACCGUGCCACUAAGUGAACUGUUUGAUGCUCAUAUUGAUAUAUCUACAGAAAUUGAGAAUGUUGAACGGAUGAAAAUUAUGAUUCACCUAUUAUGCCUAGCUCUCCUACUAGAGUUGAAAUGCGUGAGAUACUUGAUGGUUAUGUUACGAAUGGGGAGAUAUCUAGAAAAUUUCUUGCUUGUAAUGAUACAGAUGAUCUUAAAAAGUACCGAGUAUGGUGAGAGAAAAAUAUAUGAUAGAGAGAAUGAAAUAUGAUCCUAAAUUUUCUACUUCUCCUAUCUUUGUUAUUGAUAAGGAUUUUCAAUUCUAUGUCAAUCUUGAGUUAAUUUCUUUGGUUGAAUUUGAUCCUUUUCAUGCUUAUGAAACUGAAACUUUUAUGGCACACCUUACAAAUUGCAUGAUAUUGGCACCCUAUUUUCACACGAGGAAAAAAAUCACUACUAUUAUGUUCUUUAGUUAUAUCAAUAAUCUCUAAAGGGCGAUACCAAGAAAUGGUUUAAUAUUCCCGCUCGUGGUAGUUGAGUUUACUUCAAGUUUGUUAUGACCAGGUGUUAAAGAAAAUUUCCAAGUUGCACCAUAACCGCGGGCACAACUUUAUGUAAGAUUAAAUCCUCCACGGGUGCUCCAACUCAUCCAUCACAAACUAGCCACAAGUUGUGUUGAAAAGCUCAACCACGAAAAACCCGUAGUCUCCUCAGAAUCCCGGUGGAAAACCUCAACCUUGAGAUAGCCCAAAGUAUCCUAGGAAUCCCGGUCCACAAGAUAUUUCGUAAAAGGUAAAAUAAAUCUAGCAAGGCCGCUCGACGUGUCAAUGAACCCGAUAGGAGCCGGGUAUCUCGUUCUCAGGACACGACCGGAUAAGUGAUACGUCUCCAACUUAUAUACUUUUCCAAACACUUUUACUCUGGUUUUGACCUCUAAUUUGCAUGAUUUGAAUGAAACUAACCCGGACUGACAAUGUUUUCAACAGAACUACCUAGGUUUUAUUUUUGUGCAGAAAUAAAAUUUCUCAGAAUUGGAAAAACUCUUUGUGAAUUAUUUCUGGGAUAUUUAAUUAAUUAUGGAGAAAAGACGUGGAGAGGGGGAUUUUACUGACACAUGCUAAUCCGGAGUCCUUUUGGGGCUCUAGAGAGGUGGAUUCGUCUCCGUCGACAUCACCAACCCUUCUCCAUGAACUCAGCUAUGAUUCUCACCACAGGGAGUGAGUAAUUCCUUUGUUGGCUUGCUGGACGAUGGUGGGAUGGAUGAUUUUAACCAUGCUAUUGAGUUAAGUUUGAUAGGGCUUGAUCCCUAGUAUCCACUAUUUUCUGAGAUCGAUGUUGCUAUGACUUUGUUAUGCUUAAUGGUUGUCACUAGGGCCCGAGUGCCAUGAUUUAAGAUGUGAACCUGUUAUGUUUUCAUGAAUAUAAGAUUGAUUUGGAUCCUAUCUUGCAACUUAUAGUUACUUAUUACUUGUCUUGAUCCGCAUACUCAAGGUGACAAUAAUUGGGAUUAUGUUCGGUGAUUGCCGUAGUUUGAGGAGUUCAUGUAUUCACCAAGUGUUAAUGCUUUGUUCCGGUUCUCUAUUAAAAGGACGCCUUAAUAUCCCAUAGUUUCCAGUAGGACCCCGCUACCACGGGAGGGUAGGACAAAAUAUGUCAUGCAAGUUCUUAUCACAAACACAUAUGACUAUAUACGGAAUACAUGCCUACAUUAUGUUGAUGAAUUGGAGCUAGUUCUGUGUCGCCCUAGCGUUUAAAUGUUACAUGAUCAAUGUCAUCUAAAUCAUUAUCCAUCACCGAUCCACGUGCCCUCGCUUUACAUAUACUGAAUCUUGCUAAGUUACUACUGUUACUGCUACUAUCACACCUGCUACUCAAUUUCUAUUGUUACUAUUGUUACCAAAAUUGCUGCUAUCAGUGUUACUCUUACUACUACCUUUUGUUGUGCUACUAAACCCUUGCUACAGAAAGAUAUCCCAGGUGCGGUUGAACUGACAACUCAACUAUCAAGGCCAAUAAAUAUUCUUUAGCUCCCCUUGUGCCCAAUCAACAAAGUAGGGUGAAAUACUACUCGUGAAGACUGUCGCGAUCCCCUAUACUUGUGGGUUAUUAAGACCUUUUUCUCGCACUUUUGCCGGUGAGCAUACAUUUAUUUAUGGGUUGACUUGAGGAUAUCGAAUAUCUACUAUGAUGAAUCUGAAAGAUAAUUGAACUAAGAUCGUCCCCUCUCGCACGAGAGGAGGUAAGGAACUACCCUCUAGCUCUGCUUUUGAUUCACCCACUAUUUUGAAUGAGCUUAUUACACUACCACAUGUUGAUCGUCCUAAUAUGUCACAUGAACUUGAUGAUGCUACUUCUGAAAUUAAUCAUGAUACUAUUGCUACACAUGUUGAAACUGAAACUGUGCCACUGAGUGAAUUACUUGAUGCUCAUAUUGCUAGAGCUAGUGAACUUCAAAAUGCUGAAACUGAUGAAGACUUUGAAUCAUGUGUUACACCUCGUCCUCCUAAUAGAUAUCAAUUUCCUUAUGUACCUGAAGGUCAAGUUAUGGAUGGUGAGGUAGCUAGAGCUUUUCUUGCUUGUGAAAAUAGAGAUGAAGUCAAGAGAUUACUAUGCAAACUAAAAGAAAAAUCUAUGAUGGAGAAAAUGAAACAUGAUCCUGAAAUUGCUAGUUCUCCUAUAUAUGUCACUCAUAAGGACUAUGAACUCUCUAUAGACCCUAAACUAAUUCCUAUAGUAGAGUCUAAUCCUUUCCAUGGCUAUGAAAAUGAAACUGUGGCCGAACACCUUAUGAAACUGAAUGAUCUUACCAAUGAUGAAAAGAUACACUACUAUUAUAUCCUUAAGCUUUUUCCAUUCUCAUUGAAAGGCGAUGCCAAGGAAUGGUUCCUUUCUCCUGCUCCUAGUUGUAUGCAUAGUCCCCGGGAUAUGCUUUAUUACUUCUCUGAAAAUUAUUUUUCGGCUCAUAAGAAACUAGCUGCUUUACACGAAAUAUUUAACUUUGUGAAAAUUAAAGAAGAGAAUCUCCCUCAAGCUUGGGGGAGGCUUCUCAUGUUACAUAGAGCAUUGCCUGAUAUUCCUCUUAAGAAGAAUGAAAUUCUUGAUAUCUUUUAUAAUGGACUAACAUAUGCUUCUAGGGAUUUCCUAGAUAGUUGUGCUAGUUGUGUUUUCAUGGAAAGAACCGUUGUACAAGUAGAAGAGUUAUUAAAUAAUAUAUUGCAAAAUGUCGUUGAUUGGACACUUCCAGAACCACCGCGAGAACCUAUUCAAAUGAAGAGAGGUAUUCUGUUCCUCGGCCCUGAAGAUAUGCAGGAAGCAAAAAGAUCUAUGAAAGAGAAAGAUAUUAAAAUUGAGGAUGUCAAGAAAUUACCACCGAUUGAAGAAAUACAUGCACUUGAUAUUCUGACACACAUAAUAGAGGUAAACUCUCUCUGUUCCUUUACUGAAAAUGAUAUACCUUAUGCUAAGACUCCUGAUCAAUGCACGAACGAAUUUGAUUAUUACAUUGUUAAGCAAGAACACUUCAAUAACUAUGUUAAGGACCAAUUGAAAAACAAUGCCAUGAUGAUAGACCGCUUAAGUGACUUGAUGUUUAGAAUUUCUAAUGAUGUGAAAGGUCUAGGUAAACAUGCCUCUAUGGUCCACGCCCAACUAGAUCAACUAGCUAAGUCACAAAAUGAUUUGUUUGCUGAAAUGAUUAGACAUGUCUUUGCGCGCACUCGCUUGACUGAUAUAUUGAAAAUGCCCAUGUAUGCUAAGUACAUGAAGGAUAUUAUACCAACAAAAGAAAGAUACCCAACACUAAAAUUGGUACUAUGCUUGCUAAUUAUUGUUUUGGAGAUGGAAUACAUAAGAAGUUAGGAGAUCCGGGUAUACCCAAAUACCUUGCUCUAUUAAAAGAAAUUAUGUUAAAACUGUUUUAUGUGAUUUAGGAGCCGAUGUUAGUGUUAUGCCUUUCUCCCUUUAUAAAAGACUUGAAUAGGAUAAGCUUACACACACUCAGAUAUCUUUGCAAAUGGCUGAUAAAUCCACUGCUUUACCUAUUGGAAUUUGUGAAGAAGUUCCCAUUGUCAUUGCAAAUGUUACUAUCUUAACAGCCUUUUUAUUCUUGAUAUGCCAGAGGACGACAAUAUGUCGAUCAUCUUUGGUAGACCCGCUCUAAAUACUGGAGGGUCUGUUAUCGACUGCAACAAAAGUAAGGUCACUUUUCAUGUUAACGACAAGCAAUAUAUAGUGCAUUUUUCGAACAAGAAAACUGUGGUUAAUAAUAUUAAUGUCAUUGAGCCUAUUACCACGGUCAUAAUUGGAUUUUUUUACAAUCCCUCAACCUAUUGCUAAGAAAAAGAAAUGCUAUAAUCUUAUUGUUGGGGAGGUGCAAAUCCCCAUGAGGUAACCUAGUGAUAUACAAAAGUUCUUCGGUUUCAUGUUAAUCAGAAACGAUUGUUAAUAAGUCUUGAUCAACCUUAUCAAUGGAUCCUUUUGGAAAGACAUGUGUUUGAUGAAUUGAGUAUUCACAACUCUCUGUAUUACAAAUUUAUUAUCUUUUCUCUUGGCUAAAUAAAAGAAAAUGCAUGAUUACCCUAUUUUUUGAGUUUUCCAUACCAUAGAAAAAUGACCCAAAACUAAAAAGUCUUAUAAUAACACCAAAUUUGAACAUGUUUUUUUCUGGAAUAAAUAAGUAUUUGUGGCAUACAAAUAAAAGCAGGGAGACGCACUUGUGGGCCACAAGCUAACAGGGCGGCCCUAGGUCGCGCCUUGAUGGCUUGUGGGGCCCAUAGCCCUCUUCCUUAUCCCUUCAACUCACAUAAUCCUCUACCUCCAUAGAAAAUUCCUUAUCCCCCCCGUGUUCUUCCUCUAGAAACUGUAAUUUUUGAUCUCUUUGGUCGGGACUCCAUUACCGAAACUAUUUUAAGGGAAUUGUUCCUUGAUAUGUGACUCAUCUAUGCCUCCAAUUAGUUUUUGCUUUAGUGUUCUAUAUUUUGCAUAAAUUGCUUCACUUGGUGCUACAAAAAAUGAGCUUGCUUGUUGAAUUCUUUGGUCCAAGUAGUAUGAAUGCUUGAUAUAGCCUCUAAGUAUCCAUAUGAGUAGUUGCUAAGAAUCCCAUGAAGUUUUAUUGACAUAAAUUUCUGGCUCAAAAAUCUCAGAUAUUUGUGCUUAGGAGAAUGAAUUUAUUGAGGACAUGUUCUUCUAGUCGUAACCCCAAGGGAGUUACUGGGAGGACUCAAGAUCGCAAUGUCAACAUUUUUUGCAACACGGAGGUUAGGCCUUGUGAAUGUCCACAUACACCGUUCAUGAGUGAAGAUGUUUUAUGAUGAAUUCAUGCAAUUUGUUGCAAAUGUCAGGCUGACGAACUUCCUCACAGAUGAGUGUGACCAAUACUAUCUCCUUACUAAUCCCUUUGUGCAAAACUUUCACUUCUUAAACACACAUGGUGCCCCUAGAGUACACUUUGCUCUUUAUGCAACAAACUUUGAAUUGCCUUUAGAUGAAUUUUGUGAGAAUUGCUCGAUCCCCUGUGACAGGAGGAUAUGCGGGCCUAAGACUAAGGAAUUUGAGGGUUUCCUCCUCACCUUAACUGUGGGGGAGACUAGGGGUGUAUCAAACGCCAGGGCCUCUAGUUUGCAUUUUCCUUCUAUGCACUAUUUCUCUCUGUUUAUAGGAAAAUGCAUAACUCCUAUGGAGUAGGGUUGUGGUCUUAGUUCCCCAAACCUGGGUACUUUGCGCCGCACACUCUAUGGUGAUAACACUUACAACCUAGGAGCUAUUGUCAUGCACCGCUUACAUAUUAACAAAACCAAAGGCAAGAUCCAUGGUGGUAUUUAUGCCAUGGGCUUGGCAAAGCGUCUUAAUGUUGCCAUACGACCUACUAUUAAUUUGUUACCUUAGGUUUUUCUCGACGACCAAGCUAUGUCUGACCAUCAAUUCACUGUUGUAAACUUAGCCAUCUCAGGGCAUCCGCUAUAACUUAGUAUACAUCAAGAACAUUCGCGAUAUUAUUGUGUUCCUGCACCCUGUUUGUUUGUUUUUCAUGCCAGGAACGGAUACACCAUCAUGCUGGAAGACAAAACUGCAUAUCGUGACAUGUUGGUAGCUGCACACAUGGAGGCCCAUGAUUGGGAUGCUGAGGUGCCACCGCAGGAACACUUUCCUGGACCUGAUGGUUACUACCAGUGGUGAUUACCAAGCUAGGCAAAAGCCUAAGCUUGGGGAAGUACAUAUUUCUCACCGACAUUUCAUUCAUGUUCACACACCUCAUACAAAUUUUCAAUGUUCAUCCUCUUUCGUUGUAUAUCCAUAUUAGCUUUACUUUUCCGCAUUCUUCUUGUGUGUUUGAAAAACUUUAGAAAAUCCAAAAAUACUUCUCACUUUUUUCCGUUUUGUCCCUAGUUGUAGUAUUAAAAGAAAACCCCAAAAGAUUUCCUCUUGCAUGUUGGGAGCUUUCCCGUGUAAAUAGGCUUUCUCAUUCUUGUUUUCCCUUAGUUUAUUUUGCUUGCUUAAGAAAAACAGAAACUCCAAAAAUAUUUGAGUGUGUUCCUCUGAAUUUCUUUUUCGUUUUGUUGAGUUAUGAAAGGAGAAGACCAUGUCGAAAAUGAUGAGGCCUCUCAUAUGCUUUGUUGUUAAUCUAACAAAGAGCCAAUAUAACCAUGUCUUCUCCUUUGUUUAAAACUGCCAUGCAAAAUCUAGCCUAGUUGACGACACCCUUGCACUUCUAUUAUUAUCACAUCAUUCGGUCAUGCAAGUAAAAGGUAAUAAUGAAGAUAUUUGAUAAAGUGAUCGUGGCAAAGGAAACGGGUAUGAACUCUUCUUGUUCUUUAUUUUUUUAAAUAUGUUAGCUCGUUCGAUCUUGAUUCGGUAUAUCAUGAGUGAACAUGUUUAUGAUGACAACUAGAGAUUGUAGUUUUUCAUGCCAUGCUUAAAUAUCUAGGAGCUGAUAAUGAUUUAGCUUGUGUGUCAACAUGCAUUAAAAUGGUUAUGAUGUGAUAUGGUAUUAUGGUAUUUCCCUGUGAGUAUUUCGAGUGGCCUGACUUGGCCCAUGUGCAAACAUGUAGUUGAUUCAAAACCAAUGUAGCCUUCAUGCUAUUUAAAUUCAGAGUAUUUAUAUCCUACUCAUGCUUUGUCCAAAGUUGAUUAUUUUCAAUGAAUGUUCAUGACCGUUAUUGCUCUCUAGCUUGUCACUUUCCAAUCUUUUGCUAGCCUUCACCUGUACUAAGCAGGAAUGCUGCUUGUGCAUACAAUACUCUUAAAAUGAAGUUACCCCACAUGAGUCCACCAUACCUACCUAUAUGUGGCAUUGCCCUGCUGUUCCAAGUACAUUUGCAUGUGCCACCACUAAAUAUUCAAACAAACAUCUGGUUUAUGCACUCGUACCACCCAUGGAGCAACAGGGCAACCAAUAUCUUCCAAUCUAAGUAAGUUAUUCUCAAAAGGGGCGUUUAUUCACCAUCAUUGCAUGAGAGAGGUUGGUAACAAGGAUGCCCAGUCCUGCAUAAUCAAAAUUUAAUUAAAACAAAACUCCUUGGGAAAGUUGAUAUGUUGGAGGGAACCCGUGAAUUCGGCUAGCCAUGGUUGUGUAUGAAUGGUGGAUAGGAGUAAAACUUUACAACUCUGUUUGGGAACCACCAAUAAUGAGUUUAGCAUGGAAGAUACUAAAAACCUUUGUCGUAACAUUGACAAUAAACAACACCACUCAAAAACUAUAAUUUUGAUCCUGCUUUAAAACUUGAACUCUAGCACCUCUCCAAAUCAAUGCUUCCCUCUCCGAAGGGCCUAUCUACUUAAUUUCAUGUUGAGUCAUCACCUUGUUACCUACUGCACCAGACAAGAGAUCACUAUUCUCAUUCCUAUGCAUUGAGCCUAGUCAAUGUUCGAUAUGAGUAUGAGUGNACCAUAUUAUAUAAUUAUUGUUUUGACAAAUUGUUGGCAUGUGAGAUAUCUUAUUAUUGCUUGCUAGUUAGUUAUGUAUUGCCAUGAUUGAAUAUGAUGCUUGAUUGUGAUCAUGUAUGUGAUUUUUUAUGAUUCAUGCAGAAGACUUAAACAACUAGCUAAGCAUGUGUAUAAAGACAAGAACAAAAGAGUUUGGAAAAGUUUUCUUUAUCAUUAGCAGUUUAUCAACUGAAUUGCUUGAGGACAAGGAAUGAGUUAAAAUUGGGGGAGUUGAUACGUAUCCGACGUAUCUACUUUUCCAAACACUUUGGCUAUGGUUUUAACCUCUAAUUUGCAUGGUUUGAAUGAAACUAACCCGGGCUCACACUAUUUUUAGCAGAACUACCUUGGUGUUAUUUUUGUGCAGUAACAAAAGUUCUCGAAAUUGGACGAAACUUUUUGUGAAUUAUUUCUAGGAUUUAUAAUGAAUUAUGGAGCAAGGACCUGCUGGAGAAACACUUCCAGGGGGCACAAGCCAACAGGGCACGACCUCCAAGUCGCGCCCUGAUGGCUUGUGGGGCCCACAUGGCUCCUGCAACCCUAAUUCCAGUCCCAUAAAAUCACAUCUUUGGAGAAACAAACAGAGAUAAGUUUUCAUAAGGUUUCACGAGACGGAGUUGUCGCCACCUCCUGUUCUUCCUCCAAAGGGCUGACCAUGAGUCCAUUUGGGGCUUCGGAGAGGGGGAUUCAUUGCCUUUGUCAUAACCAACCCUUCUCCAUCAACACCGCUAUGAUGCUUACCACCGGGAGUGAGUAAUUCCUUUGUAGGCUUGCUGAAGGAUAUUGGGAUUGGAUGAGAUUGACCAUGUAAUCGAGUUAAGUUUGAUAUGGCUUGAUCCCUAGUAUCCACUAUGUUCUUAGAUUGAUGUUGCUAUGACUUUGCUAUGCUUAAUGCUUGUCACUAGGGCCCGAGUGCCAUGAUUUCCUGAACCUAUUAUGUUUUCAUGAAUAUAAGAUUGAGUUGGAUCCUAUCUUGCAAGUUAUAUCUACCUAUUACGUGUCUUGAUACGCAAACCCCAAGGUGACAAUAAUUUGGAUUAUUUCCGGUGAUUGUCGUAGUUUGAGGAGUUAAUGUAUUCACCAUGUGUUAAUACUUUGUUCUAGUUCAAUAGUAAAAGGAGGCCUUAAUAUCCCUCAGUUUCCAAUAGGACCCCGUUGCCACGGGAGGGUAGGACAAAAUAUGUCAUGCAAGUUCUUAUCGCAAGAACGUAUGACUAUAUACGGAAUACAUGCCUACAUUAUAUUGAUGAAUUGAAGCUAGUUCUAUGUCCCCCUAGUAUGUAACUGUUACAUGAUCAAUGUCAUCUAAAUCAUUAUCCAUUAAUGAUCCACGUGCCUACACUUCACAUAUACUGAAUCUUGCUAAGUUACUAUUGUUAAUGCUACUGUUUCACAAGUGCUACUCAAUUGCUAAUGUUACUACUAUUACCAAAAUUGCUGCUAUCACUGUUAAUGGUACUACUACCUUCUGCUGUGCUACUAAAUCCUUGCCGCAAAGAGAUAUCCCAGGCACGGUUGAACUAACAUCUCAACUGUCAAGGCCAAUAAAUAUUCUUUAUCUCCCCUUGUGUGGAAUCAAUAAAUUAGGGUGAAAUACUAUCUGUGAAGUCUGUCAUGAUCCCCUAUACUUGUGGGUUAUAAAUAAGCUAGUGUAUAGUGGCCUGAUAGAAAUCACUCGAGUUGCCCCGGGGUGGCCCCACACAGUGCUCUAGUUUGGGCCAACAGUCAUGAAGAGCACUGGCCCGGGUUGUUGAUUAAUUAUCCAUGGGCUAAUUACUCCAUGUGCAGGUUUACUAGUUAUUAGGAAAAUGUUCUACCAAAGUUGGGCCUUGCUAGAAGAGUUUUAUUCUAAGACGAAUUAUCAGCGGGUCCCCAUAACAACCCCAAGCAUGUUAGGAGAACUCAAUAUGGAACAUAACACUGGUACACAAGUAACUAGGGCCGCUAAGAUGGAACAAAACAUCAAGCAAACAACCAAUCCUUCCACCUUUCACCAAGUAUAUAUGUGCAUUAAAUAAAAUAGCAAUAAUAUUAUGAUAUCUCAAGACAUCCAUGUUGUCACAUGGAAAUAACCUGCACCUACAACUAGCAAUGCUAUAAGAAUGGCUGAGCAAGCGGUAACAUAGCUAAACAAUUGUUUGCUGGGAUGUGGAGAGGUUAGAGGCUUUUCAUGGCAAUGUUGGGAGGCUUGACAUUCAAGUGGUAGGUAACGAGACACAAUGAUAGAAGCAAGACAACUAGCAUGGCAAUGAUAGUAGUUGUAUCCAGGGAAAUGGUCAUCUUGCCUAAGGUCCCGCUUGGAAGAAGAAAGAAUCCGUGAGGUAGACGAACGGGCAUAGUCGAACGAAUUCUCACACCCUGAAUCGGUUUUGGAACUCUACCGAGAAGAAACAACCCAGAAACAAACAAUCAACACAUGAUAAACACCACAACAUAUUCAAGAUCUGAUGCGCAAACCAAUAUGAUGCAUUUCCAUUUAAUAAUGCAUGAUAUGGCAAAUCACAACAAUCAACUUCUACACAUUAAGUGAAGCUCAAUAUGCAACGAGUUGCAUAUUGACGAAACUCCAGAAUUGAAUCAUUUAAUUCCUCUUGUUUAUUUACACGAAAAGCUGAAAUAUUGUUAAACAUGGCAAAAGGUGAAGCAUAAAUAAACUAUGUUUCUAGGCAUUUUAAAUGAGGUCGGGAGCAACUUAUAACAUUUCCGAAACGACCCCAUAUGUUAAUUUCGAAAUUGAUACAGAUCCAUCUAAAACAUAUUUUAUAUUUAUUAAACAGGUAAACAAAAUGCACCAUGUGAUACUACAUGUCAUUCUGAGCAAUUUACAUAUAUAGAUCAUCUAAAACGGAGCUACGGUCUAAAACAUAUGACCAGCACAAGAUAAUAUGCCAUGAAUGCAAAAUGCAUGCAAACUACGACCACAAACAUGUUAAAUCAUGGAUGCAACAAUAUAUUAUGAAACUACAUGAGAUUAUAAGCAAGCUUAAUAUAUGACAUGUUCAAAACGGAGCAAUGGUUCAACAAUUACAACCAACACAUGUUCUAGCUACAAUUUGUCCAAAAGAGCAACAUGCAUUUUGUACACAUCAAAACAACAAGCUGCAAGAAUCUAAAAUGCGCAAACAAGACAUAGGACAGUAGUUGACAUGGCUCACAACAAAUUCAUCUCACACGAGCUAAUAUAAUACAAGCAUGGAUCACUAGAAAUGAGCUUACUAGAAAAUAACAGCUUUUAACAAAACCGUUUUAUUAUGAAGGCAUAUAGGCAGUAAGAAAAACAUAUGCUACAUGACAUAUAAUGACAUGAAUAUUUGCAACAUGGUAUUAGGCAUAAUGCGCUUCAUUUCAUUCCAUACUAGCAAGGUCUAAUUAUGCACACGUUCAUAGCUAGCAUCCACCCAACAUGUGAUACGUCCCAAACGUAUCUAUAAUUUCUGCUUCUUCCAUGAUCUUUUGGGUGACAUUGUUAUAUGUUUUGCUACACAUUCAUAUCUUUUUACACAUAUUUGGACUAACCUACUAACUCAGUGCACCUAGUGCCAGUUUCUAUCUGCUGAUGUCUUUUUUCGCAGGGACUUUUACCCAAAUUUCGAGAGCCCCAAAAAUCCCAAGAAAAAUAUAUAAAAAUCAGCGUGACGGAAGCUUCCGGAGCACCGAAGAUGGUCCAGAGGGGAGCCAGGGGCUGCCCAGGCGGCCUCCCUGCAUGGCCUGGCCCCUGGCCGCGCCCACAGGUCACCUAGGUGGGCCCCACCUCCCUUGAUGCCCUCCUUUGGCCUAUAUUUACCCCUCUGAUCGGAAACCCUUCCAUCAUAUCCAGAAUCGCGAAUUUCUCCAUCGUUCCGCCGUCAGAGCGCUUCCGAGAUCAGGAGCGUCAGGAGACCUCAUCCCGGCACCCUGCCGGAGGGAGAGUUGACCUCUGAGAGCUUCUCCACCGCCAUGGACGCUUCCCGGAAGUGCCGUGAGUAGUCCUCCUUGGACCAUGAGUCCAUGACCAGUAGCUAUGUUAUGUCUUCUCUCCAAUCUUGUGCUUCAAUGAUUAGCCCUUGUGAGCUGCCCUACAUGAUCAAGGCAUCUAUGUAAUUUUCCUGCUAUUGCUAUGCUCUGUUUGCUGGGAUUCGAUAGAUUAUGAGAUUACGUUCAGAUUAUGAUGAGUUAUAUAUUUGAUUAUCCUUUUAUAUUAUGUUAUUUAGUGAUUCAUGCAUGUUCUCCGUUGCUUUUUAUUGCUUUGGCCGAGUAGUAGAUUGUAAAUCCAAGAGGGAGCGUAGUGCAUGAUUGUGGGUUCAUGCCCCCUGAUGUCUAGCUUGAGUGACAAAAACAUGAGACUAGGGGAUGUGCUGUUGCCACCAGGGAGAAAACAACGGUGCUUGUGACCGCGGUUGCAAGUAUUGUUUACCUUACACAAAGUUCGUUAAUGCAGUUGUUCGUUGAUUUGAGUUUACAUUUUGGGUGGGGCUAGCAACUUAUUAACAGCGAGAUGUUCUGGAUAGAUAUCUCAAGGUGGAUUAUUAGUAAAUAGAUGCUGAUGGAUAAACGAUCUACUUUUCUUGGCGUACUGCCCAUUACUAUUGAGCCUCUAACUUUCAAGUAGCAUAAUUAGCAUUGCGGUGCGUUCAUAAUUCUAUCAAUUGCCCAACUGUAAUUUGUUUACCCAUGCAUAGUUGUUUAUCGUCUUUUGGGAGAGAGACAUCACUAGUGAACAUCAUGUGACUCAGGUCCACAUUACCACCAUUGUUUACAUCUCCACCAUCUGCUGCUUUCAUUUACUUUUCCGUUGCAAUCACUAUCACUAUUCCUGCUUGUGUUUUGAUCCUUUGCAAACUACAAGGCCAGAGAGAUUGACAACCUCUCUGUACUCGUUGGGAGAAAAGUUAUCUGUUGUGUGUGCAGGUCCACGUCUUCUGCUAGCGCCAAAGUAUCGGACACCUACUUGUUGAUCCUCGGAGUCCUCCUGGUUCGAUAAACCUUACAGUCCACGUGUAAGGGAAAUCUGCUGAUCACUACAUCUCCACCUUCCACUUGGGGUAACCAACAAGGGGCGAGAAGUAUAUCCAUCAACUCGUCAUCAAGCAAAUUUCUGGCGCCGUUGCCGGGGACUCUAGUCUUCAAGAUAGGGGAGUUGCAUGCUAUCUUUUACCUUUGCUUUUUAGUCUUGUUAGUUUGCUUUCUAGUUUUUCCUUUAGAGUCUUAUAUCAAAAACCACAAGAAAAUUAUUUGCUUUGUUCUUGCUUGUUGCUGCUGCUAUGGGUUCCACUGAAAACACCAAGUUGUGUGAUCUCACUAGUCACAACAACAAUGACUUUAUCUGCACUCCUAUUGCCGCUCCCGCUACUAGGGCUACCUACUAUGAGAUUAAACCUACUUUACUGAACCUUGUUAUGAAAGAUCAAUUCUCCGGUGCUGGAGAUGAUGGUGCUUUGCACUUGAAUAAUUUUGUUGAGCUUUGUGAUAUGCAAAAAUACAAAAAAGUAGAUGGUGAUAUUGUUAAAAUUAAGCUUUUUUCCUUUCUCCUUGAGAGGAGGAGCUAGAGUGUGGCUUCAAUCUUUGCCUAGGAAUAGCAUAGAUUCUUGGGAUAAGUGCAAAGAUUCUUGUAUUGGGAAGUAUUACCUGCCUACUAAAUUAUCCAGUUAAGAAGUAACAUUAUGAAUUUUAGGCAACUGGAUAAUGAACACGUUUGCCCAAGCUUGGGAACGUAUGAAAUCUCUCGUUAAGAAUUUCCCUAUACAUGGUUUGAUUACUUGGAUGUUUAUCCAAACUUUCUAUGUAGGAUUGAACUUUACGUAGCGGAAUCUGUUAGACUCGGCCGCGGGAGGAACCUGUUGGAAAUAUGCCCUAGAGGCAAUAAUAAAUUAGUUAUUAUUACAUUUCCUUGUUCAUAAUAAUCAUUUAUUAUCCUUGCUAGAAUUGUAUUGAUUGGAAACUCAAAUGCUUGUGUGGAUACAUAGACAACACACUGUCCCUAGUGAGCCUGUAGUUGACUAGUUCGUUGAUCAAAGAUGGUCAAGGUUUCCUGGCCAUAGGCAAGUGUUUUCACUUGAUAACGGGAUUACAUCAUUAGGAGAAUCAUGUGAUGGACAAGACCCAAAUUAUAUAUGUAGCAUAUUGAUCGUGUCAUUUUAUUGCUAUUGUUUUCUGCGUGUCAAGUAUUUAUUCCUAUGACCAUGAGAUCAUAUAACUCACUGGCACUGGAGGAAUACCUUGUGUGUAUUAAACGUCACAACGUAACUGGGUGACUAUAAAGGUACUCUACAGGUAUCUCCGAAGGUGUCCUUUGAGUUAGUAUAGAUCAAGACUGGGACUUGUAACUCCAUGUGACGAAGAGGUAUCUCGGGGCCCACUUGGUAAUACAACAUCACACACAAGCCUUGCAAGCAAUGUGACUAAGUGUAAGUCACAGGAUCUUGUAUUAUGGAACGAGUAAAGAGACUUGCCGGUAAUUAGAUUGAAAUAGGUAUGCGGAUACCGACGAUCUAAUCUCGAACAAGUAACAUACCGAAGGACAAAGGGAAUGACAUACGGGAUUAUACGAAUCCUUGACACUGAGAUUCAACCGAUAAGAUCCUUGGAGAAUAUGUAGGAUCCAAUAUGGGCAUCCAGGUCCCGCUAUUGGAUAUUGACCGCGGAGUGCCUCGGGGCAUGUCUACAUAGUUAUCGAACCCGUGGGGUCUCCACAUUUAAGGUUCGAUGAUGUUUUAGUAUAGUUGAGUUAUAUGUGUGGUUACCGAAUGUUGUUCGGAGUCCCGGAUGAGAUCACGGACAUCACGAGGGUUUCCGGAAUGGUCUGGAAACGAAGAUUGAUAUAUAGGAUGGUUUCAUUUAGUCACCGGAAAGUUUCGGGCAAUUCCGGCAGUGUACCGGGAGUGACGAAUGGGUUCCAGGAGUUCACCGGGAGGGGCCCACCCACCCGGGAGUGAGCCCAAGGCUCUAGGGUGGCGCCGUAAGUCCUUAGUGGCCUGGUGGAGUCAGCCCAAGGGGCCCAUGGCGCCACAUAAGAAAAUACCAAAAGAAAAUAAAAAAAAAAGGGAAAGAGGGAGGUGGGAAGGAAGAGGAGGACUCCUCCUUCCCAAACCGAAUUGGAGGAGGAGUCCUCCUCCUCCCUUGGCCGGCGCACCUUGAGGCCUUGUGCCUCAAGGCUAUCCCUCCCCCUCCCUCCUAUAUGUAUUGGUGGAUUAGGGCUGAUUUGAGACACAACUUUGCCACGUGCAACUCUAGCCUAUACCACAUAGUUUUACCUCUAGAUCGGAUUUCCGUGGAGCUCGGGCGGAGCCCUGCAGGAGUAGAUCAUCACCACCACCGAAGCGCCAUCACGCUGCCAGAGAACUCAUCUACUUCUCCGUCUUUCUUGCUGGAUCAAGAAGGCCGAGAUCAUCGUCGAGCCGUACGUGUGCUGAACGUGGAGGUGUCGUCCGUUCGGCACUAGAUCAGAACAAAUUGUGGGACGGAUCGCGGGACGGUUCGUGGGACGGUUUGAGGGACGUGACGACAUUCCACUACAUCAACCGCGUUUCUUAACGCUUCAUGCUGUGCGAUCUACAAGGGUACGUAGAUCCAAAUCUCCUCUCGUAGAUGGACAUCACCAUGAUAGGUCUUCGUGUGUGUAGGAAUUUUUUUGUUUCCCAUGCAACGUUCCCCAACAGAACCUUUAUGUCAAGUACACUUGGUGCUCCCAUGAAACUAUUGGAUGAGAUGAUGACAAAUUAUUCUCAAUGGCACACCGAGAGAGCUCCAAUAGGUAGGAAGGUAAACUCUGUUGAGGAGAUCUCCUCCCUUAAUGAUAAGGUUGACAUGAUCAUGACUUUACUCACUAAGAAAGCUCCUAUUGAUCCUCAUGAUGUUCCUUUAAAUUCUUUGGUUGCUCAAAAAAGAGAGCAAGUUGAUGUUAAUUUUAUUUCUAGGAACAACUUUAAUAAUAAUGCUUAUAGGAGUAUUUUUGGUAGCAAUCCUAGACCGUUCCCAUCCAACAACUAUGGGAAUAGCAGCACCUAUAGUUACAUUCCUAAUGAUAGAAGAAUGCCUAGUUAUGAAAAACUUUUAGAGAUAGAGAAGGCUACAAAGAAUUAUAUGGACACCCAAUAUGAACAAAACAAGGCCUUCUCUAGACAAUUAGAUGAGCAUUCUUCUAUUUUGCAAAACAUUGAAAGACAACUUGAGAGCCUGAAUAGUGAGAUUUCCAAUCUCCAAGCUAGACUCACCACCACGGAGACUCAAGUUUCCAAUAUGUCUCACACCCAGGCCACUUCCAUAAAUCAAAUGGCGGCCAAGCCCGAAGUGGUUGUAUCUCAAGAAGAGGAAGAUAGGAUUAAGAGCCUUCCUACACACACUACCCUUGCUACUAUACAAGUUGUUGAGGAUCUCAAAACUUUUAGCACCCAUCAGACCCCUAGUCCCAAUGGACCAAUUAAUGGUUAUGCUAAUACCUCAACUAUAGGACAAGAAGGUCCUUUGAACUUAGAGGCUACCAAAAUAAUUAGCUUAGAUGACAUCACUACCACUUUAAUUAAUGGUAGUAAUCUUGAUUUUAAUAAUUGUAGUCUCUCCGAAGUUAUCACUUCUUUGCAAAGAAUGGCUAAAGACCCCCACACUAGUAAACUCAAUAUUGCCUUCACCGAGCAUAUUACCAAUGCUCUUAUAAAAGAUAGGGAGGAUAGGCUCAAGCUAGAGACUUCUAUUUAUAGGAAACUAGAAGAUGGUUGGGAUCCUAUGGUCAAUAUUAAAUUGAAUAAUAUAUCUUGCUUUGCUUUAUGUGACGUUGGAGCUAGUGCCUCCGUUAUGCCAAAAAGAAUGUAUGAUAUGCUUGAUUUGAAACCUUACGAUCAAUAUUCCUUUGGUGUUUGUCUUGUUGAUUCUUCCAUAAAGAAACCUUUAGGGAGAACUGGUUAUGUUCUUAUUGUUGUCAAUGAUAAUUAUGUGACCAUUGAUUUUCUUAUUAUGGACACUGACUGUCAUCCCUCAUGUCCAGUUAUUUUGGGACGUCCUUUUCUCCGCACUGUUGGUGCUAUCAUUUACAUGAAAGAAGGGACCAUUAGAUUCCAAUUUCCCCUCAAAAAGGGAAUGGAACACUUCCCUUGAAAGAAGAUUAAGUUACCUUAUGAGUCUGUUAUUCGGGUAAGCUAUUCUUAUGGAGUUGAUAAUACUUGAUAUUUUUGCAUCAUGCCUAGCUCAAAGGCAUAAAAGAAAGCGCUUGUUGGAAGGCAACCCAAUUUGUUUUUACUUUCAGUUUUAGUGGUCUUGAUGCUUGUUACUACUGUAGAAACAUCAUUGUAUCUUUAUUAUCAAGCUUUGUGCCAAGUUUUAGCCUCCGAUUGCAAGAAAGUUCAAAAGUUGUGACAUGGUCCAGAAACAGAUUCUGUGUGCGUGACGGAAAAAUUCGCCAAAAAUCAGCAGAUCAUCUUUUUGAUCUGAAGUUUUUUUAUAGCAUGCUAUAUAUAAUUUUAUUUCUGGCAUCAGUUCUGAGGUUUUUUUAUUUGAGUUGCAUAAGUCCCCCGAAAAAAUUAUUUACUACGUGCUGUUCUGUUUUUCACAGAUUCUGCCAAGUUUUGCGUUUUCAUCGUUCUGCAAAUCUUAAGCUUGCUUUUCCUUUGCAAAAAUCUUUUGACAAUCAUGAGAAACAUUAGCUUUUCAUGAAAAUAUUUAUUUCCAGUAGGGAAUAAAUUAUUUUAUUAUGGGCACUAACCACUCUAAUCAGCUUAUGAUGAGUUUCGUAUGAAGGGAGUUUUCAACUUUGCGAUGGAAGAUGAUGAAAGAAGAUCCAGGAGUGUCAAGUGCUCAAGCUUUGGGAUGCCCUAAUGCACCCCAAGAAAUAUUCAAGGAGACUCAAGCGUCUAAGCUUGGGGAUGCCCCCGUGCAUCCCCUUCUCCAUCAACAAUCAUCAGUUCAUCCAUCUCCAUGCUAUAUUUUUAUCACUUCAUAAGUUAUGUGUUAUGCUUGGAGCAUCCCGCUCUUUACUUUUUAGUUUGUUUUAGUUUUGAUUGCUGUUCAUAAAAAGUUGGAACCUAGACUUCCUUGUUUUUGAGAUAAACACGCUCCACUCCACCCUAGAACACAACAUAGGUUUUCAUGCUUAUCUUUUUGUGUGUUCUUUAUCUUUUCAUAGCUACUGCCAUGCUUAGCUCUUAGUUUUCAUGCUUUAUCUUUUUAAGAGCUAUUAUUUAGGUUGCUUUUGGAACUCACUUGAGUUAUCAUGCUUAUCUUGUUUAGAGAGUUGGCUUGUUGCACCGAGUUGUGUGUCUUGCAUGAGUAGGUAAUUGAGGUUGCUAUUCAAGUAUAGUAGUAACUUGCAAUAGUUUUGAGGUAUUGAUUUGAGUAAUCUUUGGACUAUUGGUGCCAAGAGAUUGAGACUAUUAGUGAUAGGUGUCGUAUUUUGGGUAAUCCGUGUAUUUUUUGAAAACUAGAAAAAUUAGUUGAGAACUCUAGCUACUAAAUUGAUCGCUAACCUCUGGAUGGGUUGGAAUAUAUAGAGUACCCUCACGUUACCAUGGGUCGAGGAUGCGCAAGGAUAACCAAACCCCCAAACACUCCUCCUCGGGGUACUUGUCUCAUUGUGAAUUUCCUAACUAGAUAGAGAGUUCAGAUAAUAAGUGUAUGAGUUCUUCGGACUAAUGCGAGUAUUCGGUUGUUGGCAUUUCCACCAUCCAUAUUUUGCUAGACUCUUCGGUACCGUGCAUUUCCCUUUCUCAUCUUGAAAGUUGGUGCAAACUUCGCCGGUGCAUCCAAACCCUUGGCAUGAUACGCUCUGUCAUCAUAAGCCUCAUUAUAUCUUUCCUCAAAACAGCCACCAUACCUACCUAUUAAGGCAUUUCCAUAGCCUUUCCGAGAUAAAUUGCCAUGCAACAUCCACCAUCUCAUGACUUGAUCUUCAUGUCAUACAUGCUUUUGCUUGAUCAAGGAGCCGCAUGCUAGUUGGGCCUUGCCCUUAUUAUUGGUACAUGACGCACUAGCAUCAUUGCAUAUCCUGCUACACUCGCAGAGGCAUACAGUUACAUACAUCAUGAUAGUUGUCAUUUGUCUUUAUGUGAGUACUUCUUAUAAAGUGUGACGAUCUUCUUUUUAUUCUUGUAAAACAUAGAGUGUUGCCCUUAAGUGAGGAAAAUAUCCCAAAGAGGAUAAAUUAAAAGAUCCCAAAAGAGGACAAAUGAAAAGAUCCCAAAGAGGAAAAAUGAGAGAUAAAUAGAAAGAGCUAAGGAGGCCACACACAAAAAAAAAUAAAUAAAAAGAGAGAAGGGGGCAACACUACUAUUACUUUUGAAAGAUCCACACUCAUACUCCAUUGUUAUAUUUGUACUCCAUAGAGAUUAUCAUUCAUGCAUAACUAUGUGGGGACCCUUACACUAUAGAACUUGGCUUGUAUAUUCCAAUGAUGAGCCUCCUCAAAUGAGCUCUAGGUCUUCAUGAGCAAGCAAGUUGGAUGAACCCCCACUAGUUCCAUUGGAGAGCUUACCUUAGUUCAUAUGUGCAUCCGUUGCAUGGCAAUCCCUACUCCUCACAUCAUAUCUAUCAUUUGGCUUUAUCUCGCCUAUGGUUGUCCUCAUUGAUGUGAGCCUUUCACACCUUUUUGUCUUCCUUCCCCAUCAUUAUUCUCUUUGCCAUCCUAAGUGCCAACAUAUCUUGCUCACUCUCCUCCAUUGCAUGAGUGCUCAAAGUCGAAAGGGAGAGGAUCAUUUUGACUUGUGCGUGACUAGUGGUCUGGGGAUGAGUCAAAAUAAGAUUCCGAAGGAGACCAAGUGUCAAGUUUAGUAGAUCGAGUUCUCAAUUAAUAUAUAUAUUUUUAUGCUCUAAACCCAUCUCCCACUUCUUGCACGCAAACACCAUUUGGAGACAUUCGAGUCACGGACAGCAAGAGCUCUUGCACCUUUAUGUUCUCACUUUGCUAAUUUCAAUACUAAAUAUAGACUCUUGCUUGUUAUUGUCUUGACUUGAAUUGCAUAUCUUACUUGCUUUACUUUGAAAUUCUUAUAUGUGUGUUAGCAUGUCACCACGGAAGUUAUUUGUGUUAUCAUUUACCUACUCGAGGACGAGCAGGAAUUAAGCUUGGGGAUGUUGAUACAUCCCAACCGUAUCUAUAAUUUCUGCUUGUUCCAUGAUCUUUUGGGUGACAUUGUUAUAUGUUCUGCUACACUUUCAUAUCUUUUCACACAUAUUUGGACUAACCUACUAACUCAAUGCACCCAGUGCCAGUUUCUGUCUGCUGAAGUAUUUUUUUCGCACGGACUUCUACCCAAAAUUCCAGAGCCCCAAAAAUCCUGAGAAAAAUAAUAUAAAAAUCAGCAUGAGGGAAGCUUCCGGAGCACCAAAGAUGGGCCAAAGGGGAGCCAGGGGCUGCCCAGGUGGUCUCCCUGCGCGGCCUGACCCUGGCCACGCCCACAGGUCGCCUGGGUGGGCCCCACCUCCUCUGACGCCCUCCAUUGGCCUAUAUUUACCCUCCGAUCGGAAACCCUUCCAUCAUAUCCAGAUCGCAAAUUUCUCCAUCGUUCCGCCGCCGCAGCGCUUCCGAGAUCGGGAGCGUCACGAGACCUCUUCCCGGCACCCUGCCGGAGGGAGGAUUGACCUCCGGGAGCUUCUCCACCGCCAUGGACGCUUCUCGGUGUUGGAAUUAUGCCCUAGAGGCAAUAAUAAAUAUAGUUAUUAUUAUAAUUCCUGUAUCAAGAUAAUCGUUUAUUAUCCAUGCUAUAAUUGUAAUGAAUGAAGGCCUAUAUACAUGUGUGGAUACAUAGACAAAACACUGUCCCUAGCAAGCCUCUAGUUGGCUAGCCAGUUGAUCAAAGAUAGUCAGUGUCUUCUGAUUAUGAACAAGGUGUUGUUGCUUGAUAACUGGAUCACGUCAUUAGGAGAAUCACGUGAUGGACUAGACCCAAACUAAUAGACGUAGCAUGUUGAUCGUGUCAUUUUGUUGCUACUGUUUUCUGCGUGUCAAGUAUUUGUUCCAAUGACCAUGAGAUCAUAUAACUCACUGACACCGGAGGAAUGCUUUGUGUGUAUCAAACGUCGCAACGUAACUGGGUGACUAUAAAGAUGCUCUAUUGGUAUCUCCGAAGGUGUUCGUUGAGUUAGUAUGGAUCGAGACUGGGAUUUGUCACUCCGUGUGACGGAGAGGUAUCUCGGGGCCCACUCGGUAAUACAACAUCACACACAAGCCUUGCAAGCAAUGUAACUUAGUGUAAGUUGCGGGAUCUUGUAUUACGGAACGAGUAAAGAGACUUGCCGGUAAACGAGAUUGAAAUAGGUAUGCGGAUACUGACGAUCGAAUCUCGGGCAAGUAACAUACCGAAGGACAAAGGGAAUGACAUACGGGAUUAUAUGAAUCCUUGGCACUGAGGUUCAAACGAUAACAUCUUUGUAGAAUAUGUAGGAUCCAAUAUGGGCAUCCAGGUCCCGCUGUUGGAUAUUGACCGAGGAGUCUCUCGGGUCAUGUCUACAUAGUUCUCGAACCCGCAGGGUCUGCACACUUAAGGUUCGACGUUGUUUUAUGCGUAUUUGAGUUAUAUGGUUGGUUACCGAAUGUUGUUCGGAGUCCCGGAUGAGAUCACGGACGUCACGAGGGUUUCCGGAAUGGUCCAGAAACGAAGAUUGAUAUAUAGGAUGACCUCAUUUGAUUACCGGAAGGUUUUCGGAGUUACCGGGAAUGUACCGGGAAUGACGAAUGGGUUCCGGGAGUUCACCGGGGGGGAACCCACCCCGGGGAANNNNNNNNNNNNNNNNNNNNNNNNNNNNNNNNNNNNNNNNNNNNNNNNNNNNNNNNNNNNNNNNNNNNNNNNNNNNNNNNNNNNNNNNNNNNNNNNNNNNNNNNNNNNNNNNNNNNNNNNNNNNNNNNNNNNNNNNNNNNNNNNNNNNNNNNNNNNNNNNNNNNNNNNNNNNNNNNNNNNNNNNNNNNNNNNNNNNNNNNNNNNNNNNNNNNNNNNNNNNNNNNNNNNNNNNNNNNNNNNNNNNNNNNNNNNNNNNNNNNNNNNNNNNNNNNNNNNNNNNNNNNNNNNNNNNNNNNNNNNNNNNNNNNNNNNNNNNNNNNNNNNNNNNNNNNNNNNNNNNNNNNNNNNNNNNNNNNNNNNNNNNNNNNNNNNNNNNNNNNNNNNNNNNNNNNNNNNNNNNNNNNNNNNNNNNNNNNNNNNNNNNNNNNNNNNNNNNNNNNNNNNNNNNNNNNNNNNNNNNNNNNNNNNNNNNNNNNNNNNNNNNNNNNNNNNNNNNNNNNNNNNNNNNNNNNNNNNNNNNNNNNNNNNNNNNNNNNNNNNNNNNNNNNNNNNNNNNNNNNNNNNNNNNNNNNNNNNNNNNNNNNNNNNNNNNNNNNNNNNNNNNNNNNNNNNNNNNNNNNNNNNNNNNNNNNNNNNNNNNNNNNNNNNNNNNNNNNNNNNNNNNNNNNNNNNNNNNNNNNNNNNNNUUUUCUGCGUGUCAAGUAUUUGUUCCUAUGACCAUGAGAUCAUAUAACUCACUGACACCGGAGGAAUACUUUGUGUGUAUCAAACGUCGCAACGUAAUUGGGUGACUAUAAAGAUGCUCUACAGGUAUCUCCGAAGGUGUUCGUUGAGUUAGUAUGGAUCGAGACUGGGAUUUGUCACUCCGUGUGACGGAGAGGUAUCUCGGGGCCCACUCGGUAAUACAACAUAACACACAAGCCUUGCAAGCAAUGUGACUUAGUGUAAGUUGCGGGAUCUUGUAUUACGGAACGAGUAAAGAGACUUGCCGGUAAACGAGAUUGAAAUAGGUAUGCGGAUACUGACGAUCGAAUCUCGGGCAAGUAACAUACCGAAGGACAAAGGGAAUGACAUACGGGAUUAUAUGAAUCCUUGGCACUGAGGUUCAAACGAUAACAUCUUUGUAGAAUAUGUAGGAUCCAAUAUGGGCAUCCAGGUCCCGCUGUUGGAUAUUGACCGAGGAGUCUCUCGGGUCAUGUCUACAUAGUUCUCGAACCCGCAGGGUCUGCACUCUUAAGGUUCGACGUUGUUUUAUGCGUAUUUGAGUUAUAUGGUUGGUUACCGAAUGUUGUUCGGAGUCCCGGAUGAGAUCACGGACGUCACGAGGGUUUCCGGAAUGGUCCGGAAACGAAGGUUGAUAUAUAGGAUGACCUCAGUUGAUUACCGGAAGGUUUUCGGAGUUACCGGGAAUGUACCGGGAAUGACGAAUGGGUUCCGGGAGUUCACCGGGGGGGGGGGGCAACCCACCCCGGGGAAGCCCAUAGGCCUUGGGGGGGGCACACCGGCCCUUAGUGGGCUGUUGGGACAGCCCAAGAAGGCCCUAUGCGCCAUAGGAAGAAAAUCAAAGAGAAAAAAAGAGGAGGUGGGAAAAGCGGGAAGGACUCCUCCUUCCAAACCUAGUUGGAGUCGGUUUGGAAGGGGAGGGUUGCCCCCCUUGGCUCGGCCGAAGCCCUUGAGGGUCCUUGGACCCCAAGGCAAGGCUCCCCCUCUUCCCCCUAUAUAUACGGAGGUUUUAGGGCUGAUUUGAGACGACUUUUCCACGACAGCCCGACCACAUACCUCCACGGUUUUUCCUCUAGAUCGCGUUUCUGCGGAGCUCGGGCGGAGCCCUGCUGAGAUAAGAUCACCACCAACCUCCGGAGCGCCAUCACGCUGCCGGAGAACUCAUCUAACUCUCCGUCUCUCUUGCUGGAUCAAGAAGGCCGAGAUCAUCGUCGAGCUGUACGUGUGCUGAACGCGGAGGUGCCGUCCGUUCGGCACUAGAUCGUGGGACUGAUCGCGGGACGGUUCGCGGGGCGGAUCAAGGGACGUGAGGACGUUCCACUACAUCAACCGCGUUCACUAACGCUUCUGUUGUACGGUCUACAAGGGUACAUAGAUCACACAUCCCCUCUCGUAGAUGGACAUCACCAUGAUAGGUCUUCGUGCGCGUAGGAAAUUUUUUGUUUCCCAUGCGACGUUCCCCAACACUCGGACGUGCAUGAGUAGUCCUCCUUGGACCAUGAGUCCAUGACCAGUAGCUAUGUGACGUCUUCUCUCCAAUCUUGUGCUUCAAUGAUUAGCCCUUGUGAGUUGCCCAACAUGAUCAAGGCAUCUAUGUAAUUUUACUGCUAUUGCUAUGCUCGGUUUGCUGGGAUCCGAUGGAUUAUGAGAUUUUGUUCAGAUUGUGAUGAGUUAUAUAUUUGAUUAUACUUUUAUAUUAUGUUCUUUAGUGAUUCAUGCAUGUUCUCAGUUGCUUUUUAUUUCUUUGGCCGAGUAGUAGAUUGUAACUCCAAGACAGAGCGUAAUGCAUGAUUGUGGGUUCAUGCCCCCUGAUGUCUAGCUUGAGUGAUAGAAACAUCAUACUAGGGGAUGUGCUCUUGCCACGAGGGAGAAAACAACGGUUCUUGUGACUGCGGUUGCAAGUAUUGUUUACCUUGCGCAAAGUUCGUUAAUGCAGUUGUCCGUUGCUUUGAGUUUAUACUUUGGGUGGGGCUCGCAACUUAAUACCAGCGAGAUGUUCUGGAUAGAUAUCUCAAGGUGGAUGAUUACUAAGUAGAUGCUGAUGGAUAAACGAUCUACUUGUCUUGGCGUACCGCCCAUUACUAUUGUGCCUCUAACGUUCAAGUAGCAUAAUUAGCAUUUUGGUGCGUUCAUAAUUCUGUCAAUUGCCCAGCUGUAAUUUUUUUACCCAUGCAUAGUUGAUUAUCAUCUUUUGGGAGAGAGACAUCACUAGUGAACAUCAUGUGAAUCAGGUCCACAUUACCACCAUUGUUUACACCUUCACCAUUUACUGCUUUCAUUUACUUUUCCGUUGCAAUCACUAUCACUAUUCCCGCUUGUGUUUUGAUCCUUUGCAAACUACAAGGCGGGAGAGAUUGACAACCUCUCUAUACUCGUUGGGAGAAAAGUUAUUUGUUAUGUGGGCAGGUCCACGACUUCUGCUAGCGCCAGAGCUGUGGACACCUACUUGUUGAUCCUUAGAGUCCUCCUGGUUCGACAAACCUUACAGUCCCCGUGUAAGGGAAAUCUGCUGCUGACUACAUCUCCACAUUCCACUUGGGGUAACCAAUGAGGGGCGAGAACUAUAUCCAUCAACUCGUGAUCAACAUGUUAAUCUGAACUAAGGAGUUUCUUAGACUUAGAAAAAUUAGCAUGGUGCAAGGAACAACAAUUUUAUCAAAUUGACAUGUUUGACAACAAAAUUUACUAGGAUGCAAAACCUAUACUUGAAAACUAAUGGCGCAAAUUAACAUAAGAUGUUGCUUUACAAUUCACUCCAUUGGACCAACCCCAAAGGGGCUAUAGAUUAAUGGAGAUUCACAUUGAAACACAACAAAAAAUUAUAGCACAUUCCUUACUUAGAAUUAUUUUGGACCCUCAAAACAGGAACAUUUUAUGGCAAGUUCACAUGAUCAAAACUAUAGCUAAACAUGAAAAACAUGGCAUGAUAAACCUACUAACAACAAUUAGACAUGGAAUACUACAAAUCACUCCAUUGGCGCACAUUCAAAAGAGGCAUGGUUUGCUUAAUUCGAGCUUCACAAAAUGGAACUUAACGUUAACAAAUUAGCAGUUUUAGCAUCAUAGCACCUUUAGAGAAACAUAUUGAUAUGAUAGAGAAGAUUUACAUGGCAACCAUAGACAUGGCAUUAAAGUAGGCAUCACAGAGAACAAAUUCCAUGAAGGAAUCACAUGCAAAAGACCUACGGAUUAGAUGCAAUCAUCCACGAAAGUUUGCAAGUUUUAACAGUUUUCGUUGAUUAUGAUGCAAUGCACUUUUGCCACACAGUUUUGAGCACUUAGAUGAAACCCUAUACGCAUGCAAAUUCCACCAUGCAGUAGAGCACGAAAUGUAGAUCAAUUUUCAUACAUAUUACAUUGCCAUCAGAUGCACGGUUUGAACACCAUAAGAACAACAAAAUGCAAUCAUGGUGAUAAAACAAACUUUUCCAGACUUCCUCAUUUUUACCGUGCUCGUCGGAUAGCAUAUAUAGCGAACAUUCACUCUGUAGCCCAAAUAUGCACAUUCGCAAAUCGGUUAAACUCACAAACAACCGAGUCUUAACGGGUUCUCACGAGUGGGCCUUGGGCCAGAUCUGGAGAGGAGGCUGGGCCAGCGAGGCACACUGGGCCGGGGCGAGGCCCACACGAGGUCGGGGCCAACGCGGGUGAGGCAUGCAGCGAGCGAGUGCUCUCCGCCUCGAACCCAAUCGGGGAGCAGGUCACUUGUGGCAGUAGUACAACUUCCGGCGAGCAGGGUGGGCGGCUCGCGAGGACGCGGUGGAUGGAGGGGUAGUGCAUGGCGUGUCUCGACCCAAUCCUUCUGAAUUCGGGCCGGAGAUGGUCCACAUCAGCGCGGGCAAGCUGUGUGGUGGCUUUGUGAAUUGGCGGCCAGUGGCGGCGCGCGGUAGGGCGGAACGAGGCACGUGCGAGGGGGUGAGUGGCCGUGGGGCUAGGGAGGCAUGGAGGUUGCGGUCACCUGCGGGAGACACGACUCGGGUGGCUCAUUCAUAGCGGCUUAGCGGUGGUUGCUUUGAUGCGUCCAGUGAUGACAGCUUGGGCUCGUGUGGUCGGGCGUGUUGGAAAUAUGCCCUAGAGGCAAUAAUAAAAUGGUUAUUAUCAUAUUUCCUUUUUCAUGAUAAUUUUCUAUUGUUCAUGCUAUAACUGUAUUAACCGGAAACCGUAAUACAUGUGUGAAUACAUAGACCACACCAUGUCCCUAAUGAGACUCUAGUUGACUAGCUCGUUGAUCAAUAGAUGGUCAUGGUUUCCUGACUAUGAAUAUUAGAUGUCGUUGAUAACGGGAUCACAUCAUUAGGAGAAUGAUGUGAUGGACAAGACCCAAUCCUAAGCGUAGCACAUGAUCAUGUAGUUCGUCUGCUAGAGCUUUUCUAAUGUCAAGUAUCAUUUCCUUAGACCAUGAGAUUGUGCAAAUCCCGGAUACCGUAGGAAUGCUUUGGGUGUAUCAAACAUCACAACGUAACUGUGUGACUAUAAAGGUGCACUACAGGUAUCUCCGAAAGUGUGUGUUGGGUUGGUACGAAUCGAGACUAGGAUUUGUCACUCCGUGUGACGGAGAGGUAUCUCUGGGCCCACUCGAUAAUACAUCAUCAUAAUGAGCACAAUGUGACUAAGGAGUUAGUCACGGGAUCACUUGUUAUGGAACGAGAAAAGAGACUUGCCGGUAACGACAUUGAACAAGGUAUGGGGAUACCGAUGAUCGAAUCUCGGGCAGGUAACAUACCAAUGGACAAAGGAAUUGUAUACGGGAUUAAUCGAAUCCCCGACAUCGUGGUUCAUUCGAUGAGAUCAUCCUGGAACAUGUGGGAGCUAAUAUGGGUAUCCAGAUCCCGCUAUUGGUUAUUGGCCGGAGAGGUGUCUCGGUCAGGUCUGCAUGGUUCCCGAACCCGUAGGGUCUACACAUUUAAGGUUUGGUGAUGCUAGAGUUGUAAUGGGAAUUGUAUGUGGUCACCAAAAGUUAUUCGGAGUCCCGGAUGAGAUCUCGGACGUCACGAGGAGUUCCGGAAUAGUUCGGAGGUGAAUAUUUUUAUAUGGGAAGUCAAGUUUCAGUCACCGGAAAGGUUUCGGGGUUUAUCUGUAUUGUACCGGGACCAUCGAAAAGGUAUCGAGGGUCCACCGGGAGGGGCCACGUGCCCCGAAGGACCACGUGGGGUGAAAGUGGGUGGGAACCAGCCUCCUGGUGGGCUGGUGCGCCCUCCCCAAGGGCCCAAGGCGUCUAAGGCUGGGAACCCUAGGGCGUGGGAGGCUCCUCCCACCAACUUGGUAGGCAAGCCUCCCCCUUGGCCACCGCCGCCCCUUCCUAGGGCAUCUAGGGUGGCCGCCCCCCUGUCUCCUUCCCCCUAUAAAUAGAUGAGGGGUGAGAGGGCUGCGACACACCUGAAACCCUUGCCCCUGGCGCAGCCCUCCCCCUCAUACGACUCCUCCUCCUCCGUUGAGCUUAGCGAAGCUCUACCGGAGAACCACGAGCUCGACUGCCACCACGACGUCGUGCUGCUGGAGCUCUCCCUCAACUUCUUCUCCCCCUUGCGUGAGUACCAAAGGAUGUAAGGUUGAUAAUGAUAGUCCCACAUACUUGUGGCACUGCCGCCUUGGUCAUAUUGGUGUCAAACACAUGAAGAAACUCCAUCCAGAUGGACUUUUGGAGUCUCUUGAUUAUGAAUCAUUUGACACGUGCGAACCAUGCCUCAUGGGCAAGAUGACUAUGACUCCGUUCUCCCGAACAAUGGAGCGAACAAAAAACUUGUUGGAAAUAAUACAUACCGAUGUAUGCGGUCCAAUGAGUGUUGAGGCUCGCGGUGGCUAUCGUUAUGUUCUCACCCUCACUAAUGACUUAAGAAGAUAUGGGUAGGUCUACUUAAUGAAACACAAGUCUGAGACCUUUGAAAAGUUCAAGGAAUUUCAGAGUGAGGUAGAGAAUCAACGUGACAAGACAAUAAAGUUCUUACGAUCUGAUCGUGGAGGGGGUAUUUGAGUCACGAGUUUGGCACACACUUAAGGAAAUGUGGAAUUGUUUCACAACUCACGCCACCUAGCAUACCACAGCGUAAUGGUGUGUCCAAACGUUGUAAUCGCGCUCUAUUGGAUAUGGUGCGUUCUAUGAUGUCUCUUACUGAUUUACCGCUAUCAUUUUUGGGAUAUGCAUUGGAGACUGCCGCAUUCACUUUGUUAAUAGGGCACCGUCUAAAUCCGUUGAGACGACACCAUAUGAAUUAUGGUUUGGGAAGAAACCUAAGGUAUCAUUUCUAAAAGUUUGGGCAUACGAUGCUUAUGUCAAGAAACUUCAACCUGAAAUGCUCAAACCCCUAAUCCGAAAAGUGCAUCUUCAUAGGAUACCCUAAGGAAACUAUUGGGUAUACCUUCUAUCUUAGAUCCGAAGGCAAGAUCUUUGUUGCCAAGAAUGGAUCCUUUUUAGAGAAAGAGUUUCUGUCGAAAGAAGUAAGUGGGAGGAAAUUAGAAUUUGAUGAGGUAAUUGUACCCCCUCUCGAACCGGUGAGUAGCGAAGCGCAGGAAAAUGUUUCUGUGGUGUGUGCACCGACUAGAGAGGAAGUUAACGAUGACGAUCAUGAAACUUCGGAUCAAGUUAUUACUAAAGUUCGUAGGUCCACGAGGACACGUUCCGCACCAGAGUGGUAUGGCAACCCUCCUGAAAAUAAUGUUGUUAGACAACGGUGAACCUUCGAACUAUGAAGAAGCCAUGGCGGGCCCGGAUUCCAACAAAUGGAUUGAAGCCAUGAAAUCCGAGAUGGGAUUCAUGUAUGAGAACAAAGUAUAGACUUUGGUGGACUUACCCGAUGAUCAACAAGCCAUAUAAAAUAAAUGGAUCUUUAAGAAGAAGAUUGAUGCGGAUGGUAAUGUGACCGUCUAUAAGGCUCGGCUUGUUCCUAAGGGUUAUCGACAAGUUCAAGGAGUUGACUACAAUGAGACUUUCUCACCCGUAGCGAUGGUGAAGUCUGUCCAAAUCAUGUUAGCAGUUGCCGCAUUUUAUGAUUAUGAGAUCUGGCAAAUGGACGUCAAAACUACAUUCCUUAAUGGCUUUCUUAAGGAAGAAUUGUAUAUGAUGCAACCGGAAGGUUUUGUCGAUCCUAAGAAUGCUGACAAGGUAUGCUUGCUCCAGCGCUCCAUCUAUGGGCUCGUGCAAGCAUCUCGGAGUUGGAACAUUCGCUUUGAUGAGGUGAUUAAAGUGUUUGGGUUUGUACAGACUUAUGGAGAAGCCUGUAUUUACAAGAAAGUGAGUGGGAGCUCUGUAGCAUUUCUCAUUUUAUAUGUGGAUGGCAUAUUGUUGAUGGGAAAUGAUAUAUAACUUUUGGAAAGCAUAAAGGCCUACUUGAAUAAGUGUUUUUCAACGAAGGACCAUGGAGAAGCUGCUUACAUAUUAUGCAUCAAGAUCUAUAGAGAUAGAUCAAGACACCUAAUUGGUCUUUCACAAAGCACAUACCUUGACAAGAUAUUGAAGAAGUUCAAUAUGGAUAAGUCCAAGAAGGGGUUCUUGCCUGUAUUUCAAGGUGUGAAAUUGCGCACAACUCAAUGCCCGACCACGACAGAAGAUAGAGAAAAGACGAGUAUCAUCCCCUUUGCUUCAGCCAUAGGCUCUAUUAUGUAUGCCAUGCUGUGUAGGAGGCCUGAUGUGAACCUUGCCAUAAGUUUGGUGGGGAGAUACCAAAGUGAUCCAGGAAUGGAUCACUGGACAACGGUUAAGAAUAUCCUUAAGUACCUAAAAAGGACUAAAGAUAUGUUUCUCGUUUAUGGAGGUGCCGAAGAGCUCGUCGUAAAGGGUUACGUCGAUUCUAGCUUCGACACAAUCCGGAUGACUCCAAGACACAAACCGAAUACGUGUAUAUUUUGAAUGGUGGGGCAGUCAGAUGAUGCAUUUGCAAGCAAAGCGUCAUGGCGACAUCUACAUGUGAAGCGGAGUACAUAGCUGCUUCGGAAGCAGCGCAUGAAGGAGUCUGGAUGAAGGAGUUCAUCACCAACCUAGGAGUGAUUCCCAAUGUGUAGGGCCUGAUGACUCUCUUCUGUGACAACACUGGAGCUAUUGCCAUUGCCAAGGAGACUAGGUUUCACAACAAGACCAAGCACAUCAAGCGCCGCUUCAACUCCAUUUGUGGUUACAUUCAGGAUGGAGAUAUAGAUAUUUGUAAAGUACAUAUGGAUCUGAAUGUCGCAGAUCCAUUGACUAAACCUCUUCCACGAGCGAAACAUGAUCAACACCAGAAAUCUAUAGGUGUUCGAUUCAUCACAAUGUAACUAUAUUAUUUUCUCUAGUGCAAGUGGGAGACUGUUGGAAAUAUGCCCUAGAGGCAAUAAUAAAAUGGUUAUUAUUAUAUUUCCUUGUUCAUGGUAAUUGUCUAUUGUUCAUGCUAUAAUUGUAUUAACCGGAAACCGUAAUACAUGUGUGAAUACAUAGACCACACCAUCUCCCUAGUGAGCCUCUAGUUGACUAGCUCGUUGAUCAAUAGAUGUUCAUAGUUUCCAGACCAUGCAGAUUGGAUGUCGUUGAUAACGGGAUCACAUCAUUACGAGAAUGAUGUGAUGGACAAGACCAAAUUCUAAGCAUAGCACAAGAUCGUGUAGUUCGUCUGCUAGAGCUUUUCUAAUGUCAAGUAUCAUUUCCUUAGACCAUGAGAUUGUGCAACUCCUGGAUACCGUAGGAAUGCUUUGGGUGUAUCAAACGUCACGGCGUAACUGAGUGACUAUAUGGGUGCACUACAGGUAUCUCCGAAAGUGUGUGUUGGGUUGGUACGAAACGACUAAGGAUCUCAUCGAGACUGUGAUUUGUCACUCCGUGUGACAGAGAGGUAUCUCUGGGCCCACUCGGUAGUACAUCAUCAUAAUGAGCUCAAUGUGACUAAGGAGUUAGUCACGGGAUCCUGUGUUACAGAACGACUAAAGAGACUUGCCGGUAACGAGAUUGAACAAGGUAUGGGGAUACCGAUGACCGAAUCUCAGGCAGGUAACAUACCGAUGGACAAACGGAAUUGUAUACGGGAUUAAUCGGAUCCCCGAUAUUGUGGUUCAUCCGAUGAGAUCAUCGUGGAACACGUGGGAGCCAAUAUGGGUAUCCAUAUCCCGCUAUUGGUUAGUGGCUGGAGAGGUGUCUCCGUCAUGUCUGCAUGGUUCCCGAACUUGUAAGGUCUACACAUUUAAGGUUCGGUGACGCUAGAGUUGUAAUGGGAAUUGUAUGUGGUUACCGAAAGUUGUUAGGAGUCCCGGAUGAGAUCCCGGAUGUCACGAGGAGUUCCGAAAUAGUUCGGAGGUGAAGAUUUAUAUAUGGGAAGUCCAAUUUCAGUCACCGAAAAGGUUUCGGGGUUUAUCGGUAUUGUACGGGGACCAUCGAAAGGGUACAAGGGGUCCACCCGGAGGACCACAUGUGCUGAAAGUGGGUGGGAACCAGCCUCUUGGUGGGCUGGUGCACCCUCCCCAAGGGCCCAAGGUUCCUAGGGCUGGGAACCCUAGGGCGUGGGAGGCUCCUCCCACCAACUUGGGAGGCAAGCCUCCCCCUUGGCCGCGGCCGCCCCCUCCUAGGGCGUCUAGGGUGGACGAACCCCUCUCCCCUCCAACCUAUAAAUAGAUGAGGGGUGAGAGGGCUGCGACACACCUGAAACCAUUGCCCUUGGCGCAGCCCUCCCCCUCCUACACCUCUUCCUCCUUCCUUGAGCUUAGCGAAGCUCUGCGGGAGAACCACGAGCUCCACCGCCACCACGCCGUCGUGCCGCCGGAUCUCUCCUUCAACUUCUCCUUCCCCCUUGCUGGAUCAAGAAGGAGGUGACGUCCCCGGGUUGUACGUGUGUUGAACGCAGAGGCACCGUUCGUUCGGUCCUUGCAUUGGAUCUUCCCCAAUUUGAAUCGACGCUCCAUCAACCGUGUUGUUUGCAACGCUUCCGCUUAGCGAUCUUCAACGGUAUGAAGAUGUACUCCCUCUCUCUUGUUUCUAGCAUCUCCUAGAUUGAUCUUGGUGACACGUAGGAGAAUUUUGAAUUAUUACUACGUUCCCCAAUAGGGCGGACAUUGUCCGGUGGGUGUGCAGGGACGAAAUUUGACUCCGAGAUAUGAGAUAUGAGGGCCACAUUUGGCUAGGGGGCUAGGGUUUCGGGAUUGGAAGGAGGUGGAGCUAGAAGGUAGGGUUUUAGGGGUGGCUACAAAUUUGACAAGGGGAAACCCUAGUGGAGUGAGAGGGGUCUCUCCAUGGGUUGUCUUUAUAUAGGGAAUGAACAAUGGUGGGAUGGAUCUUGUCCGUCCGAUCGCGAUCCCACGACCACGAACAGACGGGGGGCCUAGGUGGAUCUAGUGGGCUGUGUAGAUGGCUUGGGCUAAGAAGAGAGAGAGGUUUAUGAAACAUGACAAGUUUAUUUACAAACUAAAAACGUCCGAGGUUUAUCCGACUAUAGUUCUGCUAUAUAUUUAAAGGUUCGAGUAUCAAACGACAUGUGAAUGCGACGAAAUUUGGCGGGCGUUCUAUCUACAUUAUAUUUAGACCGCAUGCCAAGUUUUGAACUUUCCUGAGAAUUUUUUGUACAUACUUUAAAAUAUAAUAUUUUUGCGAUGCCGUGGGCGCGUGCAUGUAUGGUUAGUCACAAAACGGUGAAAUACAAGAACAGAGAGAACCAAUAACUACAAACGGAUGCAAGUUUUAAAAAAUGACGAUAAUGGAGUGCCGAUGAAAUGUGAUGAUGUGCAUGACGCGAUGGUGAAUGCGACAACCAAAUGAAUCACACAACGAUAACAAAAUAAAAAGGGAAUCUCCUGGAGCGUCGGUCUCGGGCUGUUACACUCUAUGUCACAAAAUGAAAAAUAAAGUGAAUCAGGAAGUUGUUAGAGUUGUGAUUAGAGGAGGUAGAAUGACCCAGGUUACUCUAUAUCUUGAAGACCACCCUAAAAUAAUUGAGAAAUAUUCUUUGGUGGGUUAAUAUUGAUGCUCCUAGUACAUCUAAUAAGAAAAAGAAAAAAUAAGCAUGAUAGAACUCUGCAUGCUUCUAGUGAACCCAUGAUAGAAAAAUAUUUUGAGAAUCAUAAUGAUGUUUAUAUUUCUGAUGCUAAGACACAAGCUCAUAGUGAACAUCCACCUAGUGAUAAUGAUAAUGGUAAUGAUGAUGUUCAUGUCGAUGCCUAACCAGACAAUAGUAAAGAACCUAGUAAUGAAGUAUAAAUAGAACUUCUUGUUGAUCUUGAUAACCCACCUCCUAAGAAUAAAAGAUAUGAUAAAAGAUAUUUCAUUGCUAGAAAACAUGGUAGGGGAAGAGAGCCAUGGGUUCAAAAACCUAUGCCUUUUUCCUAGUAAAACUCCAAAAAAUACGGAUGGGGAAGAUUUGAGCGCUUUAAUGAAGUGCUUAGACCAGUCUUUUUGCGAACAUGUUUGACGGAUAUUUUUGAAACGCCUCCUUAUACUAAAUACAUGAAAGAUAUUAUAACUAUUAAAAGAAAGAUACAUGAAACUGAAAUUUCCACCAUGCUUGUGAAUUAUUCUUUUAAAUGGGGGUACCUAAGAAGUUAGGAGAUCUAGGAUUACCUACUAUAUCUUGCUCUAUUAAAAUAAAUUAUGUCAAAACUCCAUUAUGUGAUUUAGGAGAAGGUGUUAAUGUCAUAAAUUUCUCCUUAUAUCGAAGAUUUGAUUUGGAUAAAUUGACACAUACCAAAAUAUCUUUGCAAAUUAUUGAAAAAUUGACUCUAUACCCAUUGGUAUUUGUGAGGAUGUUGUGUUGUAGUUGCAAAUGUUACUAUCUUAACAAACUUUGUUAUUCUUGGUAUGCCCGAGGAUGAGAGCAUUUAGAUUAUCCUUGGUAGAUCAUUUUUGAAUAAUGCAUGGGUUAUUAUUGAUUGCAACAAAAGUAAUGUCACUUUUAAUGUUAAUGUUAACCAACAUCUGGUAUACUUCUCGAGGAAACAAAUUUCAGUGAAGAAUAUUAACUCCGUUAAACAAAUUGAGACAAUUACUAUUGUAGGGUUCAAAUUUCGUCUUCCUAUCGUCAAAAAUAUAUAUGAAAUUCUUAUUGUUGGGGAAAUGCAUAUCCCGUUGAGGUAACUUAGUGUUAUACAAAGAUUUUUUGGUUUCAUGUCUGUCACAUCCCUAGAUUCCCUGUUAGGGUUUAACAUCUUGUGCUCAUGUCUUCUUUCAUUGCAUUCAAGAAAUGGAAAGAAACCCAAAAGCAAAGCAAGAAAACCAAAGCAAAACCCUAGCCACUCUUUAUUCAAAAGAAAUACAACUAUUGCCAAAAUCAAUGAACCCAAAAUGGCCUUCAUAAAAGUCCAACAUUUCUGAUAAAUAUUGAAAACAAAAUAUCAGAGGUGAAACUUAUUUUCAAACCACUUUUGGCAUUUUAAAUUUCAGUUAAAAGCUACUGAAAUCAAUUAUAUAUUUGAUUUCAAAUAAUUCAAAGUUUCCAAAAAUGUUGAAAACAUUAUGAGUGGUUGGAAAUAUUCCAACUAACACUCUGGUAUUUUUCAAACUAUUUUUAGGAAUAGUUUGGAGCCAAAAAUAAAUGAAACAAUAUCAGAUAGAAUAAAAUAGAAAAAGAAAAGAAAAUAAAUGCAAAAAGCUUACCUCACGCUCACCUGAAGCCUAGUCCACCUUAGCUCUGUCGUCUUCCUCCUGCGAGUCGGAGCAGGAGGUGGCCACCGCGCUCCCCGGCNCCUGCCCCUCUCCCUCUCUCCUGAGCCGCACAACAGCUUCGCCGUGAUCCCCUGAAGCUCUCCAGCUAGUCGCGCGACGCCGAGAAGCUCUGAAACGUUGUGAAGCCACCGUCUUCUUCCUCGGGUCACCAGAGCUCGUCGCCGUCAUUCUCCCUCCUCAGGCCAUCCCCGCGCCCACUCUCGACGCCUCUGCACUCCCCGUGAGCUCAGGGUCCUUUCCCCUAAGUUUCCCCCCUCGAUCCCUUCCUCUAGACCCCGAUUCCACCGAAGCCCGACGAGAUCCGCCACGGGACCUUGUCGCCGGUAGCUCUCCGGUGAUCGGCUGGUCCAUCUGAGGCCACCAAUGGCUUCAAUGCGUCGCGUAGGUGCUCUAGGAGCUAAGCCCCGCUCGUUUUGCCUUCGGUUUCGUCGAUCCUGACAUAGUCUGAUCUUCGGCCGCCGCCAAGCUCAUCGCUGGCGUCAUCUCUGGCCAUCUUAGCCUUGGGUCUUUGCAGAAAUGAAAUUGCGGCUGUGCGCUGGUUCGUUUGGGGCCCUCCGCCGUGCAUUUGGUCGUCGGAGAUGGAUUUCCGAGCCCCUCCUCCGUUCUGCUCGUCGUCGGAGGCUCACCGCCGGCGAGAUCGACCUCGCCGCCGGUGGAUCUGACCCCCUGAGCCUAUGAAACGUGGGGCCAGCCCGUGGCUAAUUAAGUUUAGUAAAAAUAAAAAUAACUUAUUUAAUUAACUUAGUCAGACAGUGACAGGUGGGUCCCCCUCUGUUAAUUAACUAAUUAAGUUAAAUCUAAAUUUAAACUGACUAGAUACACUGACCAGUGGGUCCCACUGGUCAGGUUUGACUUUCAAUGGCCAGUUGGACCUGCUGAUGUCAAGCUGAUGCAAUAACUCAUUUUCUGUUUAAAAAUAAUUCCGGAAUAAGUUCAAAACUUUGGAAAUUCAUAGAAAAUUGAAUAUAACUCCAAAUUUGACAAAUAAUAUAUGUAAUUGGAUCAGAAAAAUUCAAGGAAUCCAAUGGUGCUAUUUUCAUGCAUGAAAAACAAAGUUAUGAGAAAUCAUCAGGUCAAAUCAAUUAAAAGAAUGUGAUAAAUUAUAAUUUAAAUGAUAUUUGAAUUAUGAUUUCAAAUCAAGAUCACCAACAGGGUUCUGCCAGUCAUUUCAAACCAUGCUAAAUUGCAUUUCAUGCAUCAUUUUGUUGCAUAUGUUUGAUACUGAUUGAUUGUUGAUUAUUCCGGUAGGCCUCGCUCCUCCGGAUACGUCUGAUUAUCCGACUGACGGAUAUCAACCUUCUGCCGAGCAACAAGGCAAGCAACCAUUUUGAUCAUCCCGAUAAAUCCCAUGUUCUCGCUCCUGCUCUUAUUUAUUGCAUUAGGAUCAAAUGCUUUAAAUGCUUUUUCCACGUUAGUUGAACCCACUUCUUUUGCAUGACCUGUCCUUGUCACAGUAAAUAGCUGAACCUUGCAACCUAGCAUACCUGGUAGAUGCUUAAGCCAUGAUGUGCCUUAUCCUGCUAUGCAUGCUAUGCUUAGAGUUGUGUAUGGUCUGUCAUCUGGACGAUGAACAUAAUAGUGAUAAUGUGUUCAGUAGUAAAGGUUGUGUGUUGAACUUGAUUUGGUAAAGGUACCGGUGAAAGGCUAUGUAGGAGUACAUGGCGGGUUGUUUCAUUGGAACCGUCCUUAGGAACUGAGUUUUGUGUAUGUAAUCCAAGAUAGAUACUACCACACGUUGGGAUACUUAAUUGACCCUCUCGACUUAUUAAUCGCUUAGUACUCAGUCCAGGAGUUGCAAGUAGUUUCUGGUGUUUAUAGUCAUGCUGGUGCCGUGCGUAGCGCUGACCUUAGAGGUGGGCUAUGAUGCGGUAGGCAGUGGCACGGUGUACCAAGUGGCUCCCGGAUGGUGGGCUUGGGAACCCUGCGCACAUCGUUUGGGGCCGUGGCGGAAACCUCGGCCGGACUUCCGUGCGGGUUACCCUCAGAUAGGCGAUAGACCUGGACUAAGUAUUAGCGUGGUUAACAGUCGUGGCCGACUCCCUCGCUGGGCUUCCGCUUGAAGGUUGCCGAGGUGCAUGACGUGCACACGGCGAUAAGUGGUGAGAGCGUGUGUGAAGAAGUACACCCCUGCAGGGUUAUGAUCUAUUCGAAUAGCCGCGUCCGCGGAUAUGGACUACUUGGAAACAUAUGUUGUUCAUAGAUAACUAUAAUGGCUACUCAUAAAAUUGUCAAGAUAAGCGUGAGUGUUGUGGACGACAUUUCCGUAGGGAGACAGAAUGAUUCCAUGAUGGAGUAUUGUUGUGGUGUUAGUGGACUCGUGUGCGAGAAACAUAGUUGUCAAAACUAUUUAAAAAUGCAAGUUGUCUAGCCAAGAGUCAAAUGCUCGCUUUCUGCAUGAAACCCCACAAAUCCAUGUUGAUAAAUUGCAUGAGUAGAUAGAUUUCCUAAAGUUUUGCUGACUACUUUCAUACUCACGUUUGCUUAAUAAUUGUUGCAGAGGUUGUUAAUGACCCUAAUGGAGGGUUCUUCCUAGACAUCAACGACGACGAGUAGCUCGUAUCCCAGCUACGAUCUGGCCCUAGGAUGGGUCUGUAGAUAGGUAGGCCAUGUGCCUUUGUCUUUCCAUCUGCCUGUACUCAGACAGUUUUAACUCUUCCGUUGGCUUGUAAGACUUGUGUGUAGGAAUCAUGAUGAUGGGUCGUGAGACCCCUAUGUGUGUAAUAUUAUGUGUGAGGCUCUUCCGAGCCUUCUAAAUAAAGUUUGUAUGUUUAUGGUUAUGUUGUGAUGCCAUCGAUGUAUCUAUACAUAUCGGUAUGCCAUGCGUACGUGUGUUGUACUUGAUAUGUAUGGGGUUCGAACACCUAGUCGUAUGACUUAGUAGCACUCCUUACGGGGAAGUGCCCCUUUGUGAUUCCAUCGAGCCAUGGUAGUUUGCUACUGCUCCGGACACAUUGGUUGACCGACAUGUGUCCUUCUUAGCUGCUGUGUGUGUCCCUUUGGGAAAUGUCAUGCGUAUGUAAUGGAGUCCUUGUAGCUUGCUACGACUCGUCUACAUUUGUUGAUGACCGACACCUGCUUUGUUGGGCCAUGUAUGCCUGUCCCUGUACGGAACUGCCGCUUUAGCUUAUGACUAGACAUGUCGAUCCGGGUUCUUUGACAUUGGAUUGCUAGUGACACAAUUGCAUACGCGAGUCAAAAGGCGCAAACGGUCCCGGCUAAGGUAAGGCUGCAGCCGUGGGGAUAACCGUGCAUGAGACCGCAAAGAGAUGCGAUGUGUUACAGGUUGGAUUCCUUAGGACUAGGUUACUUAUCUUUCUCUUAGGAUCAUGUUUUUGAUCGGUAGAUUAUAGGAUGAUGAGUCGAGAGUUACUUCGGGUCUCUCUUAUUUCAAGGAAAAUAAAGUAAGUUUUGAUGACCAUGGAAUUGAACUUGAUAGUUGAGUGGUUACGCUAUCCUAUUUUUAUGGGCUGUCUCAAAAUUGUUUUGAGCAUUUACAACCGUUAUGCUGCCCAAUUUUGUCUUCAGACACUACUAGGAAAAGGGCUAUAGAUGAUAUAGAUACUAAUGGCGCACCACACAAGUAGUGCGCCACUACUAUAUAGUAGUGGCGCACCAUGUGAGGUGUGCCAUUAGUGUGAUGGACACUAAUGGCGCACCACACAUUCGGUGCGCCACUACUAUAUUUUUUUUUGCAAAACUACUAAUGGCGCACCAGCAGCUGGUGCGCCAUUAGUAACCAGGGUUACUAAUGGCGCAUCUGUUGGUAGUGCGCCACUACUAUAAAUUUUUUGGUUUUUUUUGCAAACUACUAAUGGCGCACCACAGCUAGUGCGCUAUUAGUAACCAGUGUUACUAAUGGCGCAUCUGUUGGUGGUGCGCCACUACUUUUUUUGUUUACAGAACUACUAAUGGCGCACCACAGGGGGUGCGCCAUUAGUAACCAGGGUUACUAAUGGCGCAUUUGUAGGUGAUGCGCCACUGCUAAUUUGUUUUACUAAUGGCGCACCCUUAGGGAUGCGCCAUUGCUAUCACCCCCGCUAAAAUCCCCCAUGCCAGUCCCCGCGCGGCCCCUGUGCCCGUAUCGACCAAGUCGAGCUCGCUCUCCCCCGUAUCCCUCCCCUUCUCCUGCUCUCCCUCCCGGCGGCGAGCCUCGUCGGACACGCUCCUCGACGGCGUCGGGUACCUCCCCGCGCGGCCCCUUGGUUAGUCUCCUUCCCUUCUCCUCCCCCUCCGUCCCUCUCCCGCUCGUCCCCAUGGCCCAAGGGGGGGCUGGCGACCUAGGGUUAGGUGCAGAGCUCCCUCAUGGCGGCGAGAUCCAGACGGGGCCCGGCCGCCGCCGGCGCAUGUCCUCCGUCGACGCCGCGGGUAACCCCCUCCGCGCCUUCACCUCUGCGACGUCCCUCCUUUUCCGCACCCUUGGUCCUGCCGCAUCCCCCUCCAGGUCCCCUGUGGCGCUACUCGGCGGAUCCCUGGUAUAGCUCUCAAACCUGGUACUGGGUGUGCUGGGUGCUGGUGCACAAGGUGGGCCUAGGGAGCAAAGGCGCAGCGCUGGCCAGCGCCGUCUCCUACUCCACGAACCUGGCCAUACUGUGCCUAUACACGAGGCUGUCCGGUGCCUGCAGGAGGACGUGGACUGGGUUCUCCAUGGAGGCCUUCGCCUUCAAGGAGUUGCGCCAGUUCGCGGAGCUCGCCGUCCCCUCAGCAAUGAUGGUUUGGUGAGGAGAAAUCGUGAGCAAGUCCCCUCAGCAAUGAUGGUUUGAUUUCUGAAAUGACAAAUUUCUUGUUUUUCAAAUUUGCAGCUUGGAAUGGUGGUCGUUUGAACUGCUUGUGCUACUGUCUGGCCUUUUGCCCAAUCCUAAGCUUGAAACCUCUGUAUUGUCGAUAUGGUAAUCAAAUCAAGACAAACUUUUGCAAUACACAGUUCACCAAUUUUUAUUUUUUCCCUUUUGUUCUAUUCUAAGUUGUGCGUUGCUGAAUUCUGCAGUCUUAACACCGGCACUCUCAUGUUCACCGUGCCGUCCGGUCUCUGUGCAGCCAUAAGGUGCCGUAAAACUCACAAACAUAAUGUUAAAUGAUGUAUAUAUGCUGAUUGUUGUCUCAGUUUUUCCUGCAUUUGCAAUGCAGCACACGCGUUUCCAAUGAACUUGGUGCCGGUAGGCCUCAGGUAGCGAGGCUGGCAACCAUAGUUGUCAUAUGCAUGGCCCUGUUUGCAGGCUCAGUGAUCUCCAUCACAAUGAUUUUGCUACGCAAGUCUUGGGGUUACAUGUACAGCAUUGAGGAGGAAGUCGUGACUUAUAUUGCCAGGGUGAUACCUGUCCUCGGGGUUUCUUCCUUCAUAGAUGGAAUUGACACUUCCCUUUCAGGUACGAGCCACAUAUUUACAACAAUCUGGAACCUGUUAUAGCUCUCCCCAACACCCAGGUACUAGUUUAAUGCCCGUGCGUUGCCACGGGAAACCCAUGAAAAACAAAGCCGUGAAUGAAAAAGUGUGACAAACGGCAGUGUUUUUCUCCUCUACAUUUGUUGAACAUAGUCGUGUGCACAAAGGUUUUGUUACCAUAAAUAUGAAAUUUAGCAACAUAUUCGAUAGGUUUCUGAUAGUGGAACAUAAGUAGGCCCUGUUGGAGACCUGUAGUUCUUUACGAUCUCCUUGACUCACUUUAGGAAUUUCAUUCAUCUUUGCACAAAGAAAUAUACGAAUGGGAAAAUUUAGACUAUGCAAAGCUUGCAAACAAAAAGAAAGAUGUUCUGCUCUUGGUUGUACUACACCACAGUUUGCAAAAAAGUAAAAAAACGUGAUCAAACUAAAUAAAAAAAUGAGACAACAAACCUUAUCAAGUGUUCGAGCUUCUUGCAAAAUUUCAGCCAAAAUUAGCAUCCCAGGAGCUCUUACUGAAAGAAAAAACGAUGUUCAAAGUUUUGUGCACUGUUUGAGCAUUGAUUUUGUUUUUUUAGUGAGAGCUCCAUGGAUGUUAAUUUUAGCUGAAAUUUUGCAAGAAUGUGGAACACUUGAUAAGGUGUGAUGUCUCAAAUUUUCAGAUUUUUUUGGAGUUGAUUUGAACUCGUUUUUCAGGUUCUUUGAAAUUUGUGUGUAGUGCACCCGAGGGUAGUGGAUACUUUCAGAAAAAGAAAGAUCAAAUUAAAUAUUCUGGUUAAGCACGUAAUUAUUAAGCUAGUUGAACCUACUUGACGCAAUUGCAGUUUACAUCUGAAUAGGUACAUUAUACAUAUAAUUUAUGGCUUUAUUUGGCUACAAAGGAUGUAGCAUGCCCUGUAGGAGUAUCAAGCCAUUACUCACUCUCCCCUUCUAACUUUUAGGAGCUUCCUCGACACUUUGAGUGCUAUCGGGUAAUAACGCAGUGACAUGGUCGGAUGCAUACCAAUGUUCUGCAUUCAUCAAAUCCUAUUUUGCAUAGAUCUGCUAAUUUGAUCCAACCUUUUGUAGCCGGAGAGAAGAGAACUGAAAAGGGGAAACACAAAGAAAAUCACUAUCAUGGUAAUCAGGUUCAUGAACGCCACAUGAACACCAUCCCUGAAACAAGUGUAUCAUGUGAUUUCAUGCCUCUGCGAUUUGACAGUGAGCCCCAUCAGUGUUGACAGUGACAUCAGUGUCUUGGACAAUGUAAGGUGUUAGGCUUAGGCCAUAACUUGAGAUGUUGUAAUAGCUGGCGUGGAGACACUCACGGUUGAUCAACUCCAGCCAUGAAGCCGUAGCUAGUCUGUUCGGGCUUCUAUCUCAGACUAUGUGGGUAUGGUCUCCUGUUAGAGCCUUCUCGACUUGGUAAUCCGGAGCUUCAGCCUGGUAGUUCCAAUGCAGCAUGCCCAAGCAGUUGCAUCGAGCUUGAGAGGGAGGUCGAGGCUGCAGUCUUCGUGUACUGGCAUACGUAGACUGCAUGUCCCAUCCCUGACCCCUUAAGCAAGUUAGUCUUGUGCUCAUGUCUUCUUUGCAUUGCAUCUAAGAAUUUGUCAACAAGAACAAGAAAGUGGCAAAGGAAAAACUCAAAACCCUAGCCACUACUUUAAAUAAAGAAAAUCUCAAACUAGUUAAAAUCAAUGAAUCCAAAAUGGCCUCAAGAAAUAUUCAAACUUUCUGAUAAAUCAUGAAAGUAAAUGAGCAUUGGAGAAAACUAUUUUCUUGACACUUUAAGCAUUUUAAAUAAAUGCAAAAGCUACUGGUUUCAAGUUUUAAAAUUUGAAAUCAGAAACUUUAAAUUUUCAAAAAUGUUGAAAACUUUGGAAAUAGUUGGAAAUAUUCCAACAAAUAUUCUAGGGUGCUUAACAUAGCUUUUACAACUUAUUUGGGAGUUGAAAUAAUUAGAAAAUCAGUGAAAUAGCAAAACAGAAACAAAAACAGAAAGAAAAAGGAAAAGAGGUUACGUGUCGCUCACCUGGCCCGGCCCAUCUAAGCCCCUGUCGUCUUCCUCCCCGCCAGUGUGCAGCAGGAGGUGGCCACCGCGUUCUCCGGCGCGGCCACGCACCUGUGCGCCUGCCUGGCCGCCGCCUCGCGCUGGCAAGGCCGGGGAUAAGCUCCCCGAGGCCACCCCUAUCCAUUCCCAGCACCAGUUCUCCCUCUCCUCUCGGGUCUCUCCUCCCCGUUCUGCCGCCAUUGGAGCCCGAGCAGAGCUCGAGCUCGUCGUCGUUCUAGCCGACCUCCCUUCCUUCUGAGCCGCGCGUUAGCUCCGCCGCAACCCCCUGAAGCUUCCUAGCCACGAGCCCGACGCCCAGAUGCAGUGAGUCAACGCGCAACCGUCUUCUUCUUCCUCGGGUCACCGAAGAUCGCCGCCGACGUUCUCCCUCUCCAGGCCGUCCCCGAGCAGACUAGCGCCACCACUGCACUCCCCGUGAGCAUGCGGUCUUUUCCCCUAAGAUCUCCCGUCGAUCCCCUCCUCUAGCCCUAGUUUCAUCGGAGCCCGACGAGGACCGCCGCUGCAGCUCGUCGCCGGCAGCCCUUCGGUGAAGUGCUGGUCCGUCUGAGGCUACCAACAGCCUCAGGACGUCGUGUAGAUGCGUUAGGUGCCCAGCCCCGAGCGUUUUGACCCCGUAUCCGAUGGCUUCGACGAUGGCCGAACUUGGUCGCCGCCAAGCUCGUCGUCGGCGUUGAUCCCGACCACCCCAGCCCCUGGGGCUUGUUCCAUCGUGCGCGCCAUCGAGUGGUCGUUCCUCCCAUGGUCUCAGCCGUGCGUUUGGCCCUCUGUGCGCCAUUCUGAGCCCUCCCGACGUUCUGGUGCUCGCCGGAGGCUCCCCGCCAGCGAGGACGACCUCGCCGCCAGUGGACCUCGGCUGGCCUGAGCCACUGACUGGUGGGGUCAGCCUCUGGCAAGAUUAGAAAUAAUAAAAAUAAGUCAGUAAAAAUAAUAAGACACUGACAUGUGGGUCCAGUGGGUUUAAUUAACAAAAUAAGAUUAAUCCUAAUCUAAAAUUGACCUGAGUGACUGACCAGUGGGUCCCACUGGUCAGGUUUGACUUUCAAUGGCCAGUUGGACCUGCUGAUGUCAUGCUGAUGCAAUAAAAGNNNNNNNNNNNNNNNNNNNNNNNNNNNNNNNNNNNNNNNNNNNNNNNNNNNNNNNNNNNNNNNNNNNNNNNNNNNNNNNNNNNNNNNNNNNNNNNNNNNNGUCAUUGAACCAUUUGAUGUCUGGGGCUUUGAUUAUAUGGGACCCUUCCCGAGUUCCAAUGGGUACACUCACAUCUUAGUUGCUGUGGAUUAUGUCACCAAGUGGGUAGAGGCUAUUCCCACUAAAAACGCUGAUCACCACACCUCUAUUAAGAUGCUUAAAGAAGUCAUUUUCCCAAGAUUUGGAGUCCCUAGAUAUUUGAUGACUGAUGGCGGUUCACACUUCAUUCAUGGUGUUUUCCGCAAGAUUCUCACUAUGAUGUCAACCAUAGAGUUGCAUCUCCUUAUCAUCCUCAGUCUAGUGGUCAAGUGGAGUUGAGUAAUAGGGAGAUCAAAUUGAUCCUACAGAAGACCGUCAAUAGAUCUCGAAAGAACUGGUCUAGCAAACUUGACGAGGCACUAUGGGCUUAUUGGACUGCCUAUAAGAAUCCCAUGGGCAUGUUGCCGUAUAAAAUGGUUUACGGUAAGGCCUGUCAUUUACCUCUUGAGCUGGAACACAAAGCUUAUUGGGCAAUCAAAGAGCUCAACUUUGAUUUCAGACUUGCCGGUGAGAAGUGGUUGUUUGAUAUCAGCUCGUUAGAUGAAUGGAGGGCCCACGCAUAUGAGAAUGCCAAGUUGUUCAAGGAAAAGGUUAAGAGAUGACACGACAAACGAAUACAGAAACGAGAGUUCAAUGUAGGUGAUUAUGUCCUGUUAUACAAUUCUCGUUUGAGAUUCUUCGCACGCAAGCUUCUCUCUAAAUGGGAAGGUCCUUACAUUAUCGAGGAAGUAUAUCAUUCUGGCGCCAUCAAAAUCAAUAACACGGAAGGCAACUUUCCUAGAGUGGUAAAUGGGCAAAGAAUCAAGCAUUAUAUCUCUGGUACUCCCAUAAAUGUUGAGACCAAUAUCAUCAAUGUCAUAACUCCAGAGGAGUACAUAAGGGAUGUUUAUCAGCCUGUUUCAGACCCUGAAAACGAAGAGGUAUCUGUUUCGGUAAGAAAUUGGACUCUGAUACUUUUCCAAUAGGAAAUUUCCUCUGUUUUGGAAUUUUUGGAAAAUUAGAAAAAUAAAAAGCAGUCCGAAGAGCGCACGAGGUGGCCACAAGCUUGGAAGCCGCCACCUACCCCCUGGUGGCGGAUGGAGAGCUUGUGGGCACCUCGUGUGCUUCCCGGACUCCGUUUCCUUGCGGAGCACUCCUUCUGGUCCAGAAAAAAUCAUUAUAUAUUCGCCCGAAGGUUUUGAUCUCCGUAUCGCGCAGUUUUCCUCUGUUUUCGUUUCGAGCUUGUUGUUUGCCGCAGAUUUAGAGAAAAGAUGUCUCAAGAAUCUAUUGGGGAGAAUGAUCUUCCCCAAGUUCAUGAAGAAGUAGAUGCUGAUCUGAAAAGAGUAGAAGUCACGGAAGCCAGGGACAAAGCUAAGGAGAAAAACCAAGCUAGGGAGGAAGUGCAACCUAUGUUCAACAUUGAAGACGUUCAAGGAGUAGAUUUUCUCCAACCCUUCCUCCACGUGUUGUCUCCAUCCUUGAUUGAACUCUUGAGGUUUUGCGAAACAACUCGUGCUCGCAAUAUUUCCCUUUCUCGUGAAGUUGUUUUGCUGGAAAACCAUGUCACAGAUCUCAAAGGUAUAAAUCAAAGAUUGAUAGCUCUCCUGGAAUCAAAGGCAACAACUCCACCACCAUCACCACCAAGGAAGACAACUAAGCAUUUGUUGGAGCAUAUAUUGAGCAUAUAUCUCCAUAUGUGGUUUUGGUACUUGAUGACAAUUCCUAUGAACUAAUGGUUGCCUUAAGUUACAUUUAUAGGAUUUGUCCAUAGGCACUUCUUGAAGCCCAUCUGUUGGGUUCAAGGAGUUUAUAUGAUGACCAAGAUGGUAUUCAAGGUAUUAUCCAAAGAAUGGUCAUAGAGACACAUGGUUGAUCAAGAUCUCAGACAAAGAGUAAAUCAAGAUGAUAAACACACAAAGCGUACAAGAUGUAUCGAGAGGGAUCAAGUGAUCCCAUGGUAUGGUAAGCAUUGUCCAUUACGUGUUUGUGUACUAACCCAUGGUCUUCGUGAGAGUUCUAUGUGGGGGUUAGGUGUGUUUCCAUGGGCUUGCGUCAAAGGGAAGAUCUCAUACAACCCAUGGAGUAUGACGUCAAGUUGUGAUCAUCAUCAAUGGUUGAUCAAGAUCUCAGACAAAAAGUAAAUCAAGAUGAUCAACACACAAAGCGUACAAGAUGUACCGAGAGGGAUCAAGUGAUCCCAUGGUAUGGUAAGCAUUGUCCAUUUACGUGUUUGUGUACUAACCCAUGGUCUCCGUGAGAGUUCUAUGUGGGGGUUAGGUGUGUUUCCAUGGGCUUGCGUCAAAAGGAAGAUCUCAUACAACCCAUGGAGUAUGACGUCAAGUCGUGAUCGUCAUCAAGAUUGCGAUGUGCAAGUUCAAGUGGAUCAGCACGAAGAUAGCAUGCUUGAAGCUUGCCGUCCAUUGUGGUGGCAAUGGACUUGUGAAGAUAUGCUGAAGAGUGGCUCACCCAUAGUGAGUAUGGGGGAGCAAUCAACUAGUCUUCAUCAAGCCAACACAAUCAAGAAAGGUGGUCCAUCUUGAGGAAGCCAAGAUCAUCAUCAUCUAGCUCAAGAGGACGAGGUGCAAGGUAUAGGUUUGCCCUUGAUAGGUUUUCUGGUUAGGAUAGAUUGCUGUUCUAUCAAGGGGGGCUCUCAAGUGAGUAGCUUGAUCGUAUCGUUCGUUGAGAGCUCAAACCAUUUGCAUCCUUGCAUCAUACUUCUUGGUUCUUGUUUGGUGUUUCUCUUUGUGAGUUUUAGAGCUUAUGGUCAUCUUCGUGACAAGCUCGAGUUCAUCGAAAACGGAGUCCAUAUGCAUCUACUAUGAUGUUUUCGAUGUUGGAGUUUUUGCCGGUUCUUCAUUCAUAGAGAUCUCACAUCUCGCUGUUUGGAUAGCCCCUGUCGUCCUGAAUCCAACAAGCUUGGGUUUGCUCGAUUCGGGGCUCGUAUGCGAAAGUUAUGGCUGUUUCAGUGGCGAGCGGUAGUACCGCUAGAGUUGGCGGUAGUACCGCUGGCCCUAGCGGUAGUACCGCUGGCUCGCGGUAGUACCGCCCCUGAUCAGCGGUAGUACCGCUCCAGGAGCUUAGUACCGCCUGCCUAGCGGUUGUUCAUGGACGGACCUUUUUGCGAAGACUUUCUUGGCGGUGGUAGUGCCUUUGCACUACCAGGGGCCCAGCGGUAGUACCGCUGGGGCCAGCGGUAGUACCGCUGGAGUGCCAGCGGUAGUACCGCUGCAGCUAGCGGUAGUACCGCUAGAUGGCGGUAGUACCGCUGGAGUGACAGUGGUAGUACCGCUGGAGUGCCAGCGGUAGUACCGCUGCAGCCAGCGGUAGUACCGCUGGAGCUCGGGCAGAGAGUGGGGGUAACGGUCUGAUUCUUCCCCCCACUAUAUAAAGGGGGUCUUCUUCCCCCUUGGCCUUAUCCAUCCGUUGAGCUCUUGUUCUACCUCCAUUGUUGACAUUCUUAGAGCUUGAUUACUCUCAAUCCCUCCAAUGAUUCUUGCUUGUUCUUGAGGGAAAAGAGAGAGGAGAUCUAGAUCCACAUCUCCACCAGUCACUUUCUCCUCUAUGUGAGGGGAACCCCUUGGAUCUUGAUCUUGGAGUUCUUUGUGAGCUCCUUGUUCUUCCUCUCAUAUUUCUCCAUAGCUUUUGUUGUUGUGGAGGGAUUUGAGUGUGAGGGACUUGACCACUUCGUGUGUUCUUGCCAUUGCAUUAGUUGCAUCGGUUUGAGUUCUCCACGGUGAUACGUGGAAGUGAGAAGUUGAGAAGCUUACUACCUUUGGUACUUAGUACCCUUGAUAUUGUUCUUCGUGGAUGCUUUGGCGUCCUAGAAGCUUGGUGGUGUCUCGGAGCUCAAUCAUUGUGGUGUGAAGCUCCGGGAAGCGUCGGGGUCUCCAAUUAGGUUGUGGAGGUUGCCCCGAGCAAUUUGUACGGGUACCGGUAACCGCCCCCAAGGGUUGCCACGUGUACGGGUUCGGUGACCACCCCCGAGGGUUGCCAUUUGUACGGGUUCGGUGACCGCCCUCAAGGGUCCCUUAGUGGAAUCACGGCAUCUUGCAUUGUGCGAGGGCGUGAGGAGAUUACGGUGGCCUUAGUGGCAUCUUGGGGAGCAUUGUGCCUCCACACCGCUCUAACGGAGAUUAGCAUCCGCAAGGGUGUGAACUUCGGGAUACAUCAUCGUCUCCCCGUGCCUCGGUUAUCUCUUACCCGAACCCUUUGCUUAUGCACUUUACUUUGUGAUAGACAUAUUGUUUAUUGUAAUAUAUCUUGCUAUCACUUAGUUGUUUAUCUUGCUUAGCAUAAGUUGUUGGUGCACAUAGGUGAGCCUAGUGUUUGUAGGUUUUGUGCUUGACAUAUUAAACGUUAGUUUAUUCCGCAUUUGUUCAAGCCUAAACCUUAACUAUUUUAAAGCGCCUAUUCACCCCCCCCCCCUCUAGGCGACAUCCACGUCCUUUUCAACAUUGGUAUGGGCAAUCCCCUUGGCUUCUGCCAAACUUGGGGGAGUUGCCCUGGUAUCGUAUCACCUUUAUAUCUUUUGCUUUUACCUUUGUUUUAGUUCUUUCCUUUUCAGUUUUUAUUUCUUCUCUUACAGGAAUAAGUCUUUAGUGUUAGGUUGAGUCUUUUGCUUUUGUCUCUCCCCCGAUGUAUUCGAGCUUGCGAGCUAUACAAUAAAGAGUAUCUUAGUCAAGGGCUUUGCUUUAUGUCGUGAUCAAAAGUAUGAAAAGAACGAUAGCAUGAAAGAUCAUGAGACGAUCUUAUGGAAAGUGAUAACUUCACAUAUGACACGUAUGAUGAUUGAAACUUGUUGAGAAUAAAUCAACAUAGACCUUAGUCAUUGUUGCAAUUAAUAAGAAGUAAUAAGGAAAGAGAGGUUCACAUAUAAAUAUAUCAUCUGAGACACUUUCUACAAUUGUGAGCAUUCACGAAACUAUUACAUGCUUAGGAGUAGAUGUUGGACAAGGAAGACAACAUAAUGAAUUGUGUUUGCUUGGUUCCAAACAAUGUUAUAUGAUUAGAGAUCCCUUAGCAUGUGACAAUUGCUUCCACCUCAUAUUAGCCAAAACUCCCGCACCAAGUAGAGAUACUACUUGUGCAUCCAUAAACCUUCAACCCAGUUUUGCCAUGAGAGUCCACCAUACCUACCUAUGGAUUGAAUAAGAUCCUUCAAGUAAGUUGUCAUCGGUGCAAGCAAUAAAAAUUGCUCUCUAAUAUGUAUGAUCUAUUAGUGUGUGGAAAAUAAGCUUUGUACGAACCUGUGAUGAGGAAGACAUAAAAGCGACAGACUGCAUAAUAAAUUUCUUUAUCACAGGAGGCAAUAUAAAGUGACGUUCCUCCGCACUAAGAGGACACGCAUUCAAACCUCAAAAGUGCAUGACAACCUCUGCUUCCCUCUGCGAAGGGCCUAUCUUGUACCUUUACUUUUUGCCCUUGUAAGAGUCAUGGUGAUCUUCACCAAUUCCCUAUUUUUGCCUUUGUCUUGGCUAUCGUCACAUGCUUGGGAAAUAUCUAUAUUCAUAUAUCAACUUGGAGUUGAGUACUUAUGCUUUAUUAUUGUUGACUUUACCCUUGAGGUAAAUAGUUAGGAGGCAAAACUAUAAGCCCCUAUCUUCCUAUGUGUCGAGCUGAAACUUUGACACCAUGAGUACCACGUGAGUUGUAACAAUUGUGGAAAACAAAAGAGAUGAUUGAGUAUGUGGGUUUAUUUAUGCCUUUUCUCUCUUAUUUUGCAAGGUUUAUUUGAAGAGGGACAAUUCAGGCAGCUGGAAUUCUGGACUGGAAAAGGAGCAAAUCUUAGUCCACUAUUCUGCACAUCUCCAAAUGCCCUGAAAAUUUACGUGGAAUUUUUUGGGAUUAUAUAAAAAAUACUAGGCUAAAGAAGUACCAGAGGGGAGCUACUAGGGCGCCACAAGCCCUACAACCGCCACCCCCUGGUGGCGGCUAGCAAGCUUGUGGGCUCCCUGAUGGCCCACUGGCCCCCCUCUUUUGCUAUAUGAAGGGUUUCGUUCUAGAAAAAAUCAAUCGGGAGCUUUUUCGUGGUUUCGCCGCCGCCGCCACGAGGCGGAACUUGAGCAGAUCCAAUCUAGAGCUCCGACACGACGAUCCUGCCGGGGAAACUUCCCUCCCGGAGGGGGAAAUCGUCGCCAUCGUCAUCACCAACACUCCUCUCGUCGGAGGGGAGGCAUCUUCAUCAAGAUCUUCAUCAGCACCAUCUCCUCUCCAAUCCCUAGUUCAUUUCUUGUAACCAAUCUCCGUCUCGCGACUCCGAUUGGUACUUGUAAGGUUGCUAGUAGUGUUGAUUACUCUUUGUAGUUGAUGCUAGUUGGAUUACUUGGUGGACGAGUUUAUGUUCAGAUCCUUGAUGCUAUUCAUUACAUCUAUUAUCAUGAUUAUUAUUAUGCUUUGUGAGUAGUUACUUUUGUUCCUGAGGACAUGGGAUAAGUCAUGCUGAUAAUAGUCAUGUGAAUUUGAUAUUCGUUCGGUAUUUUGAUAUGAUGUAUGUUGUCUUUUCCUCUAGUGGUGUUAUGUGAACGUCGACUACAUAACACUUCACCAUACUUGGGCCUAGAGGAAGGCAUUGGGGAGUAGUAAGUAGAUGAUGGGUUGCUGGAGUGACAGAAGCUUAAACCCCAGUCUAUGUGUUGCUUCGUAAGGGGCUGAUUUGGAUCCACUAGUUUAAUGCUAUGGGUUAGACGUUGUCUUAAUUCUUCUUUCGUAGUUGCGGAUGCUUGCGAGAGGGGUUAAUCAUAAGUGGGAUUCUUGUCCAAGUAAGGGCAGUACCCAAGCGUCGGUCCACCCACAUAUCAAACUAUCAAAGUAACGAACGUGAAUCAUAUGAACAUGAUGAAACUAGCAUGACAGAAAUUCUCGUGUGUCCUCGGGAGCGUUUUUCCUCCUAUAAGACUUUGUUCAGGCUUGUCCCUUGCUGCAAAAGGGAUUGGGCCACUUGCUGCACCAUUGCUACUACUUGUUACUUGUUACUUUUCGCUUGCUACAUUUCACCUCACUACACCAUCACUUGUUACCACUACUUUCAGUGCUUGCAGUUAUUACCUUGCUGAAAACCGUUUAUCACAGCCUUCUGCUCCUCAUUGGGUUCGACACUCUUACUUAUCGAAAGGACUACGAUUGAUCCCCUAUACUUGUGGGUCAUCAAGACUCUUUUCUGGCGCCAUUGCCGGGGAGUGAAGCGCCUUUGUUAUGUGGAAAUUGGUAAGGAAACAUUUAUAUACCGUGCUGAAAUUUAUUGUCACUUGUCACUAUGGAAACUGUUCCUUUGAGGAGUUUGUUCGGGGUAUCUUCACCACGAACGGAAGCACGAGGAGUUGUUCCUCAACCUAAGGUACCUACUGAAAAUAUCUUUUAUGAAAUUCCUUCAGGUAUGCUUGAGAAACUGCUGGCUAAUCCUUUCACAGGAGAUGGAUCUUCACAUCCAGACUUGCAUCUGAUCUAUGUGGAUGAAGUUUGUGGUUUAUUUAAGCUUGCAGGUUUGCCCGAGGAUGAGGUAAAGAAGAAAGUAUUUCCUUUAUCUUUGAAGGAUAAGGCGUUGACAUGGUAUAGGCUAUGUGAUGAUAUUGGAUCAUGGGACUACAAUCAGUUGAAAUUGGAAUUUCAUCGAAAGUUCUACCAUUGCUACUACUUGUUACUUGUUAAUUUUCGCUUGCUACGUUUCACCUCACUACACCAUCACUUGUUACCGCUACUUUCAGUGCUUGCAGUUAUUACCUUGCUGAAAACCGUUUAUCAGAGCCUUCUUCUCGUCGUUGGGUUCGACACUCUUACUUAUUGAAAGGACUACGAUUGAUCCCCUAUACUUGUGGGUCAUCAGGUGUCAAACACAUGAUGUAGAUGUAUGUGGAGCUAGGAAGGCUUAUAAUAUGGUAGCAAAAAGGGUCAGCAAUAACCAGUUCAAAGAUGCAAAGUUGAAAGGAUGCUCAACCACGGUACCGUGUUGGUCCUAGGCUAGACCGUACUAGAGACGCAAGGCUAGAACACCAACAAAAUCACAACGCUACACGUAAUCAAGGGAAGGGCCACUCUGAUUUUUUUGCGAUUUUUUGCGCUCUUUUUUAAGAAAAUCACUAUAAUGGCGAGUGUCUCAAAACUCUUCCGAAUGGCUAAAAAUAGGAUAGGCACAAAAAAAGUUGACUAUUUUUUUGGGAGUGAUUCGGGGCUGCAACGACCAAAAAUUGCGACAAAAAAUUGCUAUGACGGCGAGUGUCUCAAAAUGCCGUGGACAGCCUCAAAAUAGGAUUGGAAAAAAUAUUUUCACCCACUGAAAUUUUGGUCUAAGGACUGCUCUCAAAACUAUGCUAGACUUUUUUUUUCUCAAAACCUACUCAGGCAAGGAAACGCGAACAAAGAAAUCUCGAAACGACACCUAAUAUGGAAAGGACUCGGGUUGGUGGUGGAUAUGUGGUGGGAUAUAUGGUAAUGAUGACGAUGGGUGAUGCUAUAUGCCAGCGGUGAUGAUAGUGGUGGGUGGCAGCGAGAUCGAAGAUGGGGCGGCGGCGGCAUGACAACUUGUGAAUAGAACUCAAAACUCCAAAGGACUAGACUCUAAGACGAGCAACUCGACAUGAUGAUGUAACCGCAAGUUCAACAAAGCAAAGUACCGAGCAGAAAAUUGCAAAAGGCUCAUAUUGGAUCGGAUAGGAUGAACUAUACCUAAUUUUUUGGCUUUUUUCAUGGACUAUAGGUAUGAAGAACAUAUGCGAUCUAAACUACGAAAAACUAGUAAAAUCUCACCGAGCAACCUAGAAAUCUGAUACCACUUGAUAGAGGCACAGUUGCCCCUGUCUUUUGAUGAGAUGGUGGCUAUCAUUUUUGGUGGAGUAGACUUUGACAAUUCGACUACGAACAUGCGAAGACGUCACACCUUAGCAAUCGCUAAACCAACUCCGAGAGGUUAUUGACCAAGUCGGAGCACGAUCAACCUGACCAUGAUGGUCUGUUUCCUACACGCAAACGAAGAACGGGCAAGAAACUGAAAUUGCAAUAUGGAUAUUGCGAAUAUAAGAGGAAAGCUUUAUUGAUGAAAAUGGGUUUAUGUGACGUCUUGGUCUGGUCGUAGGUCAGAAACGAAGAAUGCAAAGUUGCAGUUAUGGCGAACUUGUAAUCUAAACAAAACCCAAGUCUAAACAGUUCCCUAAGGGCUGUAUAUAUGGGACAAUAGAGGGGAAUUUCACGACCCCUUGGAGGAGGGGUCCGAAACCAACCCUAACUCCAUUUUCCCACACAUACGGACUCUAAAAACAGCCUAUAAAGUGGUAUUUCAAAAUUACAUGGGCCUGUCCCAAAAAUAAGGUGACGCAACCCCUAUAAUGGCUUAUGGAUGAAAUUUAUGAUGUGACAUAUUGUAUAUUUCGUCCAAGCCUUCAUGCUCCCAUUAUGGUGGCUUCAAAGUGCGAAAAUCACCACGGGAAGCUCCAUUUUCUUUCGUGUGCGCGCACCUUCUCCUCCGUGCUUGUUCCCAUUCCAAUGGCCAUCCUUCUUGUCCAUGCUAGGUCCUUCAUUCAUAGGUAAAACAAAAAAGUAUCUAACUUACGCAUCAUCAUGUGUUCAUGAACAUUAGAAGACUUUCCAAGAAAUGAAAGUACCUAGUGAUUAAUUGGCAUGUGCGUGGUCUAGUGACUGGUCUAGUAUGUAUAGCAGCAGGGGUUGUGGGUGUCACAAUUGUAUUGAUGUCCUCAUCAUGGGGGCUAGGUGGGGAGGACCUUAUUCCAUGUACAAAGAGUCGCACCGCCUUGCAUCUCUGAGUAGAACUGACAUAGGCGAGGUCCCGAUAUUUCGAUGAGAUGGUGGCUAUCGAUUUGGUGGUUACGACUUUGAGGAGGCUUAAUAUAUGAUAGCAAAAGAUUAGCAAUAAUCAAUUGAGAGAUGCAAUGUUGAAUAAACGCUCAACGACGGUACUUUGCUGGUCCUAGGCUAGACCGUACUAGAGACGCGAUCCUAGAACACUAAUGGAGUCAUGGCAUACCACAAGUAUCAGCAACGGAUGAUAUGAAGUAGCUCUAAAUAGCAAGAUAUAAGUGAAGAUCACAAUGACAGUAAAGAUAAUGAUGAUAAAUGAUCGUUCAGUCAUGAUAUAUCAAAACCCUCUCUUUAACUUCCUUCGGAAAACAUUAUGUCAAAUUUCUAAUAUCGUUUCUCAAGAUUGCCACUAAACCAAGCUUGUCAAUGCAAAAAGAAUCACUCAAUUCCGAUUUCGUAUGAGCAGUCACAAAAUUCGGGAACAGACUUGAAAAAUAUUGAGAAAUUAUGUUUGCGGCCUUGGGAGGGCAAAAGUCCUAUUUAGAAGCCGAAUUUGGAGUUGACAAUAAUGAACUAGUUUGAUGAACUAUUCAGAUGCGGCUCAUGGAUAGAUCGAAUUUGAGUUCUUGUGGAGCCAAAACGGACUUUGUAUGAGGAAGAAACACAUGUUUUACUGAACACUACACAAAAGAGUUUCCAAUCCGAAUUCACAUACGGGAUUGAGUAUAGAUAGAUCUGAAAUUUGUUUUUUUUCUCUUCUCUCUUUUUUUUCUCACUUUUUUACUUUUUUUCUUCUCUUUCUUUAUCUUACUUUUUUCCUUCUCUCCAACAUAUGGCAAUGACCGAUGGGAACUGGUGGUGGCAAUUGAUGGAUGGUGGUGGGCGACAACGAAAGGGAUGACGGCUCAGCGGUGGCAUGACUAAUGUGAAGACGACUUGAAACUCAAAAUGACUAGAUAAUAAGACGAGCAACUCGACAUGAUGAUGCAACCGAUCAUUCAACCAUGCAAGCAAUGAAAAUAAAAUUGCAAAGGCUCAGACUGGCUUGGCCAAAGGAUGAAUAGAUCUAACAUUUUUGUGGCUUUUUCUUGGGCAAUAGGUAAGAAAACAAAAUAUAAUCUAGGGAUAACUCUAACCGAGCAACCUGAAAACUGAUACCACUUGAUAGAGGUGAGGGUCCUGAUCUUUUGAUGAGAUGGUGGCUAUCGAUUUGGUGGAGACGACUUUGACGAUCCGACUACAGACGUGCACGACGUUGCGCUUUAGCAAUUGCUAAACCAACUCUAAUAGAUUAUUGACCACGCCGGAGCAUGAUCAACCUGACCAUGAAGGUCUCUUUAUGCAAGAAAUCAAAGAACAACCAAGAAUAUGAUAGAAGCAAUUUGAAUAUUGCAAACAUAUUUGAAGUAUUGAUAACGACGGGGAUCCGAAAGCGGUCUUGGUCUGGUCGUUGGACACAAACAAAGUACACAAAGUUGCAAUGGGUAACUUCUAACUAAACAAAUUCCAAGCAAUAAGCCACUAGGUUGAUCUACUUAUAUAGGAGCAAUGGGUGGCAGGCAAGGAGGUGGGAGAACAUCUCAAGGCAGCCCAAAACCAACCCUAGGUCGUACAAGGCCCAUCUGCUCAAGUGGAGGUGAUGCAACACCUUUGGAGUUAUAGUUUGACUCGGAUUCUGAUGCAACCUUAGAUUGUUUUGUCAUUAUCUCCACACUCCGGACAAAUUUUAAAGUGAUUCCAAUUGGUCUGGAACAUAGAUAAAGUCUAAUUUCAAACAAAAAAACACCCAAUUUGGAGUCCCUAUGCAAACUUUGUUGACGUUUUGAGACACGUGUGUCUGUGCAGUUUGAAUCUGAGUCCACAAGGUGAGAGACUUGGACUUUAUCUUAUCUUGGGCUAAAAGUGAUGUGAGAAAACUUCUUCAACGGCACAUAAUCAUUUGGUUUGAUGUGAGAGGACUUGUUGAACAACACCUAAUCAUUUCCUCUUUCUUUAUCUUCACACGUGGUUUGUGCAAGCGUUCGACAAUUCUGCAUUUAGGCAUGGAGUAAAAAUAGAUGAAAUAUUUUGUUCCGGAUAAUAUAGAUAAAUUAUUGCAUAAUUAUUAUAAGAAAUCACCUCACAAAUAUGCAAAUAUGAAAUAUUUUUUGGUCGUAUCCAAGGUAGCCAUGUCCUCAUCAAGAACACAAACCCUAAUAAAACCUAAAAAAGUAUCAGAAAAUGAAGCCCUCCCAUCGGCAAAGACCGGGAUAAUUAACGCCUCCAAGGCCCUAAAACCACAAAGACGAGGUAGACCGGCGAAGGCACCGACGGGAGUGAGGAGAAACCCUAGACUUGUACUAGGGUAAGAGCGGUCAGCCAAAUAUUUAUUAUUGAUGCUACCCCUCUGAAACUAUGCAGAUUGCCGGAGAGCCUUAAACUUGGGAGCAUAGGUUAAUGAAUUGUGCUUCACAAAUACUGGAGAGCAUGAGUUAUUUCACUUUGGAAGCACAAAUUUCACCUUGAAAAGCUUUCAUUCGGGCUUGGAACGAUGGUAUUCAGUUUUGAAGACCUUGACGCGAGCUAUCAUGAGAACGAACGCAUGGUUCGCAAGGUAUUUCAUUCUGAACAAUAGGGUCAAUGAAAAAAGCACAAAAAGCAUCCUCACACCCCUACCAAAUAUUUGUUUUCAAUGUCACGGGAGAUGUGGUAAUUUUGCAGAUGGUACCUUUAGUUAGUGAUUUUGCAUGUCAUGGGAUGAUAGACACACGAUUAACGUUCUUAUCAACGGUUCUGUCGGGCUCCCUAAGUGACCCUUUUUGUUACGUAAGAAUUGUAAGAAAAACAUGGUACCCGUGUUGGAUGAGUAUAAAGUACAUCUAGUUGAACAUUAUGGGGUAGAUUACAUUUGCUAGAUGACACAUUUUUCUAAUGAAAAAGAAAAUCCAGUGAAGUGUAAUAGUUUAUUUAUAGGUUAAGCUAUCAUAAGAAAUGUGAAAUAGAAGAUUGACACGCUAAAAGAGUGAGAUUUUAGAAACAUAAUAGUAAGACAGAUGGUUUGACUCUCGAGUUGUGAUAGUACAUACCUUUUUUUAUUUACUCAAAAUUUUAAAAAGCUACUCCCAAGUACAAACACGGUAGCAUGGACUGGGAUUACUUGUGUGGUAUCAGCCCAUCAGGGUUUGAAAGCACACAUGCUCCCUUGGUGAUUUUGAUAGUUCAUGACAACAUAUAUUGUCUCUUGGACUAACACUUUUACCUAGAUAUUUGAGGAAAAGUCCAUAGAGAGCAUUGGCUAAAGGUUUAUGUGGAGACACCCCUAGAUGCAAGAAAGGAAUAAUAUUGGCUCAAGCUUCAAGCUAGAAGACUCUUCAUUUUAUAUUUGUGAGAAAUCACUUUUGAGUCCAUAGGAAAGCCAAUACUAUUAAAAGGGGGUGAGGUAGUAAAAUGAAUUGAUUGCUCAAAUGCUCAAAGUUAACCACCAAAACACUCAUUCAUUUUUUCCCACAUAUCCACUCUGUCAAGUUCCAAAUUCACAAAUUCGGUGCACCAACAUUUCCACAUCGGACCCACCGAGUUUGAUACUCACAUAGAACCCUAGCCAUUCCCACCAGAUCGAUGCAACCGAAACUACAUCGGUGCUACCGAGUUCAGUGUGACCAACAUUCUUUUGCCGAGAUACACAAAAUCGGAAUUACCGAGUCUGAGUAUCGAUGCCACUGAGUUUGGCCAUCUAACCGUUAGUCGCCUUUUCAGUGCCACCGAGUUCUAUAUAUAUCGGUCUCACCGAGAUUCAAAAGUUCACACUUUUAGUACUAGUUGGUACCAUCGAGUUGUCCACUUCGGUGUCACCGAGUUUGCACUUUUGUGUGUAACGAUUGGAUUUUGGAUGCUGCCUAUAUAUACCCCUUCACCCACCUCUCAUUCCUGGGAGAAGCACUCACAACACACACUUAAUUUCCAGAUCCAUUUUCUGAGAGAGAACCACCUACUCAUGGGUUGAGACCAACAUAUUCCUAUCCAAUCAUUUGAAACUUGAUCUCUAGCCUCCUCAAACUGCUUUCCACCAAAUGAAGCUCUCCUACCCAUGCAUAUUGUAUGAGAGAGUGGUUUGUGUUGAGGAGACUAUCUUUAUAAGCACAAGAGCAAGGAGUUCAUUGAUCUACCACAUCUAUUACCUUUUGGAGGGUGGUGCCUCCUAGAUUGGUUAGGUGUCUCUUGGGAGCCUCCUACUUCGUGUUGUGGAGUUGAACCAAGAUGUUUGUAAGGGCAAGGAGGUCGCCUACUUUGUGAAGGUCUACCGUGAGUAAGGUUAGUCCUCCGUGGACGUAAGCCGUGGUGGGAUAGACAAGGCCGCUUCUUUGUGGACCCUCCGUGGCUGGAUACCUCCGUGGACUCUCGCAGUCGUUACCCUUCGUGGGUUGAAGACUCCACUAACAUGGACGUACGAUAGCGCCACCUAUCAGAACCAUGCCAAAAAUCACCGUGUCAACCUCAUACGUUUGAUCUCCCUACCUUGAUCCUCUACAUUACAUUUGCAUGUUUUACUUUCCGCUAUUAUACUUUUAGAACUGCGUGUGUAGGGUGACUUAGACUUGUUACAACUGCUAGAUUUCUGCCCUCCUAGGAAAUAGGUUAGGCUAGAUUUUUUAUCUUGACAAGUAGUCUAUUCACCCCCCCCCCCUCUAGACACAUCUUCUAUCGAUCCCUCAAUUGGUAUUAGAGCAAGGUAUCCAAAACCUUGGUUUAACCGACAUUGGAGGAAGGUGAAUGUGGCUAGUUCCCAGAUUUUUAGUUAUAGAGUGCCUAUUCUUGAUGGGGAUUACUUUAGACAAUGGAAAUACGAAAUGCUUGAGAUAUUCGAUGAUUUCCAUUUGCGCAAGUAUAUUGAAUAUCCCUAUGCGCCUCCCAUUGACCCCAUACAUCCUUCUCAUGAUGAUGAACUUAAUAUGCUUGAUAACCUUAACGUUGUCAAUCUUAUCAUUAGAGGUUUACCAAGAAAUGUGCUUAAUCAGUUGCAAAACUUUGAGUGUGCUCAUACCUUGUGGAAAUACUUAGAGAAAACAUAUCCAAAUUAUUCCUUGAAAAAAAAUUAAUAUCAUUGUUCACAAGUACAUUGCUUUCCAUAAGAUGAAGCCAACAGAUCCUAACUUUGAUAAAUGCCUAUUUGAGCUUCAUGACCUCAUGCGUGCUAAAGGAAAUGUCAUUGGUUUACCAUCAACAAUAUCAUUGUUGAAGCCAUUCGAAUGCAUAAACUUGAACAUUGUAAUAAUCAAAUUUCUGAUGAAGUUCUUGUUUCUUAUGAUGAGGAAACUUCAUCCGAUGAUGACAAUGUGGAGCAUGGCUACUACAAUGAAAAUGAAAAGUUUGACAUCGAGUAUGAGAAGACCAUGAAGAACCUUAGUCUUAUGGCUAACCUUAAAGACUACAUGGCCGGUGGAAAUGAGUGGGUUCUCGACAGUGGAUGCACCGAUCACAUGACCGGAGAUAAAGACAUGUUCCAUGAGAUUACACCAAACCGUGGACCUCGGAAGUAUGUGACUUUUGGAGACAACUCCAAAGGUAAGGUACUUGGUCUUGGUAAGGUGGUUGUAUCUCAUGACAGUUUCAUUCAGAAUGUCAUGCGUGUUGAAUCUCUUGGCUACAAUCUUCUUUCCAUAUCUAGACUAGCAGACUUUGGUUUCGAUGUGCUAUUUACGAAAUUUGAAUGCCAAGUGUUUUGUAGCGACAAUAAUAACAUCGUAUUUACUGGUUUCCGUAGAGGUGAUCUAUACAUUGUUUAUUUCUCUAAGAUAUCCAAACCCUGUACAUGCCUUAUUGCAAAAUCCUCUAAAGGUUGGUUAUGGCAUAGAAGGCUUGGACAUGUUGGUAUGCGUAAUCUCAAUGAUAAGUCGCAGGUACAAAUGAUCUUCAAGAACUUUGCUCGAAAAGCUCAAAAGCAGUUUGAAGUGUAGAUCAAGAAGGUCCGGAGCGACAAUGAAAUGGAGUUCAAGAAAACUAGUGUGGAUACUUUUCUUGACGAAGAAGGUAUCUUACAUGAGUUCUCGGCGACGUACACACCUCAACAAAAUGGAUUUGUUGAGAGGAAGAACCUGACGCUCAUAGAGAUGGCGAGAAUGAUGCUUGACGGAUACAAGACUCCAAGACACUUUUGGGCAGAAGCCAUGGAAACAUCUUGCCAUGCCAUAAACCGACUCUACCUGCACGAGCUUCUCAGUAAAAUGACAUACAAGCUACUCACCGGUAACAAACCCCAAGUUGGAUACUUUCGAGUAUUCGGCUCUAAAUGCUAUAUUAUUGAUAAGCAUCAUCGAUCUAAAUUUACACCUAAAUCUUAUGAAGGUUUCCUUCUUGGUUACGGAUCAAACUCUCACGCUUACCAUGUCUACAACAACUUCACUCGAAAAGUUGAAGAGACGGUAGACGCGAAUUUUGAUGAGACUAAUGGUUUGCAAGUCGAACAAUUGCCAAUUGAUAUAGGAGAUAAGAAACCAUCAGAAGCUAUCAAAGAUUUGUCCAUUGGCAAUAUUCGUCCCAUGGAGGUGAAGGAAAGCACUUCAUCAACUCAAGUGGAAGCUCCCACUUCAUGUCAAGGCGAACCACAAAAUGACAUGGAAGCAUCCACAAGCGGUACACGACAUGAUGAAGAAGAGGAAGAGAAACAUCUUGAUGAUCCACCUCAACCUUCCUCACCACCACCUCAAGGAGAAGUUGAUGCCAAUGACAAUGGUCAAGAUGAUUAUUAUGAAGAAGAAGCUCCUCCAUCCAACAAGAAGAAGUUGUCAAGAGUUAGAGCAAGAGUGGACAGAGAUCAUCCGUUGAAACAAAUCUUCAGCGACAUAAACAACGGGAGAAUCAGUCACUCUAAAUCUCGUUUAGCUAACUUUUGUGAGCACUAUUAUUUCAUAUCUAGCAUUGAACCCUUUAAGGUAGAAGAAUCUCUCCAAGAUCAAGAUUGGGUGAAUUCCAUGCAUGGAGAGAUACACAACUUCGAGAGGAACCAAGUAUGGACACUUGUUGAAAAACCAGAAGGCGAGCAAAAUGUCAUUGGUACAAGAUGGGUGUUUCGGAACAAGCAACAUGAAGACGGACAAGUUGUACACAACAAAGCACGUCUCGUAGCCCAAUGAUACAUGCAAGUCGAAGGUAUGGACUAUGGUGAGACUUAUGCUCCUGUUUCUAGACUUGAAUCCAUUUGUAUUCUUCUAGCUUAUGCCAAUCAACAUGAUAUAACUCUCUACCAAAUGGAUAUUAAAAGUGCCUUUCUCAAUGGAGAAAUUGAAGAGGAAGUUUAUGUUAACAACCUCCUGGUUUUGUGAACCUAAAGAAACCUGAUCAUGUUUACAAACUUCGUAAAGCUUUAUAUGGUCUUAAACAAGCACCUAGAGCUUGGUACAAAUGCCUAACAAAGUUUCUCAUUGAAAAGGGUUUUGAGAUUGGCAAAAUUGAUGCAACCUUAUUCACUCAAAGAGUAAAUGGAGAAUUAUUUGUUUGUCAAAUAUAUGUGGAUGAUAUUAUCUUUGGCUCUACUAACCCACAUUUUAGUGAAAAGUUUGGAAAGCUGAUGUUAGAGAAGUAUGAUAUGUCCAUGAUGAGUGAACAGAAGUUCUUCCUUGGAUUGCAAAUCAAACAAUCAAGAGAAGCAACGUUCAUCUCUCAAACCAACUACACCAAGGACUUAAUUCGGAAGUUCAACAUGCGAGAAUGCAAAGGUAUGAGAACCCCCAUGCCUACUAGUGGACAUCUUGACCUCACUAAGGAUGAUGCAGCCAUUGAUGAAAAAGUUUAUCGAUCAAUGAUUGGAUCAUUGGUAUAUCUUUAUGCCUCUCGUCCUGAUAUCAUGUUAAGUGUUUUCAUGUGUGCCCCUAUCAAGUAGCACCUAAAGAGUUUCAUCUAUUGGUUGUGAAAAGGAUAGUGAGAUACCUCAUACAUACACCAAAUUUUGGCAUAUGGUAUCCCAAGGGAUCUUCUUUUUAUCUUGUUGGCUAUUCCGACUCGGACUAUGUUGGAGACAAGGUUGAUAGAAAAUCCACCUCAGGUACAUGUCAAUUUCUUGGGAGAUCUCUUGUCUCUUGGACAUCCAAGAAACAAAGCUCGGUAUCCUUGCCAACUGCCGAAGCAGAAUACAUUGUCGUUGGAUCAUGUUGUGCUCAAUUACUAUGUAUGUCUCAAACGCAUAAGGAUUAUGGCAUUCAUGUUAGAAAAGUCCCAUUAUUGUGUGACAAUGAAAGUGCUAUUAAGAUUGCAUAGAAUCUUGUGCAACAUUCUAGAACCAAACACAUCCAAGUGCGACAUCAUUUCAUCUGUGAUCAUGUUGUCAAAGGAGAUAUUGAUCUGAGGCAUGUUCGUACUGACAAACAGCUGGCUCAUAUUUUCACCAAACCACUUGAUGAGAAAGUGUUUUGUCAUUUGAGGAGUGAUUUGAACAUCAUUGAUGAUUCAAACUUGAGCUAGGCUCACUCGGAUGCAUGCAAGGGCAUGAGCUUGAGUGACUAUUCCUUGAUGCCAUUGAUAUGACUAUCUUAUGUCUUGGAAACUAUGCUCCCUUGUAUUGCAUCUAACCUUUUGUAGGUACUUGGAAGAAAUACACUCCACAAGAUUGCAAACCAACUCUCAUCAAAAUCAAUCUUGACAUGGCCAAGUAUAAACAACCUUUUCUUCGGAGAUGAAGGAAGAAGGCAACAAAAUCAUAUCCUUGACAAUUUUAUGAUAUUGAAUUUCACUCAUGUCACUUGGAUAUAUUAUGUUCUUCCUUGCGUGACUAACCAUUAUAGGUGAAAAGUGAACCAAAACGUCAUGGAUAGCUCCCAACUCAAGAUGAUCAACAUCAACAUUGAGCAUCCACAACAAGUUCACCUACAUGCUAUGUCAUAAACAUCAUUUAAAGGUAUGUAAUCAUGUCCUUGAUAAAGAUCUACAUCAAUUCAUGGUUGAUGUCCCACAAGCGUAUGGGAUCGCAGCAGUUUUCGAGGGUAGAGUAUUCAACCCAAAUUUAUUGAUUCGACUCAAGGGGAAGCGAAAGAAUAUUCUCAAGUAUUAGCAGUUGAGUUGUCAAUUCAACCACACCUGAAAGAUUAGUGUAUGCAAGAAAAGUAUCAGUAGCAAGGUAGUAUGAUAGCAACGGUGCCAGAAAAAAGCCUUGGUUGACGGGAUGUUAGUACCGCUUACCUAGCCUCGGCAACGGCGCCAACAAAGUCUUGCAACAAGUAACAGCGGAGUAGUAAGGAACAGUAGUAGUAGCAGCAGCAAAGUAACAAGUAACAGCAGUAGUGACAAUAGGAGCAAAGUAACAAGUAACAGCAGUAGUGACAGCAGCAGCAAAGUGGCCCAAUCCCUUUUGUAGCAAGGGACAAGCCUAGGCAAAGUAACGUAGCGAGGACCAGUAGUAAAAGACUCGUAGGCAGUGGAUCGGUGAUGGAUGAGUGUGACGGAUGUGAUUCAUCAUGUAACAGCUAUAACACGCAGAGAUAUGUGGCUAGCUCCCGUUCGUCAAUGUAAUGUAUGCAUGUAUUCCGUAUGUAGUCAUACGUGCUUAGGGAAAAGAACUUGCAUGACAUCUAUUGUCCAUCCCUCCCGUGGCAGCGGGGUCCUAAUGAAAACUACGGGAUAUUAAGGUUCUCCUUUUAAUAAAGAACUGGACCAACGCAUUAACACGCGGUGAAUACAUGAACUCCUCAUACUAUGGUCAUCUCCGGGAUUGGUUCCGGCUAUUGUCACUCCGGGGUUGCCGGGUCAUAACACAUAGUAGGUGACUACAACUUGCAAGAUAGGAUCUAAAACACACAUAUAUUGGCGACAACAUAAUAGGUUCAGAUCUGAAAUCAUGGCACUCGGGCCCUAGUGACAAGCAUUAAGCAUAGCCAAGUAGUAGCAACAUCAAUCUAGAACAUAGUGGAUACUAGGGAUCAAUCCCCGUCAAGAACUAACUCGAUUACAUGAUAGAUCUCAUCCAACUCAUCACCGUCCAGCAAGCCUACGAUGAGAUUACUCACGAACGACGAAGAGCAUCAUGGAAUUGUCGAUGGAGAAAUAUUUAUGAUGACAAUGGCGAUGAUUUCCCCUCUCGGGAGCCCAAAACGGACUCCAGAUCUACCCUCCACAUGAAGAACACGAUGUGGCGGCGCUUCCGUAUCGCAAAACGCAAUGAAACCUUAUCUCUGAUUUUUUUCCAGGCGAAAUGGAAGAUAUAGAGCUGAGAUUGGGGGCGAUGGUGCCACGUGGGCCCCCACAAGCCUGCAUGGCGCGACCAUAGGGGGUGGCCGCGGCCUGUGGGCUUUCGGCCCACUGGCACGCCCCCUACGGUGGAUCUUUGCGCAGGUAUUUUUCUUUUAUUCCAGAAAAAAUCUCCGUAAAUUUUCAGGACGUUCCGAGAACUUUUAUUUCUGCACAAAAACAACACCAUGGCAAUUCUGCUGAAAAUAGCAUCAGUCCGAGUUAGUUCCAUUCAAAUCAUGCAAAUUAGAGUCCAAAACAAGGGCAAAAGAGUUCGAAAAAGUAGAUACAACGGAGACGUAUCAAUGGUGUACAACAACUCAAGUGAUAUGAAGACAUUUAAAUGCUUAAUCAAAAAAUGGCAAUCCCAUUUUGCGCUUAACGAUGAGUAUGACAUAUGGUCAAGCAUCCUCGCUUGACUCCUCAAGUCAAAUACUCUAAUAUAGGUGACCUAGUCACCGCCCCACAUCUAGAUGGAGAAUAUUGUAUGGUUCACCUUUGACCUUUCACAUUCUUAGAACCAUUCCACUCUCAUCUAUAUGUGUUUAUUUUCAAAAAAUAAAUCUUCUUACUUUUGUUUAAACUAUCUCAGUUGGAAUUAUCAUUCUUUUGGACUCUUGACCUUUUGAAAAAAUUCUCUCAAUCAACCAAUUUUAUGUUAAAGAGUUGACUAUCAUUGCAACUCGGUUUCACCGAAUUGGGAAACUCGGUCCAACCGAUUUCUCCAAGAGGCCUAAAUAUCAAUCUCGGUUCUACCGAAUCAUUAUGCCUCGGUGACUCCGAUUUUUCUGACUUUGUUGCUCUGAUAAUUUUUCUGGACUAUUGACUUAGAGGGAGACAACUUCUCUAGGGGGAGAAAACUCUCACUAAUCCCAUGUUAUAUAAGAGUGAAAAUUCUCUAGGAUCCCUAACUUAGGGGAGAUCGUUCAAGGAACUCUUUCCCGUACCUAAGGGGGAGAACAUUCAAUGAACCCUACAAAAUAUCUAAGGGGGAGAAAAGACAAAUUCUAGGAACCUUUACAAAAGAGAGAAGUAUCCAGGAACCCUCUAUUUACUCUCAAGGAGCCCUUACCCUCUGACCUUUCUUUUUGGUAAUUGUGCCAAAGGGGGAGAAAUAUCAUCAAAGCUUCCAUUCAGUGAACCUAUUUAUAGGGGAGAAAUACUAUCAAUACUAUCAAGAAGCUUAUACAAAAGAGGGAGCAACAACACUAAAGGGAGAUAUUUGUAUCAUACCCUAUACAUUAAGGGGGAGAGAGAUAAAUACCAUUUUAAUUGGCUUUAUUGGUUGAACUUAUUUUCCCUACCUACUCCCAAUAUCUACAUGCCAUGAUUCAGGGGGGAGGAAACUUUACAUACUCAUUUUUAAGGGAGAAAAAGUUAUUGUUCCUUGAAGACAUAUUCUUUCAUUCAAAUCCUAUUUUAAAAAUGUGUUCAAUUUCUUGGUACUUCUGAAUUUCUUUUGCAUCUUUAUAACAGGGUACUCUUGUGUUAUCUAACAUUUUUCCCCAAGUGUACUCCUAUGUCAAGACGCUCAAGAUCCUCAAGGUAAGUAUAUGCAUCAUAUCCUUGUUCAUGGUGACCUCUUGUUUCUUGCACAUACUGUUUGCAAGAGGGAGUUGUAAACAUGGAAGUCUCUCAAUCACAUAUGUUUGAUGCAUAUAGCCAAAAUUCCUAUGACUUGUCUUGUCCUUCGGCCUUGUGUGUGCCCAUGCAUUCCAAAGCAACUAUCCUUUAAAGGGAUUGCACACAUUUAGGGGGCGCUUGUACCAGUCAUAUUUCUUUCAAAGUUGUCAUAUCCUUAUGAGUAUAUUUAUUUGAAGCUUUGAUUGUAUGUUGUCAUCAAUUACCAAAAAGGGGGAGAUGGAAAGCACAUAUGCUCCCAAGGUGAUUUUGAUAAUUCAUGACAACAUACAUUGUCUCUUGGACUAACACUUUUACCUAGACAUUUCAGGAAAAAUCCAUAGAGAGCAUUGGCCAAAGGUUUAUGUGGAGACACCCCUGGAUGCAAUAAACGAGUAAUAUUGGCUAAAGCUUCAAGCUAGAAGAUAUUCAUUUUAUAUUUGUGAGAAAUCACGUUUGAGUCCAUAGGAAGCCAAUAUUAUUAAAAGGGGUGAGGUAGUAAAAUUAACUGAUUGCUCAAAUGCUCAAAGUUAGCCACCAAAACACUAAGUCAUUUUUUCCCACAUAUCCACUCUGUCAAGUUCCAAAUUCACCAAUUCAGUGUCACCAACAUUUCCACAUCGAACCCACCGAGUUUGAACCUCAGACAUAACCGAGUUCAGUGUGACCAACAUUCUGUUGCCAAGAUAAACAAAGUCGGAAUUUCUGAGUUUGAGUAUCGGUGCCACCGAGUUUGGCCAUCUGACCGUUAGUCACCUUUUCGGUGCCACCGAGUUCUAUAUACCGGUCUCACCGAGAUUCAAAAGUUCACACUUUUAGUACUAGUCGGUACCACCGAGUUGUCCACUUCGGUGUCACCGAUUGCACUUUUGUAUGUAACGGUUGGAUUUUGGUUGUUGCCUAUAUAUACCGCUUCACCAACCUCUCAUUCGUGGCAAAAGCACUCAGAACACACACUUCAUUUCUAGAUUCAUUUUCUGAGAGAGAACCACCUACUCAUGUGUUGAGACCAAGAUAUUCCAACCCAAUCAUUUGAAACUUGAUCUCUAGCCUCCCCAAACUUCUUUCCACCAAAACAACCUCUCCUACCCAUGCAUAUUCUGUGAGAGAGUGAUUUGUGUUGAGGAGACUAUCUUUAGAAUCACAAGAGCAAGGAGUUCAUUGAUCUACCACAUCUAUUACCUUUUGGAGGGUGGUGCCUCCUAGAUUGGUUAGGUGCCGCUUGGGAGCUGCCUACUUCGUUUUGUGGAGUUGAACUAAGAUGUUUGUAAGGGCAAGGAGAUCGCCUACUUCGUGAAGAUCUACCGUGAGUAAGGCUAGUCCUCCGUGGACGUAAGUCGUGGUGGGAUAGACAAGGCCGCUUCUUUGUGGACCCUCCCUGGCUGGAGCCCUCCGUGGACUCUCGCAGCUGUUACCCUCUGUGGGUUGAAGUCUCCACUAACAUGGACGUACGAUAGCGCCACCUAUCGGAACCAUGCCAAAAAUUGUCGUGUCAACCUCAUGCGUUUGAUCUCCCUACUUUACUCCUCUACAUUACACUUGCAUGUUUUACUUUCCGCUGCUAUACUCUUAGAACUGCAUGUGUAGGGCGACUUAGACUUGUUACAAGUGCUAGAUUUCUGCCCUCCUAGAAAUUAGGUUAGGAUAGAUUUUUUAUCUUGACAAGUAGUCUAUUCACCCCCCCCCCUCUAGACACAUAUUCUAUCGAUCCCUCAGGGUUCAAGUCCUAUAUUGGGGGUGCUCACAUUUACAUUGAUUUAUUUCGUGAUUUUCAGCAAUGUUCGUUUAGUGGGAAGAGACGUUUCCGUCAAAUAAGAAGGUACUUACGAUGAGUUUGCCAACCUUUAGAUGUUGUGUCGUCUCAGUAUCUUGGAGGUGCUCACAGAGGUAGGGUGUACGUGCUUUUAUAAGGGUGAGUGUAUGUUUGUACAUGUGCAUCAACGUCAACUAUGAAGGCACCUGAAGUGACCUCUCAAUAUGUUGUGUCGGAUCACUACCUCAAAAGUGCUAACAGAGGUAGGGUAUCCGCAUGAGUGUUCACAUGGUUGAAUUUAUGUGUGUGUAAGUGGACUUCAACGUCGACUACAAAGACGUCUGCGGUGACUUUGCCAAUCUCAAGAUGCUGUGUCGGAUCAAUAUUUCGGAGGUGCUCAUAAAGGUACGGUGUGCGUGUAUGCGUUCAUAGUGGUGGUUGUGUAUGCAUGUAUGUGGGCAUCAACGUCGACUACGAAGAAGUCUUCAGUGACUUUGUCAAUCUUAAGAUGUGUGACAUCUUGGUAUCUGAAGGUGCUUGUAGAGGUAGGAUAUGCGUAUAUACACUCACAGGGGUUGAGUGUAUAUACAUGUGGGCAUUUACGUUGUACUGUAUUAAAAAAUCAGUAGCUAAGCAAAAAAUCUGAUGAACUAAACAUGUGUCAGCUAGCGACACCCUCUUAAUAUGUUGUGCCGGCUCAGUAUCUCAGAAGUGCUAGCACAGGUAGGGUAUACGCGUGCACGUUCACACGGUUGAAUUUAUGUGUGUAUAUGGACUUCAACGUUGACUAUGAAGACGUCUGCGGUGACUUUGUCAAUCUCAAGAUGUUGUGUCGGCUCAAUAUUUCGGAGGUGUUCAUAGAAGUAUGGUGUGCGUGUGUGCGUUCAUAGUGUUGAUUGUGUAUGCAUGUAUGUGGGCAUCAACAUCGACUACGAAGACGUCUGUGGUGACNNNNNNNNNNNNNNNNNNNNNNNNNNNNNNNNNNNNNNNNNNNNNNNNNNNNNNNNNNNNNNNNNNNNNNNNNNNNNNNNNNNNNNNNNNNNNNNNNNNNNNNNNNNNNNNNNNNNNNNNNNNNNNNNNNNNNNNNNNNNNNNNNNNNNNNNNNNNNNNNNNNNNNNNNNNNNNNNNNNNNNNNNNNNNNNNNNNNNNNNNNNNNNNNNNNNNNNNNNNNNNNNNNNNNNNNNNNNNNNNNNNNNNNNNNNNNNNNNNNNNNNNNNNNNNNNNNNNNNNNNNNNNNNNNNNNNNNNNNNNNNNNNNNNNNNNNNNNNNNNNNNNNNNNNNNNNNNNNNNNNNNNNNNNNNNNNNNNNNNNNNNNNNNNNNNNNNNNNNNNNNNNNNNNNNNNNNNNNNNNNNNNNNNNNNNNNNNNNNNNNNNNNNNNNNNNNNNNNNNNNNNNNNNNNNNNNNNNNNNNNNNNNNNNNNNNNNNNNNNNNNNNNNNNNNNNNNNNNNNNNNNNNNNNNNNNNNNNNNNNNNNNNNNNNNNNNNNNNNNNNNNNNNNNNNNNNNNNNNNNNNNNNNNNNNNNNNNNNNNNNNNNNNNNNNNNNNNNNNNNNNNNNNNNNNNNNNNNNNNNNNNNNNNNNNNNNNNNNNNNNNNNNNNNNNNNNNNNNNNNNAAGAGUACGAACUUUCAAGACCAAACUCAAAGAGCUCGGGUUUUUUUUGCAGGUGAAAGGAGCUCGUUUUCAAAAGAGAUUUUUCUACAGCAUGAAAAAUUCAAAACUUUUUGUCAAUACUCAUAUGCAUGUGUAUUACGCGUGUGUGUGUGUGCUGUACAAAAAAAUGAAAAAUAUGUAUUUCUGACAAGGGCUGAUUUUUUUGGGCUGGAAUUUUAUUAUAUUUGUACUGCCUACAAAUCAUAAUAUUUUCAAAUGAUUUUUCACAUUUCAUGCGGAACACGUGUAAGUUUCCACAUAAUUUUAUUUGAUUUUUUCUGAAACUUUGAAAUAUGCCUUUUGAUUUUUCUUUUAAAUACCAAGCUUCGUGGAGCUCAGUCAUCGUUGGCAUUUUCAGCAGAUAAGAUAGCCUCUUAAAUAUCUGCCUCAUAUGAUCUUUAUACAUAUAUAUAAUCUUGGGCAUGACCGUAUACAUAUAUAUACAUGAACUUAUAUGAUCAAACACUUAAGGGCUGAGAACUAUUACAAUGAAAAAAGAGUGAGGAAGAGAGAGGAAAUCAGGCCAGAAAGAGUUUUAUUAGUUGAAUUGGUCGACCAUAUUGAGUACAAUACAUUAUAAUUCUUGUUUGAAUUACAUUAAGAUUUCAAGAAAAGAAAAUUCUAAUUUGCGAAGAUAUGGUUGAUGUAUUAAAAUGGAAUCGUAUAGAGAACAUUGAGACAAAUAUAUAGAGUAUGUCAUAAAUUUCAGAGAUAUUGUGUUUGAAAUGUAAGAAAAGUAUUUCUUUCACAACGGUACCAAUGCAUUACUAAUUACAACAAAAAUAUAUUAUUUAGCUUCAUGUGUGAAAGAGCAUGGUGCCCCCAUGGUUGGUUUUGAUAAUUGAUGACAAUCCAUAUGGACUAAUGGCUACCUUGAGUUAUAUGUGAAGGAUUUGUUCAUAGGCAUUGUUUGAAGACCAUUUGUUGGUUUCAAGAUUAUUUCAAGAACAUUAUUGCAAGCAUAUAUCUUGAAGAAAAAUAUUGUGUGAACAUUCAUGUUUACCAUCGAGAUAUCGUCUUUAUGAAGAGAGAAGAUAAGAUACUAGGUUAAUCAAGACUAAGUCAAAGAGUGAAUCAAGUUGAUCAACACACAAAGCAAAGAAGUCGUACUGAGUGGGAUCAAGUGAUCACAUGAUAUAGUAAGCAUUGUCCGGCUUUGUGUACUAACUCAUGGUCUAUGUGAGGGUUCUUUGUGGCGUUAGGUAUGUUUCCAUGGGCGUGCAACCAAAUGAAUAUAUCCUAUAACUCACUAAGGAUGGCAUCAAUUGCUGAUCGUCAUCAAGGUUACGGUGUGCAAGUUCAAGUGGAGCAUCACGAAGAUACCAUGCAUGAAGCUUGUUGUUCAUUCUUGUGAUGAUGGACAUGUGAAUAUGUGCAUGAAAGAGGCUCACCUAUAGUGGAGUAUGAAGGAGCAAUUUACAAGUCUUCAUCGAGCCAACGCAAUCAUGAAAGGUGGUCCAACUUGAGAAAGUCAAGAUUGUCAUCAUCUAGCUCAAGUGGACUAUGUCCAAGGUAAAGGUUUGUCAUUGAUAGGUUUUCUAUUUUACCGGCUUCGUGGUGUUAAUUGGGAGACCAAGUUACAAGAUCGAUUGCGGUACUAUCAAGGGGUGCUCUCGAGUGAGUAGCUUGAUCAUAUUGCUCGUAGAGAGCUCAAACCACUGCAUCCUUGGAAUCAUCUUUCUUGGUUCUUGUUUGGCUUUUAUCCAUGUGAGUUUUCGAGCUUAUGAUCUUUGCCAUGACAGGCUCUAGUUCACUAAAAAUGGAUUUCGUAUGCAUCAUAUUUGCAUUUUCGGUGUUGGAGAUUAUGUCGUUUCAUAUUUUGAAAGGUUCUCUUCCUUAUCCUAGUGGCAUUUAUCCUGUUGGAGAUUAUGUCGUUGUUGGAUAGUAUUCGUCAUCAUCUAUCCAACGAGGUUGAGUUUGCUGCUUUUGGAGCCCGUUUUCAAAAAGUUAUCACAGGUUCGGUCUUACUCGUUUCAUUUGUUUGCUUGGGCUAUUUUGUAGCACCCAAGAGGUAGUACCACUCUAUCCCAUGGUAGUACAGCUUAUGCGAUACUUCCGCCGCUACUGUUGCUUGGAUAAGUCCUCGAUGCAACUUUUUGUUGUGUAUUUUCUUUAAGUGGUAGUAGAGCAGUUGUAUUCCACUACCGCUCCUAUUUCCGCUUGGAUUCUAACUUAUGUAAGUCUCUGUUUUUAAGCAGCAGUAGAGCGGUACUACCGCUCACCCAAGCGGUAGUACCGCGUUACUGCCGCCGAGCAUAACUAUUGGAUCUUUUGUACCACUAUAAAAGGGGGUCUUGUUUUCCAAUGGACUUUAUCCUUUGAGCUCGUGUUUGCCCCCCCCCCCCAUUGUUGACCUUCUUUGAGCUUGUUAUCUCUCAAUCCCUCCAAUAAUUAUUACUCUUUCUUAAGGAAAAAAAGAGAGAGGAGAUCUAGAUCCACAUUUCCACUAAUCACUUUCUCCUCUAAGUGAGAGGAGCCCCUUGGAUUUAGAUCUUGGAGUUCUUUGUGUUUUCCUUGAUCUACCUCUCAUAUUCCUCCGUAGCUUUUGUUGUUGUGAUGGAAUUUGAGAGUGAAGGAUUUGACCACUUCGUGUGUUCUUGCCAUUGCAUUAGUUGCAUCUGUUUGAGUUCUCCAUGGUGAUACGUGGAAAUGAAAAGUUGAGAAGAUCAUUACUCUUGGGUGUUUGGCCACCCUACAGCUUGUGCCUCUCAGGUGCUUGGACGCCCUAGACGUUUGGUGGUGUCUUGGAGCUUAAUCAUCGUGGUGUAAAGCUCCUAGAAAGUGUCGGGGUCUCCAAUUAAGUUGUGAAGGUUGCCCCGAGAAAUUUUUACGGGUUUGGUGACCGCCCCUAAGGUCAUCCAUUUGUAUGGGAUCGGUGACCGCCCUCGAGGCUCCCUUAGUGGAGUCAAGACAUCUUGCACUAUGUGAGGGCCUGAGGAUAUUAUGGUGGCCCUAGUGGCAUCUUGAGGAGCAUUGUGCCUCCACACUACUCCAAGCGGAGAUAAUUUGUCGUUUUUCCCUAGGUAACACUUUUUGGACCAGAUAAUAUUAUAUGGAAGUAAUCCCAAGGAAUGGUAAUAAGAUCACGUAUUUUAUGUGAAAAUCAUUUACCAUAAGUGAAGGGAUCAAGUGGAACAAAGGAGUCGUUGCGCCGCCUCCAGAACAAAAGACGGCGUAUCAUGCAACCACGGCCGCUCGUAUGAGCAGUUGUAUGGAGUGCCAGUGCCGCCUCCUCGUCCAUUAUUUUCACCUCAUGGAAUCGGAUCAAGGAUCAGAUGCAAAUCAAAACUUGUCCACGAGGAGGAACCCUAGCCUCCGGAGCAUUCUGGGGGGAGGAAUUAGCAAGGAGGAUGCCACCAACUCCACCACCAUCACCGAGAAGGCUUCAACAUCAUCACCAAUGUAAUCGUCAUCAUCAUCCACGUCCAACUCAUUGUAAUCUCAGGAAUCAUGUUAGGGACAACUAUUCGGUUACAUGUGUGAUUAAUUCAUGAUCUCCAUCCGUGGUGUUAUGGUGUUCGUUGUUUCCAUGAGUGAGUAGCCCCCCCCCCNNNNNNNNNNNNNNNNNNNNNNNNNNNNNNNNNNNNNNNNNNNNNNGGUGAAACCUACUGUGUAAUAGAUUGUUUGAUAUUAAGAUUUAAUAUUCUCUUUGUAUGUUUGUGUUAAUGAUCUUCUUGAUGUUGGAUGAAGUCUAGCAUAAAUAUAUGUCAAGUUUGGGCGGAAGGUUAUUUAUGUUGGUGAACCGUGUGGUUGAGGGGGUGGGUGACGUGAUAGGCCCCAUCCCCUUCAUAGCGGAUCAUUGCAGCUGGGGGUAAAACAUAGACUACUUAUAUGUUGAGUCCACGGGUGUUAGAGCAUAUUUCUCCAUAUGUGGUUUUGGUAAUUGAUGAUAAUCCCUAUGGACUAAUGGUUGCCUUGAGUUAUAUUUGAAGGAUUUGUCCAUAGGCACUUCUUGAAGUCCAUCUGUUGGUUUCAAGGAGUUUAUAUGAUGACCAAGGUGGUAUUCAAGAUUUUAUCCAAAGAUUGGUCAUAAAGACACAAGGUUGAUCAAGACUAAGUCAAAGAGUGAAUCAAGUUGAUUAACACACAAAGUGUACAAGAUGUACCGAGAGGGAUCAAGUGAUCUCAUUGUAUGGUAAGCAUUGCCCAUUACGCUUUGUGUACUAACCCAUGGUCUACGUGAGAGUUAUAUGUGGGGUUAGGUAUAUUUCCAUGGGCUUGCGUCAAUAGAAGAUCUAAUAUGACCCAUGGAGGAUGACAUCAAGUGGUGAUUGUCAUCAAUAUUGCGGUGUGCAAUUUCAAGUGGAGGAUCAUGAGGAGAUCAAGAUUGAAGCUUGGUGGCAAUGGACUUGUGAAGAUGUGUUGAAGAAUGGCUCACCCAUACUGUGCUAUGGGGGAGCAAUCUACUAGUCUUAAUUGAGUCGGCACAAUCAAGAAAGGUGAUCCAUCUUGAGGAGGACAACAUCGACAUCAUCUAGCUCAAGUGGACUAUGCACAAGGCAAAGGUUUUCCCUUGAUAGGUUUUCUAUUUUUACCGGUCUCAUUGUGUUAGUUGGGAACCGGGUUAUAGGAUAGAUUAUCGUACUAUCAAGGGAGGCUCUCAAGUGAGUAUCUUGAUCGUAUCGUUCGUUGAGAGCUCAAACCAUUGCAUUCUUGACAACAUCAUCUUUCUUGGUUUUUGGUUGGCUUUUCUCUAUGUGGUUUCUUGAGCUUAUGGUCAUCUUCAUGACAAGCUUGAGUUCAUUGAAAACAGAGUUCAUCUCCAUCUUCCAUGAUGUUUUCGAUGUUGGAGUUUUUGUCGGUUCUUCAUUCAUAGAGGUUUCACAUCUCUAUAUCAUUAGUUGUUUGUAUAGUACUUGUCGUGUGUUAUUCAACGAGCUUGAGUUUUCUCAAUUCAGAGCUGAUAUGCGAAAGUUAUGGCAGUUCUCGUCUUACCCGUUUUCUUGCCAGCGGUUAUACCGCUUGUCCGAGCGGUUGCACCGCCUGGCCGUACUUCCGAUGCAACUACCGACCCAGGGGUGAUUCCGUCGGGUUGUUGCUCUCAAGUUAGUGUGAGCGGUUAUACCGCUGCCAACCCUGGAGAAUAGCUCUGGGCGGUUGUAUCGGCCCAGUACUGCCCUACAACUAGACAAGUCUCUAUUUUGAUGCGGUACUUGGGCGGUGGUGGCCCAGUUGUUCUGGUCAACAUUUUGAGCAGUUGUACUGCUCGGGACUUUGCCACCACCCGUGCUCGGUCCUCGCGGUUGUACCGGUUCUUAUAGUGUUUGUACCACUCCUAUGUUUUUCUACACAUAACGGGCAGAUUCGUGGGGACCUAUAAAAGGGGGUCUUCUUCCCCAUUGGUACCCAACUCUUGAGCUUGUGUUCUUCCCCCAUUGUUGACCUUCUUCGAGCUUGCUAACUCUCAAUCCCUCCAAUGAUUCUUGCUAGUUCUUGAGGGAAAAGAGAGAGGAUAUCUAGAUCCACAUUUCCACCGAUCACUUUCUCCUCUAUGUGAGGGGAACCCCUUGGAUCUUGAUCUUGGAGUUCUUUGUGAGCUCCUUGUUCUUCCUCUCAUAUUCCACCAUAGCUUUUGUUGUUGUGGAGGGAUUUGAGUGUGAGGAACUUGACCACUUCGUGUGUUCUUGCCAUUGCAUUAGUUUCAUCGGUUUGAGUUCUCCACGGUGAUACGUGGAAGUGAAGUUUGAUAAGCUUAUUACUCUUGGGUGCUUGGUACCUUGGAGCUUGUUCUUCUUGGGUGCCUUGGCGUCCUAGAAGCUUGGUGGUGACUCGGAGGUCAAUCAUUGUGGUGGAAAUUAUGCCUUAGUUGAAUCACGACAUCUUGCAUUGUGCGAGGGCGUGAGGAGAUUACGGUGGCCUUAGUGGCAUCUUGGGGAGCAUUGUGCCUCCACACCGCUCCAAACGGAGAUUAGCAUCUGCAAGGGUGUGAACUUCGGGAUACAUCAUCGUCUCCGUGUGCCUCGGUUAUCUCUUACCCGAGCCUUUUACUUAUGCACUUUACUUUGUGAUAGCCAUAUUGUUUCUUGUUGUAUAUCUUGCUAUCACUUAGUUGUUUAUCUUGCUUACGAUAAGUUGUUGGUGCACAUAGGUGAGCCUAGUUGUUUUAGGUUUUGUGCUUGACUAAUCAAACGUUAUUUUUAUUCCGCAUUUGUUCAAGACUAAACCGUAAUUAUUUAAAGUGUCUAUUCACACACCCACCCUCUAAGCAAUAUCCACAUCCUUUCAAUGGGAACCUCUCUCUCCUUAAUCAUCGUUUUAUAACCGGAGUGGGGAAGAAAAAUGGUGGCGUAUGUGAUAUGAGGCUGCCUAGAGUAUGCACGUAUUUGUACCGGCUCUGCCCACAAAUAUAAGUAUGCAAAGUGGCUUAGGAAUCUGACUUAGCAUUGUGUUUAUACACCACUAUAGAAGCACACUAGAGGGGAUUCCGGGCUCCUUGAGAACACUUUAGUCCUAUUUAUUUGAAAACUCUUUUUUUCAACCUUCACCGUUAGCUUUCAUUUCAAUACUUACUUUUAUGCUUGUUACAUCAUUCCUAUCAUAUAACUACUGCUUUGGGUUACUAACAACUUGUACGCAUAAUAUUUGAACCAUCCAAGAGACAAGAGAUUGAUUCAUGUGCUUUCUAUGGGAUCAAUGAUCUUACUUUAAAAAAUCUACAACUAAAACAUGUGCACUUGCAGGACAUCAUGUUCUUUUCCAAACUAUUAUGAGUUAACACACACAUGAUGUCACAUCAUAAUGACAUUGACAACAUGCACUACACUUGUUGUAUGUUUGUUUCUAUUGUAUGGUUGUUUAUGGUUGCUCUUUACUUAUGUUAGACUGUACGGAGAGCGAAAAGUAACUUGUUCAAGAUUGUGAGAUUGAAGAAUCAUCAAUACCAGACAAGAGGAACCUUUCAUCAUUAUGACCUAUAGUUUUACUUGCAUGUAUCAUUUCCCAAUUAGAAAUGCAUGACUAGGACCACACAUCAAGUUUCAUGAACCUAGUAGCAGAAACUUAGGUCCAUUUUUAACCUGGCCUUGUAAUGAAUCAGGUAGAUCUGCUUAGCUGCUAUUACGUAGAUUGGCAACAACAUUAAAAAGGUUACUUUAUGGUUGACUACUUAACAACAACUAAAUUGAUGAACCGAUCUGGGUGGAUUGGCAUUGAUUGGGUCAUUAGAGUGUAGUCAUUUGUGGGGAAUGGCACCCAGGUAUCAAAGGGAUUCUACGAGUUCAGAGUUGAGUAGAUUCCAUGUGUGACCGUGAGACAAUAUAGGAUCUAUAUUGACCAAUUAAGUUUUGGGAAUCCUCCGAGGUAUGAGAAACAUAUGUAGUUUUUCAUGUAGGGAAACUUGACUCGGUCUGCCAUUUGGGAGGGCUACUAUUUCCCAAAAGUCUUGUCUUGAUCUUCCUAGCCACUUCACGAGUGAAGUUUAGUAGCAGGAGGGUGUGAUUGGGAAUCACGGGUAAAGUACAAAAACCUCUUGAGAGUGUAUAAAACUGGUCAUGAUUAGUCAUGUUCCCGGUUACACGCAACUCUUGAGCAACUCAUCGGAGAAUUGUCAGCUUGAUCUCUUCACCUCUUCUUAAUUAAAUUUUGAUGGGUUUAACCAAUGGGGAGUAUGGACCCAACUCGGGUACCUAGGUGUGAACUAGGGGAUAUCUCGAGUUUGGUUUGGGGCAACUGUGCUGAUUCAGGAGCCCACAUACUCAAAUGCUAUAUGGACGAUCACGUGAUAUGAUUGUGCAGGACUACUAUGCUAUAUGGUAUGUCCAACUAUUAGAGUAGACCAUUUUGACAAAGGUAGGGGGAAAUGUUUUUGUGCAAAAAGGAAAAUCAGCCACACCAAAUUGCAUGUUAUAUUUCCAAGAAGCCAAUAUUGGUGAAGCUUGCCAAUACAUUCAAUGUAUUGACCCCUUGUGGAUUUAACAUAUCAUGUUGUAGGUUUACCGUAUCGAGGAAAAGGUAUGAAGUAGGGUUGUUAUGCUAUGUUCAACUCUUGCCCGUGAGUGGAUGGACACCACAAGACUAGGAUACCUCUGUUGCAUGGUUGUAUACUAAGCUAGCCCAUGAGCUAAACAGGUGUGUAUUGUAAAUCACUCGAUCUGUGAUAUAAUAGUAUGGCAUGUGAUGUAUUCUUGGUAUUUCAUCGUCGACUAUGCAUGUCAACUAUUGAUCCAGGGAGUGACACUAUAAGCGCAAAGAUUUGGACCCCUCUCGGGAUCGGGUCGUGAUAGAGCUGCUGAUGUGGCAUGCAAGCACUGCAUGUGCCACACAAACAUCACCAUACCUCGCGACGCGGACUGGAUGACAUACACAACCCGGCUGUGGUGGGGGAUGGGCGUGUGUUGGAGCCGCUGGACUGCACGGGGUGGCCACUAGUGAUAUGAAGCUAGUCGGUGAGCGUCCAUUAUGAUGAGGUAGAGGAGGAGAGGUUGUUUUCGUAUGGUCGCCCCGUCGAGAUCCAACCCCAGCACGCCAUCGUGGACCGGGUCCUGAUCGCUAGUCCUCACCAGGCGGAGCGGCUCCGUUCGAUGCGGAGGUGGACCGUGCUGAUCAGGGUUGGGGCGAUGGCGGACACAGUAGUCGGCGCAAGAGGGAGGUAGCGAGGAGGGGUGAUUGUGGCGGCACAAUGCCGGGCUUCUAGAAAAAGGCUAAUGAGGGGGCAGCGCCAGGUUGGGCUGCGAGGUGGCCGGGGGCGGGGCCUUUCUAGGUGCCUAAAAGCGCACCAUGGCCCGCCAGCAAGGGGAGGGAUGUUGCGUGUCGUGCAGUUCGGCAAGGGGAAGGGAUGCACGGGAGGAAGGUGGAGGGAGCUGGGGUGUGUUGGUUUGGGUGGGUUGGCUGGGCCUGGAGUGAGAAGAAGAUGUGGUGGUGGCCCAUGUGGGGGAUUUAUGGUUCGUGCGGGAGCUUUUAAGGCUGGUCGUAAUGGGGUAUCAUAUGUAGUAUCAUGCAUGCGAACUACUCCCUUCAUUUCUAAAUAUAUUUUUUUCUAAAGGUUCAACUACGUAUUACAUACGGAGCAAAAUAAAUGAACUUAUACUCUAAAAUAUGUCUAUAUACAUUCGUAUGUAGUCCUAGCGAAAUCUUUAAAAAGACAAAUAUUUAGGAACGGAGGGAGUAUGCAAUUUUGAUGAGGUGACAUAGAAUUAAAUAAAAAAAGAGAAGGUUGACUAUCAUAUCAUGAUACCGUAUCAUAUUAAAUGUUGUGGUAUUAUAUGUCAUGCAUGGCAAUAAAUGAACUAUCCUAUGAUACUAACAUAUGAUACUAUGCAUUAUGGAUGUAGUAUCAUAUGCAUGAUGAUAUUAGUAUAUGAUACUCUCUAUUACAACCACCCUAAGUUGUUUUUGUUUCAGUUUGGCUCGUAUAAAACUGUUAGCAGAAUAAGAUGGUGUUAGUAGAAUAAGACUCUUAAGGGUGUUAGUACACACACUACAAAUCUGAUGUAAAUGUGUAUUUAAUCUAUUUGAUUAGCACAAGAAUAUUUAUUUAAUGUGAACAUGGUCAUGUUGUUGACCAUGAACGAUAUGCAUCAUAUAGGCUUAUAUGUUUAAUAUGAUUCAUCGUGCUCAGCAUUUAGUAAUUGUAUCAAGAUUGUUUCUCGCUCUCCACUACUCCCUUUGUACCACAAUACUUAUUGUCGGAGAGAACUAGUCUAGUUCUCCUCAACAACAAGUAUUGUAUUUAGGAAUAGAGGGAGUAGUUGAUUUCUAUGCAUAGCUGAUACGUCUCCAACGUAUAUAUAAUUUUUUAUGGUUUCAUGCUAUUAUCUUGUCAAACUUUGGAUGUUUUGCAUGCAUUUUAUAUAUUUUUUGGGACUAAUUUAUUGACUCCGUGCCAAGUGCCAGUUCCUGUUUUUCCAUGUUUUUGACCCCUUUCAGAGGAGAUUUUGAAACGGAGUCCAAACGGAAGAAAAUCCCCGAAAACAUUUUUUUUCAUAAUAGAAGAAGAUCGGGAAGCUUGGGAGCCAAGGCAGGGGAGCCUCAGGGGCCCCACAAGCCCCCACCCCGCGGCCAGGGGGUAGGCCGCGGCCCACAGGCUUGUGGGCCCCCUGGGCGCCCUCUGCCUUAGGGGUUGCGCCUAUAUAUUCCCUAAAAAUCCAAAAAAAUCAGGAGAUCAUCGAAAUCACUUUUCCGCCGCCGCAAGCUUCUGUCUCCGCAAGAUCCCAUUUGAGGCACGUUCUGGUGCCCUGCCGGAGGGGGGAUUCGGACACGGAGGGCUUCUUCAUCAACACCAUGACCUCUCCGANNNNNNNNNNNNNNNNNNNNNNNNNNNNNNNNNNNNNNNNNNNNNNNNNNNNNNNNNNNNNNNNNNNNNNNNNNNNNNNNNNNNNNNNNNNNNNNNNNNNAUAGGCAUCACGUCCGAGACAAGUAGACCGAUACUUUCUGCAUCUACUACUAUUACUCCACACAUCGACCACUAUCCAGCAUGCAUCUAGUGUAUUGAGUUCAUGACGAACAGAGUAACGCCUUAAGCACGAUGACAUGAUGUAGAGGGAUAAUCUCAAACCAAUGAUGAAAACCCCAUCUUUUUACCCUUGAUGGCAACAACACGAUGCGUGCCUCGCUACCCCUUCUAUCACUGGGUGAGGUCACCGCACGGUAUGAACCCAAAACCAAGCACUUCUCCCAUUGCAAGAAUCAUAGAUCUAGUUGGCCAGACAAAACCCACAACUUGAAGAGAAUUACAAGGAUAUGACNAUCAUGCAUAAGAGAGAUCAGAAGAAACUCAAAUAAGAUUCAUAGAUAAUCUGAUCAUAAAUCCACAAUUCAUCGGAUCUCGACAAACACACCGCAAAAGAAGAUUACGUCAGAUAGAUCUCCAUGAAGAUCAUGGAUAACUUUGUAUUGAAGAUCCAAGAGAGAGAAGAAGCCAUCUAGUUACUAGCUAUGGACCCGUAGGUCUAUGNNNNNNNNNNNNNNNNNNNNNNNNNNNNNNNNNNNNNNNNNNNNNNNNNNNNNNNNNNNNNNNNNNNNNNNNNNNNNNNNNNNNNNNNNNNNNNNNNNNNAUAUGGGCAUCCAGGUCCCGCUAUUGGAUAUUGACCGAGGAGUCACUCGGGUCAUGUCUGCAUAGUUCUCAAACCCGCUGGGUCUGCACACUUAAGGUUUGACGUUGUUUUAUGCGUAUUUGAGUUAUAUGGUUGGUUACCGAAUGUUGUUCGGAGUCCCGGAUGAGACCACGGACGUCACGACGGUUUCCGAAAUGGUCCAGAAACGAAGAUUGAUAUAUAGGAUGACCUCAUUUGAUUACCGGAAGGUUUUCGGAGUUACCGGGAAUCUAACGGGAAUGACGAAUGGGUUCCGGGUGUUCACCGGGGGGGUAACCCACCCCGGGGAAGCCCAUAGGCCUUGGGGGUAGCGCACCAGCCCUUAGUGGGCUGGUGGGACAGCCCAAGAAGGCCCUAUGCGCCAUAGGAAGAAAAUCAAAGAGAAAAAAAAGAGGAGGUGGGAAAAAGGGGAAGGACUCCUCCUUCCAAACCUAGUUGGAUUCGGUUUGGAAGGGGAGGACUCCCCCCCUUGGCUCGGCCGACCCCCUUGGGGCUCCUUGAGCGCCAAGGCAAGGCCCCCCCCUCUCCCACCUAUAUAUACGGAGGUUUUAGGGCUGAUUUGCGACAACUUUGCCACGCCAGCCCGNNNNNNNNNNNNNNNNNNNNNNNNNNNNNNNNNNNNNNNNNNNNNNNNNNNNNNNNNNNNNNNNNNNNNNNNNNNNNNNNNNNNNNNNNNNNNNNNNNNNUGAUAUGAUCGGUAAAGGCCUUGUUUUGGCUAUAAGCGUGUGGAGAGUUUAACAUGGAUUACAUCAAAGAAAUGCAUUCAAUCCAGGAGCAACUAUCAUAAUUGAAUUCCUUGAAAUCCACGGUAGUAAUUUCAUUACUACUCAAAGUUUUAACAUCUUCUGCUCCACUUUCAAUGCUUUUAGCAUCAACAUAGAUGGACUCCGAAUCAUUGGGCACUUUUCAACCAAAGUGGAUUCAUAUCCAGCCCCAUAAUCAUUAGGUUUGACACAAGAAAACAAAGAUUCAAUGGGAGUCACACCAAGCACUUUAGGAUCUUCAUGAUUCUCAUCACGAGAACACGCCUUUUUAAGCCAUUCAUGUCUAGCANNNNNNNNNNNNNNNNNNNNNNNNNNNNNNNNNNNNNNNNNNNNNNNNNNNNNNNNNNNNNNNNNNNNNNNNNNNNNNNNNNNNNNNNNNNNNNNNNNNNNNNNNNNNNNNNNNNNNNNNNNNNNNNNNNNNNNNNNNNNNNNNNNNNNNNNNNNNNNNNNNNNNNNNNNNNNNNNNNNNNNNNNNNNNNNNNNNNNNNNNNNNNNNNNNNNNNNNNNNNNNNCUAUCAACGCUCUUAGCCAACUCAUUAAUUUUGAGUAGCUUUUCCUCUAUGGACGCAUUGAAAAUCUUUUGAGAGUUGAUGAACUCUUUGAUAUUACUCUCUAGAUCAGAGGGUAAUCUAUUGUAAUUUCCAUGAGUAUUGUUGUAGGAUUUGCCAAAUUAUUAGAGGAGUUACUAGCAAAAGGCCUAGGAACAUAGUUUCCUCUAAAAGCAUUGUUGUUGCCAAAGUUAUUCCUACCAACAAAAUUAACGUCCAAGCUAAUGUUGCUACUCUCAAUCAAAGAAGACAAGGGCAUAUCAUUAGGAUCCAAAGGAGCACUUCUACUAGCAACCAAAUUCANNNNNNNNNNAUCCAUCUUAGCACUCAACGAGUUAGUUUCUUCUAUAGCGUGUACCUUCUUACUAGUAGGUGACCGUUCAGUAUGCCACUGAGAGUAGUUCAUCAUGAUGUUGUCUAAGAGCUUUGUGGCUUCUCCUAACGUGAUUUCCAUGAACGUUCCACCUAAGGCGGAGUCCAAGAUAUUUCUAGAAGCAAAAUUCAAGCCAGCGUAAAAGAUUUGAAUAAUCAUCCAAAGACUCAAGCCAUGAGCGGGACAAUUUCUAAUCAUUAAUUUCAUUCUCUCCCAAGAUUGUGCAACAUGUUCAUGAUCAAGUUGCUUGAAACUCAUGAUAUCAUUAUGGAGAGAGAUAAUCUUAGCCGGCGGAAAAUACUUGGAUAUAUAGGCAUCUUUGCACUUAUCCCAAGAAUCGAUACUAUUUUUUGGCAAAGAAGAAAACCUAGUUUUUGCGCGAUCUCGCAAUGAGAAAGGAAAAAGCUUCAAUUUAAUCACGUCAUUAUCCACAUCUUUCUUCUUUUGCAUGUCGCAAAGUUCAAUGAAGGUAUUGAGAUGGGAUGCGGCAUCUUCACUAGGAAGGCCGGAGAAUUGCUCUUUCAUAACAAGAUUCAGCAAAGCGGCAUUGAUUUUGUAUGACUCCGCACUAGUGGAGGGAGCAAUCGGAGUACUAAUGAAAUCAUUAUUAUUAGUAUUCGAGAAGUCACAAAGUUUGGUGUUUUCAUUCAUGGUGACUUCGGCAAGCAAGCAAGCACACAAGGGAACAAAGAUCAAGUGAGAAAAAGGCGAACGAAAAGGCAGACGGAAAAAGGCAAACGAAAAAGGCAAAUUGGUGCAGUGGGGGAGAGGAAAACGAGAGGCAACUGGCAAACAAAGUAAAUCCCAGAGAUGAGUUUGCAACACUUACUUGGAUGAGUUCUUGACUUGAUCUUCUGCUACGGCAACGGCGCCAGAAAUUCUUCUUGCUACUUCUCUUGUUUGCUACGGCAACAAAAUUCCUUCCCAAGCAACGCCAGCAAUUCUUCUUGCUACUUCUCUUGUUUGUGUCGUUUUUUCCCUUGAAGAGGAAAGGGUGAUGCAGCACAGGAGCACUAAGUAUUUCCUCAGUUUGAGAAUCAAGGUAUCGAUCCACAAGGAGGGUCUCUUCAAGUCCAGAGUACCUGCACAAACACAAACGAGCUUGCACCCAACGCUUCAAUGGGUUGUCAAUGCCUCCAAGAUUGUUUGCAAAGUGAGAUGUGAAGGCGAAAAGUGCAACGAAGUAAAAAGUGUAAGACUGAAAAAUAUGGUGUGGAGUAGACCCGGGGGCCAUAGUGUUCACCAGAGGCUUCUCUCAAAAUAGCAAAUAUCACGGUGGGUGAACAAAUUAUNNNNNNNNNNCCGGGCCAUAGUGUUCACUAGAGGCUUCUCUCAAAAUAGCAAAUAUCACGGUGGGUGAACAAAUUAUUGUCGAGCAAUUGAUAGAACCGCGCAAAGUCAUGACGAUAUCUAAGGCAAUGAUCAUACAUAUAGGCAUCACGUCCGAGACAAGUAGACCGAUACUUUCUGCAUCUACUACUAUUACUCCACACAUCGACCGCUAUCCAUCAUGCAUGUAGUGUAUUGAGUUCAUGACGAACAGAGUAACGCCUUAAGCAAGAUGACAUGAUGUAGAGGGAUAAUCUCAAACCAAUGAUGAAAACCCCAUCUUUUUACCCUUGAUGGCAACAACACGAUGUAUGCCUCACUACCCCUUCUGUCACUGGGUGAGGUCACCGCAUGGUAUGAACCCAAAACCAAGCACUUCUCCCAUUGCAAGAAUCAUAGAUNNNNNNNNNNNNNNNNNNNNNNNNNNNNNNNNNNNNNNNNNNNNNNNNNNNNNNNNNNNNNNNNNNNNNNNNNNNNNNNNNNNNNNNNNNNNNNNNNNNNCGGUAUUUGCCAAGUAAUUAUUUUCGCACUCUUACUUUCUCAAACUUUUUAUAACUAUCACGCAAUACAUGAGCGUGAGCCAUGGAUAUAGCACUAUAAGUGGAAUAGAGUGUGGUGGUGGUUGUGAGACAAAAAGGAGGAGACGGUCACAUUGACUCGGCAUAUCAAAGGGCUAUGGAUAUGCCCAUUAAUAGAUACCAAUGUGAAUGAGUAGGGAUUGCCAUACAAGAGAUGCACUAGAGCUAUAAGUAUGUGAAAGCUCAAAAGGAAAACUAGUGGGUGUGCAUCCAACUUGCUUGCUCACGAAGACCUAGGGCAAUUUUGAGGAAGCCCAUCAUUGGAAUAUACAAGCCAAGUUAUAUAAUGAAGAUUCCCACUAGCAUAUGGUGGUGACGAAGCAAGAAGCUCUCAAUCGUGAACAACAUGGUGCUAUUAUGUAGCACAAGUGUGGAAAAAAGAUAGUAGCAUUGUCCCUUCUCUCUUUUUCUCUCUUUUCUCUUUUUUUUCAUUUGGGCUCUUAGGCCUCUUUUUUUUCUUUUUUCUUUUUUCUUUUUGGGCUCUUUGGCCUCUUUUUUUUCCUCACAUGGGACAAUGCUCUAAUAAUGAUGAUCAUCACACUUUUAUUUACUCACAGCUCAAAAUGAUGAUGACUCUAAAGGAAAUGCCUCCGACAGUAUACCGGGAUGUGCAACGAUCUAGCAUGCGUAUGACAUUGAAAACAUCUCGCUAGCUAUUUUACGAUCAUGCAAUGGCAAUAUGAGAGUGACGACACAAGUCAUGAGACGGAACGGUGGGAGUUGCAUGGCAAUAUAUCUCGGAAUGGCUAUGAAAAUNNNNNNNNNNNNNNNNNNNNNNNNNNNNNNNNNNNNNNNNNNNNNNNNNNNNNNNNNNNNNNNNNNNNNNNNNNNNNNNNNNNNNNNNNNNNNNNNNNNNAUCUAUACCAUGGACUCGCAUUAGUCAUGAAGAACUCACAUACUUGUUGCGAAAGUUUUUAUUAGUAAUCGAAACAAAGUGCUAAAUGCAUACUCCUAGGGGAAGGGUUGGUAGGUGUUAACCAUCGCUCGAUCCCGACCUCAACACAAAGGAUGACAAUCAAUAGAUCAAUUAUGCUCCGACUUCCUAACAUAGCGGUUCACCAUACGUGCAUGCUAUGGGAAUCACUAACUUCAACACAAGUAUCUCUAGAUUCACAACACCCUACUAACAUAGCUCUCAAUAUUACCGAAUCCACGUCUCAAAACUAAUUGAGAGGAAUCGAAACUUCUCUUUCUACUCAAUGCACAUGAAGAUCGAGGUUUUUGCAUCCUCUUUGGGUACCUAUCACAUUUGGGACUACUUUCAUAGCAUAAGCCAACUACCAAAUCACGCACCGCCGAGCUCUAAAGGAUAUAAGUGAAGCACUAAAGCAAAAGUAUCUAGCUCAAAAGAUAUAAGUGAAGCACUAUGAGCAUUCUAGCAAAAUCACGAUGAGUGCAUGUAUCUCUCUCUCUCAAAAAGGUGUGAAGCAAGGAUGAUUGUGACACAACAAAAAGAAAAGACUCCUACGAUACAAGAUGCUCCAAGCAAAACACAUAUCAUGUGGUGAAUAAAAAUAUAGCUCCAAGUAAUGUUACCGAUGGAUUGAAGACGAAAGAGGGGAUGCCUUCCCGGGCAGCCCCAAGCUUAGGCUUUUUGGUGUCCUUGAAUAUGGCUUGGGGUGCCUUGGGAAUCUCCAAGAUUGAGCUCUUUCCACUCCUUAUCUCUUUGCCAUGGGAACAUCACCCAAAACUUGAAAACUUCUUAACACAAAACUUAAACAGAAACUCGUGAUAACAUUAGCACAAGAAAACAAACUACCACUUCUUUUGGUACUGUAGAAAACUUGAAUUCCAUCUAUAUUGGUGUUGGGCUACUGUAUUCUCACUUUUCCAUGGCUAGUACCCCCCGAUACUAACCAUAGUUUCAUCAAAACAAGCAACCAACUCAACAAAAAACAGAAUCUGUCAAAAACAGCCCAGUGUGUAGCAAUCUGUAUACUUUGUAUACUUAUGGUACCUCCAAAAAUCUGAAAAAUUAUGAAUGACUAGGCAAAAGGCAUAUCAACCAGCAGAAAAAAGAAUCAACUAAAAAGAUCUUUCUGAAUAAAAAUGAAAAAUCAUCUCGUGAGUGAAAAGUUUUUGUCUUUUUCCAGCAGGAUCAAACAACCAUUACCAAGACUAGUCAUCAAGGUUUUGCUUGGCUCAAACACAAAAAGAAACACAAAAACCACAACCAGAACAGAAUUAUGAUGGUGUGGAUGCAACAAAACAGAAAUAAAAAGAUAAAUUCAUUGGGUUGCCUUCCAUCAAGCGCUAUUGUUUAACGCCCUUAGCUAGGCAUAAAAGCGAUAGAAUCACGUAUCGUCGUCUUUGNNNNNNNNNNNNNNNNNNNNNNNNNNNNNNNNNNNNNNNNNNNNNNNNNNNNNNNNNNNNNNNNNNNNNNNNNNNNNNNNNNNNNNNNNNNNNNNNNNNNNNNNNNNNNNNNNNNNNNNNNNNNNNNNNNNNNNNNNNNNNNNNNNNNNNNNNNNNNNNNNNNNNNNNNNNNNNNNNNNNNNNNNNNNNNNNNNNNNNNNNNNNNNNNNNNNNNNNNNNNNNNNNNNACACCGAUAGUCCUUAGGAAAGGUCUACCAAAAAUAAUAGGGCAUGCAGGAUUGCAGUCUAUGUCAAGCACAAUGAAAUCCACGGGUACAUAGUUCCUAUUUGCAAUAAUAAGAACAUCAUUGAUCCUUCCCAUGGGUUUCUUGACGGUAGAAUCCGUAAGAUGCAAAUUAAGAGAACACUCUUCAACCUCAUUAAAACCCAGAACAUCACAUAAAGACUUUGGAAUCGCAGAAACAUUAGCACCCAAAUCACACAAAGCAUUGCAUUCAUAGUUUUUGAUUUUGAUUUUGAUGGUAGGUUCCCACUCAUCAUGANNNNNNNNNNNNNNNNNNNNNNNNNNNNNNNNNNNNNNNNNNNNNNNNNNNNNNNNNNNNNNNNNNNNNNNNNNNNNNNNNNNNNNNNNNNNNNNNNNNNACUAAUAAAAACUUUCGCAACAAGUAUGUGAGUUCUUCAUGACUAAUGUGAGUCCAUGGUAUAGAUGCACUUGUUUGAAUUAUGCCCUAGAGGCAAUAACAAAUAUAGUUAUUAUUAUAAUUCUUGUAUCAAGAUAAUCGUUUAUUAUCCAUGCUAUAAUUGUAUUGAAUGAAGACUUAUAUACAUGUGUGGAUACAUAGACAAAACACUGUCCCUAGCAAGCCUCUAGUUGGCUAGCCAGUUGAUCAAAGAUAGUCAGGGUCUUCUGAUUAUGAACAAGGUGUUGUUGCUUGAUAACUGGAUCACGUCAUUAGGAGAAUCACGGAUGGACUAGACCCAAACUAAUAGACGUAGCAUGUUGAUCGUGUCAUUUUGUUGCUACUGUUUUCUGCGUGUCAAGUAUUUGUUCCAAUGACCAUGAGAUCAUAUAACUCACUGACACCGGAGGAAUGCUUUGUGUGUAUCAAACGUCGCAACUUAACUAGGUGACUAUAAAGAUGCUCUAUUGGUAUCUCCGAAGGUGUUCGUUGAGNNNNNNNNNNAACUAUGACCAUGAGAUCAUAUAACUCACUGACACCGUAGGAAUGCUUUGUGUGUAUCAAACGUCGCAACGUAACUGGGUGACUAUAAAGAUGCUCUAUUGGUAUCUCCGAAGGUGUUCGUUGAGUUAGUAUGGAUCGAGACUGGGAUUUGUCACUCCGUGUGACGGAGAGGUAUCUCGGGGCCCANNNNNNNNNNCGGUAAUACAACAUCACACACAAGCCUUGCAAGCAAUGUAACUUAGUGUAAGUUACGGGAUCUUGUAUUACGGAACGAGUAAAGAGACUUGCCGGUAAACGAGAUUGAAAUAGGUAUGCGGAUACUGACGAUCGAAUCUCGGGCAAGUAACAUACCGAAGGACGAAGGGAAUGACAUACGGGAUUAUAUGAAUCCUUGGCACUGAGGUUCAAACGUAAGAUCUUCGUAGAAUAUGUGGGAUCCAAUAUGGGCAUCCAGGUCCCGCUAUUGGAUAUUGACCGAGGAGUCACUCGGGUCAUGUCUGCAUAGUUCUCAAACCCGCUGGGUCUGCACACUUAAGGUUUGACGUUGUUUUAUGCGUAUUUGAGUUAUAUGGUUGGUUACCGAAUGUUGUUCGGAGCCCCGGAUGAGAUCACGGACGUCACGAGGGUUUCCGGAAUGGUCCAGAAACGAAGAUUGAUAUAUAGGAUGACCUCAUUUGAUUACCGGAAGGUUUUCGGAGUUACCGGGAAUGUACCGGGAAUGACGAAUGGGUUCCGGGUGUUCACCGGGGGGGAAACCCACCCCGGGGAAGCCCAUAGGCCUUGGGGGUAGCGCACCAGCCCUUAGUGGGCUGGUGGGACAGCCCAAGAAGGCCCUAUGCGCCAUAGGAAGAAAAUCAAAGAGAAAAAGAAAAAAAAAAGGAGGUGGGAAAAAGGGGAAGGACUCCUCCUUCCAAACCUAGUUGGANNNNNNNNNNNNNNNNNNNNNNNNNNNNNNNNNNNNNNNNNNNNNNNNNNNNNNNNNNNNNNNNNNNNNNNNNNNNNNNNNNNNNNNNNNNNNNNNNNNNGGCGCGGCCGUAGGGGGAGGGAUCGCUGAAGCUAGGGGAUGCGAUGGUCGCGGUCGUGGCCGGAGUGGAGGGAGAGAGGAAGGGAAGGGAGGAGCCCCGGGGCUCACCACCAUUGUAGGGGUGCCAGGGGCUCGAGGUCGAGGUGAGGAGGCCACAUCUAGUGGCGGAGGAGCUCUGGCGUGGGGGCCGGUGGCGGAGGGGGCCGAUCCAGUGGUGGAGAGCGACGGGCUUGAUGCGGGGCUGGCGUGGGAGUCCCUCGCGGUGACAGGGAGAGGCGGUGUGGGGCCGGCGCGGGGCUGGCCCUGGCAGCGGCGAGUGAGGCGGUGUGGGGCCGACGCGGGGCUGGCCCUCAUGGCGGCGGGGGUUAGCGAGGGGUGGGGGACGAGGGCGAGCGAGGGAGAGGGUGCUCGGCAAAGUUAUCAGAAUCGCGACUGAAGUCCUAGAAUCUUACGAUCCAAACUAGCCCCUCUCAUUCUACAAUUUUGGUCAUAAAAUCGAAGUUUCUACAAUCCUGAUAGUUAUGAUUCUACAAUUCACGAUCCUAGCAACGGAGCUCCGAUCCGAUUCAGAAUCGUGAUUCUGACAACUUUGGCGCUCGGUCCCUCGCGUGGUCAUGGCGCUGGUGGGUGAGGGAGUGGGGCGCUCGGGGUGUGGGUUAGAUUUAGGUGGGGGUUAAAUACCCGAGGGGUGGGGUGGGCUUGUGGCUAGUUGGGAUGGCUCGGGGCCGGCCCAAUGUUUUUUUUGUUUUUUAUUUCUUUUCAAUUUCUAUUUUAGUUUCCGUUUAAACUUUGAUUUAUAAAAUAUAUAACUAGUCCCUAAUUUAGUUUUAAUAAUUAUGUCUCGGCCACAAAAAGUUUUAACCCCAACUAAAACUAGUCUAGUAUUUCAUAAAAUAUAAAAGGCACUUAUUUAUUUGUUUUUCUGUUGUUUUAAAUAUUAUAGUGCAUUCAAACAGUUUAUAAAAAUGUGGUUUUUUCACCAAAAUUAAUCAUGAUUUAUUUGCUACAACGUGAACAUUUUAGUUUUGACAUUUGAAAACUUUUAUUGUUUGACUUUAUUUUAAAUUUGAAUUGGAAUCGGUUUUGAACUAACGCGAGAUUAACAACAGUAAUCAUGGUGACGUGGCAUCAUUAGCAUAGGAUUACUAUAGCCUAAUUACAGAGAUCACUGUAGAAAAAACUGAGGAUGUCACAAAGCUACGGCAACAAAAGUCCUUCCCAAGCAACGCCAGGAAUUCUUCUUGCUACUUCUCUUGUUUGCGUCCGUUUUUCCCUUGAAGAGGAAAGGGUGAUGCAGCACACGAGCAGUAAGUAUUUCCCUCAGUUUGAGAACCAAGGCAUCGAUCCAGAAGGAGGGUAUCGUCAAGUCCAGAGUACCUGCCCAAACACAAACGAGCUUGCACCCAACGCUUCAAAGGGGUUAUCAAUGCCUCCAAGAUUGUUUGCAAAGUGAGAUCUGAAGGCGGAAAGUGCAACGAAGUAAAAAGUGUAAGGCUGAAAAUAUGGUGUGGAGUAGACCCGGGGGCCAUAGUGUUCACUAGAGGAUUCUCUCAAAAUUGCAAAUAUCACGGUGGGUGAACAAAUUACUGUCGAGCAAUUGAUAGAACCGCGCAAAGUCAUGACGAUAUCUAUGGCAAUGAUCAUACAUAUAGGCAUCACGUCCGAGACAAGUAGACCGAUACUUUCUGCAUCUACUACUAUUACUCCACACAUCGACCGCUAUCCAGCAUGCAUCUAGUGUAUUGAGUUCAUGAUGAACAGAGUAAUGCCUUAGGCAAGAUGACAUGAUGUAGAGGGAUACUCUCAAACCAAUGAUGAAAACCCCAUCUUUUUACCCUUGAUGGCAACAAAAUGAUGCGUGCCUCGCUACCCCUUCUGUCACUAGGUGAGGUCACCGCACGGUAUGAACCCAAAACCAAGCACUUCUCCCAUNNNNNNNNNNNNNNNNNNNNNNNNNNNNNNNNNNNNNNNNNNNNNNNNNNNNNNNNNNNNNNNNNNNNNNNNNNNNNNNNNNNNNNNNNNNNNNNNNNNNUAGGGUUCUCCCCUGUCGCCGUCGUCUGCCCUCCAGCCACCGGCACAGCUCGCCGAGAGCCCCGUCCCCCGUCCAUCUCCCCCUCCCCUACCCUCCCCUCCCGCGACCUGCGCCACCCCCGCGGUGGUCGGGCCGCGCCCCAACCUCUUGGCUCCUCGCCCCGCCCCUUCCCUCCCUCCUCCCGCCGUCGUCGGUGCGUCGCGUCGGCCCUUGGUCGGGUGGCCCCAAUGGUGGCGGGCCUCCGGCCUUUACCCUCCUAGCUCGGUUGGCACGGGGCCUGGCAGUGCGGCUCGACGGCAGUGGCCCGGCGCGGCGGUAGGGAUCCCCCUGGUGCGGCGUGGAUGGUAUCGAUGGCGGUGGUGCUGGCGUUGGUGGCUGGGCGGCAGUGGCAGUGCUCGAGCCCUACAGGCCCAGAUCUGGGCCCCUCGGGCCCGAUCUGGGUCAGGUCAGGCCUGCCUCGUUGCCUCCGGUUGGUCUGCGGCACGACUCGCAACGGGGAUGACAGCGUUGACGUCGCACUGUUGCAGCGUGACGAUGGGAGCUUCUCGAGCUUGUCCAUGUCCGGCUGAGCUUUUGGGCUGCAUGAUGGUAGCGGCGGUGGCGGCCUGCGUGCAGCAGCACGAUGGCGGGGACUUUACGAGCCCCUGGACUUGGUCAGCACUCGGUCGGGCCUAUCUGGCCUGGUAUGUCCUGGCUGUUGUGUUUGGUAGGCACCCCCCGAUGGCGGUGGAGGACGUCCUCCGGGUGGCUGCGCUGUUGUAGCCCUCCGGUUCCAAUGGUUCGGCGUGCACUCUCGUCGUGUCCGGACGGUGAUAGCCUUGGACGGUGGAGGUGGUCCCCUCCUACGUGGUUGUCCUCCUGUCGGGUCUUGUCUUCGGGUGGUUCGCCUCAGACUGACCGGCCUUGCUACGUUGGCCAUGGUGAGACGACGAUGGUGAUUGCAAGACCGUGGUGGCGUUUGUUGGUGGUUGGCAUGCUUGGUGGAGCGUCUCUGAUUGUCCGGGAGGUGGUGGUUUGGUGGUCGGGAGAAAUCCUUGUCUUUUGACACCAAUACGGUGAUGCUUGAGAGUGUCACCCUUCCUUCCUAAAGGGUGUCGGGUGUUCCUCCUCCCCACGCCCCGGAGCGUACCGGGGGAAACCCUAGGACCUGUUCGGAGAGCAGUGUCGUCGUCGUCAUUAUCCUUCUUGGAGGUGAUGUUUGGUACGCGAUGGAUCAAGGUGCUUGGAUAGUGGUGGGAAUAUUUCAGAGGAGACGCAGCGAUUGCGGUCAUUAUUGUUUUCGUUAAGCCGUAGGUGUUGGCAUUGUUUUCUCUUUCUUUUCUUUUGAACGUGGAUGUGUUGUUUGCCCCAUCAGUGGUUUCAUGUUGUAUCAUGUGGUUGCUAUAUAUAUAUAUAACGGGGCGAAAGCCUAUUUUGAGAUCAAUGUUAUAUUGUUCCUCAUUUUGGUGUUUGCACGGAUUUCACCUCCAAAUCAUAGUGCCAGCCAAACAUGAAAUUUGGCUGUGGAAUCUGGAUUCAGCCAAAUGAUACCCUUAUCAGAAUUUCAUUUCAUUUCUAACAAAUGAAAUAAAUCAAGGGACGCAAACAAGCUGCAAUUGUUCUGCUGGGCUCAGAAUAUGCGUGGAUGUAUUGGGACCACCUGUCUCAUUGAACAUUGAUUCUUGAACGGCACCAGUCACACUGAACUUUGUAAUCACUGAUGGAAUUCUAACAGCAAUCAGUUCAUGGCAGCGCUCCAUUCUGCGGAGUAGUAUGGCUCAAUUACUAUAUAUCAUUUUCUUCAGAAAGCCAACCAACAGGGGCUCGUCACAGUUCACGAAUUUAAGAAUGUUUCAGUCAUAAGUGCACAAUGUUGUUACUGACAUGUCACGUGUUAGGUUAACUCCUCUCUCCCAGUCUAAAGAUCAGUGCCUAUCAAGGAUGAGCACAUCGACAAACGACAAGCUACAUGGAGGAAUCAAUCCAUAGCAGAUAUCCUCCUCUACAAAGGGGCAGAAGCUAAACACAAGACAAAAUUUCAUUGAAAUAAGCUGGUGAAACUUAAAAUGGCAAGGUCCAACAGAAAGUAAAAAGAUCAGAGUUAUGUUGGAAUUUCAACAAGCCCAG